GCCAUCGUUUCAAAAUUUUUUCCACCAUCUGAGAAGUGCUUUUUGGCUGAUGGAGAAGUUAAAAAUUUCUCCAUUUCUUCAGCCAAAAGUCCGUUUGGCUGAUAAUUUCCCAUUUUAACCUGCCUUCUCCCCCAAAAAAAGUUUCUUUUCUCUGGUUCUUUAGAGGAGCUCUAUACCCAUUUUUUCACAUUUUCACUUUCAAAAUUUUGGCUUACUACUUUCGAUUAGAAUUUUCCCUGAAAAUUCUGGAUUACUGCUUUGCUUUACUCUACUCGGCGGCUGUGGUUUGGGGAUUGAGAAUUGAGAUAAAAGAAAUGGAGAAGGGAAACAGGCAAGUAGUUGUUUCAGCAUUGCAAUUCGCUUGCACCGACGAUGUGCCCACCAAUCUCGCCACUGUCGAAAGGUUUCUUUUUUUUUUACUCCUCCUAUUACUUCCCAUUUGAUUAGAUUUUCUGGGUCUUUCAUUAAUUUCGAAUUGUAUUAUCUGAUCAAACCUAUAUUCUGGAUUUGCUUUGCUACUCUUCCACUUUCAUCUGUUAAAAAGUCUCUUCAUAUUGGUUUUGUGGUGUCUUUUAGUUAAUUCGUCCUUUAGUCUCUAUUUGAUUGAGAUUUGGAACUGUGGUGUAAAUUGUUUGUUUAAUUUUUAUAUGAGAGUGAGCCUAUUUACUAUGUGGUGAAGAACCGAUAAAAGAAAAACAAAGGAUAUAGAGACUGUUCAUGGUUAUAAUUUGUUUUCAAAAUUAAUUUGGUUUCAUUGGAACUGUUCAAGUUCGAACUUUUGGGCAUUUUCUGCAGUUGUUCAUUGGAGACGCUAAGUACAUUGAAGUUUGCACAGCUGGCUAAAUUUAUUAAGAACAAUGUAUGAGAUCUUUGCUUAGCUACUUUUAAUUCAAUGCAUGGCUUACUCGUCAUUCAUGUGAUUUCCUGAAAUCCUCUGUUUCAUUUUCUGUUCCCAACGGGAACCGAUGCUAGCCUUUGAGCCUGUUUAGACUACAUAAUCUAUACUUGUAUACUAAUAAUAAGAGUUUUGUGUUGUGGAACCCAUUUAGUUAAAAAGGUAGAGAGAUACCAAGUUUUUUUCAUGUAUAUAUAUUUAAAAAUACAACUUUUUGUUAAAAAAAAUUUAUUUCUUUUAACCUCUUAAUCAGUUAGUCAAAUUCUAGUUAAUGUAUAUAGUUUUUAAAUUUUGGAUGUCAUAUUUAUUGAAAGAUUUGAACUAAUGUAUUGUAGGCAGUGGUAAAUGAAGAUGCAUCUGGAGAUGUUGUUGCUAUGAGACUGCAAAUUCAACAGCUGAAGGUAUAAUAUUGUUAAAUUUACGAUCAUAUUUGAAAGUAUCUUUAUGUUAUAAGCUGGACAUUGUUAUAAUAGAAUGUUGUAACACUUGGUUGCCUCUCCUUUUGAUAAUUGUUUCUCCUUGUUCAUUGUUACAGUUGAUGGAUAUUAAUGAAAGUCCUCUCAAUGUGCUUCUCAAUCCUGCAAUCAAUCCCACGCAAAAAGAUCUUCCAGUCACCAUUUAUGAAAGUGGUGUGUAGCCUUUCUCUUUAUUUCAUCCUUUUAUGUUAAUCAAUACCUACUGUCUCUUAUUCUGUGUCUGAAUUUUUGCGUCCUGUGUGACAUUAUACUAUAUUUUUAAAGUUUAAAGUGUAGUUGAGUUCAGUUUGAUCAGGUUACCAUCUAAUUUAUUCUGUCAUAUUGCCAGAACAUGUUUUGUUUGCUAACAUGAGAUUUUACAUUCUAUGUUUGCUAAGUUGGUCUAUUUGUGUUAACUUUUCUUUAAUCCUGGAAUGAUCAACUCAUGUUCUUGCUUAAAAGUAAUUUCUGACCAUUUAUGGUGGUGAUUAUAAAGGGAUGACAAUAUCACUAACACUAGUCUCCUAUUGAAUUAAUUCAAUGUGCUUAUAUCAUCCUGAUAGGAACACACUCGCUGAAAAUCUCGUGCAGUUUUAGGUAGCUUUAAUAACCUUUACAGUUCCUCAUUAUUCUUUGGAACUUGGAAAUUGGCAAUCUAACUGGUAAGCCUUUUCUGUUUUGGUACUUUAGUCUGCUGCUUUCACUUCUUAAAGCAUAUGCAAGUUCAGUGCUGUUCAAUAUAUUUGCAAAAGUAAUGGUUAUUGUAAUGUCUAUCAUUGCAGAGGUUAUAACAUCAGCAGAGUUUCACCCUGCCCACUGUAAUAUGCUAGCAUAUAGUAGUUCAAAGGUUUCAAUUCGCCUCAUUGAUUUGCGGCAAUCAGCUUUGUGUGAUUCUCAUGAAAUGUUACUUUGAUGUGCAGAAAAAUUUAGUAAGAAUACAGAACAAAGCAGGCGAGAGACAUUCAAUGUACUGUUUGGUGGCUAGUAAGCAAAUGGUUGGCAUAUUUCUCACAAUUUGGAUGAGAAUUGAAUUGAGAGAUCAUGUUAAAAACAUUCAUUGUUUUUUCCUUGUUCAUUGUUUACUGAAAUAUUCUUUCAGUAAACAUUCAUUGUUUACUGAAAGAAUAUUACACUCUUUUGCUUAUAAUUUCUGACAUGAUAAUUUUUCCCUUUUGUACAAAGAUGAAUGAUGAAAUAACUUUAUCAAUGGCACAUCUUUGCAUUCGUCCUGAAACAGAAAUGGCCACUGCUGCUGCUACUUCAGAAGGUCUGAACUCCAACAAAUUAAUACCUGCAUUCAUUCGUUUCCCCAAUCAAACACCAUUGAUUCUCAAUAAUAAUAAUAACAUAAACAAAUAGAUAUAGAGAGAAAUAAACCUCUGGUGGUGUUCAAUAUUAUCUGCAAUGAUCAAAUGAUUGAAGUUGAUGAUGGAUAUUGAUGAUCAUUACAAAGUUUAUUCAAGAAGUAAUCAAUGAAGGAACAAGGUGUUAAAACUUGCAUUCUCCACUUCAAUGUAGUUAAAACCAAUAGUUCCAUUCUUUGUAUUGUUUUAGCUUCAAACACAAACUUUGGUUCCCCCACCUGCAAACAACGCAAUCAUGAAACUCAAAUUGGGAAAAAGACCAAGGGAUUAACAAAAGACCAAGGGAUUAACAAUCAUGAAAAAUCAAUCCAUAUAUAUAGUAAUCACCAAAGAAAAGCAAGGAAACCAAAGAAAAGCACAAAGAAAUUGUGCUUUGGACUUUUGUUGUUAUUGUUAAUUUAUGAAAUGUUACUUUGAUGUGCAGAAAGUGACGACGACGAUGGUGAUGGUGAUGAUAACGGUGAAUCAAACAAUUCAAGUGGUUUUGAAAUGGAAUUAACAAGAGAUGUUAUAGCAUCUAGUUUAAUGAAUUCACCUUAAAUUGUAAAUGCUAUUGACAAAUUUUUAGUAUUUAUAUUUGGUAUAUAAAUAUUAUCCCUUUUUAAAACUUUAAUCCAAAUAUAUGUAAUAUUUUAAUUUGUUAGGUUUAUGUUUUCUAUGUUAUGUUAGUAUAUAAUAUGAGUUAUAUAUUCAAAUACAUUUUAAAAUAAAAUAACACAAAUGUGUUAAAAGCAUUAAUUAAAAAUAAAAAAUAAUUUUUAUAAUAAUACAAUCGUGUCAAUAUCUAAUUACUAAUAUUUAAUUUUUAUAUUUAAAUAUUUAAAUAUAGUUUGUAUAUUCUAAUUAAAUUUUAUAAAUAAUUAAUAUUAAUUACUUAGAAAUAUUUAAAAUUAAUAUUAUAUAUUAAAAUAUUAACAAUAAGUUAUAAUAAUUUUUUUUUAUUUUUGCUAAAACAUCAUAAUAUUAACUAAUUUGAACAUUAUUUAAAUACAUAUUUGUUACUUUAUAAUCUCAUGUCUAAAAUGGACAUUUUAUUCUUCAAAAGUACUUUUUGACAGCAAUGCCAAACACUCAAAUUUCUCAAAAGUACUUCUCAAAAGCACUUCUCAAAAGUACUUCUGAAAAGCACUUCUCAAAAGCACUUCUCAAAAGCAAUAAAGAACUGGCCCCAAGACUGCCCCGAUUCCAUUACCCGUAGCAUUCGAAGCUCCAUCAAAAUUUAACCUCCAUACGUAAUCCAUUUGAAGAUUUUCUUCAGUGUUCGCCACAUACAUCAGGUCUUCAUUUGGAAAAUCGAAGUCCAAAGACUCAUAGUCUUCCAAAGCUCUACUAGCUAAGAAGUCAGCUAUCGUACUUCCCUUUACGGCCUUCUGACUUACAUAUACUAUGACAAACUCAGAGAGCAUAAUUUGCCAUCUAACCAUUCUCCCAUUUAAAGCAGUUGAUUCCAUCAUGUAUUUGAAAGGAUCCAGUUUUGAAAUCAGCCAAGUCGUAUGAUACAACAUAUACUGCCUUAGUCUUCGAGUUGCCCAGAUUAAAGCACAACACAAUUUCUCAAUUGAUACGUAUUUCAUUUCACAAUCAAUGAAUUUCUUACUGAGAUAGUAUAUUGCUCUUUCUUUCUUUCCUGUCUCAUCAUGUUGGCCCAAUACGCAUCCCAUGGAAUUCUCAAACACUAUUAGGCACAGUAUCAGUGGCCUAUCUGGACUUGGCGGUAAUAGUACUGGAGUAUUAGCCAAGUAUUGCUUUAUCUUAUCGAAAGCCCUCUAACAUUCCUCAUCCCAUUCACCCGGAUUAUGUUUCUGUAAGAGACGGAACACUGGAUCAUAUUUCUCCGUCAGUUGUGAGAUGAAUCGAGCAAUGUAAUUCAAUCUCUCUAAGAAACCUCGAACUUCCUUCUGAGUGCGCGGGGGAGGUAAAUCUCGUAUUGCCUUUACUUUGUCUGGGUCAACCUCAAUCCCCUUUUUGCUAACUAUGAAGCCUAAUAACUUCCCUGAUCUGGCUCCAAACGUGCAUUUUACCGGGUUAAGAUUGAGCUGAAAUUUCCUCAAUCUCAAAAAUAACUUUUUUAAGACUUGAACAUGCUCUUCUUCAGUUCUAGGCUUUGCAAUCAUAUCAUCAACAUAGACUUCGAUCUCUUGAUGCAUCAUGUCGUGAAACAAAGUCACCAUAGCUCUUUGAUACGUUGCUCCCGCAUUCUUCAAUCCGAAGGGCAUUACCUUAUAACAAAAUGUUCCCCAUAAGGUAAUGAAUGUAGUUUUCCUCGUGUCUUCAGGAUGCAUCUUUAUUUGAUUGUAUCCAGAUAAACCAUCCAUGAAAGAAAACAAUGAGUAGCCCGCCGUGUUAUCUACCAAAGUAUCAAUAUGAGGUAGUGGAAAAUUAUCUUUUGGACUAGCCUUGUUCAAGUCCCUGUAAUCCACGCACAUUCAUACUUUUACAUCCCUUUUGGGAACAGGGACAAUGUUUGUUACCCAAUCUGAAUAUUUGAUCUCUUGCAAGAAUCCGACAUCGAACUGCUUAUUGACUUCUUCUUUGAUUUUUAGCACAAUAUCAGGUCUCAUUCUCCUAAACUUCUGCUGAACUAGUUUACAAUCCUCUUUUAUGGGCAGACGAUGCACCACAAUGCUAGUACUUACCCCGGGCAUAUCUUGGUACGACCACGCGAAAACAUCUUUGAACUCUCGGAGCAAUUUAAUGAGGUCUUAUUUUGUCUUUGCGGUGAUUUCAGUUCCAAUUUUCACCUCUUUUCCUUCUUCUAGGCUCACGAUUUCCAACGAUUUCUUAUAAGGUAGGAUCUGCUUAUCCUCUUGUUCCACCAUUCUCAACAAGUCUGGGGAUACACCACAGUCUUCGUCAUUUUCAAAGUCGUGAAAUCCCUCCAAACACAUUUCUUGCUCAAAAAUAGGCUCCGUGUUUGAAGAAGCAUCACUCAUGUCAUUGAUAUCUGAGGACCUAUGAGGGAAUGCAUCAAAGAAUAUACAAAGAAUAUAUAAAUUUAUGAAUAAUCAUUUGUACAAUAAGGUUACAAAUGAAAGAGUUAUUUGGAAGACAAUCAAUCAAAUGGAAGAUAUUUACUUGUAUGGAAAGAAAAAGAAUGAUUGUUCGAAAUGAAUGUAAAUAUGUAUUUCAUUAGAAUAAUGAUGUUUAGGUUCAAGCCUCUUUCACAAAAGAUUUCAUAUCGUUUCUAGGAUAAAAAAACAAGAAUGUUCUGAGCAUUACUCUGAAUAAGCCCUAAAGACUACAGGGAUUUCUUCUACAGUCCAAUUGUUUAGCUCACUCCCAGGUUCGUAAGGGCAGAUCUCCAACGAGGCCCUUUUUUCUGUUGUUUCUAUAGUGUUGAUAUGGACAUUUUCUAACAUUUCUUUAAUGUCUUCGUUUCUGGACACUCCUCGCUCGGGGUGAAUAAACCCACCCGACACGAAAGAUGUAGAUAUGUGGGGAAAGGUCAAAGGCUCCCACUUAACUUCAUAUCCGUUCAAAUGUGCCCUUCUUUUCUCUGUUUCUUUCUUCUUCCGCUUCAUGCCUAGCUUGUAUCCUAAGCCAAAACUAUCCAACUUUUCCUUUAGUAUUGGUGCUUCAAUCUUUCCUUGAAGAUAUUUUCCCAAUUCUUUCCCGGGUAAAGCUCAUCUUCCUACCAUCAAUUGCAACACUAUCUCUGUGGUCCUGGAUAAUUUCGGUACUGGAAUUCUGCUUCCUUCAGUAAUAAAUAUCGCGUUCACAAAUUCUAAUGACCGAAAAAAACAUUCUAGUUCCUCAUCGCUAACUUCUACAUAAGGUGCAUCACUAGUUACCGAUGCGAUAAUAUCUUCCUCCGUAUUUAUUGUUACCAACCGACCCUCCGAUACUAACUUCACCUUUUGAUGUAGUGAUGAAGGUAUUGCCCCGGCUGAGUGUAUCCAUGGUAUUCCUAAUAAAUAGUUGUAGGAAGGCUUAAUAUCCAUUACCAAGAAUUCCACUUCAUAAGUAAUUGGGCCAAUCCUUAACGGUACUUCAAUUCUCCCCAUAACCCUCUUUUCCGUUCCAUCAAAUGCCCUUACUAUGCUCUGGCAUGCUUUCAUGUGCGAACUAUCCACCGUAACUGACUAAGAGUGGAUAAAGGCAAUACAUUCAGUAUAGAUCCAUUAUCAACCAAGGCCCCCGGGAGUGUGUACCCUUUGCAUCGGGCAGUAACGUGCAGGGCUUUAGUAGAACCCCUUCCUCCAGAUGGUAUUUCUUCAUCAUUGAAGAAAAUAAAUUUGUCAGCACUUAUAUUGUUGACCAACCGAUCCAGCUUAUUUACCAAAAUAUCAUCGGUCACAUAUGUUUCGUUUAGUACUUUCAAAAGUGCAUUCUGAUGUACUUCUGAACUUAAGAGCAAAGCUAAUAUAGAAAUACGAGCCGGCUGUUUGCGCAGUUGUUCUACAAUACUGUAUUCACUGUGUUUCAAAAUCUUCAAAAAUUCUUUUGCCUCCUCUUCUUUUAUUAGUUCAUUAACCAAUGGCUCAACUUCCACUGCCUUCCCUUUCCUCUGUUCUUCCUUCCGAUUCUCUUCUCUUGACGAUUAUGCUUGAGCGUCAUAUCGUUUCCCAUUGCGCGUGUAAGAACCUAUUUCCUGAUUUCUCUCUGCUUCCUUUCCCAAGAUUGUCACAUUGCACCCAUAAUUCCACGGCACCAUUUUGCCAUCCUUGUAUGGAAAAUUUGAUGGUUUCUGGAUUACAAUUUUUGGUGUUAUCUGAACCCUAGACUCAUUGCUCCUAGGGCAUGAAAUGAUGACCACAGGAUGAUUUGUUUCCGGAGUCUUCGUCGCCAGCUCUAAUCCUCAAAUAUUUCUCUUGCCCUCCAUUUCUUCAUAAAACCUUAUCUCUUUAUUAUCCAUCAUGUUUUAGACCAGAGCCUUGAAUCCCUCACCUUUUUGAAUCUCAUGUCCUACUUCAUGAUGGAAUUCACAAUAGUUUUCAGCCUCAUGUCUUUCUUCAGAAUCUGAAAUAACUAGCCUUAUCUUCUUCAUCUCUCUCCAAACUCAUUUUAACGGAGUUUUUACUUUAGCAAUGUCGUUCUUGACUUCUUCUCCCGUACUUUCGCUCACCAUAUUCACCCCCUUAUCAGCGUGAUUAGGUAACAGAUUUUCUGCGUUAGGUGAGUCGUCAAGUUUGACAACACCCAAUUUGAUAAGUCCUUCCACUACCUUCUUGAAAGUAGUACAAUUUUCUAUUCAGUGUCCUGAAAUUCCCGCAUAAUAAUCACAUUGCGCGUUCGUGUCAUACCAUUUUGGAUACGAGGGUUGUAGAGGACUCAAGUAACGAGGAGCAACAACAUGUGCAUUAAAUAAAGUCUGAUACAACUCCUUGUAUGACAUCGGGAUUGGCGUAAACUGGGGCUUUUCAGUAGUUUGCAUAGCUCCCGACUCUUGUCUUGAUGAUCCCUGUUGAUUAGCGACCACUUUCCUUGGUUGAUUCACGGUAAUUUACUUACCGUAGGUAUUCACAUUAUUCACUUCAUUUUUUCUUUUCCUCGGGGCUGCCCUUUUAUUAUUCUCUCCUCCAUCUAUUCUUCCACUUUUAAUAGCAUGCUCAAUCAUUUCACCGUUCAUGAUUAUAUCUGAGAAAUUCUUUGAAGCACUUCCCAACAUGUGAGUGAUGAACGGGGCUUUCAAUGUAUUAAUAAAAAGCGUUGUCAUCUCUUUUUCCAAAAGCGGUGGUUGCACCUGAACCGCCACCUCUCUCCAUCUUUGCACAUACUGUCUGAAGCUUUCGUUCGAUUUCUUCUCCAAAUUCUGUAAAGUUAUCAUGUCAGGCAUCAUUUCUAAGACAUGAUUGUACUGUCUCAUGAAAGCUUGCGCCAAAUCUCUCCAAGUAGCAAUUUUGGUUCGGCUUAGCUGAUUGUACCAUUUUGACACCGCUCCUGUAAGACUAUCUUGAAAGCAAUGUAUUAAUAAUUGAUCAUUAUUAAUAUACCCCGUCAUUCUCCUACAGAACAUAGUUAUAUAGGCUUCUGGGCAACUGGUCCCAUUAUAUUUCUCGAAUUUCGGCAUCUUAAAUCUGUAAGGAAGCACCAAGUCCGCAACCAAGCUCAGAUAUUUUGCAUCUAUUCCAUGAUAGCUGUCAAUGUUUUCUAUCGCCCUAAACUCCUCUUCAAUCCAUUUCCAGUUCUCCUCAAACUGCUUUGGAAACUCUUCCUUCACCUUGUCCUUCUCAGCUACUUCAUCGAAAUCUGGGACAACAAUAUUAUUCGGGUUAUCACCGGAAUUAGAGCCCGAUCCGGGUUGAAAGUUCAUCGGUAUUGAAGCAUCACCUUGGAACUGCUGAGGCCUAACCGACACAGAGGGUCUCCGCGGAUGCAGCUCAGUCUGAACUUGCGCAUGUGGAGGCGUGAAACUUGGAGGGUAAAGUAGUUCAUCAUUGUUUUCUUCUUCGUUAAUAAUCACAGGACCUUUCCCCUUAUCUACUCCCUUUAAUAAUUGUGUCAUCUUAGUCAUCAGGUCAUUUUGAGACUCCUGCAUCUUUUGUACCAUGUCAUACUGAAUCUUUUCCAUUUGUUCUUUUAUUUGCGUCUGCAACUGUUCUUGCAUUUCCUUUUGAAGUCGCUCUAGCUUUUCCAACCUUUGAUCCAUAAUUUUUGACUUAGCACAGGUACCAUAACGGUGUUCAGUUGGCAAGUUUUUGCAGGCUUCUAGAUUAACUGAAGCACAAUUUUAACCAAUUCAAACCCUUUUUAAUAAUCUUGAAUGCAUAUGAUGUCGUGUGAUGCAAAUGCAUGACAUGAAUGCAAAAAGAGCGUCGAUUCUGAUCCAAUUUCUUUUUUUAGAAAACUUUAUUGAUAAACAAAAUUAUUUACAUAAAAUGAAUUACAGAUAUGGCUUUGCCCUAAUGCUCAGAGCUUUGAUUUCUUUCAACAAUGAAGCCAACUCCUGACCCCGAUCUGAUUCCAGUUCAUAUUUUACGCUCAAAACGUCAGCCUGAAUCGCCAUUGUUUGCAAAUGAUCAGCUACCUCCCGGAUCUGAGCUACGGCCUCGCCCAUAAUGUAAUCUCUACUCUGAAUUUGACUCUGAGACUGAUAAAGUUGUUCCUUCCAAUGCUAUUCAUUUCCUUCCAAGAAUUUGAUCCUUUGUCCACAGCUUUGUAAUGUAAUCUCCAGUUCCUCUAUCAUCUUUUUCAUUUCUUCAAUCUUACACAGGCUUGCUUUUGAUUCUAUCACAGAAUUACGACCUCUAUACCGAGCGAGUGAUCUCUCGAGCUCUACUAUUCUGGCUUUCAAUUCUGCUUGAUGGUUCUGAGUUUCCAACAUCUGUCGUUCUAAACCCUCCUUCUGUACUUGAGUCUCCUGAGCCUUUCUUUCCCACUGAUCGGCUUUGUUUCUUUCUUCCUGAAUUUUCUGUCGCCACUGCUCUGAAGUCUUUUCCAGCCCUGCAGUUCUCAUUGAUACUCGUAGCUUUUAAUAGUCUGUCUUUAAGCUAUCUAGAUCCUCCUCUACUUUAUUCUUCCCCUUCUUUAAUCUUUCAGCUUCUAACUUUUACACGUCAACAUCCAGCCUUAAAUGUAUCUUUUCUUCUUCCAACCGCUCUAUCUUCUUUUCGAGCUCUAAAUUCCUCUUUUCAAAAUCUUGUUUUAUAAUCUCCAACUCUGAUGGGAUCGCAUGUAGAUACUCUUCCCUUGGUCGAACACCCUCUAAGUUUAACUCUAGAAUGUUAUCAUUAAUUCUCUUGCUUCGCCACUCAUCAUACUCUGGAGUUGUCAUCAAACCCACAGCUAGCCUUUUCAUCUUAUAAACCUGAUUCCAAGCUUGAGAAAUUUCUUUUACCUUUUUCUUAAAGUUGUCUCAUCGAUACGAGAACUCGCAUUGAGCUAAACCAUGCGUCACCGGUACAAACUGUCUUGAAUUGUACUAUCUAAGUACCAACAAAGAUACAUACCCGACAGCUCCCCAAAUUUCGAGCAACGGUACCCAAUCAAAGCCCCCGCAGCAGUACAGAAUUCUGUCAGGAAUCAACUAAGGAGUCUUCCAUUCAAUAUCUUCCUCCCGGAGAUUUUGCAGAAUUGCCAUCCAAUUUUCCUCUAAUAUAUUGUCGCUUCUUGGCAUAGCCACUAUCUCUUUUAACGGGGAGUAAUGCUCAGAAAAAACUCGAUAUGAAACUUUGUCGACCUUCUAGAAAUGACUAUGGAACCAAGCUAGCAACAAUUGCGCACAAUCUAUAAAUUUGCCUUCACCAGCUCGCUUACACGCAUUCAAAGAUCUAAAUGUUUCAGCCAAAAUCGCAGGAACAUGCGUGACUCUUUUACCCAAUCGAUCAAAUAGAUCUGAAACCGCUUUGUCAACAUGCCCCAAUGCUCUAGGGAAAAUCACUAACUCGUAGAUACUCAAAGCAAACACAUCGACCUUCUUUUUCUCAUCUUGAUGCGCUAAAAUCAAGUCUCGUAAAUUUUUCCAUGGAAUAUAUUUACACUCCCCCUUCUGCUUGAUCCUAGUCGUGAUCCACUGCUCGCUUAUGCCAGUAAUAUUCAUUAGUUUCUUCCAAAAUGCCGGGACAUAUGCGGCUCUAGAAUAUGCUUUAUCCACCCGAAGCUUUGGACAAUGUAGUAAAGUCGUAUAUUCCUCCACCGUAGGCACUAGAUCUACCUUGCCAAAAGUGAAACAGCUAUAUGCGGGGUUCCAAUAUUGAGCUAGGGUCUGAAACAAUUGCUCAUCCACCUUGAUGUCCAAUAAAUACGUUAAGUCUCCAUAAUUAGAGUAGAACAACUGCUUGGUCUCAUCAUUCCACUUAUCUCAUAUCUCUUUUAACUCCUGAAGGCUAUUUUGUGUCACACUAAUACGAGUGUAGCCCCACAACUCUGACACAUAAUCCUUAACUAGACUGUCUCCCUUUUCCAAUUGCACUUUCUCUGACCAUAUACGGACAAUGGCAUUAUCUUCCACUUUAUCAAAAAAAUUCUUUUGCCAUGACAAUUUUCUAAUUUAGUAACUGAACUUGAAUCGACACUCUUUAAAAUAUGCAGUGGCAUGCAAAAAAAUAUCAACAAAAACACAAACAAGUCAGUACAACAUAAAAUAAAAUUCAAGGCAAGUAUAAAAAAUUCAAGCACCUAUCUGGGUAACCACUAAAAUUGAAAUAGUUCUAACUAGGUUAAGCUCCUAGGUCCACUAUAUGAGGUUUGGUUCUAAAGACAAGGUACCCGAACCAGCAGAUUCCUCGAUCUUCACCCAUUAUAAGCUCAUACAGACCGAGUUCGGUUCAGGGGAAUACAUUUCCCUAUGGCUGCACGGAGAUGAAAAUCUCACGAAGACAUAGGUACGGAUGUAUUCCAAAAGUGAUCCACUAUCCUGCACGGAGGUAAAAACCUCACGAAGGAGUAGUUUUUCACUCCCACUUAAAAAGGGUAAGACUAAAAUAGCCUUUAUGCAAUAUGAUGCCAAAAUAUAGUAAUCAUACAAACAAAUGCAAAGAGAAAAUAGUAAUUUUCAAAAUCAAAUCUUCAAUUUUCAACAAUAAGACAAAAAUAAUCAGUUUUACGGCUUGACUCUCUUGGUAUAUCCCAACGGAGUCGCCAAGCUGUUGACACCAUUUUUGGAUAAAAAACGGGGUCGACUUGGAUUUUAAAAACAAAAACAGGAGUCGCCACCAAUCUUUUUUGAUAAGGUGUGAUUGGAUCACCUUGAAAAGAAGUUGUUUUAAUAAACAAUUUAAUUUUAUUAAAACAACGAGUUUGGUCUAUGAAAUUCAGAAAACGAGUUCGGGAGUCGGUUACGUACGAGGAAUGAUUAGCACCCUCGUAACGCCCAAAAAUUGGUACCUAGUUGAUUAGUUAAUGUCUUGAUGUCGAGAAUUGAAAACUUUGAAAAAUUUUAAAGAUACGAUCCUUGUAUUAAACAUUAAAAUUUUUUGGGAAAAGAAGCAUAUUUUACGUUAAUCGAGAAAGAGAAUCGUAUCCAGUAAGUUAGGACACAAUAUCUCGAAUUCCCAAUACGCAAAAAAAUGCUUAUUUAAAAAGUAUUUUAGCUAUCUCGGAUUUAAAAGCGAGAUCACAACCAGUAAGUUAGGACGCGAUUAUUUUUUUAAAUCCCGAGAUCAUUUAAAACUUGAGUUUGAAAAGAUUCGUGUAUUUAGAUUUAUUGUGAAAAUCGAGACCUAGUAAGUUAGGGUACGACAUUCUCAAAUCUAAACACGAGAUUUUGCUUAUUCAAAAAUUGUAAUUUAUGCAUUGAAAUAAAUCAAUCUAACAUGAAAUAAUAAAAUACGAUGUUAAUACUCGUAACAAUACGAUAUUGAAUACAAUAGUGCAAAAAUAAUACGAGCAAUUGCAACAAAAAUAAGAUAAAUACAAAGUAAAAAUCAAUAACAUACAAAAUAGCAAUGUAUACAAGCAAAUAAAAUUAAAGCAUUCAUUCAAAUCAAUAAUGAAAAUGAAAUAAAUAAAUAAAUGAAUAAGAUUAUAAAAAAGUAAAAAGAUAUAUGUGUGUGCAUAAUGUCGAAACCAUUUUUUUUGAAAAACAAAAAUAAGUUAUCGACUUUAAAAACAAAAAUUGGAGUCGCCACCGAUCCUUGAUUGAGGUGUGAUCGGCUCACCUUAAAAACGAUUUUGGUCUACAAACUUUGAGAAAAUAGGCUCGGGAGUCAGUUACGCACGAGGAAGGAUUAGCACCCUCGUAACGCCCAAAAUCGGUACCAAAUUGAUUAUUUAAUAUCUUAGUGUCAAAAAUUUAAAAAGAUUUUAAAAGAAAACGUUUUAACAUGUGAAUGAAAUAAAAAAAUAAGUCAUCAUAAUUUCAAAGAAAUAAAACAUCACACCCAGUGAGUUAGGGUACAAUAUUUUUAAAUCUUCAAAAUCAAGUUUAUCUCUUGAUUUUAAAAAUUCUUAUUUCGAGAAAAUAAAAUGUCAUGACCAGUAAGUUAGGACCCGACAUUUUUGGAUUCUCGAGAAUAAGCUUUUAUUUGAAGAUUGUGAAUUUAUUGCAAAAUAAAUACUUGGCUUCCUAAAUUCCUCGAAAAAUGAUCACAAUCUAAUAAGUUAGGACACGAUCUUUCUCGAGAACCAUGAAUGCCAAAUAUUAAAAAUUUAAAAAAACGAUUUUAAUGCUUUGACGAAACCAAAAUAUAUUUUUCUUUAAAAGUAUGAUAAAAUGUUAAUGCAUAACAAGAAACCAAUACUUUAAUUUAAACUAUAUGUGUAUAUGCAUUAUAAAAUGUCAAUACAUGUAUAUAUACAUGUAAACAAAAAUUAUGAAAAUAAAAUAAAAUAUAAACAUGUACAUGUAUUUACAAAAAUAAAAAAAUGCAUAAGUACAAUAUAUUAGUAAAUUAUGAAAAUAUAAAAAUAUAUGUAUAUAAAAAAUACGAAAAAUAUAUUUAUAAUAAUUUUGAAUAGUGUAUAAAUAUAUAUACAUAUAUAUAUGUAUAUUAUAUAACAAAAUGUAUAUAUAUGUGGAUUAUAAAAUAUGGAAAGUGUAAAAAAAUAGAAAUGUAUAUGCAUACACAUAUAUAUACAUAAAAACUAAGAAAAUAAAAUAAUAAUAAAAUAUAAAAUAUAUAUAUGUAUUUUAAAAAAACGUUUUAAAAUAUAUACAUAUAGGUACAUUAACAUACAUAUGCGUGUAUAUAUGUAGGUAUACUAAAAAUAUAUAAUAUAUAAUAAUAAUAUUAUUAUAAUAAUAAUAAUAAUAACAACUAUAUUAAUAAAAUAAACUAAAAAAACUUAAAAUGAAAGAUUAUGGAUUAAAUUGAAAAUAAUUGAAGUUUCAGAGGUAAAUCUGAAAUAAACAAAACACUAAUGGAUCAAAUAGAACACACAGUUAACAGUGGAGGACCGAAAGUGAAAUUAAUCCUUCCGUCCAAAACUCCGCGCAGCAAUGGAUUAAAAUAAAACAAAUUCAACAUUUCAUGGAAAAAUUUGAAAACAAACCAUAAUGAUUUUGAAAUGAUGGGAUAAAAUGGAAGAAUUAAAAACGUAAAUAACCCAUCAGUGCUUAAAACCCUUUUCAAUCUCAAAUUAAAGCCCUAUUCUGCAGCAGCAAUAGGCGCAAGAAUUGUUUCAUCUUCUUUUAUUCUUUUUUAAAACAACAGAGGAAAGAAAAGGGAAAUCUGCUAGGUUUUCUUUAAAGCCCUAGCUACCACCACGUCGCCGCCGUCAAAACUCUGCCGCCGACUCCGAUUCAAGUAAGUUCCGUCCUUUUCUUUUUCUUUUUUUUUGUUUUUGCACAAAAACAGAGAAUCAAAGAAAUAAAUAAAUAAAAUACAAAGAAAAUCACCUUCAAAAUCAACUGCUGUAUUCUUAUUAUUUUUGUUUUUGUAUUUCGUUGUACCCUGAUUUCUUUCUCUAUUUCUUGUUUCAAUCUAAAAAAUCCUAUUCGCUUUUUUUUAAAGUUUUUUCUCUUUUCCUCCCCCCUUUCUGCUAUUCUAGCCUCUUUUUAUUUGUUGUAUUGCUAUUCAUCAUUUGCAGGUGGAAUCGGCGCAACUACUAAUCGUGGGUGAAGUGACGUGGGUGAUGGGCGGUUUCUGCAACGUGAGGACAACGUGCGGCGCCAAUCUGCUGUUACCCACUGCUUAGGGUUAGGCUGGGAUUUGGGUUAGUGACUUGGGCUUGUAAUGGGUUUGGGCUUUAGGCUUAGUUGGGCCCGGGCAAAAUUUAGGUCUUACAGUUGCCCCUCUUUGCUCGUUGUCGUGUAACGAGAACAGAGCAAAGACUUUAAAAUGACCAAUUUUGCCCAGUCGUUCUGGACCUUGGCACUUCUCUUCUUCUUCAAAUAGCCUCAUUCCUUCCUACUGCAUCAUUAGGGUAUAGGAAUUGGUGCUUCGAUCCACUCCACUGCAACGCCAGAGAGAUAGGAUUUGAUACCUUAUAGCUUCUCAAAAGAACAAAACUUGCAAUCUCUAAUCUGCUCCACCGUAACUUCAAGGAGAUAAGACUCGUAGCUUCAACUUAUUCUGCUGCAACUUCAAAGAUGAGUUUGAUACGAUCCGCUCUACUGCAAUUUCAGAGAGAUAAGAUCCGUGGUGUUAAUCCGCUCUAUUGCAACUUCAGGGAAAUAAGAUUAUCUUCUUCAAUUUAUUCAAUUACAAUGUCAAGGAAACAAGAUCCGCCGUCGUAGCUUCAAUCUGUUCAACUGCACAGCUAAGGAGGUAAGAUCCGUCGUUGUGGCCUCUAUCUUUUUAAUUGCGCUGUCGGGGAAACCAGAUCCGCCGUUGUGACUUCAAUCUGCUUCACUACACCGCCAGGGAAGUAAGAUCCAUCGUUAUGGCUUCAAUAUUUUUAAUUGCGCUGUUGGGGAAACCAGAUCCACCGUUGUGACUUCAAUCUGCUCUACUGCACCGCCAGGGAAGUAAGAUCCGCCGUUGUGGCUUCAAUCUUUUUAAUUACGCUGUCGAGGAAACCAGAUCUGCUGUUGUGACUUCAAUCUGCUCCAUUGCACCGCCAGGGAAGUAAGAUCCGCCAUUGUGACUUCAAUCUUUUUAAUUGCGCUGUCGAGGAAACCAGAUCUGCCGUUGUGACUUCAAUCUGCUCCACUGCAUCGCCAGGGAAGUAAGAUCUGCCGUUGUGGCUUCAAUCUUUUUAAUUGCGCUGCCGAGGAAACCAGAUCUGCCGUUGUGACUUCAAUCUGCUCCACUGCACCACCAAGGAAGUAAGAUUCGCUGUUGUGGCUUCAAUCUUUUUAAUUGCGCUAUUGGGGAAACCAGAUUCGCCGUUGUGACUUCAAUCUGCUCCACUGCACCACCAGGGAAGUAAGAUCCACCGUUGUGGCUUCAAUCUUUUUAAUUGCGCUGUCGGGGAAACCAGAUCUGCCGUUGUGACUUCAAUCUGCUCCACUGCACCGCCAGGGAAAUAAGAAUCUGCUAUUUUCAACCUACUCCAUUGCUGUUCAAGAAGAUAAGGCUGAAGUUUUAUUGGUUUGUUCUCUAGGGAACAUGACCUGUAAAAUUCAAAUUAUGAACCUAAUUAUGCCUAGUGAUUAGGAUGUCAUGAUCAAAAUGAAUCAAAUGCUCCUGACUAGACGUGCGAAUGACAUUUGAAUGCAGAAUGUCAUUUUUUGAGAAUGAUCCCUCUUUAAAGCUUAGGUUGUCAUUACUCAAAGUUUAUUGAAACUGUAUUACUGACGCACUAGAACGUCCUCUUGCUCAACUAGCAUCUCCAAAGAAACACUUAAUCAACCUGCACCCACUGUAAACUUCAAAGUUCAAUCUACUGGGAUGCAACAUUGGUACCAUAUUUCUCCCACUGUAACCCAAUGGUAGAAAAAUCUGGUCUUUUCUCAAUCCUCUCCUAUCGCAAUUCAAGGCUAUAGAAUGUGAAACUCUUUGGUUCUUUACACCAUUUCUAAGGUGUCAUACCAAAUGCUCAUGCACAAAUAAAUGAUUUCUUCUCCGAGUAACCUCUUCCUAUUGCUUGGUGAUCAUUUUUCGCUUGUUCAUUGAACCCUUAUCAUCGACACGACAUCUUGUCAUUUCGUUCAAUCAAUGUUUUGACAACAAAAUCUGAAGGGAUAGUCUCAAUUUAGACUUUUCCUUCCUAAAUAUUUCAACCUUUAAACUUGGUGCUUUCUAAACAAUAGUCCUGUUUCAGGUUACCGUAUUAUUUAGAAACUUCUAGAGUAAUAUGCAAAACUUCCCUUGUGAAAGUUUUAUUAGUCCAUUGAUCAUUAUUCUAAUACAACAAGCUUGCAAAAAGAACGAAACAAUGGAUGGAAUGGAAUUGAUUUGAGAACGUAGCUUGAAAUGAAUAGAAUAUCAAAGAUAGUAAAAAAAUAAAAGAAGAAUGGAUUGGGAACACGUAUCUUGAAAAAGAAUGAAGUAUUCCAAGAACAAACAAUUCGAUAAAAAUAGUAUGAAAACUAGGUGCCCCAGAUAUCGCAGCUUGAACUUCUCUGUACAGACUUCCUGAAUACCAUUCUGAGUUUGACAUGUGCUUAGGAGAUCUACAAUACUCUGUCCAUGCUCCAAGAUGUCGUGUACCCCUUUCCUGCUGAUUCAGGCAUAGCAAGAUCACCACAUGCCCCAAUCUGAUCAAAAUUUGAGCUACUCUUAUUACCUCAUGCCCCAUUUUGAUCAAUAUUUGAGCCGCCAUUUUUGGGUUUUCUACUCAAAUCCACUUUUGGUCUAAGGCACCCUUUGCGGGUUUUCACCUUAGCCUCUCCAUUUUUACUUUUUCCAUUUUUCAUUUUUCAUUUUUCAUUUUUUAUUUUUCUAUUUUUAUUUUUUCACAUCCCUUUUCCUUCUUUUUUUUUGUUUUUUGUGACUCAAAGUGCCCUUUGCGGGUUUUUAUCUUGGUCCUCUCCUUCUUUAAGCGAAGUAUUUCUUGACUGGUUCUAAGUUUACAGGAUUAGAUAAGUUUUUACUAUCCAUCUCACUCAAAAUCAGUGCUCCUCCAGAAAAGGUCUUCUUUACAACAUAAGGACAUUCCCAAUUUGGCACUCAUUUUUCUCUAAAAUCCUUUUGUAGAGGAAGGAUCUUUUUCAAUAUCAGGUCUCCCUCGUGAAAUUCUUUGAGACGAACCCCCUUUUUUGUUGUAAGCUCGCAGCAUCCAUUUUUAGUACAUCUGGCCAUGACGAAUAGCUUUUAGCCUAUUUCCUUCAAUUAAGUUCAACUGAUCUUAUCGAGUUUGGAUCUUCAUCCUACUUCAGCUCAGCAAAUACCCGAAGAGAAAAAAUUUUAACUUUAAUGGAAAAAUCGUGAUAAGCUAAAGAGAAAGACAUUGCCCCGGUAGAGGUUUUUUUGUUUUUUGUUUUUUGUUCUUCUUUGUUCUCUUUUUUUCUUUUCUCUUUUUUUUUGCAUUGAAUCCGCACUCAUAGUAUUAGGCAAGUCCUGGUUAUCCUUUUCGAUCAGAAUCAAUAUUAUUCCAGUUAAGGUCUUCCCCAUAAGAUCUUCUACUUUUAUUUUGUAUGCGAAAGAUCUUCUUUGGCACCAGGUUUCUCUCAUAGAGCCUUUUGGGGCGAAAUUUAACUAUGACGAGAAAAUUUUAGAUCUUCCUAUUCAAUUAAGAUGAAAUCCAAAAAAUACGAAAAAAUGACAAUUUGACUUCAACUAGUUAAGCCAGAGAAGAAGGUAUUGCCCCGGUAAAGAACUCUAACUGUAUCGUUCAUGAUGUGAAUCUUGAACAUACUGCAAAUUUUUAACGUGCUAUUGCUCAGAUUACAAUAUCAAUGCUUAACCUGGGCAUAUCCUGGUAUAACCAUACGAAGACAUCUUUGAACUCUUGAAGUAACUUAACAAAGUCUUGCUUCAUUUCUCUGGUUAUGCAUGUUCUCUUAAAGUCACAAUCUCCAUUGUCUCUUCAAGAGGAAAUAUUUGUUCUCUUCUUGCUCUACCAUCCUUAACAAGUCUGGUGAUAAACUACGAUCUAUGUCAUCUUCAAAGUCAUGAGAUCCUUCUAAACACAUGUCUUGCUCAAAAGGAGAUUAAGAGUCUGUAGCAGUGUCACUCAUGUCAUUGAUAUCCAGGGACCUAUUGUAGGUACCAAGGAAUAUACAAAGAAUGUAUGAAUUUAUGAAUAAUUAUUUGUACAACAUGAUUAUGAAUGAAUGAAUGAAUGAUUUAGAAGAAAAAUCUAAAAGAAUGAAAGAAUUGUAAAUAAUAAAAGAAUAUUAGCUCAAAAAAUAAUCACAAUGAUGUAUUAAAAUAAUAACUUUCAGACAUUAGCCUAUUUCACAAAGGUGUUCUUAUCACUUCUAGGCUAAAAGCAAUAAGAGUAUUCUGAACAUUAUUCUGAGUAAGCUCUAAAACUACAGGAAUUUCCUCCGCAAUCCAAUUAUUUAGAACAUCUCUAAGUUGAUAAGGGUGAAUAUCUAACAAGGACCCUUUUCAAUUGUGUCUUCAUAUAUGACAUUGAUGUGAACAUUUCCCAACACUUCUUCAUACAUUACAUUCACCCCAUUAUUAAUCAUGAUUGGGUAGCGGAUUUUCUACACUCGAUGAAUCCUCAAAUCUAACAAUGUCCAUAUUGAUGAGCCUUUCAACCAAUUUCUUGAAAGCGAUGCAAUUUUCUAUCGAAUGCCCCGCAAUUCCUGCAUGGUAUUCACACUGAGCAUUUGCAUUAUACCAUUUAGGAAAUGGGGGCAACAUUGGUUUCAAAUAGAAGGGGACACCACAUGUGAAUUAAAUAGGUUUUGAUAUAGCUCGCUAUAUGACAUCGGUAUAGGCGUAAACUGAGGCCCUUCUGUAUUUAUCUUCGUAUAAGAUUCUUGCUUUAAAGGGCCCUGAUAGCUGGUAGUCUUCGUCUUUGGCCGACCCAUAGUGAUUGGUUUUGAGUAGCCCCUGUUAUAUCUGCCUACAUUAUCCCCCUUAUUCCUUGAGGCCUUUAAAGUAUUGAUUUGAGAGUUCCACUCUCGCCCUUUCCGUUUGUAACGAUCUUCAAAUUGUUUUGGGAACGCCACCCUCGCAUGUUCUGUUUCUGCUUGAUCAUUAGUUAAAUUGCCCAUCGAGUUAGAACCUGAGCCAGUCUGGAAAUUCACCGGUGUCGAGGUGCUGGUCUGAUAUUCGGGUCGGAUGUUAACAAUUACCAUUUGUGGAUAUGCAUUUGGUUGUGCUUGGGUAUUUUUUAGGGUGAAGUUUGAAGGAUAUGUAAGGUCCUCAUUAUUAUCCCCAAAGUAGACCACUGGGGUCUUUCCUCUUUCUAAUCCUUUAGCCAAUAACUGGGUUAACUGGCACAUUAUAUUUCUUUGGAAUUCUAACAACUGAUCUCUCAUAUCUUGCUGAAAUUUGGUCAAUUGCUCCUGUAUCCGCACUUGCAUUUGCUCUAAUUUCUUCAACCUUUAGUCCAUUUCUCUAGUCUUUGCUUGGAUGCCGUGAGGGUGUUGGUUUUCUAAAUUAACUGAAAUAAUUUUACUCAAUUAGGCUUUUUAAAUAGAUUUUAAUGUAUAUGAUGUCAUGUAAUGUGAAUGCAUGAAAUGAAUGCAUAAAGAGACGUUGACUCUGAUUCAAUUCCAUUUAGAAAACUUCACUAGAAGACAAACUUCUUUACAUAAAACGGAUGCAUGUACGGCCUCGCCCUCAUACUCCAAGAAACAUCGACUUCUUACUUCGUCUGGAUGUUUAAGAUAAAUCUCGCAAAUCCUUCAAAAGGGGUAUCUCCUCUACCUCCUUUUUGCUUGAUCCUGGUUAUAAUCCAACGUCUGCCCAUCCCCGUAAUGCUCCUCAACUUCUUUAAAGUAGUUGGAAUGUCAGAAACUCUUGAAUAAUCAGCUUGACCUUGAGGCACGAAAUAAAGUCAUGUAUUCCUCCAUCACCCUUCUUGCGUUUCUUGGAAUAUAUUCAGGCAGCCAUAUUAUCUUUCACUUUAUCAAGAAACCCAUCUCCCACGAUAAAACUUUCUAUCUAGCAACCGAAUAUGAAACAACGCCUCUUUAUAAUGGAAUGCCAUGUAAUUGUAAUGCCAUGCAAUCAGAGUAAAACAUAAAAAGUCAGUAACAAUUAAAUACAAUACAACCAAGAAAUAGUAAAAACUCCUAAUUAGGUGUCUACUAAGGUUCAAAGUAAUUCUACCUAGGGUGGGUUCCUAAAGCUCACUAUAUGAGGUUUUGGGUUCUAGAGAAAGAGUACCCGAACCAGCAGAUUCCUCGAUCCUCACCCAUUAUAGGCUUAUAUGGACCAAGUUCGGUUCAGGGGAAUACAUUUCCUUAUGGCUGCACGGAGAUGAAAAUCUCACGAAGACAUAGGUACAGAUGUAUUCCGAAAGCGAUCCACUAUCCUGCACGGAGGUGAAAACCUCACGAAGGACUAGUUUCUCACUCCCACUUAAAGGGGUAAAAUUGACCAUGCAAUGUAAAAUGCAAAUAAACUAACGGACUUAGAUCAAUCAAGCAAGCAUAUGAUAAAACCAAUGAAUGCAAAUGGGAAAAUCAUGAUUUAAAAAAACUUUAAUUUUCGAUAAAAAGACAAAAUAAUCAAUUUAUGGCUCGACCCUCUAAGCUCCCCUGUGGAGUCGUCAAGCUGUCGAAACCAUUUUUUUGAAAAACAAAAAUAAGUUAUCGACUUUAAAAACAAAAAUUGGGGUCGCCACCGAUCCUUGAUUGAGGUGUGAUCGGUUCACCUUAAAAAAUGAUUUUGGUCUACGAACUUUGAGAAAACAGGCUCGGGAGUCAGUUACGCACGAGGAAGGAUUAGCACCCUCGUAACGCCCAAAUCGGUACCAAAUUGAUUAUUUAAUAUCUUAGUGUCGAAAAUUUAAAAAGAUUUUAAAAGAAAACGUUUUAACAUGUGAAUGAAUUAAAAAAAAUAAGUCAUCCUAAUUUCAAAUAAAUAAAACAUCACACCCAGUGAGUUAAGGCACAAUAUUUUUUAAUCUUCAAAAUCAAGUUUAUCUCUUGAUUUUAAAAAUUCUUAUUUCGAGAAAAUAAAAUGUCAUGACCAAUAAGUUAGGACCCGGCAUUUUUGGAUUCCCGAGAAUAAGCUUUUAUUUGAAGAUUGUGAAUUUAUUGCAAAAUAAAUACUUGACUUCCUAAAUUCCUCGAAAAAUGAUCACAAUCCAGUAAGUUAGGACACGAUCUUUCUCGAGAACCAUGAAUGUCAAAUAUUUAAAAUUAAAAAAAAAACGAUUUUAAUGCUUUGACGAAACCAAAAUAUAUUUUUCUUUAAAAGUAUGAUAAAAUGUUAAUGCAUAACAAGAAACCAAUACUUUAAUUUAAACUAUAUGUGUAUAUGCAUUAUAAAAUGUCAAUACAUGUAUAUAUACAUGUAAACAAAAAUUAUGAAAAUAAAAUAAAAUAUAAACAUGUACAUGUAUUUACAAAAAUAAAAAAAUGCAUAAGUACAAUAUAUUAGUAAAUUAUGAAAAUAUAAAAAUAUAUGUAUAUAAAAAAUACGAAAAAUAUAUUUAUAAUAAUUUUGAAUAGUGUAUAAAUAUAUAUACAUAUAUAUAUGUAUAUUAUAUAACAAAAUGUAUAUAUAUGUGGAUUAUAAAAUAUGGAAAGUGUAAAAAAAUAUAAAUGUAUAUGCGUACAUAUAUAUAUACAUAAAAACUAAGAAAAUAAAAUAAUAAUAAAAUAUAAAAUAUAUAUAUGUAUUUUUAAAAAACGUUUUAAAAUAUAUACAUAUAGGUACAUUAACAUACAUAUGCGUGUAUAUAUGUAGGUAUAAUAAAAAUAUAUAAUAUAUAAUAAUAAUAAUAUAAUAAUAAUAAUAACAACUAUAUUAAUAAAAUAAACUAAAAAAAACUUAAAAUGAAAGAUUAUGGAUUAAAUUGAAAAUAAUUGAAGUUUCAGAGGUAAAUCUGAAAUAAACAAAACACUAAUGGAUCAAAUAGAACACACAGUUAACAGUGGAGGACCGAAAGUGAAAUUAAUCCUUCCGUCCAAAACUCCGCGCAGCAAUGGAUUAAAAUAAAACAAAUUCAACAUUUCAUGGAAAAAUUUGAAAACAAACCAUAAUGAUUUUGAAAUGAUGGGAUAAAAUGGAAGGAUUAAAAACGUAAAUAACCCAUCAGUGCUUAAAACCCUUUUCAAUCUCAAAUUAAAGCCCUAUUCUACAGCAGCAAUAGGCGCAAGAAUGGUUUCAUCUUCUUUUAUUCUUUUUUAAAACAACAGAGGAAAGAAAAGGGAAAUCUGCUAGGUUUUCUUUAAAGCCCUAGCUACCACCACGUCGCCGCCGUCAAAACUCCGCCGCCGACUCCGAUUCAAGUAAGUUCCGUCCUUUUCUUUUUCUUUUUUUUUUGUUUUUGCACAAAAACAGAGAAUCAAAGAAAUAAAUAAAUAAAAUACAAAGAAAAUCACCUUCAAAAUCAACUGCUGUAUUCUUAUUAUUUUUGUUUUUGUAUUUCGUUGUACCCUGAUUUCUUUCUCUAUUUCUUGUUUCAAUCUAAAAAAUCCUAUUCGCUUUUUUUUUUAAAGUUUUUUCUCUUUUCCUCCCCCCCUUCUGCUAUUCUAGCCUCUUUUUAUUUGUUGUAUUGCUAUUCAUCAUUUGCAGGUGGAAUCGGCGCAACUACUAAUCGUGGGUGAAGCGACGUGGGUGAUGGGCGGUUGCUGCAACGUGAGGACAACGUGCGGCGCCAAUCUGCUGUUACCCACUGCUUAGGGUUAGGCUGGGAUUUGGGUUAGUGACUUGGGCUUGUAAUGGGUUUGGGCUUUAGGCUUAGUUGGGCCCGGGCAAAAUUUAGGUCUUACACAUAAAAUUAUGAAAAUGUGAAAAAUCUAUGUACGUAAAAAUAUAUGUAAAUAUGUAUGUGUACAUUUAUGUAUAUGUAUAAAGUUAUGAAAUAUAUAAAAUAUAAAGGUAGGUAUAUGUAUAUGUUUUUAUAAAAAUAAAAAACGUACAUAUAUAUUAUGUGCAUAUAUGCAUUAUAAAAUAUAUAAAAAUAUAUGUAUACAAGGAUAUAUAAAUAAAUAAGAUAUAAAGUAUAUAGAUAUGGAAAUUAAAAAUACGUAUAUAAAGAUAUAUAUAAAUAAUAUAAGGUAUAAGAUAUAAUGUAUAUAAGUAUGUAUUUAUGAAAAUUAAAAUAUAUAUAUAGACGUGCAGCUAUAUACAUAAAAUAAUAAAAGAUAAAUGUGUAUAUAUAUUCAUAAAAAUAAAAUGUGUAUUCGUAUAUUAAAGUAUAAAGUAUAAAUAAUAUACAUCUAAGUAGAUAUACAUAUGUAAGUAAACUUGGAAAAUUAUAUGAGUACACAUAUUAUAAAAAUAUGACUGUAUAUAAACAUAUAUAAAUUAUAAAAUGUAUAAAAAUGUAAGUAUGUAUAUAUAACAUAAUCUAAAAACAGUACAAAUGGGUAAAUAAUAAUAAGGCAAAUAAUAAAAAUAAAAGCAAUAAUAAUGAUAAUAAAACUAAUUAAUUUUUUGAAAAAAAUAAAAAUAAUAAGACAAUAAAAAACGGGACUAAAAUGAAAACAAAGCAAAAUCCCAGGGGAGAAAAGUUAAAAAAAGAAAAAAAACUAAAACAGGGAGCAGAUUGGAGGGAAGCCCAGAAGCAGAAGGACUGAAAGGGCAAAUAGACCCUAAGUCCAAAACACGCGGAUCUUUGGGGUCCAUCGGCUCGGGUUUUCGGUUAUUAGGCAAAACGGAGUUAUUUUGGUCAUAACACUCCAAUCCAAAACGGCGCCGUAUGGUGGCCUAUAUAAAUAGCAAAAAACAAAAGAAAAAAAAUUAUUCUCAUUCCAUUUUAAAAAAGAAACAGAGAACUCUCAGUUCUCUUCCCCAUCUUCCCUGUCUGGCACCACCGUAGGCCACCAACGCCGAGGCUCCGCCGCGAGAGGUGGUCUCGGCAAGAAAAGGUGAGUUUUUUUUUUAAGUUCGGUUAGCUAGCUCCAAGUGAUGAUUUGGUGAUUUGUAUGGUGAAUCAGUACCCAUCGACGAGUAUAAAAACAUACCUUAGAUCUAAGUUGAUUUGAAAGACAGUUUUAGAGAUAUGGAAUGAGAGCUUUCUAUUGGUGUAAGCGGUGCAAAUAAAAAAGUCGAAUAACAACGAUUUUAACAUCUAACGACUUAAAUGAAAAUUUUCAAAAUUUUCAAUGAUUAUAACUUUUUUAAAGUCGAGUGACUAAAACAUAAUUUUACUAAUAGUUUAAUGAGAUUAGUAUAGUUUAUCUUAAAAUUAUUUAAUUACAUGUUUUGUUCACUAAUUAGUAUAGUUUACCAAUUAAACGUAUAAAAUUAGGGUUUCAUUGGCCCAAUAAAAAAUACUAUAAUCACGAAUAAUAUUUAUUUGAAUAACUAUAAUCAAAAUUAAAUGUUAUAACAAACAACGGACCGAUUAUCAAGGGUGAGGGGAGAGAGGCUCUCCCAAAAUAGGAAAUUUUUUCUUUAGACCCCUAAAAGUUCAUAAAAUUAUAAGUUAAUACAUGGUAAAAUUAUAACAUGGCUUCUUGAAAGAUGCUUGAAUUCUGAUUUAAUCAUUCUAAAAAUCAUAAUGAUAUAAGUCAAUACAAUAAUGAAAUUUACUUUUAGCUUUUAUAAAAAAAAUUCUAACUUCUCCCCUAUUGAUUGCUGAAUGCUAAAAUAUAUCUGAAAUUAAGCCUAAUUAAAUCUAAAUAACGGAGAUUUAAAUCAAAAUAAAAUUUAGAAAAAAAAAAAACACAAGUUAGGUAAUGGAGGGGAGGCAAAGCACAUGGGCUUAAACAAUAGUUGCAUUUUCAAUCAGUGGUACAAUAUGAGCUUUCAAUUUCAAUUAUUUACUUUUUAUUUUCAUUUUUUGGAUUUUUAUGUAAAUACCCCAAUCAAUCAUUGUUUCCAAUUUUGUCAACUCAUUGGGAUUUCUACAACUUGCUGAGAGCUGGGGUCAAACUCUUUUUUGUUUCAUCCUUAAUUUUUAAGUUUUUUUUUAAAUAAUAAUUUUAUAAUAAAAGGUUGGGAUAGGAAAAAUUUCGGUUUACUCGUGAAUCAGUUGAAUCAAUUGAUCUGAAUUUUAUAAUUUUUAAUAUAUUUUAUUUUUAUAAAAAAAUUAAUAAUUUAUUUAAUUAGAAUCGAAUAAAUUGAUCGGACUGAUCGGACAAACGAUGAUUUAAUCGGUUAGACCAUCUCGCUCUGUUGAUUCUAAUAACAAAUGUUUUAAAAGUGUAUUUUAAAGUUAUUAUUCAUAAAUAGGAUAAAUCUCAAAACUAUACAAAACUUUAGUCUAACAUAUAGUUUUAUACAUGAAUUUUGAUUUAAUUUAAUUCUCACAAAUUAUUAACAAAAUUAUUGAUAUAACAUCAUUUUAUGUUUACAUAUUGCAUAUAGAAAUAAUUAUAUUUAUCGAAUAUAAAAAUAAAUUGAUGCAGUUAUUUCUUUAAAUGUGUAUGAUUGAAUCAAAAUUAAAGUUUCAUAUAUACAUUUAAAUCACAAUCAAAGUUUCAUGUGUAUAAUUGCAUCAAAUUAAAAUUCAUAUAUCAAUUUUUAUGUCAAAUCAUCAUUUAUGUAUAAUUUUGAUAUUUAUCAGUUGAUAUAAUAGAAUAUCCUAUUGAAUGAAAACAAUGAAUAAUUAAUUUUUAAAAAAACAACCAAAUGCACUAUUUAGCAAAAGCCAUUAGUAUCAACAAUUAUUUUUUUUGUGUAUUAAAAAAAUGGUAGAUUGAGUAUUAGCUCAACUGAUAUGAGUAUUGUUGUCAAUGUAGGAGGACGUAGGUCCGAGUGCGCUAAAACGUAUUAUCUUUCUAUUUAUGGGUUGGAGAGGGGUUAUAAAUAUUUCUAACCAAUGUAUCAAAAGAGUAGAUAUGAUCAAAACCUACAAUGAGAUAGUUAAAAAAAGUAUUUAUAAGACUUAAUCAAGCCAAGUAUUCCUUAUUUAUUAAUGAAUUUUUUUAAAUUAUAUUUAUUUAAAAAUUUAACAUUUUACAAAUGAUAUAAUUUAUGUAACAAAAUAAUAUAUGUUAUUUGUGUGAAGUGAUGGUUAAAAUUCUUAUUAGGUAUUCGUUUGACACCGACUCAAAUCCGGUCAAGCCCAUCUUUUACCUCUUAAUAUUGCAAAAUUAGAGGUAUUCAAAAGUUAAUUAAAUUAGAUGUAAAUAGUAAAAAAAUUCCCCAAGCAAGAUGAGAGUUCCAUUUGUUAAACUCAAAAAUUUAUUUUAUUAUUUAAAAUAAAAUAAAUUAUAUUGAUAUUUACAUGUUUUUAUAAAUAUUUAAAUAAUUUUUAUCAAAUAAAUAAAAAUUCAAUGCUCCAUAUUCAACUAAAUAAGGUAAACAAAUUGAAAAAUAGUAGUACAUCAUUAUAGUAAUAGAAAUAAAUGAUGACAUUAAAUGUAAAAAAAUCAAUAAAUAAUUAUGAGCCUUUGUUUUGCCCUUAUUAAAAUCCAAAAAGUAAAAAUAAUAACAUGAAAGAGAAUUUUUUAAAGAAAAAUAAUAAUUAUAUUAAUUAUUGAGUCCCAGCCAGCUGGUUCUGUCGGCGCAGAGUCUAGCAUAUUCCACAAGCUUCUUCUGAAAUAUCAAUCAUACUCCCAAAUAAUAAAAUAAAUGUAAAUUGAUUCAAUAUAAAAAAUAAAGUUAUUUAAGGUCAUUGGAUUACAUUUAUUUACCCAAUAAAAUAUUUUAAUUUUAACUUUAACUUUAAAUUUAACUAUUCAUAAAUAAAAAUUAAUGUUUUAGAGUUGAGUAUUGAUUUAAACCGUAUCAAGCGUAAAUGAUCAAUUUUCUUUUGUAGGUAAUUGUGCUUUACAUUACAAUUCAACGAUAAAAUUAAAUAAUUAAAUUAAUUUUAAAUUUUUAAUCAAUUUAUUUUUUUAAUUAUAUUAAAUUAUGGUACAUGAUGACGUGAUUAAAAAACAAAUGAAACAAAUAAUAUUUUUUCUUUCAUUUUCAAUAUAAAAGUUAUAAAAAAAUUCUCAAAAUAAAAGAAUUUUCUUUGUAAAAAAUAAAAUUUUAACUAUUCUUAUUCAGAUAAAUUUAUGCUCGAUUCACUAGUAGCAUUAAAAGAUUUAUGCUUGUAAAAAUUACAGAUUUAGAACAUAAAUGUGUGUUUAAAAAAAUAUAAUUAAGUUUUAAUACGAUUGAUAUGAGAAUUGUUGCUAAUGUAGGAGGACCCAUGUUCUCCUAUUUAUGGGUUGGGAAGUAGCUAUGAGUAGUUCUAUUUAUUCAAAAAAUAUAAUAUAUAAUAAAUAAUGAAAUGUUUGGUUUGAAUCUAUUUUAUCAUAAUAACACAUGAUAUAUGUACGAUAUUACGAAAGGUAUUCUCGAAAGUCUGGUUGACCUGUGACAACAACCCAAUAAAAUUUUAGUUGAGAGAUAAAUUAAAAUUUUUUCUAAUGCAAUUUAAAUCCUACCAUAUAUAUAUAUUAUUCACUUUUUUUAAAAUAAAAAGACUAAAGCACCCUUAAACAUAAAGUGAAAAUUUAAAAUAUCUCAAAUAUAAUAUUAUUUAUUUUAAUUGAAAAAAUAUUUUCAUAAUUUACUAAUAGAAUUGAUGUCCACUUGAUCCAUAGUACCAACUUUACUAGUUUUAAUAAUAAAAAGAAUAGAUAAUAUAGAUCCACCCAAUAGCAGCUUUCGGAUGAAAUCGGACGGUCCAUUUAUUUUAAUCAACUCUCUCUUUUUACAAAAUUCGUAACUGAAAAAAGAAAUUUCGCUCUUUUUUUUUUAAUUUUAAAAUUUCCUGCUAUUGAGUGUUGUGAAAGAGAGCAACUUUUAGAAACUCACCAACAGCAAUGAAAGGCAAAGAGGAUUGGUAUUGAAGUUAAGAAUCCGGUUAUUGAUGAUCAUGAACACUGUACAGUUAAAAAUGAUGAUCAUGAACACUAGGUUUAGGGUUAGUUUCCUGAGUUACGACUAACAGUUAAAAAUGAUGAUCAUGAACACUGUACAGAAACUUUGCAAUGGUUCGCACAGCUGCUUCUGGCAGUUGAAUAUUUGCAUUCAAAUUUUGUUCUGCAUCGCGACCUGAAGGUAUGUGUGUAAAAUUGGAUUAGUCUUUCUAUCACAAAAUUAUUUAUGGACUGAUUUAUUGCACUCUCUUGGUAGUGCUCCAACAUCUUUCUUACCAAAGAUCAAGAUGUACGCCUUGGUGAGUUUGUCUUCUUGCUUUUCUUAUUGGUUUCUUACAUGUUCUCUAUCUUUUUCCAUUUUUUUUUGUCAUCAUUGAGUUAUAUUUGAUAUUCUACUUGGUUGCAUAUGUUGGGAUCAUUAUCUUAUACUUUCUUUCUGAUCUGUACUGGUUUAGGGGAUUUUGGGCUUGCCAAAACUCUGAAGGCAGAUGAUUUGGCUUCUUGGGUAUGUAAUAUGUUAAAUGAUCUUUAAUAACCCUUUUCUCUAGAAAAUCUUUUUCAACCAUCUCCAAGGAUGGGAAAGAGUUUUUCUUUCGCUAUUGUUUUCUCUUCCUUUUCUUCCUACACUUGGUUGAUAAGCUAAUCCUAUUUAGCUCAAAAUAAGAGAUUUUGUGUCUGUUUGCACAUGCCUCAAUGCUGCUGUAUAUUUUCUGAAAGACCUUUCAUGGUAGCAUAGUACUCAUAAAGUAGCUUGUUCAGUACAUGUUCCAUCCUAUCAAGGUUGCUCUCUCAUUUUAAUAUGCCGAGGAACUGAUAUAGUAAUAAUAAGAAGCAUCAAAUUGAACAAGCAUAAUGUCUGCCAUAGCUUGCAAUUAAACUUCGUUCUAAUUUUAAUCUUAUCUGCUAAGGAUAAAUUGUUACUAAAUUGUCAAGUGAGAGUUGUAAUAAGACUGCGAAUUUAACUAAACAAUCACUUUUUAAGUAAAGAACUAAAAAAGAAGAAGAAGAAAGAUACUGUUGAUACCCAAGUGUUUCAGACUGAGUGAUGGAUGACCCAAAUACUCUGAAAUGAAGAAUACAUACAGUAUUUAACUUCAUUUUUCUUCCAUAACAAUAUCUAUUGAGUUAUAUUUUGUAGUCAUUUGCAUUUGAUAUCAUUUUCCAUUUUUGCGGUUAUUCUUCCUUGCAUGAAUGUGCCAGGUUCCAGUGCAAGUUAUUAAUUGUUUUGUACAUGGCUCAGGUGGUUGGAACGCCCAAUUACAUGUGUCCUGAAUUGCUUGCAGAUAUUCCUUAUGGUUUCAAGUCUGAUAUCUGGUCUCUGGGUAUGCCUUUUAAUGAGUAUGCAUUUGAUAUGUGCAGAUCUUUCUUUUUUCCUUUUUCUUUUUUUUUUUCUAAAUUGCUUCUUCUUGAACAGGUUGCUGUAUUUAUGAGAUGGCUGCUCAUCGCCCUGCUUUUAAAGCUUUUGUAAGAGUUCUUACAGUUCUAUUGGUUGAAUCUUUGCCUUAUUUUAUAACCUAUUCUGGCAAGUAGCAUGUAUUUCAUUAGUUAACAUGUUGAACUAGGAAAUCGUAAUUUAUAAGUUCUUUUUCUUACUUUUAUCUUUUAUUGGAUUUUUCAGCCAACUGUUAUAAAGUUUGUGUUCUAUGUUUCUCUCGUUUAGGCAAUGUUUUCAAAGUAUUUGUUGUCUAUUUGUCUAGAUUGAUGCUAUGUCCUUAGGAAUUUUUCUAAGACUGAUACUUUUUGCCUCCGGUAACCAUGUAAAUUAUACAAAUCUAAUUCAGCUAAUUUCUAUCCAAAUUCUUGUUCUAGGACAUGGCAGGGUUGAUAAGCAAGAUAAAUCGUUCCGCUAUCGGGCAUUUGCCUUCUUGCUACUCUCCAUCUUUGUAAGUCUUAAUGCUCAUUUUAGAGCUCGCCGUUAUGUUUUCAUGAUAUCAUGAUUUUUCAAACUCCUACUGAACUUUUUAAUGCCUUAAUAUCUCUUCAUUGUCCUAGUUAUCUAUCUUCUUUUAUAUAUUUUUUUUUAUAUUUGGAUAAUGUGCAAAUCUUUUAAAUCAAACUCUGUCUUACUAAUGUAUGAAAUUUGAAACUAGUUUCAUGGAAACUUUAAAAUCCCAAGGGACUAGGUAAUCUGUAUCUGUGUAGUGAUAUAAGCUUUUCUUAAUGUUACACAUGUAGGAAAACACUUAUCAAGGGCAUGCUAAGAAAGAAUCCAGAGCACCGACCCAGUGUAAGCAUUUCUUUUCGCCAGCUCUAAGAAUUCUCCACAUGGAGGAUUCAACAUAACAAUUUGAAUUUUCACCUUGUUUAGGCAUCGGAACUUUUGAAGCAUCCUUUAUUUGCAGCCAUAUGUUGAUCAGUAUCGUCCAUCCUUCAGCUGUCCAACGAAUUGUUCCCUGGAUAAGCAUAUUUCUUCUGGUCGAGAUAAUAGGAAAAAUAUGGCUGAGAGUCAGAAUAGUAAUAGUUCAUGUAGUGAUUAAGAUAGUUUACCUUCAAGUGACAGAAACACUGGCACUAUGGUUUCAAAUAGUAAUAGUAAGGCCACUGACACAGAUUCAAUUUCUAAUGAUGAUGAAGGGACUGAGCCUCACCCACCGAGAGAAGAGGAGAAUGGCCCCGUUAUUUUCUCUGGCAAAGUUGAUGAAAAUGGUACGAGAAAACCUUCUCAUGCAGAACAGGGAUCUAAUGUUCAGUUAAAGCAACCAAAAACCAUCAAAAGUAUAAUGAUGGCUUUGAAAGAAGGGAAAGUAAGAGAAAACGGUUCCCCAAUGAGAGGUAGCCGUGCAAUAGCUGUAGGUGGCUUGACUCAAAGAAAUAAUGUAGAGGCAUCACCCAAAGUUCUCAAACCGCCGGCAUCAACACUUGUUUCAAAAUCUAAUGCAGAUACCAUGACUUCUGCUUCAGCGAAAUUACCGUUAGAUUCGGCAAGAAGGAUACCAGGAUCCCACCAUUUGAAGCACCAGGUAUGUCUUGGGCUUGACUGUUCUAUUAUUAAUUUCAUUCAUUAUUGGUGUAUUCACUUAUUUUGCAAGUGUUUUUUUUUUCUCUCCAGUCACAUUUAAUCGAAUUCUCCCCGAAGACUAAACCUAGACAUGAAGGGAUUCCUCCCCCUGUGCCUGGGAGGCAUGUUGCUGAAGAUGGACUAUCUUCUAAUCCUCGGCUAAGAACUCCUCCUUCCAAUGUUGCAAGAAUAUCAUCAGUUAUGGGAAGAAUGAAGCAUGCAGGAACUGAUACUUCAGAUGGAGCACUUAACAUGCCAAAGUUAGGAUCAACAGAGAUAAACCCGGGCAGUGAUUCCAUGUCAACUGCCCUGCCAUACAAAUGUUUCCAUGGAGGUCACACAAGAGGUUGAGAUAGCUCCGACUGGAGCUAGCAAAGGGGUGGAAACAGAUAGCAACAACCCUGUCUCAUCUUCGAUCUCAAUUCAAGCAUUUGAGAUUUGUGACCAUGCAACAACCUCUUUUAUUGACAUGACAGAACAGACACAUGAUCAUGAGAUAACCACUGGCAUAAAGAGCUUGGAAUUGCAUCCAGCAUCUAGCUCACUCGCUUCUCUGCAAUCAAAGAUACCUGAAAGAGAAAGCCUUGGGCAAGAUCAUGAAUCUGUCAUGUGUUCAACUGAAGAAUCUGUUCCAACCCAGGAUCUUCUGCAUUUUGCAUCAGCUAAUGAAAAAGUCGGUUUAAGUGCCCUCUUGGAUCUUCCGCUCCUGAAUUCUGAAGAAAUAUCUGUUCAUAAAGAUGCUAGUGCUGUAAGCAGGACAGUUAGUACGGAUGAUGCUCCUUUAAGCGGGACAAAUAGCAGGGAUGUGUCUAUAAGCCGGCCAACUAGUAGGGAUGAUGCCCCUUCAAGCGGGCCAAGUAGCAGGGAUGAUGCCCCUAUAAUCAGGUUGGGUGUUGGGGAAGAUGCCCUUGUAAGUGGGCAAACUACAGGAGAAGAUUGUCAGAUAAGCAGCUCGAGUAAUGAUACAAUGCUCCAUUCGGAUGAAACUGUGGCAAGCUGACCUUGUAGUCGACAUGAUACAAUGCUCCAUUAAAAAUCUUUCUUCAACAUCCAGUGGUGAUGACAAGUUCACUGUAAUGGAGCUUCUCUCAUCCAUGGUAGAAUCUACAUCUUGCAUUGCCUCACCAAUUUCAUCUAUCCAGAAUAAUUCACAGCCAGAUAAAGAAACAAAUCCAACCACAACAUAACGUUCUCCGGCAUUUGAUAAUGUUAUACAUGUUAUAAGGCACAGUAGCUUCCGAGUUGGCAAUGAGCAGCCAGUGAUGGAAAAAGUAGAUACAGGUGUCCAAAAUGUGGAUGUUGGGAAACUCAUAAAUGUUGUGAGGGAUGAAUUAGACACAAGAAACGUGACAAGGCCAAUGAACCUCAAGUCAUCAAAUGUUCCAGAUUAUCCUGGCAUUAAAGAAAUGGAUGUCAGGAACUCCAUUUCUUCAUCUCCAAAACUGGAUUCACCAGACCCUACGAAGCCAAGCUCUUCUCUAACAGAAGAAGAGACACCAGCAAGGGAAAUGUUGGAUAUCAAGUCUUUCAGGCAAAGAGCAGAGGCACUCGAAUGGCUUCUGGAAUUAUCCGCAGAGUUAUUACAACAGAACAGAUUGGAAGAGCUCUCGGUUGUUUUGAAACCAUUCGGGAAACAUAAGGUGUCCCCAAGGGAGACUGCUAUCUGGUUAGCCAAGAGUCUUAAAGGACUGAUGAUCGAGGAUAGCGGACGAAGUUCAUGAAAUAUUCUUCUUCUUCAUGAGGUAAGUUUUCAUUUCCCUUGCCCAUUCACAUUGUUAGAGCUGCUCCUCUCCUUUCACUUCCAUUUGAUUUUUUAAACAUACAACAAUUAGGUCAUAUAUUUUUCACCUCAUAUUAUUAUUCUUUCGAAUGCAUUUUGUUGUUGUACAUAGUCGACAAUACUUUAUUACAAAUAAGAGAAUUUUUUUUAACAAUAAUUGUAGUAUCUAGUAUGGACAUUGUUACCUGCUUUCACUUUUAUUUAUAAGGACUUAAUUGAACAGUUUAGAAGUUUUUUUAUUAAUAAGAUGGUGACUAAUCAUUAAAUUUCAACUAAAUUGAAAAAAUUAAAAAUUUAGUAACCAAAAUAGCAAGCAACAGUAACCAUUUCAAUACUUUACCAGAAAAAAGGUGGUGGUUAUUGGUUCAUCGGGGAAGAUGACCGGCGGUCCCAAAAUGUGCACCGUUGUUUGAGUUGUUAUAUUUAUUGUUUUAUAUGUCUUUAAGUUACUUUUUUUAUAGGGCUAUGUUUUAUGGUUUUUUAAAAUUGAAACUCAUUGUAUUUAGAUAUUGUUUUAUUCGAGCUUACUUUAAAUUCUAAAAACAGGCAGAUUGAGUCCGAUUUGGAAUCCGUAAGACAUUUUCCAUUCCCUUCUCUACAUUCUCGAUAGCAGUCCUCUCUGCCAAUUUGUUCUUUUAUACGAAAGCAAAGAAAAAAAAAUGGAAGAUGCCAAGAACCCACCACCACAACAAUUAGUAUCUUCAGAAAAGGAAGAACUAGGAAAAGAAGAAGAACUCAAAACGGAGGAGCAAUUACCGGCUUCAACUACAGCGCCAAAUGGUGGAGGAUGGGGCGGUUGGGGUUCUCUGCCUUCUCCGUUCUCUCAGAUCUUCAAAAGGCUGCCAUUGUUGCCACUGAGGAGAUCUCUCGCAAUGUACGCUUCAUUUUUUCCCCUUUUAUAAUCAUUUUCCGGGAUUUGUUAUUCCAAUGAAAGAUUGUUUAUUUUAUUAUGUUUAGGUAUGUGGGUUUUAGUGAAUUUAGAUCUUGGACUGAAACAUUCUGUUUUGGGACUGUUUUUUCGAAUACCCAUUUUGAAGUGUGCAUCACUUUGUUGUUUAAUUUAGUAGGUUUUUGAUACUGUGGAAACCUUAUUUAGUAUGGGUUUACUUAUUAGAGAUUUUUGGUUUUGAUGAAUUAAACCUUGCUCUGUGUUUAAUACGUGAAGCAUUGUAGGAAGAGAAAAAUGAAGCUCGCUGUUCAAAUACCUAAUCUUUUAUUAAAAUUCAUAUCCUAGGUGUUUUUGUAUGGUCUGAAUUUGGUCAUUACAUAAUAAAAAAUUAACUGCAGUAGAAUUCCUUACUUUGUCCCACCCUUUUCAUGAACUCCCGUAUCCAUAAAAUGGUUAUAAUGUAUGUAAUCAAUUUGAUUAUGGCAAAGGAAAUAUGUGUUAUUUAUCUAUAAUGAACUUUUUUUCUAUUUUUUUCCCCAAUUCUAGGUGGAACCUUUUGUGAUUUGCUUUUAAAUUCAUUUUGUCAAAGAUGCAGCUCACUGUUUGAGGACCGAAGAAGUUGCUACUAUAGUCAUUUAUUCGUUACGUUAGACCUUCUGGUUGUAGAAAUAUCAUUAAGUUUCACAUAGAUACUAAAUGUUGUGAUUUAUUACUGAAAUUACAUUCCUUACAAAGAACUCUAUUCACUAUUUUGGGUGAAAAUUUGUCCUGACUCAUUAUUUGAAAACGAGUCUUGUCAAACUUGCAACUAGGCCAUUUUGCUUAAGGAAUCUGAGUUAAAUUUAUACUUUUCCUAUUUGGUUUCAGGGAUCACUUGCAUUUUGCUUUUCCUAUGCUAACUAUUGCCAUUUUAUCCUUAGUGAAUUUGGAAAUGUUGAAUAGGAAAAAUGGUAUAAUAACAUUAAUAUCCAUUCUAGUGGAAUUCGAUACAUACAUAUGCAAUCGGUGUCAUGCAUACUUAUAUAGAUGGUGUCAUACAUACAUGCUCUGAGUACUCUGAGGGUCUACUAUGGGUGCUUUUAUACUAUCUCUGGUGUACCAUCCUAGUCCCUGUUCGCCAUCUGAAUUUUCCUUUCUAGUGGAAUUCAAUACAUACAUAUAUGGUGUCAUACAUAGAUUCAUACAUGCUCUGAGUACUCUUAGGUUCUAACUAUGGGUGCUUUUAUACUAUUUCCCUGGUGUGCCAUUCUGGUCUUGGUUAGCUAUCUGAAUUUUCCAUUCUAGUGGCAUUCGUUACAUACAUACAUACAUGCUCUGAGUACACUGAUAGUUAGCUAUCUGAUUGCUUUUAUACUAUUUCUUUGGUGUCAUGCAUACAUACAUCCAUUCCAUGAUUACUUUUAUACUAUUUCUUUGGUGUACCAUCUUGGUCCCGGUUAGCUAUCUGGAAUUUCCAUUCUACUGGAAUUCAUUACAUACAUACAUACAUAUGUUCUAGAAUUAGUAUUGCUACGUGACGAGAGAUCCAUUAAAAUGUUAGGUAUUAUCCCUACUACUAUGCUCCAUUUUCAUCAGACAUGAAGGGUCUUUCUCAAGUGAGUGUAAAGUUCCAGAAGGGUCAGCCUUUUAAGCCCUUUGAUCAACUAAUGAGUGUAUUGCCACCCAGAAGGUAUACCCUAUUACCUCUUCUUAUUUGGAUACUAACUUCCGAUAUUUCGGUUUUCGUAAUAUGUUAUUGGUUUUAUGCAGUGCUCAUGCACUUCCGAAACUGUAUGCAAAACUUAUCACCGAUGCCGAUUCCCAAAUCAUUGACUUCUAUCCUACAGGUUAGUCCCGUUUUCUGGGUUAUGGAUCUUGUGGUGCUGGUAUAUGUGUUCCUAUUACAGAUUCACAACAUGUUUUCUCUUUUCUUACCCUACAUUUUUCUUAGAUCUCGAAAUCGACAUGGAUGGAAAGCGCCAUGCAUGGCAGGUUGGUUGCUCAAAACAUAUGUCCUUGCUAAUAUGGUUCCCAUUAUUAUAGAAUCAGUUAUUAAUGCAUGAAUUUUUUGCAUGAACUCUUCUUGUUAAGGGCAUAUGCAAGCUUCCCUUUGUCGAUGAGGAACGGCUUCUAGCGGAGGCACUAAGACUUGAGAAGGAAUUGACGGUGAGACUUCAUUUCAUCUAUAGAACUCGGUUCAUGAACUUAUAUAUAUUAUAUGCAUUCAAUGAGACGGCAUUUUACAAUAUCUUCAGCCGGAAGAAACUGAAAGAAAUGCUGUGAAAAGUGAUCAACUCUUUGUACCAAGCACUUUAGGAUCAAAGAUUUUGACACUUUUGCCUGAUAAUCAAAAGUUAAAUACAGAAGCCGAACUGAUCAGGUUGGUCCGUCACAUUGUUUCAUUUCAUGUUUUAGCUAUAUUAUUUAUCUGACCGUUCAUCGUACCUAAUGUAGUGCUGCUGUUAGAGGACAUGUAUCAUCGUCACCUAUCAUGUAAGCCGGUUCGAGACUAUGCAUGCAGAAAUCAUGGAAAGGUUGGAUUUCAUAUCAUUUUUCUUUUACAUCACAGGUCGUUGCCGUUCAAGAUCCCUUUCAGAAAACUACAUAUCCCACGCCCUCUAGAGGUCGUUGAAUAUCCCAAAAAGGUAAUAUAAACAUCCUAAAUCUUCUUCAAAAAUUAUUUACUCGAUAAUAACCAUUGUAACAUUUAUAUCGUAUAUAGGCCAUAAUGGAAGCUGAUAUUCAAAAAACUCAGCUAUGGCAUGAAUACCUUGGAACCAGACUGCCCUAUAACAGGUUCGAGUUAAUCCAAAACACCAGAAAUGAUCUUCACCCAUCGAACCAGACAUCAAAUACAAGGUUUCCAUGGAACCCAAGGUUUGACACAUGCAAAGUGGGUGUUGCUGGUUCAAGCUCAAACACGGCUAAAGCCAUUGACAGUGAGAAAGGGAACCAAAAUUUAACAUGUUGCAGCUCAACAAACAUUUAUGGAAAUGAGGUAAAUAUUGUAGUUAUUUUUUAAGAAUAACAUUAUAUCUUUGUUCGAGCUGUGGCCUAUUUCCAGGGGUGAAGUUGAAAAAUUUUUGUAGGGGGACUGAAAUUAAUUUGUAAUUUUUACGAUAGUAAAAAUACAAUUUUUGAAGUAUUAAAUUAAAAAUUUUUCAUUUUUAGGGGGUUAAACCGCCAAAGUAUAAUUUUACUUUUACAAAUUUAAAAUUUUUAAAAGGCUUAAAUAGAAAUUUUUUCAUUUUAGAGGGGACUGGGCCCUGCCAAUCCCUGAAUUCGCCCCUGCCUGCUUUUGUAAUUCACCACAAAAGAAAAGAAAAGUGAUAUAGGAAUGAAAAGUAUAUUGAAUAUAGUUUUUUCAAGUUUUAGAAUUAAAAUUCAAAAAAUUGUGUUAAAUAUUGAAUUAAAUUUGAAUAAUUAUGUUUAUAUUACUUGUUAGGAUCACUAACCAUUCUAUUAAUGCAGAUGAUAUCAGUUACACCAUGCAUGUUCAAAUUCCAAAAUUUUAUCAUGGAUGAAGAAGAAAAAUAUCGCUUUGAAGACAAAGAAAAAAUUUCAGUGGAAGAAAAGUCGAAAUCAAUAAUUGCGAUUAUUGAUUCGGGUAUAAAUGUAAAUCAUGAAUGUUUUGAAGAUAAACAUAUUCCUAUUUUGGAAUCCAACCACUUGAAUAUUCCUUUUAAAAGGUAUGUAUUUUGAUUCAGUUAUUACUAAUUUAAUUUUUAUAAUAAAAAUGAUGAUUUAAAUUGAUAUUUAAUGCAGAAAGAUUGUGGCUAUUGAAAAUUACACCAAAGGAAAGGUGUUAACUAAAGCGGCAGGAUUUGUUGAUUUCAAUUUUCCGGAAGACCUCAAUGGUCAUGGCACUGCCUGUGCUUCCAUUGCCGCUGGAGCUUUAACAGAACUAAAAUGGCUCAAAGAUAUUUCUGGAAUUUCCGAUUCUAAAAUACAAGGGGCAAACCCAUUUGCCAGAAUAGCAUCCUACAAAGUUUCUGGUGACAGGGUGACAGUUGAUAGAAGUGUUGAAGUUUUAAAAAAUUCUUUGCUUGAUGCUAUGAAGAAAGCUACUUUGGAUAAGGUGGAUGUAAUAAUGGUAUCUUUGAACACUGAUGAUUUGUCAAAUAUUUCUUCGUAUCUAUGUGAUCCAGUUAAUAUGGGAGGAUAUUUGGCAAUGAAAGAAAAUGUAAUUGUUUGUACAUCUUCGGGUAAUCAUGGUGACAGUUAUUACACUCUAUCGGGAGGGUUAGCUCCUUGGGUUAUUGAGGUCGGAUCAUGUAAUUCUGGUGGAAGAUUCAUAACACAAGUUGAGCUAGGAGGUGGAACACAAAUCAAGGUACGUCAUCAUUAUCUAAUUAAAUUACUAGCUUAAUGAUAAGGUACUAACUUAUUAUAUAUUUUUUAAUUCAGGGGUUCGGUUCAUUUAUGGAUAAAGAUGUAGAUUAUUGCGAACUAAUUCAUUGGUCCGAGUAUGUGCUCUAUAAAUUUCUAUUUAGAUUAUAUUGUAAUUUUAAUAUUAGUAUAUAACAAUUACGCUAAUAAAAUAUUUGUUUAUAUGUUAAAAGCGCUAUUAAAGCUGUAGGAACAAGCAAAGGGAAAGAAGUUGAAUCCAAAGCUGAAACAUCUCAACUACAAAAGAAAAAAAUGGAGAUUCGAGAAGAUGUGAAGGGGAAAAUUAUUUAUGGUGAUGAGGAAAUAAAAGGGAGAAUAAAAGAGCUUUUAAAUGCAAAUGUUGCUGGAAUAUUGUACUUAUCUCAGAUAUAUGAUUCUCGAUCAUAUGAGCUUCAUAGACCUGUUAUUUACGUGACGCGAAAAGAUGGCAUUAAAAUUCAGAAGUAUAUAGACAACAGUAACAGAAGGUAUACUUUUUAAGAUUGUUUCAUUAUUUUGGAUAAUUUAUAUGUAUGUCUAUUAAAUAUUAAUAUUAUUUUUAUCAUAUUAUUUAUCAAGAGAAAAAAAAGCAAAAAUUUACCAGACUGUUUAUGAGGAACAAGAUGGAGACCUUUGUAAUGUUAGCCUCAUAUCCGGAAAAGGCCCAAAUCCAUAUGAUCCAUAUGUACUAAAGGUAAUUAUAUCUUCUUCUUUUUUAUCUCUUGAUAGAAUACAUAAUUUAUUGUGUUCAUACAAUUGAUAUUUUGGUUUCUACUUUCGCAGCCUGAUAUAUGUGCUCCGGGAGAAGAUAUUUUAUGUGCUAGCAAAUACGAUGCUCAAAAUAUGUAUGCUCAUUACCAGGUGAUGAGUGGCACUUCAAUGGCUAAUGCAGUUGUUGCUGGUAUGUUAUCCUACAUUAAGACAUUUCACAAGGAUUGGGGGAUAGCAAGAAUUAAAUCAGCUAUAAUGACCAGUGGUAAUUGAACAUUUCUUUCCCAUCCAUUAGUUUUAUUAAAACCAUUUUAACUAUUACAAGUUUGUUGGUAUGAAAUUUUUUUUUAUUCUUAUGGAGCUUUAAGAUAAACUUUCUUUUAAUAAUUGCAGCAAAUCCAGUGAUAAACUUUUCUAGCGCAGCUGUGCUAGCAAUGGGAAGUGGAUGUAUUAAUCCAUUGAAAGCAAUGAAUCCAGGCUUAGUAUAUGAUAUAUCUCCCGAAGAGUAUAGAAGAUAUUUGUUGAGCCGUGAGGGUGAAUUGAAAUAUUUAGCAUUAAUGGAAGAAAACAUUGAAGGAGAAAAACUCUUAGGGAUGGAUCUUAACUUGCCGAAUUUCAGUUUGGUGUUGGAUAAAGCUUCAGAAUACAUAUUUAAUAGAACAUUGACAAAUGUAGGUUGUCCCAAGUGCACCUACAAGGCGGAAAUAAGGUUGCAUGGUAGAACAUUUAGAAGGUUUGGGGAAGAAGUACAAGAAGGAUUUCCAGGGUAUAUUAACAUAUCGGUUGAACCAGAUGUGUUAAACUUUAGCAACAUUGAGGAAAGAAAGUGUUUUAAGGUGAUAGUAAGAAGUUCAAGGGCAUUGAAAGACCAACUUGUAUUGGCACAUGCAACAUUAAUAUGGCGCGAACAGAAGGAAGACAAUGGCAUCACUGUAUCAAGCCCUGUUGUUAUAUUGAGCACGAAUCUAUGGGAAAAGUAAGAUCAAUGUUUCAUCCAUUUACUUUUGCUUACUUUAAAAUUGAGCAAGAACUAAUCGUUGAGAUACUUGUGUUUGUAGGAGACCGGGUAAUAUUGGAGUGCCAAGAAAACGACAGGUGGAACAGGAAAUUGGUGCAACACCGAAAAAAGAAAAGCAAAUUAAAUUAGGUUAGACAUGUGACAGCAAAUGGUAAGGUUUUCAUUUUUUGGGCUUUUAGCUGACCAUUAAACUGAUUUUUGAGAAGGGAAGAUAUUACUUGCAGAGACAUUAGCUGCAUUGUUUUUGAGAACCCAAGAUAUUACUAAUGGAUCUUUGAUUUUAGCUUAAGUGUUUAAGUUUUACGUUGAGGAGUAAUUACAAUAACUCAAGUGUAUGCCUUGAUCAAUGAUGUCCAAGAAUUAUCUACAAUUGAGUCUGCAAAGUAUUUCAGUAGCAGUUAAUUACCCUUUCCUUGAAGCAAGGUAUUUCGUCCUUUGGUUCACCUUUUACCAAUCAUCCAAAAAUUAUAAAAUAAAACCUAGAAAUAGAUUCAACCAGAUACCUAGAUUUUGGUGAAAUGGUAUCCAAUGAUUCAUUGACAAACAAUCCACCACUCCUAAAUGAAUUAUAGAGAUAGAACAUGCCAAGUUAGAGAAAAUUUAUAGAUGCUACAUAACUUUUCUUGUCAUGCUUGUGCUUCAGCUGUUAUGGUUUGAUCUGUGUGCUGUUUUCACCUUGCCGUCUUUUGCUAUUUAUCUUAUCGGAAUACAGCUUUGUUGAGUCAUAUUAAUUUACGUAACUAAUAAUACAAUACCUGAACAUGGCGGAUUAAACAUCUUGUGUUUUGUAUCAGUUAAGUUUGUAGUGGGAGCUUCAUAACGGUAACAUUCCUUGCAGGCAGAGGUUGAAAACCUUCAUAAUCAGGAACACAGAUUAGAUGGACAAAUAAGGUUAAAGCGAUUACGGCUUCUGUUAUUCUUACCUCAGUUAAAUCGAUUUCGUUUGCUAAAGUAUUACCGAUUUUUCUAUACCGUACAGAGAGAUGCAAGAAAGAUUGAGGGACCUAAGUGAAGACAAAAAUUAAUAAGUAAAUCUUUACUUACCCUCAAGAUAUUAUUUUUACAGUUUUUGCAUGAUUUCAGAAGAGCAACUUAAUUUCAUCUUUCCCCGUCUCAGGUGCCUUUUUGUUACCGAGGAAGAUAUCAAGAGCUUACCCUGUUUCCAGGUUUUUUUAUUGCUUGAAUGUUUCAUUAAUGUUUUCGAGUUGGUACAAGGUCGCCUGGCAUUGCUAAUGCCGUUGCUAGGGACGCUUUCUACUUUCAGUUGUUAACUAUUUGUUUUUGUUGCCUUGCUUAGAACGAAAUGUUGAUUGCCAUUAAAGCUCCGCACGGAACCACUUUGGAAGUCCCUGAUCCUGACGAGGUAUUCUCAAAGGCUUGAAGAAUUAAUGUACAGUUUACAUGUCCAUGCUCGAUCAUAAUUGCAAACCCUUCUUUUUAUAGCAGGAUGAUGAUUCUCUCCAAAGGAGAUUCCGGAUUGUCCUUAGAAGCUCAAUGGGUCCUAUAGAUGAUUACCUUGUCAGGUAACCACGGCUUCUUGUCGAUUAAAGUUUGGUAUGAUAUAAAUCUUGUUGUAUGGCAUGAUAAAUGUUCGUCCUAGCACUAAAGCGGUAAGCUUUCCUGAUAAUUCCUCUUAUCUCUCUGUGCUAUUCUAGUGAAAUUGAGGAGAAAUUUGAAGAGAUAGGUGUUGGUCUGCCAUCAAACUUACCGUCUACUUCAGGCUUGAUGAGAACCCAGCAGCAAGUAUGGUAACGGAAGAGAGCAGAGAGGUUGAAACACAGGGCCAAUAUAUUAAUGGCAUGUGCUUAGAUCGUCAUGUCUCACAGGGCUUUGUAAGCGGGAUCAUGAAGAUUGUUCCCUCAGAUCUUGCUGUAAGAUCAGAAAACAAACACGUUGUCUUUCAGAUAUCAUAUUCCUUUGAACGUCUCAAAAUACUCAUACGAUGACGUUUUUAAUCCAUACACUCUUCCAAUAAAUCGGUAACGAGUACUCAUUCCUGAUUUCUUUACGCAGAAUGAUGCCGAUUACUGGCUUUUAUCGGAUCCUAGUGUUAGCAUCACUGGCAUAUGGCGAAUUGAAUGUAUCCUCUCUAUGGAGACACACUCAGAUACAUUAAACUAUUUUCUUUAGCUCAUUAUUUUGCAUAUUCCCUGACUCUUUCGACUAAAUAGCUGGCAUCGAAUUGAACAAUUUUGAUACACCCAAUACACUGGCAUGGCUGCUGGUAGCACGACACAACCCCAAACACCUCCAUUAAAUGCAGCUGAAGUACUGCCUCCAGGCAAUUCAACCGGCAGGUAAAGAGUCCUUGGCUUAUAUUUCCCGCUGAGAUCGUUCCUUGUACUUUGAAUACUUCGAAUAGGAAGUAGGUAGCACAAUCAUUGUACAGUUAAUACAAAGGAUCUAACAUAGGUAAGGUCAUAAUAUUUUCACUGGCAUAAAUACGUCAUGUGAUGUCAAACAAAUGAUCUGAUGGUACCUUGUUUUUGCUGUAUUGUGCUAUAAAGAUUUUUUUUUUUUUUUGUGUGUUUUGCAAAUAUUGAAAUUCGAGUUUUAGAGGUGAUUUUGGAUAGAAUCAUAAGUGAAUCGUGCUUGAACGAAUGGACAUCUGUUCAUGUUUGUUUAUUUUUAUGUUUGUUCGUGUUCGUUAAAAAUAUCAAAAUUUUGUAUGUGUUCACGUUCAUUUGUUUAAGUUAAACGAAAUGUUCGCGAAUAUAUUCAUAAACAUACAUGAACAAUAAACAAACAUAUAUCUUAUUAUUUUAGAUAUAAAUAUUAAUAAUUAUAUUAUAAAUAAAAUAAGCACACAAAUAAUAAUUUUAUGGGUAAAUUACAAACCCAAUUAUAAGUAUUUUUUCUUGUCAUCCAACUAUUCAAUUGUCUUUUUUGUCACAAAUUGGUUAACAUAAAAAUCUAAACAUUCAAAACUCAAAAAUCCAAGAUAAUUAGGUGAUCAAAAAAAUAAAAUUAGAUAGUUGAGUGAUCAUUUUGAAACUUUGCAUAACUGGAUGGUAAAAAUUUUAAUAGUUGGACGACUAUUAGUGUAAUUUACCUUAAUUUUAUUAAUAUAUAAUAAUCGAACAAAUUACAUUUGAUUCAUUUAAGAAAUGAGACUUAAAGUUUUGAUCAUAUUUAUUUAUUUAAUUUGAUAAUCAAUAAUUUUUUAUUCAAAAUGAAUUUUAUGCUUUUCAAAGUUAAAAAAUAAAAAAAAAUCUCAUAGUACCUAUUUAAAGAAAAAAAUUAAGUAAUUUGCAAAAUAUUUGCCCUUUUAUCAAAAUAGUCCAAAAAAAUAUUAUAUUUACAAAAAUAACUUAGGUUUAAAAACAAUCACCAAAAUAACCUGAAAUGAACAGUAAAAUUGAGUUAUGGCCUGUCAAUGGCCGGAAUCCACUCGUAUUUUGCACCAAUGAUUGCCUGACAAUUGUGUCAGACUUAAAAAAAAUUUUGGGUUUUGGCCUGUUAAUGGCCGGAACCCGUGUAUUUUUUUUAAAUUGUAUAAUACUGAUAUACGAAAAAGAAAAAAAAAUUGGGUACUGGCUUGUCAAUGGCCGGCACCUAGUACAAAAAAAAGUAAAAAAAAUAUUUUUUUGGGAGCUGGCCUGUCAAUAGCCGGCACCCAAUACAGUAAAAAAAAUCUUUUUAUUUUUUUCGUGUCAGUAUCAGGUAUCAGUAUACGAAAAAAGUAAAAAAAAUAUUUUUUUGGGUGCUGGCCUGUCAAUGGCCGGCACCCAAUAUAGUAAAAUUUUUUUUUACUUUUUUCGUGUCAGUAUCAGGUAUCAGUAUACGAAAAAAGUAAAAAAAAAUAUUUUUUUGGGUGCUGGCCUGUCAAUUUCCGGCACCCAAUACAGUAAUUUUUUUUACUUUUUUUCGUGUCAGUAUAAGGUAUCAGUAUACGAAAAAAGUAAAAAAAAAUAUUUUUUUUGGUACCGGCCAUUGAGUAAAAAAAAUUUACUUUUUUCGUGUCAGUAUCAGGUAUCAGUAUACGAAAAAAGUGAAAAAAAAAUUUGGUGGUGGCCUGCCAAUGGCCAGCACCACCUUUUUUAGUGGGAAAAAAUUAUUUUUUUUACUUUUUUUCUUGUCAAUAGCAGGUAUCAAUAUACGAAAAAAAGUAAAAAAAAAUUUUGGGUGCUGGCCUGUUAAUGGCCGACACCAAAUUUAUCAAAUAUAUAUAGGGCAUUUCAUCUUCCAUUUUGUCUAGUUUGAAAAGUUUUUUUUUCCUCUGUUUAAAAGAAAGCAAUUUUUUUUUGAAAAUGAGUUCUCAAAUACUGUUUGUUUAUGUUCAUUUCGAUGGUGAAAUGAUAAAUACAAAUGAAGAAGGAUGUGUAUUUCAAAGCCAGAAAAAAAUAGGAAUGAGAUUCAACAAACAGAUUUCGUUGUCGGAUUUCAAACGAAAAAUCAGUACAAAGAUAGCAAGCCGUUGAGGAAAGCAAAUGUCGAGAUAGAUUUCCGAUUUCAACUGAUCCGCUAAAGUUCUCAGAAAUGGAGCUUGAAGAUGAUGAUGAUUUAGGUACAAUGAUAGCAAUUUAUUACCCCCUGGAAUAGAAAAUUCCAGUCCAGUUGAGUUGUUCGCGGAGAUAACUGAACCGGAUCCCAUUCAAAUGGUAAUUUCAGCAAGCCAGCGCUCCGGAAUUGAUUUUGAUCUUAACGUCUCUUGGGAAGAUCAGUCAGGUUUUGUACUGUCAGCGCCAACUCCCGAAAAUCUAAACACUGGUGGAUGUUCGUAUAACACCCCAUACUCGAGUCAUUGUCUAGAGAUCCAUCCAGAGGUGUUGGCCAUCAUAAAAGAUUGUGAUGAAGGGUCCGAUAAUGAUGAUCAGUCCCACCGUGAUACCAACGAUGAUUUUAGUGACCCCGAAUUGGAUGAUAUCCCUGAAGACAUAGACGAGGAAGGGCCGGUAGAGGGUGAAAAUGCGAACCCCAUUCGGUUGGAAACACGGGCCCUAGUAUAGUUAUAAGAAAUAAUCCAGGAACCUUCAUGAGCGACGUGGAUCCUGAUGUGGCUCUUGCAAGCGAGUUCUCGGAAUACCCAGAUAUUGUGCCGACUCACUUAAUUCAUAAUGAAUUUGACGGAGAAGAGUUGUUUAUAGGGCAACAAUUUGAUAACAAAAAAGACUAUUUACAUGCUAUAAAAAAAUUAGGGUCCGUUUGAUUGCCAGUAAAAUAUUUUCCGUAAAAUAAUUUCUGGAAAAUGUUUUACUUUUCUAUAAAAUGAUUUACUGGAAAAUAUUUUCUGGUGUUUGAUUGAAUCUGUGUAAAAUAUUUUCUGCUGUUUGACAGAUUUCCUGAAAAUGUUUUUCGGAAAAGUUGUUUUUACAUAUAUUAAUAUAUAUUAAUAAAUUUUUAUAUUUUAAAUUGUUUGUACAUAUAUUGCAAUGAUUUAUUUAUAAUAAUACUCAAUUAUUAAGCUACAAUAUUGAUCGUUAUAAAUUGAAAAAAACUAAUAUCAAAUAAAUUAUUUGUAAUUGAAAAAACAAAUAUUGAAUAAUUGUGAUUUAUUUUAGCCAAAAAAAUAUGUUACUUUUGAGAAAAUAUUAGUUAGUAUGUACAAAUAAUUGUAAUUUAUUUUAGAGAAGCAAGUAAGCUGGGAUAUAGAUUUCUUAUUCAUCUCGAAUUCUGGAUUGAUUAAGUAAAUUUCCAAACCUUUCAAUAGAUGAAAUUGUUUCAAUUAUCCGAAUUGAUUAAUCAUGAUGAGUUUAUAGCAAAGACUCUAUCAACAGCAGAAACACAGCAGAUUAACCCCCACCCCAAAAAAGCAAAAACAAUGGAGGAUAAAAAAAAUUACAAUGAAUGAAGCUGAUUUAUGGUCAUACAUAUUGAGAUAUGCAUAUUAGAUAUUUCUCUUCAAAUAUAAGAACAGGUAGAGAUAAUUAUCUGUUGUCUCUUAUGAUUUCAUUUGUUGGAAUAUUUUCAAAUAUUUAUAGUAUCCCAAUAACUAUAAAUGAAUGAGUGUAAUUAAUCAAAAGAUAAAACUUUUGGUCAUUGGUCAAAAGUUAUAUCAUUUGAUUUUUUACAAAAGAAUUAUAACUAUUCAAAAAAUAUUAUUUGAAUAGUUACAAAAUUAAAUGAAUAAUUAUUAUUAUUUAUUUAUUCAUAAAGACACCUAUUGAAAGAUGUCUCUAUGAAGAGACAUGAAAAUUCCUAUAAAUAGGAAUGAGAUUUCAUUUGGAAAUCAUAUCAACAAAUUCUAAUAUUAUUUCUUCUCUUCCUUCAUUUUCUAAUAUUAUUAGAUUAUUCUAUAAAGUAUUACUGUAGAAAUCCUUUGUAGAAAUUGUGUUUUUGUUACACAUUACUCAGUGCAUAGUGGACUAUUCUCGUCAGUGCAAAACGCAAAUAGUCAUUGGCUUCAUUGUAUCCUCGAGGUUAAUUUGCUUGGAACUCAUUUGCACACUGAGGAUAAGUGGGGGCGAAUAUAACCUUAAAGAUAGUGGCUUGAUACACGCCUUGGAGCCUUGUCCUAUUUCUUCUUUUUCUUUUCGAGUUCCGAUCGUGUGUUCGAGAUUUUCCUUACCGGAGUUUUGUAAUAACAAUUUUAAGGUUAUAAUUCAUGAUGACUACCACAACACAUGAAAGUGGAACACUAAGGGAGUUGGCUUCCAACUUUGUUAAACUUGAUCGUUUUGAUGGUGGCAAUUUUCGACGAUGGCAGAAAAAGAUGCACUUUUUGUUAUCAACUUUGAAGAUUGCUUAUGUUUUAGAUACUCCAAGACCUGAAGAGAAUGAAAACGAAUCUGUUGCUGCAACCCGAGAAAGACAAAAAUGGGACAAUGCUGAUUACAUGUGCAUGGGCCACAUAUUGAAUGGUUUAUCUGAUGGUUUGUUCGACACCUACCAAAACGACGUCACAGCUAAAGAAUUAUGGGACAAAUUGGAGGCAAGAUACAUGACCGAAGAUGUUACAAGUAAGAAAUUUCUUGUCAGUCGUUUCAAUAAUUAUCAAAUGGUUGAUGGUCGUUCUGUUAUGGAACAAUUUCGUGAUAUUGAAAAGAUGCUGAAUCAAUUUAAGCAAUAUGAUAUGAAAAUGGAUGAAAUGAUUGUGGUAUCCUCUAUAAUAGACAAACUUCCUCCAUCUUGGAAAGACUUUAAAAGAAGUCUAAAACAUAAGAAAGAGGAAAUAUCUCUUGAGGCUUUGGCAAAUCAUCUUCGUAUUGAAGAAGAGUAUCGAAAACAAGAUCAGAACCUAAAUUCUGAAAAUGCCAAAAUACAUGUUACGGAGGAAGUACAGACUACUAAACCAUUCAAAAGAAAGUUCAAUCAGGCUGAUAGAGCACCUAAGUUCAAAAAGAAACAAAAGGGCUCAUGCUAUCAUUGUGGAAAGCCGGGACAUUUCAAGAAUGAAUGUCGAUUUUUAAAGAAGAAAUCAUCUUCUAAGGCUGAUAAUAACGAAAAGUUCGUUGCAAUGAUAUCUGAAAUUAAUAUGGCACAAGAUGAUAAUACAUGGUGGAUUGAUACCGGAGCAACCAAACAUGUGUGCAAAGACAAGCAUGUUCACAAAGUUCACACAAUGUGAAAAUGACAAUGUCUUGUACAUGGGAAAUUCUUCCACCGCAACAAUUAAAGGCAAAGGGUCUGUUGAACUACAAUUCACUUCUGGAAAGGUUUUAACCUUAAAUGAUGUAUAUUAUGUACCAGAAGUUAGGAAAAAUUUAGUGUCUGGAAGUCUGUUGAAUAAGUUUGGUUUCAAACUUGUUUUUGAGGCAGAUAAGUUUAUUUUGUCUAAGGGAGGAAUUUUUGUGGGAAAAGGGUAUAUGUAUGAAAGCAUGUUCAAACUUAAUAUUAUUAAGAAGAAUAAAAAUACUAUUUCUGCUUAUAUGGUUGAAUCAUUUUGUUUGUGGCAUUAUAGAUUAGGUCAUUUGAAUUAUAGAAAAUUGAAUGACAUGUAUAAAUUAGAUUUAAUUCCUGUUUUUAAUAAUAAUAUUGAAAAAUGCAAUACUUGUAUGUUGACUAAAAUUACAAGAAAUCCUUUCCCUAAGGUUAAAAGGAAAACAAAAUUGCUUGAUUUGAUACAUAUUGAUUUAUGUGACUUGCAUAAUACUCCUACAUUAGGUGGAAAGAAAUAUUUUGUUACUUUUAUUGAUGAUUGUUCUAGAUAUUGUUAUGUAUAUUUAUUGCAUUCAAAAGAUGAAGCGCUUGAUAAAUUUAAAGUUUAUAAAUCUGAAGUUGAACUUCAGUAUGAAUCAUUUAUCAAGUGCUUAAGAUCGGAUAGAGGUGGAGAAUACUAUAAUCCAAGUUAUUUUGAACUCACUGGAAUUGUCCAUCAAGUUUCAGCCCCUUACACACCACAACAAAAUGGUGUAGCUGAAAGGAAAAAUAGAGUCUUGAUUGAAAUGGUAAAUUCAAUGUUAUCAUAUUCAGGUCUUGGACAAGGUUUUUGGGGAGAAGCUGUUCUAACAGCUUGUCAUAUAUUGAAUAGAGUUCCUAAUAAGGAAACUAAAAUAACCCCCUAUGAACAAUGGAAGAAAAGGAAACCAAACCUUAAUUAUUUGAAGGCUUGGGGUUGUAGAGCUAUUGUAAAAGUUCCAACACCUAAACGUAAAAAGUUAGGUGAAAGAGGAAUUGAAUGCAUAUUUAUAGGUUAUGCACAUAAUAGCAAGGCAUAUAGGUUCAUAGUAAUUGAACCAAAUGAUUCAAUUUCAAUUAAUACGGUUAUUGAAUCAAGAGAUGCUAUUUUUGAUGAAAAUAGAUUUAAUUCUAUAUCAAGAUAAUUACAACCACAACAAUUGAUUCAUUCUUCAAAUGAGAAUGAGAUUCCAUUGAAACAAAUUGAUAAUAAUGAUGAAUCUUGUCAAGAAUUAAGAAGAAGUAAGAGGAUUAAAAAGGUCAAAGAUUUUGGACCAGAUUUCAUUAUGUUUCUUGUAGAAGGAAAAGGUGAAAGUAUAUGCAAUAAGAUACCUUAUUGUUAUAAUACCGAAUCUUAUCCUAUUACAUUUGAAGAAGCAGUGAAAUCUCAAGACUCUGCUUUUUGGAAAGAAGCAAUAAAUGAUGAAAUGGAUUCAAUAAUGGGAAAUCAAACUUGGAUCUUAGUUGAUCUUCCACCAGGUUCCAAACCAAUAGGUUGUAAAUGGAUCUUCAAAAAGAAAAUGAAGGUCGAUGGAACCAUUGAUAAAUUUAAAGCAAGGUUGGUAGCAAAAGGUUUUACACAAAGACAAGGUAUUGAUUACUUUGAUACCUAUGCUCCAGUAGCAAGAAUUGCUACAAUUAGACUAUUAAUAUCACUUACCUCUAUAUAUAAUUUGGUUGUUCACCAAAUGGAUGUUAAAACUGCAUUUUUAAAUGGUGAAUUGGAAGAGGAAGUGUACAUGGAGCAACCGGAAGGAUUUGUUGUUCCAGACAAGAGCAUAAGGUAUGUAAGCUUGUUAAAUCUUUAUAUGGGCUUAAACAAGCACCAAAACAAUGGCACCAAAAGUUUGACAAGGUUGUUUUAGCUAAUGGCUAUAAAAUAAAUGAAUCCGAUAAGUGCAUAUAUAGUAAAUUUGAUAAUGGAAAGGGUGUUAUAAUUUGCUUAUAUGUAGAUGACAUGCUCAUUUUUGGCACGGAUUUGGAACAAAUAGAAAACACAAAGAAAUUCUUGUCAAACAACUUUGCUAUGAAGGAUAUGGGUGUAGCAGAUGUUAUUCUUGGGAUUAAAAUAACCCGAGAUGAAAGCACUAUAGCUUUAUCACAAUCACAUUACAUUGAAAAUGUGCUUAAAAAGUUUGAUCUUUUCAACUGUAUACCAGCAUCUACACCCAUGGAUCCUCAAUUAAAAUUAGUAUCUAAUGCUGGUAGGAAAAUUGAUCAAUUGAAAUAUGCAAGUCUAAUUGGUUGUCUUAUGUACAUAAUGACUUGUACAAGACCAGAUAUUGCAUAUGCUGUUGGAAAAUUGAGUAGAUACACAAGUAAUCCAAGUAGUUUGCAUUGGCAAGCUUUAAAUAGAGUACUUAGGUACUUAAAGAAAACUAUUAACAAUGGAUUGUGUUAUAAUGGAUAUCCUCCAGUUUUAGAAGGGUAUUCGGAUGCUAGUUGGAUUACAAGUUUGGAAGAUCAUGCAUCUACUAGUGGGUGGAUCUUCAUUCUUGGUGGAGGAGUCAUUUCUUGGGGUUCCAAGAAACAAACAUGUAUUACUGAUUCCACCAUGGCAGCAGAAUUUAUUGCAUUAGCCGCUGCAUCUAAAGAAGCAGAAUGGUUAAGAAAUUUGCUUUAUGAUGUACCUUUAUGGCUUAAGCCAAUUUCACCUAUUUCUAUCCGUUGUGAUAGUGAAGCUACUCUAGCAAAGGCAUAUAGCCAAGUAUAUAAUGGAAAGUCUAGACACAUUGGAUUAAAACAUAGUUAUGUCCGACAAUUAAUCUCUGAUGGAGUGAUUACUAUUAAUUAUGUGAGGUCAAGUGAAAAUUUGGCAGAUCCUUUGACAAAAAGUCUUGCUAGAGAUGCAGUAAAAAGGACCUCAAAAGGGAUGGGACUCAAGCCUAUUAAUUAGAGUCACCCAUGAUGGAAACUCGACUCAACGCUUGGUAUAACGUCAAGUCUUGAGUUCAAUGAGACAAAGUACAUCAUUAGUAUGUGACUGUUAGCACUAUAAAUAAAUCCAUCCUAAGAUUAAAGUGCUAGGUACCCGUAAUGAUAAGGGAAGGAUGAGUAAUGUACUCUUAAUGGACCCAUAACAUAAAUAUGUUAGAGUGUUAUAAUUACGGGAACACUUUUGAUGGGAUCUACCUAUGUGAGUGGAAGUGUGGCCGCUUCUAGGAGCUUAAGGGCUUGGCUCUGACAGCACUCAUGAAAAGAGGACAUAGACACAUGGCUAUAAUAGUGUCCCUAGAUACUAUGCAUUGACUGAUGUUGAAAUCAUUGUGUGAGAUGUGUUCAGUUAAUCAAAUGGAAUAGUUGGUUCAAAGCUUAGUCUACCAUACAAUUUUGAUUAACUUUAACAUGUUUUCACUAAGUGAAGGUUCAAUCGUAAGACACCUUUAUUUAUGCAAAUUGAUUUCCAAGAAUAUCAAAAUCUAAAUAUUUUGAAAAUGGGGGGAGAUUGUUGGAAUAUUUUCAAAUAUUUAUAGUAUCCCAAUAACUAUAAAUGAAUGAGUGUAAUUAAUCAAAAGAUAAAACUUUUGGUCAUUGGUCAAAAGUUAUAUCAUUUGAUUUUUUAAAAAAGAAUUAUAACUAUUCAAAAAAUAUUAUUUGAAUAGUUACAAAAUUAAAUGAAUAAUUAUUAUUAUUUAUUUAUUCAUAAAGACACCUAUUGAAAGAUGUCUCUAUGAAGAGACAUGAAAAUUCCUAUAAAUAGGAAUGAGAUUUCAUUUGGAAAUCAUAUCAACAAAUUCUAAUAUUAUUUCUUCUCUUCCUUCAUUUUCUAAUAUUAUUAGAUUAUUCUAUAAAGUAUUACUGUAGAAAUCCUUUGUAGAAAUUGAGUUUUUGUUACACAUUACUCAGUGCAUAGUGGACUAUUCUCGUCAGUGCAAAACUCAAAUAGUCAUUGGCUUCAUUGUAUCCUCGAGGUUAAUUUGCUUGGAACUCAUUUGCACACUGAAGAUAAGUGGGGGCGAAUAUAACCUUAAAGAUAGUGGCUUGAUACACGCCUUGGAGCCUUGUCCUAUUUCUUUUUUUUCUUUUCGAGUUCCGAUCGUGUGUUCGAGAUUUUCCUUACCGGAGUUUUGUAAUAACAUCAUUAUCAUUUGCAAUCCUACCAUUUUUUUGCCAAUUAGAUACGGAAACAACUUUUUAGCCAUCGACAACCCUGUAAGGCUUUCACUUGAUCAUGUUUCAACUUUUCAAUAGUGAAUCAUAGUUUUUUCUGUGUGUGUGUGGGCAAGCAUGCAUUUGGGGCCCUGGAUGGCUGAUACUUUGGCUGUUUACUACUACUUUGAUUGAUUGUGAAACCAACAUGAAUGUUUUUUUUUGUUUGGCACAAAAGAAUACGAAGAAGGCUGACCUGACGCUUGCAGUCAUUGCUUCUAGACUAAUAAUCAGGAUGAUGCUGUGGAUUCUCACUGCUUUGGGACAAAAUGUUCAAGGCAGAAGAUUAAAAGAGUUCGAAUGCCGGUUCGAGGACACAAAGCUCGCUGCAAUUACAACAUGGUAGAUGCCUAGAUAUAUUUACUUUUUAAGAAAAAUAAACUCCCAAGUCUUAGUGAAGAUAGAAUGGAAAUGCCUUAUAAGCAGCAGAAGAAAUAUAUUAUCAUCUAAAUGCCAAAUGAAUAAUUUGACAUAAAAGUUACCUCAACCUUACAUUAUUCCAAAAUAUUUGAUGAUAUACAAGACCAAAAUCGAAGACAGAUAUAAAGGACUUGGACAAAAUGUAAGCUCAACACAAUAAUUAGCUUGUAAUGAUACUGGCGAGAACAUCGGUCUUACCUCUUGCAUAAAUUGUGUAAACUAAGCGGAUAGCAUCAAGCCAUCCGUCUAGAGAUUCCCACGAGUCAGCAACCUGAAAGGAAGAACAGACAAUACUCACUAAAGUUGGAUUGCUAUUCGUAUAUUGCUAAAUAGCAUGGUUGUCAAGUUUUCUGAAAGUGUGAAAGAUAUCGUUCCUUUAAUAAAAGCAUGAUACUUACCAGAAAAUUGGACCAUGGGUAGUAUCAAUGCAGAGGCCUGCACCUGGUGGUAGAGUCAGAUCAGCACAUGAUGAUACAGACACAAUAUCUGGAAUCUCAACUUUGAUAGCUGAGUUUUCUUCAUUUGUUACUUCUGCAAUUGUGCCAGAGAGGCUUCGAGAAACUUGUUUCUGCUCGGCUUUGAUGACCUGCUCAAUUGGAAAACAGAAGAGGACAUAGAGGAAGAAAAUGAAAGUCACGAGGAUAAACCAACAUAAACCAGUAGUAUACUGAACCGACUCUGCAUAGCAGUUUACAUUGAUUUUGCCUUGCAUGCAUAACAUCCUGGAAUUUAUUAUGAUAGUGAUCUACAACAAAUAUAUUUUUUCUCAUACUCUAUGAUUCAUUCCGUUUGAGUUCAGACAUUAAAUAUCAAAAUUUGCUUGAAGAAAUGAAUCCCUUGUUCCAGGAAAAAAGAGAAAAUUGAACUUGAUAUUUAUUUGCAAUAGACAACGAAAAACCAAUCAGCUGUUUACCUGUUGAAGUGCUUCAUGAUUCAAAAAGAACUCUGUUCUCUUCCAAUCCCGAUGCGGAGCAAUUGCAUUUCCUACUGGUGGUGCAGUCAUAUUUCCCUCUUUGAGAUGGGGUAAAGGUAGCUGUCAAAAAUAUUGUCAGAAAAUAAUAGAAAAUAUAGUGAACCGAUAAUUGGCAGUUUAAAACAGCACUGAUGCGCUGACAGAAAGAAAUAUGAAAUGCAUGGAUUACACUAAAAUAUAUUACUUCAAUAAUAAUCUUAAAAAAUCCAGGAAAAUGCUAAUUAACCAGGAAACAGAGCAAGAUAUUGUUCUCAUUGCCAAUAGACUCAACAAUGCUUACGGAAUAUUCAAUCAAUUUAGAAGAGAAUAAACCUCAAAUAUAAAGUUCAAAGAUCAAUACUGACCAUUGAACGAACAAGCUUCAAGGCACUGCUGUAAACCUGUAAAGUUUAAAACGUCAAAUAAAAAGAUAUCCACAAACUAAGAAGUCAAAUUGCAUAACCCUGAAACUUUAAAUUAAGGAGAAAAAGAGGUAUAUCAUUAUCUUUCUUGUAAAUUUAUGCCGAAAGUUUUCAUUUGCCAAUAAUUAUGCCACCUAUAUAGCCUAAAAGUGAUAUUAAAUCUAACCAAAACUUUGUGGUCCAAAAUAGAACCAGAUCCGAUCUUAUGUCUUCAAGUUCUCUUUUAGAAAUAGAUGAACUGAUCUAAAAAUCAAGAAAAAAUAUAACCAGACCCGAUCUACCAUCUAGCAAGAAAAUAGCAAGAACCAGACCCGAUCUAGAAAUCAAAUCAGUGAAAAUUAACAGAAAAAAUACCUGUUGAUGACAAAUGGUGGUCGGAAACUGAGCACGUUUGGAUCGGUAAUCUAGACGGAUACGGAGAAGAGUGAACCAAGGAAAUGAAAGAAAACUGCGAUAAUUGAAGAGAGAACCGAGAAAAUGAAGGAAUGAAGGACUUCUUAGGGGGUUAGUGGAAAAUCGAUAAACAGAAGCAAUGUUUUCUACCGGAAAUGAAUGAAGGAAUGAAGGAGGCGAUAGAGAGGAGUUUCCGAAAAAUGUCUUACGGAAAUUGAAAGGGUAAGACAUUUUCCCUAAAAUGUAAGCCAAUUUCCCGUGCUUUGGAUUUCAUUUUCCAAAUGGAAAAUGUUUUCCGCCAAUCAAACGCUGGAAAAGGCAGAAAUGAUUUUCGGGAAAAUCAAUUCCGCCAAUCAAACAGACCCUUAGCUUGAAGUUAGGUGUGGAUUAUAAAGUAACGAAGUCAACGCAAUCUUUGUACGCAGGAGAAUGUUGGAAAACGUCAAGUGGUUGUAAAUGGCGUGUCUGAGCCGCGUUAAUGCAGCGGACACAGAUGUGGAUGAUAAGGAAACUAGAAGGUCCACACACAUGCACGUCUGCUCGUAUGUCGCAAGACCAUAGAAAGUUAGACGCAAAAACUAUCUGCAACUGCAUCAUCCCUUUGGUGAAAGAGUCACCCACCAUUCAAGUGUCGGUCCUUAUUGCAGAUAUGCAAGCUCGAUUCAAGUACAAAGUGUCGUACCGAAAGGCAUGGUGGGCAAAGCAAAUGGCGAUGCAAGAGUUGUAUGGUGACUGGGAUGUGUCAUACAACGAGCUUCAAGGGUGGAUAGUUGGAAUGCAUGAGUAUGUGCCGGGGACAGUCACUGAUUUGCAAACACCUGCCAUUUAAAAAAUAAUAAUUCAAAUAAGUAAUACUACACGACAAAUUAAAUUUACAUACACAAUAAAAUACAAUCAUUCUACAAUAUUAAUACAAAAAAUAUAAAUUAUUACUCGAUAAUAUAAAAAUAAAAACGUUCGAAAAAAUUAUUACACGAAAAUAUGACAGUAUAUAAUUCAACUCCAUUAAAAUAUGACAGUAUAUAAUUCAACCCUGAAAUUUUGUUGUACACUACGGAAAACUCCAUACACUAUCCGAUCCAAAAAAACUCAUUUCCUGAUAUACUACAAAGCACUAUCAUUUUUAUGCCUCUCUCAAAAUUUUUCUCAUUUUAUUUACACUAUCAUAACCCAAACCGCUCAAUAUAUAUAGGCCACCACCAAAAUUUUUUUUUUUUACUUUUUUCAUAUAUUGAUACCUGAUACUGACACGAAAAAAAGUAAAAAAAAAUUUACUGUACUGGGUGCCGACCAUUGAUAGGCUAGCACCCAAAAAAAUAUUUUUUUUACUUUUUUCAUAUACUAAUUCCUGAAACUAACACGAAAAAAAGUAAAAAAUUUUUACUGUACUGGGUGCCGGCCAUUGACAGGCCAACACCCAAAUUUUUUUUUACUUUUUUCGUAUACUGAUACCUGAUACUGAUAUGAAAAAAAGUAAAAGAAAAUUGUACUGUAUUGGGUGCCGGCCAUUAAUAGGCCAGCACCAAAAAAAAUAUUUUUUUUACUUUUUUUCGUAUUGGGUGCCGGCCAUUGACAGGCCAGCACCCAAAAAAAUUUUUUUUACCCUGCUGUACUGGGUGCCGGCCAUUGACAGGCCAGCACCCAAAUUUUUUUUUUCCUUUUUCGUAUAUCAAUAUUAUACAAUUUAAAAAAAAUACACGGGUUCCGGUCAUUGACAGGCCAAAACCCAAAAAAUUAUUUUUUUUAAGUCUGACACAAUUAUCAGGCAAUCAUUGGUGCAAAAUACGAGUGGGUUCCGGCCAUUGACAGGCCACAACCCAAUUUUACUGUUCAUUUCAGGUUAUUUUGGUGAUUGUUUUUAAACCUGGGUUAUUUUUGUAAAUAUAAUAUUUUUUUGGAUUAUUUUAGUAAAAGGGCCCAAAAUAUCAAAAUAUUACCUAUUAUUAUUCGUAGCUGGUACAUUAAAAUUGGUUGCGGUAAAACUGUAACUCUCGUUGCUGGAAUGAGUAUUCUCUUUAAGUUGAUUAUAGUAUUGCUGCUGGAGGAGUUGUGGCUAUACAGCGGUGGCGGCGACUGUGAUGGUUGCCGAUGGUUUGAUUUUCGAGUGCCUAACUUUACGACAACGAUCGCCAACGGGGACGUUUCGAAGUACGCCACCUUUCGUCCAGUAACGACAGCAACUCUUACUGAAAUAACGUGGCCGAGAGAGGUUGUAGCUGUUGUAGUAACAGAAUUUUGUAUUGAGAGAGUCGCAACGGGGAUACUCGAGUGCUUGGUGGUGCUGCGGCUGUAACCUGCCGUAACCGACUCCUCCGCCGCCGCUGAAUAUAUGGCCACCUCCGAUCGAGUGGGUGUCUUGCAUUGCUCACAACUUUCGCUCCAAAAAAAAUGAAAACUCAAUUUGUUGAAUAAAGCACAGAAGAAUUUGAGCUAUUGUCUUUACAAAUAUUGUUUUGCAUAUAUCUUCGAGAAAUAAAACGGUAUACAAUUACCAAAUUAACCCUCUUUCGUAAACGAAAUUACAUGUACGUGCUUAGGGUCGUGGCUUAAUUUUUAACAACUUAGAUUCAAGCUAAAUAAAUCAUGUCAAAUCAUAUUUAGUUGAUUUAUGUUUCUAAAUAAACUCUUUUUAUAAAUAUUUUAAAUAAAAAUUAUUUGAUUCAUUAUAAUAAUGUAAAAUUAAAUUAAUUCAUUUAAUAAUUAAAGUAUGUCGAUUAAGUCUUAAUUCAAGUGGUAUCAAUAUUGUUUAAAGGUUGAGAGAAGUUAUUGGUAAUUUUAGGUACUGUAUAAAAAAAUUAAAGCAACUACUUUCACUACUACUAAAUUAGCGUAUAUAUAUAUUAGGGCAUGAAAUCUAAAAUUUAAUCAGCAUUUCUUCACUUAUAUAUAUACAAUGUUAUUUGAAUUGAAUUGAAUGAAUCAAACUAGUGAAUUUAAAAAUCAACCAAUAUCUAUUUGUUCGUGUUCGUUAAAAAUAUCAAAAUUUUGUAUAUGUUCAUGUUCAUUUGUUUAAGUUAAACGAAAUGUUCGCGAAUAUAUUUAUAAACAUACACAAACAAUAAACAAACAUAUAUCUUAUUGUUUUAGAUAUAAAUAUUAAUAAUUAUUGUAAUCCCAAAAAAAAUUACUACAGUAAAAAAGUAAGAUAAUAUUCUUGAUAUAGUAAAAUAAGGAAAUAAAGUGAUAAAAAUGGUAAUUUUGAGUUAUGUCAACAUUGAGAAGUAUAUUAUGACAUAUUAAUUCAAGAAAGGAUUAAAUUGCAAAAGUGAGAAAAGUUUUGUGGCCCAAGAGUAAAUACUCAAAAUUUAAGGGGUUAAAGUGUAAAUAUGAAAAGUUGAAGGACCAAUAGUGCAAAUAUUUUAAGGGUAGAAUAAUCUAGAAACCAAGGAAAAUGGAUGAACUAGGAUCAAAUUGAAAAGGUGAAGAAUUUUGAGGGACUAAAUCGUAAUUUUACCAAAUUAAGUGAUGACUCAAGGAUGGAAUUUUAAAAGAACAUAAAGGGAAAAAUGGUCAAUUAGAAGAGAGAGAAAUCUAUAAGGCAAUGAUGAUGUUGGUGAUAUUUUAUGUUGACACCAUUUUUUGGUUGAAAAACGGGGUCGACUUGGGUUUUGAAAAAUGAAAACGAAAAUGGGAGUCGCCACCAAUCCUUUUUUUAUGAGGUGUGAUCGGAUCACCUUGAAAAGUGGUUGUUUUUAAUAAACGAUUUAAUUUUAUUAAAACAACGAUUUUGGUCCACGAAAUUCAGAAAAACGGGUUCGGGAGUCGGUUACGCACGAGGAAGGAUUAGCACCCUCGAUACGCCCAAAAUUGGUACCUAGUUGAUUACUUAAUGUUUUAGUGUCGAAAAACUGAAAACUUUAAAGAAAUUUAAAAUACGAUCCUAAAAAAAACUCGAAUAGCAUAGAUUAAAAUUCAAGAGGAUAUUUGGCAAUUUGGUUAAACGAGAAAUCGAAACCCAGCACCUUAGGGCACGUUCCUCAAAUUUCCAAACGCAAAACAUUGCCUUAUUUUGAAUUUUUUGAAAGGAUAUUUAGCUAUUUGGUUGAAUGAGAAAAAUCGACACCCAGCACCUUAGGGUAUGUUUUCUCGAAUUUCCAAACGCAAAACAUUGUCAUAUUUUGAAAUUUUUGAAAAUGAUAUUAAGCUAUUUGGUUGAACGAGAAAAAUCGACACCCAGCACCUUAGGGCACGUUCCUCGAAUUUCCAAACGCAAAAUAUUGCCUUAUUUUGAAAUUUUUGAAAAGGAUAUUAAGCUAUUUGGUUGAACGAGAAAAAUCGACACCCAACACCUUAGGGCAUGUUUUCUCGAAUUUCCAAACGCUAAAUAUUGUCUCAAUUAGAAAUAUUUUCUUUUUUUUUUAAAAUAUGAUAUUUAUAUGCAUAAUGGGAUAAUAGACAUGAUAAUGCGAAUAAAAAAAUGAGCAAAAACGAAUAAUAAAAUAAAUCAAUCAUGCAUAUACCAUAGCAAAUAAAUAAAUAAAUAAACUAAAGCAUAAAAAUGGGCAUAUAAAUAAAUACAUAAAUGAACAUAAAAAUAAAGGAAAAUACAUGAAAAUUAUAAAAUAUGAAAAAUAUGUAUGUACAUAAAGGGGACUAUAUAUAUGUAUAUACAUAAAAUUAUGAAAAUAUGAAAAAUAUAUAUAAGUAUAUAUUUUAAAAUUACUAUAUAAAAUAUAUAUAUAUAAGUAAGCAUAUUCAUACAUAUAUACGUAUGUAAAUUAAAAUAUGUAUAUGUAUAUAGAUAUAUACAAGAAUCGUGGAAGGUAUACAAAGAUAUGUAUUUAUAUUUACAAGAAUAAAAUAAUAAAAACGUAUAUAGGUAUAUAUAUUCAUAUAUAUAACAAAACGUAUGUAUAUAAGCUAUAAAAAAACGUUUAUAACGGUAUAUAUAUAUAAUAAGAUACAAAGAUAUAAAUAAAUAGCUAUAAUAGUAAUAAUAAUAGGGCAAAUAUAUUUAAAUUUAAAUAAGUAAAUAUAAAAUAAAAAUAUAACAAUAAUAAUAUAAAACUUAUGAUAUAAUAGUAGUAAUCGUAAAAAUAUACAUAUAUAUAAAAUAAGUAUAAUAAUAAUAACGAUAAUAAUAAUAAUAAUAGGACUAAAUUAAAACGGAAACGAAAUCUCAGGGCCGAAAUCAAAAAUAAAACAGAGUAAGGGAUCAAAGUGUAUCUCGCGCUGAAAGAAAGGGGACCAAAAUGGUAAAUACCCCAAAGCCCCAAAACGCAGCGUUGAAACGGAUCGUAUUGAAACAAAAAUGAAAUUUUUGUGGCCAAAUUGAAAAAUAAAAGAAAAUAGUGAGAAGGACCAAAUUGCGGCACGCUGCAAAGUCGAGGGACUGCGCGCGCAAUUAUACCCUUUAAAGAAAACACGCAGAUCCUGAUAUGCGGGUCGGGUCGCGCGCGGGUCUCCCCCACCAAAACGGCGCCGUUUCAAAGGGGUUAUUUAAAACCCAAAUUUUCUCAAAAAAAAAAACAUUUCAACAGCCAUUUUAAAAAAAAAUAAAAAAGGGAACCCCCUUUUCUCUCCAAAAAGGUCCGGCCAUGUAGGGUUCCUUGGCCCUUGUUGCGCCGCCGCUCGGCUCGCCGCCCUGCCACCGCCUCGACGGCUGAUGAAACGCCAAAUCGACGCGGAAAACCCCGUCCCGGUGAGCUCCUCUCUCCUUCUUUAUUUUUUUUUAUUUUAUUUUCGUUUAAGAAAUAAAAAAAAAGGAAAAUAGAAACAACAAAAAAAAGAAAAAGAAAAUGGAUUGAAAUCGAAAAAACGAGAAAUCACCUUCAAGCUUGACUUUUAUUACUGUUGAUAUUAUAUGUUUUUUAUACAAAAACGAAAGAAGAAAAAAAGAAAAAAAAGUCCCCAAAAUUACAAUCUAUUCGGCUUUUAUAGCCGAUCAUUUCUGUUUGUUUCUGCUGCUAUUUCUCUUGUUUGUUUGCAGGUAACCGGCGGCGCAAGUGGUGUGGUCGACGUGAUGUUGGCGGUGGCGACGUGACGUUGGCGGCGGCGGCGGCAGGCCAAAAGUCAAUAGGUGCGGCGCUAGGGUUUUAGACCUUCUGAAACCCUAGUUUUGGCUAUUAGCUUGCCGGGCUAAGAUACUGGGCCUCGGGUUUGGGCCUGGUUGGGCUUGUUUUUUGGGUUAGUUGUGUAAUCGGGUCUGUUUGUAAUUGUAAUAGGUUUUGGGUUUGUUUGGGUCAAGGGUUUGUUGGGCCCGGGCAUGAAAAAUUGGGUUAGUUUAAUUGGUUUGGGCUUGUAAUGGACUGUAUUUUAACUUAUUUUGGUUUUAUUUAUUUUUGGUUUAAUUGGGCCGGGCAAAUUUGGGCUUCUACAUUUUAGAUUAAUUAAUUAAAUAAAUAUUAGUUUAUUAAUAUUUUAAUUUGAUUUUUAAAUGAUAUUUUAUUAUUUUAUUAUUAAUUUAUUUAGUAUACAUAUAUGUGGAAAGAAAGAUGAAAAGCAACCAACCCAUCAUCUUCCAUGCAUCCAACGUGAGGAGAAUAGAGAAAGAAUGAAUGUUUUGCUUUCUUUACAAUUUGGUCAUUCCUCUAAAAACUUACCAUUUUCACCUAGAAAUCAAAAGAAUUUUCAUAUUCAUCAAGAGAGAAAUAUAACAAGGAGACUAUAGGGAGCUAGAAUAUCAAGUUGGAUUCAAGAAAUUGAAGCUAGAGGAGAGAGAAAAUCAAGUUAAAGUUUGAAAUCAAUACAACAAGGUAAGAACAUUGAGAUUUCAAUAUAUUUUUAAGUUUGAUAUUAUUGAAAUAGCAUGGAAAAGAUGUUAUAGUAGAAUUUUAUUUUAUAAAGUCUUAUGUUCUUGAUAUAUUAGUGAAGAGAAAUAAGUGAAAGUGAUGGGAAAUAUUAUAGAGAAAGGGAAUAAGGAAGUUAUAAACUUAGUAAUUAACAUUUUGCACUAAAACAGUUUUGGACAGCAGCAGUAGGUUAAACUUGAAAAAUCACCAUAAAUUUUGGAAACAAAAUUAGAGAAUGAAAAAAAUAUGGAAUUAAAUCUUACUGAGUCUAGUUUCUCAUAAAAGAAAUGGUGUAAGUAAUGGAACUGUAAAUCAUGAGAUAUAAUAGAUUUUGUGAGACAAGGUCAGAAUGAUUUUGGGUUCCCCUGUUCUGACUUUGGAAAAUCAUAAAAAAAUUGUACAAAAAUAAUUAUGGGUUAUAAUUUAUAUGUUUAAAAUCCUUAAAGAGUCUAUUUUCAAUAUAAAUAAACAGGGAUGUCAUCCAAAUUUUGUACAAGAAGAUAAUUAAGUUUUAGUGAAGAAGGUCGGAACUGUCAGACAUUAGAAUAGAGGUGACUUUAAAGAAUAAACUGUACUCAUUAGCUAAACCAAAAAUUAUGGAAAUUUUAUGGUAAGAAUAUAUGUGAGUCUAGUUUCAGAGAAAAUUAACGUAUCUCAAUUUGGAGUUCUGUAGCUCAAGAUAUAAAUAAUUAAGUGACUAUGACUCAAGUGGACAACUUUGAAUGAAUAUAUAAAUAAAUGGUGAAAUUAUAGAUAAUGUUAUAUAUAAGCAUGUUAUAUACAUUAAGGAUGUGGAAUGGAGAGGAGGAGGAGGAAAAUAUAUGAUUAUUCAACUAGCAUGAGUUUUCAUUAAAAAUGACCAAUUUACAUGUUUUAGGUUGAGGGACUAAAUUGAACAAAUGUGAAACUUUAAGGGUAAAUUUGUAAAAAUGUCAAAAAGUGACCAAAUUGCAUGAAAUAAAAUUUUUUAUUAUUUAAAUUAUUAAAUUUAAUGAAAUAUUAUUUUAGAUCAAGAUUGAGUGGAAAUUCGAGAAAAAUAAAAAAUUUUCAAAAUGUCCUUGAAUUUUGCUAUUUCUGCAAUUUAGCCUGGUAAGUUCGUAUGAACUAUAUUUUGUAUAAUUUUAAUAGAAGUGAAUGGUAUUUGGUAAUGAAUAUUAUAUAUAUGUUUUUAUUAUUAUUGGAAUUGAAUUAUUAUUGGUAAUAGGUAUAAUUAUGAGAUGCUUUGAAAUGAUUAUCGAAAGCUCGAUUAGGUUGGAAGCUUGUUGGAGAUAUAUCACAUUAUCCAUUGGUUCUGUUGGUAAUUUUGGAUGAUUUGAUUCUGGUUAUAAUGACUUUUAUAAGUUAAAUUGGUUGAUGUUAGCUCAUAAAUGUUUUGAUUUUGAUUGGUUAUAAAUAUGAAUGCUUGAUGAAAUGAAAUAUCUGAAAAUUAAUUUGUAAACUCCGGUAAUGCUCUAUAACCCUAUUCUGGAGAAGUAUACUAGUUAGGGUGUUACAAUUAUAUUAUAAAUAAAAUAAGCACACAAAUAAUAAUUUUAUGGGUAAAUUACAAAUCAAUUAGAAGUAUUUUUUCUUGUCAUCCAACUAUUCAAUUGUCUUUUUUGGUCACAAAUUGGUUAACAUAAAAAUCUAAACAUUCAAAACUCAAAAAUCCAAGAUAAUUAGGUGAUCAAAAAAAUAAAAUUAUAUAGUUGAGUGAUCAUUUUGAAACUUUGCAUAAUUGGAUGGUAGAAAAUGAAAUUUAUUAAUGGUUGGAUGACUAUUAGUGUAGUUUACUUUAAUUUUAUUAAUAUAUAAUAAUCGAACAAAUCACGUUUGGUUCAUUUAAGAAACGAGACUUAAAGUUUUGAUCAUAUUUGUUUAUUUAAUUUGAUAAUCGACAAUUUUUUUUAAGCUAGAAGAAAAAUAUAUGUUACUUAAAUUAAGGGCCAAUUUUUGACGUUGAUAAGUAUCUGAAUAGUAAAUAAUUGUUUUAAGGAUUUCUACUAAUAAAAUUACUUGUUUAGAAUCAUUAUUCAUUAUCACUGAAUUACUACCACAUAGAGCAUUGCUUAAGAAUGAAAACUAUUGAAAAAUAAUAAUUAGAUAAAAUAUUUGAAAAAAAUCUUAUCCUCCGAGUUAAGCCAAGUCCCUCAAAGAAUAUAAUAUAUAUAUGUUGAAAUUACAUUCCUCUCAUCGAAAUCAAUCUUUGUAGCCACUAUUAAAUGCUAUAUUUUACAAUAGAAUAAAAAAAUAUGUUGAAAAGUACUUAUACCAAGAGUCCUCUUUGUUUUUUGGGUUAAAAUAUCUAUUAGUUUUUUUACUCUCGGAAAUUUAAAAUUUAAUUUCUUUAUUUUUUAGAUUUUAAAAUUCAGGCUUAAUUAUUAAUAUUGUUAAAUUUAUUGGUGUGAUAUUUUAAAAUUAAUAGUAUUAAAAGUUGAAUUUGAAUUUUUAAAAUCUGAAAAGUGAAUAAAUUAAAUUAUUGAAAACAAAAAUACAUAGAUUAAAUUCUAAAUUUUUAAAAGGUAUAAGUACUUAUAGCAUAUUUUAACUGUCAACCCUAUAAACUAAAAUCCCACCAUUUUCUAUCAUAUUUUCAUUAAUGUCUUCCAACAAGAAAAAGCUAUUGAAAUCCCUUUUAACAGCCAAUGCAAGAUGUGGGUGUAAAAAACCCUGUGAUGUUCAUGAACCAAAACUCAAGCCUUCACCACCCCCGCUGUCAUCACCAUCACCAUCAUCAAAUUUCAACAUGGAUACAAUACCAUCAUCAUCAUCGUCAUCCAAUGUUAUGGUAAACCUUAAAAUCAUGGGCAGCAUUGCGGUGGUGAAGGAUUCCCAUGAUCCGUACUUAGAUUUUCGACACUCCAUGCUGCAAAUGAUCAAGGAAAAGCAUAUCUACUCCGCCGAUGAACUACAUGAGCUUCUUCAAUGUUUUUUGAGCUGAAUUCACCAUGGUGUUAUCUUCGAAGCUUUCAUGGGGAUCUGGUAUCGGAAAUUAUGUGAAUACGUUUAAUUAUUUCUCACGUCCAAAAAACUGCAUGGCGGUUGAUCAUAAACUCAUAAAUAAUAUGUAAGUUUUUUUUCCCCUAGUAUUUAUAACUAUAGUUAUUGACCAUCUAUAAUAAUGGUUAAUUUUAGGAUAAAUCAAUGUUCGGUGCCUGAACUUGAUAAUAUUUUUCAACAUGAUCCUUAAAACUUUUUUUCUACGAAUUUGACAGCUUUUUUUUUAAAAUUUGAUCCAUAAACUUAUUAGAUUCGGUUAAGGCAUAAUGAUGUGGCAAUUUUGAUACUGUAACAUGUCAUCACUUGAAAGUUUUAAUACAUAUAAUCUAUAUAAUUAAAACUUUUGAAUUUGUUAUUAUUUUGCAUGUGUUACCAUGUGAAUUUUUUAGAACAUCUAUAUAAUUAAAAUGUAAAAUUUCCACUAACUUUUGAAUUUGUUAUUAUUUUGCAUGUGUUACGAUGUGAAUUUUUUAGAACAUCUAUAUAAUUAAAAUGUAAAAUUUCCACUAAAUACAAUAUUGAACAUGUCGAAUAUUAAAGUGUUCAAAUUUCGGUUAAAGCCAAAUUAAUUGACUGAACCGAUUUAAUUCAGUUAAUCCGUUGGUUAACCGAUCUAAUUUGGUCGAAUGUCGGUUAAUAUUUUUUCGAAGUCCGGUUAUCGGUUAAUUUGGUUAGAAAUCGGGUAAUUAACCGAACUUAAUAAUUAAUAUUAUAUAUUAUAUGUAUUAGUUAGUUUGGUUAGUUCGGAUAAUUUAGUCAAAUGAACAUUAUCAUUUUUUUAUAUGUUUUAUACUUAUUUUAACCAAAAAAAUAAAACACAUAAAUAUCAAUUAAUUCGGUUAAUUGAAAUAUUUUAAUUCGGUUAAUUUUUUUUAGAAAUUCAGUUCGAUUAAGUAUUAAAGAUUAAAAAAUUUAAUUCUUACUAAUUCAAUUUAGUUAUAAUUCUAAUUUCUUUAACUUUUAAAAAGUAGAGGAUUUUUACCCAAAAAAAAAAAACAGAAAAAGCGCUAUAUAAUUUAAAGGAAAAAGACUCCCCAUUUUCUCGAACGGCUCUCUGACUCCGGUCAUUGGUCAAUCUCUUCUUCUCCCAGGCCCCGUUCUGGCCAUUUCGAUCCAACUUCGUUAAAGGUAUUUUCUUUUCCUUUACUUAUCAAUUUUAGGGUUUUCUUUCUUGAUUUUAGUUUCAUUUUGAGUUUUCGACCUCGCUCGAUCAGCGAAAUGUGCUACUUUCUGGUUUUAGGGUUUCUCCCUCUAUAAUAGAUUUCUUAUUUGGUUGAAUUUCGCAUUGUGGGAGUUUCAUUGCUGGGUUUCGAAUUGGGGGACUUUGCAAGAUCUGAAGAAUUAUUGUUUGAAAGGAACGAGUUUAAGGUGGUUUUGAAAAGUCUCAAGUUCUUGGAUGUUGAUGUGCAUUUGGAUUUGGAUUAAGAACUUUUUGGUCAGUUGAGUUUCCAUCUUGACGUAAAGAUGGAUUAAAAGUUUCAACCCCUUUCUUGUUUUGUGCGGUUUACUCUGGAUCUAAAUGUUUAAUUUCGUUGAUUUUAGAAUUAGUAAUAGAGGAUUUCUAAUAAAUUUAAUUUCAAAUCAUCUGUUUUGGAUUUUGGAGGACUGAUAGGAAGGUAAACUCCCCAAAAGUUUUGAAUUAUCAUAUUAUUUAUCUAUUUCCAUCGCCUUAGGUUUAUUAUUUUCUUCACUUGAUUGAAUAUUUUGACAUAUGAAAUGCGAUUGAGACAGACUCCAGCUUAAUGAAGCAACCUGAAUGCAAAAUGGGGGAAGGGUAAGAUAAGGAACUCAAAGGUAUUUCUUGAAUUCUGUAGUCAUCUUCUUUUCUUUCUUUUUUUCUAUUUGCUAAGAAAAGAUAAGAUGGUCCAAAAAGAAAAAGGGGGACGCGUUUGGAUUCGGUGUUUAGCUUUUUCUUUUGGUUUGGCGUAUGUUUUAUUUGGCUUUUGCCUUUACCCUUCCUUCGGCUCAGGUGUGAGUGUCUGAGAUUAAUUGAUAUGGGUAUUUUCAAUUUUCUUCUAGGCAUUUUCAUGUAUUUGUUGGAUUUUUAGAAGGUCAUAUCUACAUAUACAUAUUGUAAUAAGCCCAAUUGUCCAGGCCUGCAUACGAGCCCAACACAACAAAAGCAAUAAAACAGGCCCAAAUUAAAACCCAACAGCCCAAGACCCAAACCGAGCCUGCUAGCCCAAAAACACCAAAAUUUCAGAAACCCUAACAGUUUCUGCCCCAGCGCCGCAGCAACUGGCGUUGCAACUGCUUCCGCGCGGCGCGCCCGUCAAUCCCGCACCUUGCGCCCCUCGCCGCCGCGAAUCUCACGCCUUUCCCGCAAGCACGUACCUGCAACAAACACGAGCAGCACGCAAAUAGGAUAACAGAUUAAGAGAUGGGAUUUUUUGGGGAUUCGUUUGAUUUUAGUUUGUAUUUCUCGGCUAUAAAAGGAGCCGAUUAAUUUAUGAAAUGGGGGGAUUUUUUCAGUGUAACAGAUACGAAAAACACAGAGAAAUAAGAGAUAAAAAGAUUUUUUAUUUUUCUUGCUCUCUGUUCUUGUACUAUUUUGUUUUUUUUAUUUUGUUCUUCCUUGAUUUUUAAAACAAAAAUAAACGAGAAGAAAGGGAGAGGGGGAAGAGAAACUUACCUUCGCCGGAUUCGGCGCCUUCUCCGUCGACGGAGGCCGUGGGCAUCAACUGAACGGCGGCGGCAUGGAGGGCUGGGGGGUUGAAAACCUAGCAGAGGUUUCCCCCCUUGUUGUAAAGUUUUUUUUUUUAGAAAAAUGAAAUGAAAUAGUUUUUAGGAAUUUUUUUUUGGUUUUAAUAAUAAAGAUAAAACGGCGCCGUUUUGAAGGGGCCAGACCCGCGCGGUGACCCGACACGGAGGGAAGGAUCCGCGCGUUCUGGCAUGAAUGGGUAAUUUGUGCGUUUAGUCCUUUUUCUUUGCAUUUCGUUUCAAUUAAACCCAUUUAUUUCUUUUUUAAAAUUUGGGCCGCAUGUUUUAAUUUUGUUUCACUUCAGUCCAAUGCUGCGCAGCGUUUAGGAAGGCGGGAAUAAUUUCCCUUUUGGUUCUCCGUUAUUGCUAGCGCAUUCAAAUCGGUCUCUUUUUGCCUAUUUUCAAAUCUACCAUAUUUUUUCAUCUUUAAUUCAAUCUAGUCCAUUUUUUACUGUUUUACUAUUUAAUUUUUUUUGUUAUUAUUUCUAUUAUAUUAUGCCAUUAGUAUUAUUAUCAUUACUACUGUAUAUACAUGCGCAUAGGUUUUUUAUAUAAUGCACAUGUUUUUUAGUAUACGUUUAUAUACAUAUUUUAUUCAUAUGUUUUAUUUUCAAUUUUAUUCCCUAAUUUCUCUCUCUAUAUAUAUACUCUUAUAUUUUAGUUUCAAAUUUUCUUUUUUUGUAAAUAUGUAUACCUUUUUGUAUUAUCUUUCAUAAAUAUUUUUAUUUCUUUUUGUUUUAUCUUUUAUCUUUUUAACUUUUGUAUACCUUAUAUUUUAUAUGUAUAUAUAUACUUACGUAUUUUUAUUAUUUUUAAAUAUAUACACAAAUACAUAUUUUUAUAUUUUUAUCUUAUUUUCACGAUUUUCAAACACAUAUAUACAUGCAUUUUUUAUUAGUUUUUUUUGUUUGAUAUAUUCCAUUCCUUCUUUUUAUAUACAUGUGCAUAUACAUUUAAAUUUAAGUAUUUGUUUCAUGUUAUACAUUAAUUUUUUUUACAUACCUUUUGAGAAAUAUAUUUUAGUUUUGUCGAAGCAUUAAAAUCAUCAUAUUUUAUAAAUUUUCAAAGUAUUUGGCAUUCAUAUUCACAAGAAAGACCGUGUCCUAACUUACUGGAUUGCGAUUAUUCUUCGAUGAAUUUAAAACGCUAAGUAUUCAUUUUGCAUUAAAUUCGCAAAUUUUAAAUAAAAACUUAUUCUUGGAGUUCAAAAUGUUGGGUCCUAACUUACUGGUCCUGAUAUUUUGACUUCUUGAAAUAAGAAUUUUCAAAAGCAAAAGGGAAUAUUCGGGUAUUUUGAAGAUUUAAAAAUAUUGUGCCCUAACUCAUUAGGUGUGGUGUUUUAUUUCUUUGAAAUAAGAAUGUCUUAUUAUUUUGAUUCAUUCAUUAAACAAAAAGUCUCCUUUUAAAAAUCUUUUCAAAUUUUCGACACCAAGGCACUAAAAAAUCAAUUUGGUACCGAUUUUGGGCGUUCUUCUCGUGCGUAACUGACUCCCGAACUCAUUUUCUUAAAUUUCGUAGAACAAAAUCAUUUUAAGGUGAGCCGAUCAACCUUAAUAAAAUAUCGGUGGCGACACUAAUUUUUUAAGUCGACAACAAAAUUUUUAUUUUUCAAAAAACGUUUUCGACAGAUAUAUGCAUUGAAUGUGGAUGUAAGGGAUACUUUAAGAAAUAUGAAGAGUUAGAACAACAUAACCUUUUCCCCUGGCCAUGUUUCUAAUAAAUUUAAUUUCAAAUCAUCUAUUUGGAAUUUGGAGGACUGGUCGGAAUGUAAACUCCCCAAAAUAGAAGUUUUGAAUUAUCAUUUUAUUUAUUUCUGUAUUUAUUCCUAUCGCCUUAGGUUUUUCAUUUUCUUCAAUUGAUUGAAUAUUUUCACAUAUGAAAUGCAAUUGAAACAGACUCCAGCUUGAUGAAGCAACCUGAAUGCAACAAGGGAGAAGGGGAAGGGGAAGAUAAGGAACUCAAAGGUAUUUCUUGAAUUCUGUAGUCAUCUUCUUUUCUUUUUCUUUUUCUUUUUUUUUUCUUUUCUAUUUACUAAGGAAAGAUAAGAUGGUCCAAAAAGAAAAAGGUGGAUUCAGUGUUUAGCUUUUUCUUUUGGUUUGGCACGAAUUUUAUUUGGCUUUUUCCCUUUACCCUUACUUUGACUCGGGUGUGAGGGUCUGAGAUGGAUCGACAUGGGUAUUUUCAAUUUUCUCCUUGGCAUUUUCAUGUAUUUGUUGGAUUUUUAGAGCGUCAUAUCUACAUAUACAUAUAUGCAUUGGAUGUAGAUGUAAGGGAUACUUUAAGAAAUAUGGACAAUUAGAACAACAUAACCUUUUACCCCUGACCAUGUUUCUAAUAAAUUUAAUUUCAAAUCAUCUAGUUUGGAUUUUGGAGGACUGAUCAGAAUGUAAACUCCCCAAAAUAGAAGUUUUGAAUUAUCAUUUUAUUUAUUUAUGUAUUUAGUUCCAUCGCCUUAGGUUUUUUAUUUUCUUCAAUUGAUUGAAUAUUUUCACAUAUGAUAUGCAAUUGAAACAGAUUCCAGCUUGAUGAAGCAACCUGAAUGCAACAAGGGAGAAGGAGAAGGGGAAGGGGAAGGGGAAGGGGAAGGGGAAGUGGAAGGGGAAGGGGAAGAUAAGGAACUCAAAGGUAUUUCUUGAAUUUUGUAGUCAUCUUCUUUUCUUUUUCUUUUUUUUUUCUUUUCCAUUUACUAAGGAAAGAUAAGAUGGUCCAAAACGAAAAAGGGGGGCGCAUUUGGAUUCAGUGUUUAGCUUUUUCUUUUGGUUUGGCACGAAUUUUAUUUGGCUUUUGCCUUUACCCCUACUUUGACUCAGGUGUGAGUGUCUGAGAUGGAUCAACAUGGGUAUUUUCAGUUUUCUUCUAGGCAUUUUCAUGUAUUUGUUGGAUUUUUAGAGGGUCAUAUCUACAUAUCCAUAUAUGCGUUGCAUGUGGAUGUAAGGGAUACUUUAAGAAAUAUGAAGGGUUAGAACAACAUACCCUUUUACCCCUGGCCAUGUUAAGUAUCUUGGAACUUAAUAUCUGUGUUAAUUUUCUUUUCUUUUUUUCUACAUGCUUUAACAGAGGAUGAUAUCAGCCAAGACUCAGAUUGUUUCUCCGGUUUAUCCAAUUAUAAACCAGUAAAACGGGUGUGUCACAUGAUUCUUUGUGCUGCUUUCAGUUUUCAAGUGGAACUAGUUUUUUCUACUCUUUUUUAUCUGGUUUUUAUUAUUUUAUUGCUGCACCGCAUGCAACUACAGUGGCGUUAUGUACGCUUGGAAAAGACAUGUCAGCGUAAUGAGCAGGUAGCUUUGUUGUUAAAAGUGCUUAAAUGGUAAGCGAAGCCUCUUUUAUUUUGCUCAAAUGGUUUUUAUGGUUAAUAAUUGAAUUAUUUGGUAUUAGGUUGAAUGAUAGAAUUUUAUGUUCUCUUCAACAGUGAUAAGUCUGUAAUCCCAUCUAUAUAUGAAUUCCGUAGCCUCUGUUUUUUUCACGCUUACUUGACGUUGGAUGAGGCUGAGAACUUAAGUGGUUAGUUCCUUCAGUCUGCUCCAUCUCUUUUAAGUUUUCCUUAUGCAGAAAUACAUUUUUUUUGAGCUGACCCUUUUUCUGCCAAUUCCUUUUAUUGUUAAAGAAUUAGAAGAAGUUGAGGAAAUUGGCUUUCCAAUGUUGGAGGUUGCUAGGAAAGCAAAAGUCUCGAACUUCCAAUGGUCUACUAAAAGCAAAGAAACAAAAGACUAGUAUGGGUAUGCUUUUCUUCUUCUUGACUUUUUGACUUUGAUUUAUUUUGUAUGAAUGUAUCAUGUAUGUUGUUUUUGGAAGACAUGAGAUCUAUAUUAUGUUGGCAGGCAGCAUUCUCUCACAGCGGAGACAAAACAAAGAGAAAUGGAGGUAUAAUGAAGGUAUGCCUCACCUAAAUUUUAAUUAUUUGGAUGUGUUAUGUAUCUCACAUUCGACCAGGAGUGUUAUACGUUUCAUUGCUAAUGUUUUGGAAUCCUUGCAAAUCUUCGGUCAUUUAUGUAUGUUAUGAUCGGAAGAGAGGUGGGUGGGUUAGUGAGCGAUAUGCUUUAACAACAAGAGAUGAGAAAAAAGAAAUGUUGUCAAGUUGAGUUGGAUUUUAAGCAAACAAUGACAAUGAUUUAGCGACUGCUUUGGAAAGAAAGUUUAGGUGCUGGUUGUUUGGUAUCUUGGUAGUGAAUAUCAUUGUCACUUAUCAUUGUCCUAUAAUAUUUUCUGUGUUUGUGCUUUUUCAGCUGGCAUAUUCUUAUGAUGUGGAAAUUCAUGUCACUCAGUAUUUCUAUUAGUCUUUGGUCUGCUCUAAUGCUCAAUGAAAUCUUAACCCAAUUGUGCUGUCAAGGGUGCACUCUCUAACCCAUAUGUGCAUGGUUUGGUAUCUCUCUCUAUCAUACACACACACGCAUACAAUUAGUAUUAUACAAUUAUGAUAAUAGAAUCUAAAAAGUGAUCCCUUUUGUUGAUCAAUAUGCAUAUUUUUGUUGUUGUGAAGUACUCAAAUAUUGAGGAGGAGAGUUUGAUAAUUUCUUUCCUUUCUAACUAGUAUGAUAUAUGUAAUAAUAAACAAAAAAAACGAGGAGAACCUCUAUUAAGUGAGUUUGUGUGUGUGUGUGUGUGUGUUCAUCAGAUUUGCAUUACCCAACAAGGCUGUGGGUUUCUGUUGUCUGGACUAGCUUUGAAUGCUCCUGACCAAAUGUGCCUAGCCCAAUCAAUCUAAUUUGUCUUAGUAGAUGGAUAAUAGGCCAACUUCCUCCUUUCUCAAAUGAACCAAUUUUUAACAAUUUCAUUUUUAGAAUGUGUGAAUACCAUCUUGUUAAGGACUACUUUUUACAAUAACUAUUUGAGUGCUGAUUUCCCGCUCUUCUCUCACUUUAAACAGAUUUUGAGCCAGAGCCAGAGUCUGACAUUAAGGAUUUAGAGGAGGAAGACUUGUCAGGUAUGAGGUCCCACUUUUCUUAUAAAAUUAUGGAUUUUUUUUUUGUUCUGCCUCUCUGCUUUAUGUGUUAGUGGAUUUUGUUAAUUUUGUACCCUUGCUAUUUUGGAACUUACAUUUUUUGUUGUUUUGGCUUUGGUUGAUAUUCUCUCUUUUUUUCUUUUUGUAAUAAACACUUGAACAGAGGAUGAUUUGCUCGAUGAUUAUGGUUCCUCCUGCAGAUACGAGGGUUAUCAUGGGUUUGAUGCAUCUGGGAAAAGGGUUUGUUGCUUGAUUUUAUUGCUUUUAAUUUCUGAGGGGUAAGUAGUUAUGCAUGGUUAUCUGAUUAUGCUUGUAUACCCAUCUUGCAUUGGAAAAUUGGCUUUUACUAUCUUUUCCCUCUUAUGUGUUCUAUAUAAUGAAGCUCUAACUAAGUUAGAAAUUCCCAUGGAUUGGACCUCGUUGGGAAACUAUUUUUCAAAUUCUUUGCCCUAGCCUGAAUCAGGCCAAUUUGAUAUCCCAUUUCACUACUAAAAAAAUAUUUUUAUAUUAAUAUUUUUUAUUAAAAUUGAAUAAAAUCAUAUUUCUAUUAUUAAUUGGAAAUUCAAGCCAAGCCGGCUUGAAUUAAAAUAUAACUUUUCCAAGGUCCUUAGACAGGUUCUAAACCGAAUAUAUGUGAGCUUCAUCUUACUACUUUUUAUAGGUUGUUGUAGGCCUUACAUCUAUUGAUUUAGGUGUAGUUUCUUGAGUAUGGAGCAUUUCUCCGGUAUGAGGAUUGUGACAUCAUUCACUUCAUUUCUCAUGUUUCUGAAGAGUUUGUUGCUAGAACCUAGAGGCUAGCUCAGUUAGUUCAUGCGGCCAAUUUUUAAGGGGGUCAACAGAUCUGGAGUUGGAAUCGCAUAUCUGCAAUAUUUUCCCCUAUUCCUAGAUUAAGGUCUCCUUGGCAUAUUGAUAAACAAUAGCCUCUUUUUUGUUUAUUCUGGAAUGGCAGUGGUAUGAAGUAAGCUUGGUAGAUGAGAAAAACUAGGACUAUCAUAAAGCUUUGCUGCUAGAUGUGCUUAAAUGGUAUUUUAACAUCUUUCUUUGGUGGACGUAAAUGAAGAUCGAGUAUUAGCUUGCUAUACACUGAAAAGUGCUUCCCUUGACAGGGAUUUAUGUGAAAGCAUCUAUGUGUAUAAGGCUAAUCAUCUGUUUAAAGCCCGCAUGAGUGAGGAAGAGGCUGAUAAAGUUGCUGGUUGGUUCUCUACCUUCUCGUUUCUAUUUUCUCCUUGCUUAGAAUAUAGCUACAUUGAUUUGAGUUUUUGAGUUUGUCAGAGGGUCUACUAUACUGCGAUGUGUGAUUUGAUUGAAAUAAUUAUUUUACAGAUUACAGAUUAGGAAUGAGAAACUGUCAUCUGAUUCAAUCGAAUUGGGAUGCCCUGGAUCUGACAUGUCUCUUGGGAAGAGUAACAUGAAGCUCAGAAUUAUGGGAGUAUUGAAUCAAUACUCCCAAAUAAAAAGGGAAUUGGUCUAUGGUCGAGUCAGUAAAAAUAAAUAACUAAGAAUUUUGAGUAGUCUUUUUUUUUUGCGGAAAACUUUUGAGUAGUCUGAUACCAAGUCAUUUCUUGACAUUUAAUCUUUUGUUUACUGUAUUCGCUUUUUUUUUAAGGGUUGGAAGAAGUUGAGUACGUGGAGCCAUGUAGGUACAUCAAGAUCAUGGAACUCAAUUAGGUGAUUGUUUCACUUGAAAAAUUAAUGAACUUUGUCUCUGUUUCUGGUCUUUCAAUCUUAUUUACUAAUCUGGUCCGAAAAAAGCCAAAUUAAAUAUGAUACUAGAAUGGGAUCCCACUCUCCCGAAGUUCCAAAUAAAUAUGUUUGUAAAUUUCAUAUUUUACUUUAAUUUGUUUAUUUUUAGUCUUUUUAGGGUAAAAUUAUUGAGUUUUAUUAUUUUUAAAAUUUGAUGCUACAAUAUAUUCUCAUAUAUUAUCCACUGAGUUGAUUGUAAAAGUAUAGAUGCUUAGAAAUUAGAAUGAUUUGAUUAAAGAAUAUCAAUGGAAGUAUAUUAGUUUAUAAUUAUUUUUAAUUGUGAAAUGGUUAUUUGGGCCUGUAGGGCAUGGUUGUAUGGGAAUUUCUACUAUGGAACUCAAUUAGGUGAUCGUUUCACUUGAAAAAUUAAUGAACUUGGUCUCUGUUUCUGGUCUUUCGAUCUUAUUUACUAAUCCGGUCUGAAAAAAGCCAAAUUAAUACUUGGUUCCUUUUAAUUUUUAGGUUAAUAUUAUUGAGUUCUUUUUUUAUUUUUUUAAAUUGAUGCUACAAUAUGUUCUCAUGUAUUACCCACUGAGUUGAUUAAAGGAUAUCAAUGGAAGUAUAUUAGUUUAUAAUUAUUUUUAAUUGUGAAACGGGUAUUUGGGCCGGUCGGGUAUGGUUGUAUGGGGAUUUCCACCAUCUCCUAUUAGGUUGUGAAAAACGACUUGUCCUCUAGGAUGUUCUUGUUUACUAAUUAUUGAACUUGUGAUUGAUCACAGAAAAAGGUUGUGCCAUUCGGGUUUAUUCGGAAAAUUUGGUCAAGAGAAGAGAAUGUCAAAGAAUAUGUGAAAUGUCAUCCAUUUUUGGGGGUGACACAAAAGGGGAGGAAGAAUUAGAAUGUUCUUGUUUAUAUUUGUAAACAUUUCUUUUGAUUCAAACAACAAAGAAGCGAAUUAAGUAUUUUAAAUUGAAUUAAACUUUCUGGGAUCUCUGAUUGUCUUUCUUGCUAAUUUUUCACUGAAAAUUGGUUUUCUUUUUAUCUCUUUAGACUCGAUCGAAAGGCUAAAUGUUUGAGGUUUUGUUCAAAUUAAGAUCAAAACAAAAAAUUGCUACAUUUCGAGACUAAACGACAAAACAUUAUCAUAUUGGUCCUUUUUCGAAUAGGACCUAGUUUAUGUAUCUCACGCGCCAUCAUUGGUAUUUGUCGUUUGUUACAAGGCAACAAAGAAUAAAAAUAUACCUUGUGUUCAAAAAGAUAACAUGAAAAAAUUACAUUGUACAAUUUGCCAUGAUGUGACUGAAAUUAGGAAGAUUUUGUGAUAAAAAAUUAAUCAAAACACUCCUUCAAGUAAACCAUGCUUGCACAACUUUAUGUACCUUAUCAGUAUUUAAUUUGUUUCCCUCAAACAUCCUGUUGAAUGUGUCAAAAGUAAACCAUGCUUUUUCAUUUACUAAUGACAGUUUAUAAGCAAAAUUUCUAGAAUAUUGGUGGAUACUUCGUGGGCAUGCAAAGGGUAAUAAUAUACAUAAUUUAUAUAACUUCACUUGAUUGAUACUUGUAAUACAAAUCCAUUUUUUUAAACCAAUUUUUGGCAUCUUCCAUUACAGAUUAAUGAUAAGAAAGGAGGGUAUAUAAAGUUAGAAAGGGCGGAGAAAUUUAUCCUUUUAGUUGGAUCAUUCGAACGACUUGAAUUGCAUGAGCGUUCGCUUAGAAGACUAUGCCAUAAUUCAGAUAGGGUAUGUGUAUCGGUCUUAUACAUUAGUAUGUACUGCAGCCCUUGAGCUAAUGUUGAAUCUUGUUUAUAGCAGCAAGAUGAUGAAACUGAGAUCUUUAACUUGGAUCCUCCCAUGGACGUGAGUAGGAAUUUCUCGGCUGAUAUAAAUGAUGUAAGUUGUUACUUGCAUUGUGUUCAUCUAUACACUUGCAUUACAUUUCACUACCGAUUUUGGUCUAUUUGACGCAGAUUUUGAGAAACACGAAAGAAUUGAAGGAAAAAUUGAAAGAGAAUUUACGGAACAAAUCUGAUUUUCUCAAGAAUGGUACUAUUAGAGAUCAGGUAUGAACCAUUAAUUUCUUUGGAAUUUUCAUUUUAAUCUUUUGAUCUUACCAUUUUGCUUAUUUUGUACUUUGUUUACAGGUAAGGUUAGGUGUUGCUGGAUGGAAAAAAAGAUACUACAAGCUGAAAUUCUCUGCAGACAGGAUAUCGAAAUAACGAGAAAGGAAAUAGUGUGUGUUCUAACCAUGAAAUCCACACUUUUAUCUAUGCAUGUCCAAAAGUACACUGAGGGUCUACUAUGGGUGCUUUUGUACUAUUUUUUGGGUGUACCAUCGUGGGCCUGGUCAGCUAUCUCCAUUUUCCAUUCUAGUGGAAUUCGAUACAUACAUAUGUAAUCGGUGUCAUUCAUACAUAUAUAGAUGGUGUCAUACAUACAUGCUCUGAGUACUCUUGAGGGUCUACUAUGGGUGCCUUCGUACUAUCUCUGGUGUACCAUCCUAGUCCCUGUUUGCCAUCUGAAAUUUCCAUUCUAGUGGAAUUCAAUACAUACAUAGAUGGUGUCAUACAUACGUAGAGAGUUUCAUACAUACAUAUAUGUUGUCAUACAUACGUUCAUACAUGCUUUGAGUACUCUUAGGUUCUAACUACGGGUGCUUUUAUACUAUUUCUCUGGUGUGCCAUUCUGGUCCUGGUUAACUAUCUGAAUUUUCCAUUCUAGUGGCAUUCAUUACAUACAUACAUAGGUGUCAUACAUACAUACAUGCUCUGAGUACACUGAUAGUUAGCUAUCUGGUUGCUUUUAUACUAUUUCUUUGGUGUCAUACAUACAUCCAUCCAUUCCAUGAUUGCUUUUAUACUAUUUCUUCGGUGUACCAUCUUGGUCCCGGUUAGCUAUCUGGAAUUUCCAUUCUACCGGAAUUCAUUACAUACAUACAUACAUACAUACAUACAUAUGUUCUAGAAUUAGUAUUGCUACGUGAUGAGAGAUCCAUUAAAAUGUUAGGUAUUAUCCCUACUACUAUGCUCCAUUUUCAUCAGACAUGAAAGGUCUUUCUCAAGUGAGUGUAAAGUUCUAGAAGGGUCAGCCUUUUAAGCCCUUUGAUCAACUAAUGAGUGUAUUGCCACCUCGAAUUCAAAAAAAAAAAAAAAAAGAGUGUAUUGCCACCCAGAAGGUAUACCAUAUUACCUCUUCUGAUUUGGAUACUAACUUCCGAUAUUUCGGUUUUCGUAAUAUGUUAUUGGUUUUAUGCAGUGCUCAUGCACUUCCGAAGCUGUAUCCAAAACUUAUCACCGAUGCCGAUUCCCAAAUCAUUGACUUCUAUCCUACAGGUUAGUCCUGUUUUCUAGGUUAUGGAUCGUGUGAUGCUGGUAUAAGUGUUCCUAUUACAGAUUCACAACAUGUUUUCUCUUUCUCCUACAUUUUUCUUAGAUUUCGAAAUCGACACGGAUGGAAAGCGCCACGCAUGGCAGGUUGGUUGCUCAAAACAUUUACCCUUGCUAGUAUCGUUCCCAUUAUUAUAGAAUCAGUUAUUAAUGCAUGAAAAUUUUGCAUGAACUCUUCUUGUUAAGGGCAUAUGCAAGCUUCCCUUUAUCGAUGAGGAACGGCUUCUAUCGGAGACACUAAGACUUGAGAAGGAAUUGACGGUGAGACUUCAUUUCAUCUAUAGAACUCGGUUCAUGAACUUAUAUAUAUUAUAUGCAAUCAAUGAGACGGUAUUUUACAAUAUCUUCAGCAGGAAGAAACUGAAAGAAAUGCAGUGAAAAGUGAUCAACUCUUUGUACCAAGCACUUUAGGAUCAAAGAUUUUGACAGUUUUGCCUGAUAAUCAAAAGUUGCAUACAGAAGCCGAACUGAUCAGGUUGGUCCAUCACGUUGUUUCAUUUCAUGUUUUAGCUAUAUUAUUUAUCUGACCGUUCAUCGUACCUAAUGUAGUGGUGCUGUUAGAGGACAUGUAUCAUCGUCACCUAUCAUGUAAGCCGGUUCGAAACUAUGCAUGUAGAAAUCAUGGACAGGUUGGAUUUCAUAUCGUUUUUUUUUACAUCAUAGGUCGUUGCCGUUCAAGAUCCCUAUCGGAAAACUACAUAUCCCACGCCCUCUAGAGGGUGUUGAAUAUCCCGAAAAGGUAAUAUAAACUUCCUAAAUCUUCUUCAAAAAUUAUUUACUCGCUAAUAAUCAUUGUAACAUUUAUAUUGUAUAUAGGCCAUAACGGAAGCUGAUAUUCAAAAAACUCAGCUAUGGCAUGAAUACCUUGGAACCAGACCGCCCUAUAACAGGUUCGAGUUAAUCCAAAAAAACCAGAAAUGAUCUUCACCCAUCGAACCAGACAUCAAAUAUAAGGUUGCCAUGGAACCCAAGGUUUGACACAUGCAAAGUGGGUGGUGCUGGUUCAAGCUCAAACACGGCUAAAGCCAUUGCAGACAUGAAAAUAUCUGAACCUAGCCAUAGUAGUAUUUUUGGUUAUGGAAGAGGGCAGAAAUGGCGAAGGAGCUCGCAACAGUUAAGUUCUUUUCGGUCAUCAACAUCAAACACGAACAAUCCAUGGCGUAGGGGGCUGUGCAAAUCUAAUAACAAUGAUUCUGGAAGUGGUUUAAAGUGAAUGUUAUUUGAAAGAUUCUUUAAUGUUUGUGUUUUGAUUCUCUAACACUGUUUUUUUUUAAUACGAAAAUUUAUAAUUGAUAAAAAUUAUAUAUUUUGGUAUUAAAAAUAUUUUUUUAAUGUUCAAUGAUUGAUUAUUAGUGUACCAAAAUAUAUAAUAUUAACUUGGAAAAAAAAUAAUACAUAAAUCAUAUUAGAGAAAAGUAUUAAUAAUAAUUCAGAUAAAUAUAAUUAUGUGUAUAAAAUAUAAACAUGAAAUGAUAUAAUAUUAAUAAUUGUGUUAGUACUUUAUGAGAAUUAGAUCAAAAUAAAAUUUAAUGUAAAAUAUUAUAAAAAUAAAAAUGUAUAUAUAAAAUUGCAUAUUAACCCCUAAAUUAUAAUAGUUUAUUUGAAUAAAUUCUUGUAAAUAAUUGUUUGAUUAUACAAAAUUUAAAUCCACAAAUUUAUAUGAAAAUUAUGAUACAUUCAUAUUGAAAUUCUUACAACUAAUAAAUUUGUGAUAAAAUAACAAAUAAUUUUUUUUACUUAUGUAUUUGUGUUAUUAAACAAACUAUUUAUAUGUAAUUUUGUCAAUUUAUUGUUCAUGUCAUGAAAAAUAGCAAACUAAUUAAAACUAAAAGUUUUUUUAAAGAAUAGGAAUUUAUAUAGGUGAAUAUAAAAUAUAAGGACUGAUUUGAAUAAGCUAUUAAACUUUAUGGAACCAUUUAAUAUAUAAACCAUAUAAAUUAAAAUUUUCUCUUUAUCCUUUUUUUAAAAUUUGCAAGGAAAUGACCUAGUUACCCCCAUCAUAUCCAAAAAUCCCAUGGCUAAAUUGUCACAAAACUAAAGCCAUCUAAACUCUAAUUCUACCCUCAGAUUACUUUAAUAGUAGACCUUAUCAUCGGCGAGUCAAUGUAAAAUUUUAAGCUCACUUCUUAAGUUUAAUUCAAUCCAAAAAAAUGAGUUUAUAAUUUUGUUCAAAUUCGAUCCAUAUUAAAAAUGAUAAACUCGUGCUUGAUUCGGCUAGGUCGUAUAAAUUUUUUAAUUUAUUUUAUAUAAAAAUAAAUUUAAAAAGUAUAAUAUAAUAAAAAUAUUAAAAUAAAUGAUUACCAACAAACUAAAAAUAAAAUAAAAACUUGUGAUUUGAAUUAAGAUCGAAUAAAAACAAUCGAUAUUUUUUAAUAUUUGAAUUUCGUACCAUAAAUGAAAUGGUGCCCUAACAAUGUAGCUCCUAAUUUUGGGUAUGCACGCUAAAUAAUCGCCACUUUACCCAUUAACAAAAGGCGCGAAUUGCCGAUUCAAACCAUUUUUUUAUUAUUUUCUUAAAGAAAUUUAUUUAUUGACAUAAUUUCAAUUUAGCAUUUGGAGUAAAUUGUUUACCCACUAAAUCCUACUGCUCUAAUUAAAUUCUUGAACACAAAUUCCCUCCCUUUGGCCUUUGUUUCCUUCCCCUCUUUGUAUCUUUUCCCUCGUUUUCCUUCAAACCAAACAGAAUCUACGCUAAAUUCUCAGAAAAAGGAGUCCUUUUGUAUUUUUCCUUUAGCAAAGCUUAAAAAAACCCAAAAUUCUUUCAUUUUUUAAUAAAAAAGGGUAGCUUUGAGUUGUUUUUAUGUGAUGUCGGGUUCUCAAGCUGCGGAUCAGUUGUUGAAGCAAUCCCUGCAGCAGCAGCAGCAAAAUCAACAGUCACUAAAUCGACAGCUACUCUUCUCUAUGGCUCCCGGAGACGAUUGUCACCGCUUUGCUUUAGCUGAGCCUCGUAGCAUCGCCGAUCAAGAAGCCGAAGCCAUGGUCGUUAAGUCUCCAGUACAUCUUUUCUCCUUCAUUUCAUGAUUUAGUUGAGAGAUGAUUGUGUUGUGAUUUGGCUCUGAAUUGUAUGAAUAUCUGCUUAUUUUUAGGGAAAAUUUGUGUGGUUGAAAGUGGAAUUGGGGUUUUGUAAUUUUUUAAUUGGGAAUUUUGGCGGGUUUUGUUGAAAUUGGUUUGUUAUUAGGUCAAUUAUGACCUUAAUUUAAAUGAUCGGGUUUUAUUAUUAAUCCACAAAAGGAAGACAAAAAAUAUGGAAAUUUACAAAAAAAAAUAAAAAAAAAUAAAGAACAACUUGAUCAUCAACAUGUUUCGUAGAUCAUAUUGAGUUUCUUUCCACUUCCAUGGAGAAAUGCCUUUGAGUUCAUAGUGUGAUUUGAUAAUGCUAGAAACUGCAAAUGUCUUUCCGCCUUUUUUUCUAGGUAAAUAAAUUCCUCUAUUUUUCCUCCAACCAGCUUACUUUUUUUACCAGGAAGCCUUUUCCUUGAAUGGAGCUGGAAAUUUCUCUGUUCUCAUUAUGUUUGAGCCCGAAAAAAUAAAACGAUAUCAGUUAAAGAGGAAGAGUGAUGUAGCAGAUCGAGAAGUCGAGCCUGGUGAGUGGACAUUGCCUCGAGGAUACAAUGAAGUGUUUAUCGGUCUUCCCCAAACACCUGUUUUGGGAAAAGGGGGAAAGGCUCAAAAAACAUCAAGGCUAGCGAAAAGCAGCAAAUUUGGCCCUCAAACUCCUCCUUCAAAUCUUGGUAAGUAUCAAUGUAGCCAAGUUCUAGUGAAGCUAAAUGAAUAAAAGUCGGAUAAUAGAUAGUGAGAACUUAUGAAAAUUUGCAGGUUCUCCUGGCAAUAACCUCACUCCUGCAGGUCCUUGUCGUUAUGAUAGCUCCUUAGGUAUUGUUUUUGCCCCUGAGUAUUCUUUUUCAGGUGUUUAUUAUGAAACCAUUAUAGAAAAGUUAAAGUGGCUGUAUGAAACUGAUACAUUAUUCUUGAAUUUAAACUCAGGCCUUUUGACAAAGAAGUUCAUAAAUUUGAUUAAACAAGCUGAAGAUGGUAUUCUAGAUUUAAACAAAGCUGCUGGUACCUUAGAGGUAACUGUUUCAUUAUUUGCUCAAUUGAGUCGUACAAUUCUGUUUCUUGAUGGUUUUUAGUUCUGGGUGCAAAAGAGGAUGAUAUAUGAUAUAACCAAUGUCCUUGAAGGAAUUGGUCUUAUAGAAAAGAAACUCAAGAAUCCUCUUUGUUUUUGGGUUAAAAUAUCUAUUAGUUUUUUUACUCUCGGAAAAUUUGAAAUUUAAUCUCUUUAUUUUUCAGAUUUUAAAAUUCAGGCUUAAUUGUUAAUAUUGUUAAAUUUAUCGGUGUGAUAUUUAAAAAUUAAUAGUAUUAAAAGUUAGAUUUAAAUUUUUAAAAUCUGAAAAGUGAAUGAAUUAAAUUAUUAAAAACAAAAAUACAUAGAUUAAAUUCUAAAUUAUUAAAAAGUAUAAGUACUUAUGGCAUAUUUGAACCUUGUUUUUACCAUCAACCCUAUAAACUAAAAUCCCACCAUUUUCUGUCAUAUUUUCAUUAAUGUCUUCCAACAAGAAAAAGCUGUUGAAAUCCCUUUUAACAGCCAAAGCAAGAUGUGGGUGUAAAAAACUCUACGAUGUUCAUGACCCAAAACUCAAACCUUCACCACCGCCGCCGUCAUCACCAUCACCAUCAUCAAAUUUCAACAUGGAUACAAUAUCAUCAUCAUCAUCGUCAUCCAAUGUUAUGGUAAACUCUAGGGGUGUUCAUUCGGUUAACCGACCGGUUAAUCGACCCGAAAUUACUAUAAUUGAAUUAAUUGACCUUCCAAAAAUUGUAACCGUUAACCGAACCGAUUUUUUUUUUUUAAAUUAACCAAACCAAAAUUUUUUCAGUUAAUAAGGUCGGUUAACCGAAUUAACCGAAAAUUAUGUAUUUUUUUGGUUAAAAAUUACCUGAAUUAACCGAAAAAUACCCGAAUUACCCGAAUUUUUUAUUUUUUAUUUUUAAAAUUUAAAAAAAUUUAUAAAUUAUUAACAUAAAUUGGGUUGGUAAAUUUGGUAGUCUUUUAGUUUUAGUUUUAUUGGAUUGGGUAAUUAGGUAAACUUUAGUUUUAGUUUUAUUGGGUUGGGUAAUUGGGUUGGGUAAUUGGGUUUGGGCUAGGUUGGAUAAUUUUAUUUAUUUAUUUUUUCGGUUAAACCGAAAAAUUUCGGUUAACCGACCGGUUUCGAACUGAAUUAACCGUUAACCGAAAAAUCAUAAAAAAAUAAAUCGACCCCCGACCAAAAAAAUUCGGUUAACCGACCGAUUAACCGAAUUCGGUCGGUUAACCGAAUUUUUUCAGUUUUACCCGAAUUAUGCACACCCCUAGUAAACCCUAAAAUCAUGGGCAGCAUCGCAGUGGUGAAGGAUUCCCAUGAUCCGUACCUGGAUUUUCGACAUUCCAUGUUGCAAAUGAUUGAGGAAAAGCAUAUCUACUCCGCCGAUGAACUAAAGGAGCUUCUUCAAUGUUUUUUGGAGCUGAAUUCACCAUGCCACUAUCGUGUUAUUGUCGAAGCUUUCAUGGGGAUCUGGCAUCGGAAAUUAUGUAAAUACGUUUAAUUAUUUCUCACAUCCGAAAAACUGCAUGGCGGUUGAUCAUAAGCUCAUAAAUAAUAUGCAAGUUUUUUUUCCCUUGUAUUUAUAACUAUAGUUAUUGACCAUCUAUAAUAAUGGUUAAUUUUAGGAUAAAUCAAUGUUCGGUGCCUGAACUUGAUAAUAAUUUUCAACAUGAUGCUUAAAACUUCUUUUCUACGAAUUUGACAGCUUUUUUUUUAAUUUGAUCCAUAAACUUAGAUUCGGUUAAGGCAUAAUGAUGUGGCAAUUUUGAUAUUGUAAUAUGUCAUCACUUGAAAGUUUUAAAUACAUAUAAUCUAUAUAAUUAAAACUUUUGAAUUUGUUAUUAUUUUGCAUGUGUUACCAUGUGAAUUUUUUAGAAUAUCUAUAUAAUUAAAAUGUAAAAUUUCCACUAAAUACAAUAUUGAACAUGUUGAAUAUUAGGGUGUUCAAAUUUCGGUUAAAGCUAAAUUAACUGACUGAACCGAUUUAAUUCAGUUAAUCGGUUGGUUAACCGAUAUAAUUUGGUCGAAUGUCGGUUAAUAUUUUUUUGGAAGUUCAGUUAUCGGUUAAUUCGGUUAGAAAUCGGGUAAUUAAUCGAACUUCAUAAUUAAUAUUAUAUAUUAUAUGUAUUAGUUAGUUUGGUUAUUUUGGCUAAUUUGGGCAAAUGAACAUUAUCAUUUUUUUAUAUGUUUUAUACUUAUUUUAACAGAAAAAAUGCAUUAAUUCGGUUAAUCGAAAUAUUUAAUUCUUUUAAUUUUUUUAAAAAAUUCAGUUCGAUUAAGUAUUAAAGAUUAAAAAUUUUGAUUCUUACUAAUUCAGUUUGGUUAUAAUUCUAACAUUUAGAAUAUAUUUGCCAUUUAUAUACUAAUUCGGUUUGGUUAUAAUUAGAGGUGAUCAUGGGUCGAGCUGGGUUCGAGUUGGGCCCAGACAAAAUUUCAAGUCCGUUUUUUAAAUGGGCCUCAUUUUUUUAUCUAAACUUAUAUUUCGAGCCUAUAUUUUUACUCGAACUCCUUUCAUUUUUUGGACGGGCCAUCGGGCUAGGUCAGGUAACCCAACCCAACCCAACCCAGGAUCACCUCUAGAUAUAAUUCAACAUGUAGAAUAAUUCAUACUAAUUUUAUUUUGACUUUAAAAAAGUAGAGGUUUUUUACCCCCAAAAAAAAAAAAGCGCUAUAUAAUUUAAAGAAAAAAGACACCCAUUUUCUCGAACGGCUUUCUGACUCCGGUCAUUGGUCAAUCUCUUCUUCUCCCAGGCCCCGUUCUGGCCAUUUCGAUCCAAUUUCGUUAAAGGUAUUUUCUUUUCCUUUACUUAUCAAUUUUAGGGUUUUCUUUCUUGAUUUUCGUUUUAUUUUGAGUUUUCGACAUUGUUCGAUUAGCGAAAUGUGCUACUUUCUGGUUUUAGGGUUUCUCGCUUUAUAAAAGAUUUCUUACUUGGUUGAAUUUCCGCAUUGGGGGAGUUUCAUUGCUGGGUUUCGAAUUGGGGGACCUUACGAUAUCCGAAGAAUUAUUGUUUGAAAGGAACGGAUUGAAGGUGGUUUUGAAAAGUCUCAAGUUCUUGGAUGUUGAUAUGCAUUUGGAUUAAAAACUUUUUGGUGAAUUGAGUUUCCAUCAUGAAGUAAAGAUGGAUUAAAAGUUUCAACCUCUUUCUUGUUUUGUGCGGUUUACUCUGGAUCUAAAUGUUUAAUUUUGUUGAUUUUAGAAUUAGUAAUAGAGGAUUUCUAAUAAAUUUAAUUUCAAAUCAUCUGGUUUGGAUUUUGGAGGACUGAUAGGAAGGUAAACUCCCCAAAAGUUUUGAAUUAUCAUAUUAUUUAUCUAUUUCCAUCGCCUUAGGUUUAUUAUUUUCUUCACUUGAUUGAAUAUUUUCACAUAUGAAAUGCGAUUGAGACAGACUCCAGCUUAAUGAAGCAACCUGAAUGCAAAAUGGGGGAAGGGGAAGAUAAGGAACUCAAAGGUAUUUCUUGAAUUCUGUAGUGAUCUUCUUUUGUUUUUUUUUUCUUUCUAUUUACUAAGAAAAGAUAAGAUGGUCCAAAAAGAAAAAGGGGGACUCGUUUGGAUUCAGUGUUUAGCUUUUUCUUUUGGUUUGGCGCGAGUUUUAUUUGGCUUUUGCCUUUACCCGUACUUUGGCUCAGGUGUGAGUGUCUGAGAUGGAUUGAUAUGGGUAUUUUCAAUUUUCUUCUAGGCUUUUUCAUGUAUUUGUUGGAUUUUUAGAGGGUCAUAUCUACAUAUACAUAUAUGCAUUGAAUGUGGAUGUAAGGGAUACUUUAAGAAAUAUGAAGAGUUAGAACAACAUAACCUUUUCCCCCUGGCCAUGUUUCUAAUAAAUUUAAUUUCAAAUCAUCUAGUUUGGAUUUUGGAGGACUGGUCGGAAUGUAAACUUCCCAAAAUAGAAGUUUUGAAUUAUCAUUUUAUUUUUUUCUGUAUUUAUUCCCAUCGCCUUAGGCUUUUCAUUUUCUUCAAUUGAUUGAAUAUUUUCACAUAUGAAAUGCAAUUGAAACAGACUCCAGCUUGAUGAAGCAACCUGAAUGCAACAAGGGAGAAGGGGAAGGGGAAGAUAAGGAACUCAAAGGUAUUUCUUGAAUUCUGUAGUCAUCUUCUUUUUUUUUUUUUUUUCUUUUUUUCUUUUCUAUUUACUAAGGAAAGAUAAGAUGGUCCAAAAAGAAAAAGGGGGACGCAUUUGGAUUCAGUGUUUAGCUUUUUCUUUUGAUUUGGCUUUUGCCCUUUACCCUUACUUUGACUCAGGUGGGAGUGUCUGAGAUGGAUCGACAUGGGUAUUUUCAAUUUUCUUCUAGGCAUUUUCAUGUAUUUGUUGGAUUUUUAGAGGGUCAUAUCUAGAUAUACAUAUAUGCAUUGGAUGUGGAUGUAAGGGAUACUUUAAGAAAUAUGGACAAUUAGAACAACAGAACCUUUUACCUCUGACCAUGUUUCUAAUAAAUUUAAUUUCAAAUAAUCUAGUUUGGAUUUUGGAGGACUGAUCGGAAUGUAAACUCCCCAAAAUAGAAGUUUUGAAUUAUCAUUUUAUUUAUUUAUGUAUUUAGUUCCAUCGCCUUAGGUUUUUUAUUUUCUUCAAUUGAUUGAAUAUUUUCACAUAUGAUAUGCAAUUGAAACAGAUUCCAGCUUGAUGAAGCAACCUGAAUGCAACAAGGGAGAAGGGGAAGGAGAAGGGGAAGAUAAGGAACUCAAAGGUAUUUCUUGAAUUUUGUAGUCAUCUUCUUUUCUUUUUCUUUUUUUUUUUCUUUUUUUCUUUUCUAUUUACUGAGGAAUGAUAAGAUGGUCCAGAAAGAAAAAGGGGGACGCAUUUGGAUUCAGUGUUUAGCUUUUUCUUUUGGUUUGGCACGAAUUUUAUUUGGCUUUUGCCUUUACCCUUACUUUGACUCAGGUGUGAGUGUCUGAGAUGGAUCGAAAUGGGUAUUUUCAAUUUUCUUCUAGGCAUUUUCAUGUAUUUGUUGGAUUUUUAGAGGGUCAUAUCUACAUAUCCAUAUAUGCAUUGAAUGUGGAUGUAAGGGAUACUUUAAGAAAUAUGAAGGGUUAGAACAACAUACCCUUUUACCCUUGGCCAUGUUAAGUAUCUUGGAACUUAAUAUCUGUGUUAAUUUUCUUUUUUUUUUCUACAUGCUUUAACAGAGGAUGAUAUCAGCCAAGACUCCGAUUGUUUCUCCGGUUUAUCCAAUUAUAAACCAGUAAAACGGGUGUGUCACUUGAUUCUUUGUGCUGCUUUCAGUUUUCAGGUGGAACGAGUUUUUUCUACUCUUUUUUAUCUGGUUUUUAUUAUUUUAUUGCUGCACCACAUGCAACUACAGUGGCAUUAUGUACGCUUGGAGAAGACAUGUCAGCGUAAUGAGCAGGUAGCUUUGUUGUUAAAAGUGCUUAAAUGGUAAGCGAAGCCUCUUUUAUUUUGCUCAAUGCUUUUUAUGGUUAAUAAUUGAACUAUUUGGUAUCAGAUUGAAUGAUAGAAUUUUAUGUUCUCUUCAACAGUGAUAAGUCUGUAAUCCCAUCUAUAUAUGACUUCCGUAGCGUCUAUUUUUUUCACGCUUACUUGACGUUGGAUGAGGCUGAGAACUUAAGUGGUUAGUUCCUUCAGUCUGCUCCAUCUCUUUUAAGUUUUGCUUAUGCAGAAAUACAUUUUUUUUUGAGCUGACCCUUUUUCUCCCAAUUCCUUUUAUUGUUUAAGAAUUAGAAGAAGUCGAGGAAGUUGGCUUUCCAAUGUCAGAGGUUCCUAGGAAAGCAAAACGAACCAGGUCUCGAACUUCCAAUGGUCUACUAAAAGCAAAGAAACAAAAGACUAGUAUGGGUAUGCUUUUCUUCUUCUUGACUUUUUGACUUUGAUUUAUUUUGUAUGAAUGUAUCAUGUAUGUUGUUUUUGGAAGACAUGAGAUCUAUAUUAUGUUGGCAGGCAGCAUUCUCUCGCAGCGGAGACAAAACAAAGAGAAAUGGAGGUAUAAUGAAGGUAUGCCUCACCUAAAUUUUAAUUAUUUGGAUGUGUUAUGUAUCUCACAUUCUACCAGGAGUGUUGUACGUUUCAUUGCUAAUGUUUUGGAAUCCUUGCAAAUCUUCGGUCAUUUCUGUAUGUUAUGAUCGGAAGAGAGGCGGGUGGGUUAGUGAGCGAUAUGCUUUGACAACAAGAGAUGAGAAAAAAGAAAUGUUGUCAAGUUGAGUUGGAUUUUAAGUAAACAAUGACAAUGAUUUAGAGACUGCUUUGCAAAGAAAGUUUAGGUGCUGGUUGUUUGGUGUCUUGGUAGUGAAUAUCAUUGUCACUUAUCAUUGUCCUAUAAUAUUUUCUGUGUCUGUGCUUUUUCAGCUGGCAUAUUCUUAUGAUGUGGAAAUUCAUGUCACUCAGUAUUUCUAUUAGUCUUUGAUCUGCUCUAAUGCUCAAUGAAAUCUUAACCCAAUUGUGCUGUCAAGGGUGCACUCUAUAACCCAUAUGUGCAUGUUUUGGUAUCUCUCUCUAUCAUACACACACACACACACAUUUAGUAUUAUACAAUUAUGAUAAUAGAAUCUAAAAAGUGAUCCCUUUUGUUGAUCAAUAUGCAUAUUUUUGUUGUUGUGAAAUACUCAAAUAUUGAGGAGGAGAGUUUGAUAAAUUCUUUCCUUUCUAACUAGUAUGAUAUAUGUAAUAAAGAAAAAAAGGAAAAGAAAAAAACGAGGAGAACCUCUAUUAAGCGAGUUUGUGUGUGUUCAUCAGAUUUGCAUUACCCAACAAGGCUGCGGGUUUCUGUUGUCCGGACUAGCCUUGAAUGCUCCUGACCAAAUGUGCCUCACCCAAUUAAUCUAAUUUGUCUUAGUAGAUGGAUAAGAGGCCAACUUCCUCCUUUCUCAAAUGAACCAAUUUUUAACAAUUUCAUUUUUAGAAUAAGUGAAUGCCAUCUUGUUAAGGACUUCUUUUUACAAUAACUAUUUGAGUGCUGAUUUCCCGCUCUUCUCUCACUUUAAACAGAUUUUGAGCCAGAGCCAGAGUCUGACAUUAAGGGUUUAGAGGAGGAUGACUUGUCAGGUAUGAGGUCCCACUUUUCUUAUAAAAUUAUGGAUUUUUUUUUUUUUUGGUUCUGCCUCUCUGCUUUAUGUGUUAGUGGAUUUUGUUAAUUUUAUACCCUUGCUAUUUUGGAACUUAAAUUUUUUGUUGUUUUGGCUCUGGUUGAUGAUUCUCUCUUUUUUUCUUUUUGUAAUAAACACUUGAACAGAGGAUGAUUUGCUCGAUGAUUAUGGUUCCUCCUGCAGAUACGAGGGUUAUUAUGGGUUUGAUGCAUCUGGAAAAAGGGUUUGUUGCUUGAUUUUAUUGCUUUUAAUUUCUGAAGGGUAAAUAGUUAUACAUGGUUAUCUGAUUAUGCUUGUAUACCCAUCUUGCAUUGGAAAAUUGGCUUUUACUAUCUUUUCCCUAUGUGUUCUAUAUAAUGAAGCUCUAACUACGUUAGAAAUUCCCACGGAAUGGACCUCAUUGGGAAACUAUUUUUCAAAUUCUUUGCCCUAGCCUGAAUCAGGCCAAUUUGAUAGCCCAUUUCACUACUAAAAAAAUAUUUUUUUAUUAAUAAUUUAUCAUUAAAAUUGAAUAAAAUCAUAUUUCUGUUAUUAAUUGGAAAUUCAAGCCAAGCCAGCUUGAACUAAAAUAAAACUUUUCCAAGUUCCUUAGACAGGUUCUAAACCGAAUAUAUGUGAGUUUCAUCUUACUACUUUUUAUAGGUUGUUGUGGGCCUUAUAUUUAUUGAUUUAGGUGUAGUUUCUUGAGUAUGGAGCAUUUCUCCGGUAUGAGGAUUGUGACAUCAUUCACUUUCAUUUCUCAUGUUUCUGAAGUGUUUGUUGCUAGAACCUAGAGGCUAGCUCAGUUAGUUCAUGCGGCCAAUUUUUAAGGGAGUCAACAGAUCUGGAGUUGGAAUCGCAUAUCUGCAAUAUUUUCCCCUAUUCCUAGAUUAAGGUCUCCUUGGCAUAUUGAUAAACAAUAGCCUCUUUUUUGUUUAUUCUGGAAUGACAGUGGUAUGAAGUAAGCUUGGUAGAUGAGAAAAACCAGGAUUAUCAUAAAGCUUUGCUGCUAGAUGUGCUUAAAUGGUAUUUAAACAUCUUUCUUUGGUGGACAUAAAUGAAGAUUGAGUGUUAGCUUGCUAUACACUGAAAAGUGCUUCCCUUGACAGGGAUUCGUGUAAAAGCAUCUAUCGGUGUAAGGCUAAUCAUCUGUUUGAAGCCCGCAUGAGUGAGGAAGAGGCUGAUAAAGUUGCUGGUUGGUUCUCUACCCUCUUGUUUCUAUUUUCUCCUUGCUUAGAAUAUGGCUAAAUUGAUAUGAGUUUUUGAGAUUGUCAGAGGGUAUAGUAUACUGCGAUGUUUGAUUUGAUUGAAAUUAUUAUUUACAGAUUACAGAUUAGGAAUGAGAAACUGUCAUCUCAUUCAAUAGAAUUGGGAUACCCUGUAUCUGACAUGUCUCUUGGGAAGAGUAACAUGAAGCUCAGAAUUAUGGGAGUAUUGAUUCAAUACUCCCAAAUAAAAAGGGAAUUGGUCUAUGGUCGAGUCAGUAAAAAUAAAUAGCCUUCUCUUUUGUGGAAAAAUUUCAGUACAUGUUAGACAUGUCUGAAACCAAGUCAGAAUAACAUCUUUCUGUUUCUUGACCUUUAAUCUUUUGUUUACUGUAUUCACUUUUUUUGCUUUCAAGGGUUGGAAGAAGUUGAGUACGUGGAGCCACGUCGGUACAUCUUCCACCUCGAUUAGGUGAUCGUCUCACUUGGAAAACUAAUGAACUUCGUCUCUGUUUCUGGUCUUUCAAUCUUAUUUACUAAUCCGGUCUGAAAAAAGCCAAAUUAAUACUUGGAAGGUUGUUGGAUUAUUAUGAUACUAGAAUGGGAUCGCACCCUCUCAAAAGUCCCAAUUAAAUAUGAUAGUAAAUUUAAUAUUUUACUUUAAGUUGUUUAUUUUUAGUCUUUUUAGGGUAAAAUUAUUGAGUUUUAUUAUUUUUAAAAUUUGAUGCUACAAUAUAUUCUCAUAUAUUAUCCUCUGAGUUGAUUGUAAAAGUAUAGAUGUUUAGAAUGAUUCGAUUAAAGAAUAUGGAUUAAACUCUCAAUGGAAGUAUAUUAGUUUAUAAUUAUUUUUAAUUGUGAAAUGGGUAUUUGGGCCAGUCGGGCAUGGUUGUAUAGGGAUUUCCACCAUCUCCUAACGACUACCCUCUAGAAUGUUCUUGUUUACUAAUUAUUGUACGUGCGAUUGAUCACAGAAAAAGGUGGUGCCAUUCGGGUCUAUUCGAAAAAUUUGGUCAAGAGAAGAGAACGUCCAAGAAUAUGUGAAAAGUCAUCCAUUAUUGGGAUGACACAAAAGGGGAGGAAGAUUUAGGAUGUUCUUGUUUACAUUUGUAAACAUUUUCUUUGAUUCAAAUAACAAAGAAAGCGAUUAAGUAUUUUAAAUAUUUUAACUUGAUUUAACCUCCGACUAUCUGUCAUGCUAAUUUUUAACUUGAUUUAAAUAUUUUAGAAGGCUUGAUUGAAAGGCUAACUGAUCAAAUUUUGGCUUAAAUGUUUGAGCUGACAAAACGUUAUCAUAUCUGUGUAUUUCACGCGCCAUCAUUGAUACUUUUCGUCUGUUACAAGGCAGCAACGAAUGAAAACACACCAGGUGUUUAAAAUGAUAACAUGAAAAAAAAUUAUAAAUGUAGGUGAUAAUAGUUGCACCAUGUAUGUUCAAAUUCUAAAAAAUUAUUAUGGAAGAAGAUGAAAAAUUUGCUUUGAAGACAAAAAAAAUUUCAGUGGAAGAAAAGUCGAAAUCAAUAAUUACGAUUAUUGAUUUAGGUAUAAAUGUGAAUCAUGAAUGUUUUGAAGAUAAACAUAUUCUUAUUUUAGAAUCUAACCACUUGAAUAUUCCUUUUAAAAAGGUAUGUAUUUUGAUUCAGUUAUUAUAAAUUUAUUUUUAUAAUAAAAAUGAUGAUUUAAAUUUAUAUUUAAUGCAGAAAGAUUGUGACUUUUGAAAAUUAUACCAAAGGAAAGGUUUUGUAACAACGCAAUUUCAGUAAAAUUGAAACAGUGGUUUUAGGACCACAAAUCCGAAUCGAAAAGAAAAUUUAUUGUAAUGUUAUUGCAUGGUUUGCAUUAAGGUAGGAAAGUCGUAUGAAAAUUUUGAUAAGAAAAUUAUACCGAUUAUGUGGUUAAUUAGGGAAAGGAUCAAAUUUAAUAAAAUGUUAAAGUUGAGUGCUAGAAGUUAAAAGGAUCAAAUAGCUAUGAAACUUGAAACUUGAAACUUGAGGUCCUUAUAUGGUAAUUAGACCAUUAACAGGGUUAGUAGAUAUUUUUGGAUGAGUCAUCCAUGGAAAUUGAAGAAAAGGUAAGGACUAAAUUGGAAUAAGAAAUAAUAAAAGGAUGAUAAUGAAUUAAAUUAGAAAAUAUCAUCAACUUUUAUCAUCUUCUUCCCCAAUUUACAUGGAAACCCUAGGAGAGAGAGAAUAAACUUUCAAGGCUUGAUUGAGUAAGUAAUCUUGUCCCUUUUUAGUAAUUUUUAUAUUUUUGAGAUUGGUAUAACCUAAUCUAUCUAGAUUAGGGAUUAAUUUGAAAAUUUAUCAAAGUAUAAAAGUUAUGCCAUGGAUGUAAUUGCUGGAAAUUUGAAAUUCAUGGUAGAAAAUGAAAGGUUGGUGAAAGAUAAACAAAUUUUACAAAGUGAUUUUGGGUGACAUUAUGAUUUAGGGACCAAAUUGUAAAGAAGAAGAAUUCAUGAAAAAAAAUUUGAUUUUUAUGAAAUUUAUGGACUGUUAUUGCUAUAUAUGAAAGUUGGCUAGGCUUAGGAAGAGAAAUUCAUUUUCGAGCAUUGGGACGAAAUCAAAAGUUAUGAAAAGUAUAGGGACAAAAUGGUAAUUUUGCCUAGGAUAAAAAUUGAGUCCAAAUGAAUGUGAUAAUUGAUGUCUAAAUUCAUUAUUAUAGAUCCGGACAACUCAAAUUUGAAGUUAGAUCGAGGAAAGGAAAAGGUGUCGGAUUAGUACACUUUUAUAUACGAACAAGUAUCAAGGUAAGUUCGUGUAACUAAAUUGUGAAUAUUAACUUGUUUGAAUUGAACGUUGUAAUUAUAUGAAUGUCAUAAAUGUUUAUUGUAUGAAAUUAAGCAUAUACAUGAAAUUUCUCAAUAAAUGAUAAAUCCCAUUUAAACAUUUCCCGUAAUGGUUAUGGUCUAACAUAUGUUGCAGACAUGCCAUAGCUCGAAAGAGCAUCUCGAUAUAAGCCUCUCAAGUUUCCCGAUAAUUGGUUAUCUGGAGCUUCUCGAUAUAGUUCUUUGUGAACUUCUCGUUAAAAAGGUUCUUUGUGAACUUCUCGAAAAAUGGCUUUUGUGAACUACCCGUUAUAGGCUCCAUGUGAGCUUCCUGUUAAACAGCCCAGAUAAGCUUCCCGAAACGACUCUGUGUGAGCUUCCUGUUACAAGGCUUGAGAGUACAUUAUCAAAGUAUUGUAAAUGUUUUAAUCGAAUAUAAUGGGCAAAGUAUUAAUGUGAAUGGACUGAAAAAUAAGGUAGAUUGACAUGAAAAUAUACAUCUUGGAAAAGCGUAUGAAUAUGGAAAUUGAUAUUUGAUGAGCUCAUCUAUGCUUAACUAUGAUACAAAAGAUUUAGUGACUAAUGUGUCUUUGUGAAUGUAUGUGUUUAGGCAACAUUGACAUUUGACUUGGAAUUCAUGCUAUUGUUAUGUUGUUAAUUAAGUAUGAUUAGUAAGUUUAAUUUCUGUUAUACGAACUUACUAAGCAUUAAAUGCUUACUAAGUUUUAUUUUCCUCUGUUUUAUAAUGCUCGGAAGCUCAAAAAGGUUGGAACGGUUGGAGCAACAUCACACUAUCUUUCAACUCAUUUUGGUAUAUUAGCAAUCAUAUUUUGGGUAUAAUGGCAUGUAUAAGCUACAUAGGUCAUUUUGAUGUGGAGGUGAAUUGUUUGUAAUUUAGCCAUUGGAAUGGCUAAUAUGAAAUGAAUGACUAUAUAAUGACUAGUUUAGGUCAUGUAGGAUAUGCUUGAAAUGAUUAGUUAAUGCAUGAAGUAUAUGUUAUUUUACAAGUGACUUGAGUUAGUAUAAAUGUUGAAUUUGGCUUGGUUUAGUACUUGGAUUGGUUGGUAUUGGAUAUGAGGAAUUGGUGCAGGUUAUAGGUAAAAUUUGGGUGAGAAAUAAGGCUAAGAAGUGGCUUUAUUUCGUCCACACAGGUUGACACGGGUGUGUGUCUAGACCGUGUGUGACACACAGCUUGACCUAUGGGCGUGUAUUCUGUCUGUGUGUUCCCUGCACUUAAAAAUUGAGAAACAGAAUACUCAGAAUUGAGCACACAGGCAGAGACACGGCCGUGUGUCUCAGCCGUGUAAAGGACACGGACUUACUACACGGGCAUGUGAUAUGGCCGUGUGAAUCCUGCACCUAAAUUCGAAAGUAAAAAUUAACCACACAGCCUAGCAACACGGGCGUGUGACUUAGCCAUGUGUCUUCAGUUUUUUCGUGGGUUACAAGUUAGAAAGCUCACACGGAAAGGGGCAUGGGCGUGUGUAGCCACACGGCCUGACCACACGGGUGUGUCCCUUACCACACGGGCGUAUGACCCCUGAACCUUAGAAAAAUUUUACAAAAAAAAUCUCUGAAUUCCAAAUUUAGUCCUGAUUUGUUUCAAAGAUCUGUUUUAGGCCUCGAGGGCCCAAUUAAGGGACGUAGGGAAUAAUUUCUGAAUGUGUUUAAUAAAUGCUUUGAAAUAUCGGUAAUUGUAUGGUAAUUGGGUCUUCAAAGGGUUUUUGAAAUAUAUAAUCGGAUUAAGUUCUUAAUCUGAUUGAACUUUUAAAGAUUUUUUCUUAUCUUCUACGAUUGUCUAAUCUUUAGAGUAGGGAUAAUUUUUCAAGCGUUAAAGGAAUCGAUAUUUGGUUUGAGAUUUUUUAUAAAAAAAUUGAAGGCCAAUGUGAGGAGGUGAAAGAAACCUCCUUUCAAAUGAUGAAUGAAUGGUUUACACAAUACCUGAGAAGUAAUCCUGCUGUGCAACAAGCUCCCCCUCCUGUUCCUCCACCGGGUCCCGAGACAUCGCAAGGUACUGAAUUGGUUAGAACAGGUAAAGCCCCGGUAGAUAAAAUUCGUAAGUAUGGGGAAGAGGAAUUCCGAGCAACGACUGAGGAUGAUCCGAAAAGAGCUGAGUUUUGGUUAGAGAAUACCAUCUGGGUUUUGGAUAAAUUAUCUUGUUCACCAGCUGAAUGCCAAAAGUGCGCAGUGUAAUGGCCUAAAAUUCAGGGUUAUCUGAACAGUAGUCUUAUAACCACAAAUCUGAUUUAAAAACAAAAGUUAAUAUAAUAUUAUUGCAUGAAUAUUGAUAAGAUAGGAAAGUCGUAUGAAAAUAUCGACAAAUUUUUUUUACUAAUUUAGUGGUUAAUUAGAAAAAGAAAUUAUUGAAGAAAUUGAGAAAAAAAUGAGGUAUCGAGACCUCAAUCUCGUAAAAUUGAGUUGAAAAUAUUUUUAUAAAUAUUUAUGAAAUGGUAGUAAUGUGGUAUUAAAAUUUCAUUAGAAAAUUUUAAUGUUUGGGUAGUCAAUUAAAUUAAAAGAACUAAAUUGAAAAAGGUGUAAAAGUUGCUAGAAUGAUUAAAUAGCUCAAAUGUUAAACAAGGAAGGACUUAAAGAGCAAAAUAGCCCAAGAAAGAUAUUUAGGCUGCAUAAGAAGAGAAAAAUCAAGAAAAUUUCUGAAAUAAGGGUAAAAUCAGAAAAUAACAAAAUUUACUAAAAUAAAAAUGAGUUUAAAUUGAAAUAUCUAGAAUUCUCUUCAUAUUUUUUUUCAUUUUCAUCAGCCGAAAACAUCUUAAAGGGUUAUUCCAGCUGGUAUUUCAUAAUUUUUGCAUCAAAUGAGUUAAUCCUUGCCUUUUUCUUGUAAUUUUUGUGUUUUAAGACUUUACAAUUAGGUCCUACUAUUAAAUUCGUAAGUUUUUGAUUUCAUGGAUGAAAUUGAAAGUCACAGUGGUUGAGUGCUGUAAGUUUAUGAUGCAAUAGCAUGAAAUUGAAGCGUUAAUUUGUUUAUGAGAUGAUUUUAUUAGGUAAUUUCAAUAGAAAUUGAAUUUUAGGACCUAUUUGUGAAAAAGUUUGGAUUUAAAGUCUAGUGCUGAAAUUAUGAUUUCCAAAUGCUAUAAAAUAGUUUAAAGUGAUAGAAUAAAGUGUUAAUUGAUAAGAAUCAUCUCAAUUGAGAGGUUAAUUGAGUAGGGAUGAAGUUGUUAUUUAUUAAAAACUUAGGGGCAAAAUGAUAAUCAAUAUCUCGCACUAAGACAGUUUUGGACAGCAGCAGUAGGCUAACUUUGAAAAAUCACAAAAAAUAGUAGAAAUCGAAUUAGAGGAUGAAAAAAUAUGAAAUUAAAGCUUAUUGAGUCUAGUUUUUUUUAUAGAAGAAACGGUGUAAGUAAUGGAAUUGUAAAUCAUGACAUAUAAUAAAUUUUGUGAGACAAGGUCAGAAUAAAUUUGGGUUCCCUUAUUUUGAGUUUGGAAAAUCAUCAAAAAUUGGAGAAAAAUAAUUAGGGGCUAAAAUUUAUAUGUUUAAAUUUUUAAUGGGUCUAUUUUUAAUAGAAACAAAUUUAAACAUCAUCCAAAUUCUGUACUAAGAGAUAAUUAAUUUUUAGCAAAGAAAGGUCAAAGCUAUUAGACAACAGAACAGAGGUAAGUUUAAUGAUUUUACUGUACUUAUUGGCUGAACGAAAAAUUCUAAAACUUUUAUGGUAGAAAGAUAUUUGAGUCUAGUUUCAGAAACAUCAAGCGAUUCUUAAGUUAGAAUUCUGUAGCUCAAGAUAUAAAUAAUUUAGUGAUUACGACUCAAGUAGAUAACUUUUAAUGAACUAUAAAUAAUAGUGAAAUUAUAGAGAAUGUUACAUAUGAAUAUGAAAUGUAUUAAAUUGACAAUUAAAUUUAUUUAUUUAGAUUCGGAAAAUUCAAAUACGAAGCUAGAUCAAGGAAAGGAAAAAGGUCGAGAUUAGUUGAUUUUUGUAUAUGAACAAGUAUUAAGGUAAGUUCGUGUAACUUGAAUUAUAUUCUUAAAUGCUUGAGAUGUAUGUUAUUGAUGUGAAUAUGAUUUGAAUGUUCAUUGUAUGAUAAUUGAUGAAACAUUGAUAUUUGAUAAAAAAGGGGGAAGAAAUCCCGGUUGAAGGAAAAGAAAAUUCAAUGGAUUUCUGAAAAGGAAUUGAUGGUAAAAAGGAUCUAGCCCGGACGAGUGAUCCUAUCUUGAUAUAGCCCUCCCGAAGAAUAUGUGUAAAAUGGAUUUAGUCUGGACAGAUAAUCCGAAUUAGGGUCUGAAUUCAUCCUGAACUGGUAAUUUAGAUCCAAGCUCAUUAGAGUAAUUGUCAUUGCAGGGGAUUUAGCCUAGAUUGGUAAUCCCGACAAUACUCUAUGAGUUUAUAUUACAGGGGAUUUAGCCUGGACUGGUAAUCCCACUGUAAGAAUGAGGUUCGCGGGAGUGUGCUCUCUGAAAUAGAAAUGUGCGCUCAUGAAUAUGAAAAUCCAUCAAAAUUUCGAGAAAUUGAAUGGGAUAAAUAUGGUAAAUAAUAAGGGUAAUAGAAAAUAUGGAAUUGAUGAGCUCAUCAAUCAUUAAUCCUUGUAUUGAAUUCAUAUGAUACUAUUUGACUAAUGUUUUGGUUGAGUUUAUUUGUGAUAGGUAAAUGGUAAAUUGAAUGGAUGUAUGAAUGUUUAUUGUUUUGGAUUGAAAAUAUUAGGUAAGUAUAAUUAUUGUUACAUGAGCUUACUAAGCUCAACGUGCUUACCCUGUUUCCUUUUCCCCUGUUUUAUAGUGCUCGGGAGCUCGGAGGUCAGAAAUUGGUCGAAGCCACAUCACACUAUCAACUCCCUCAUUUUGGUAUAUAAGAUAUUUUAUUUUGGUAUAAUGGCAUGUAUAGGCUACUAGUACCUAUGUUGAUGUUGAAUUGGAUGAACGUAAUCUAGCCAUUGGAAUGGCUAGUAAAGACUUGAUUCUGUUAUGUUUAUAAAGUAAAUUAUAAUUAUACAUCUGUGUUUAGUAGGAAUUGUAUUGGUUGCUCGGCUAGUUGGAUUAAUUAUGCAUAUAUUUGGUAAAAUUGGAAAUAAAUGUGUAUGUGAUAAUAUAGUAUAUUGUAUAGUAAUUGAAUCGGUUUAUUUGAAUGUAACAGCCCUUUUUUGGGUCAAAUCAGAACAGUGAUUUCGGGACCAUAAUCCAAAAAGGUUUAUUGUAUUAUAGAAUGAUCGUGUGAAAAUUUCGUAAAGAAAUUUUACUGUUUGAGUGGUUAAUUUGGUAAAAAUGACUAAAUUGCAUAAAACGUAAAAACUUGUGUUCUUUUAGUUAAAAGUAUCAAAUUCUAUUAAAUUAAAUUGUGGGAGUCCUAAUUUGGUAAUUAGACCAUUAUUUGUCAUAAUGGAAAUUUAUGGACACCUUUAACAUGAUUUUUGGUUGUUUAAUUAAAGGUUAAUUUUGGUAUUUUAUAAUAAAGGUUAAUUAAUUAAAAUAAAACAAUAAUUUUGGGUUAUCAUCUUCCCAAAAACCGAUUGAAGAAAUGAAAAACCAGCCAUGGUUUUUUUCUUAUUCGGUCAAACUUCAUUUUUCCAUUAAGGUACGAUUUUGACUCCAUUUUUAAUGAUUUAUAUGUUUCUGAGCUCGUUGCAGCUUAAUCUAGCUAGCCCGUAUCUCCGAUUUCAAAACUUUUAAAGUAUUUGAAUGUUUCCAUUGUUGAAUAUAUGAGUAUUUUGAUGUUUUAUGAUAAAUUAUGAAUGAUUGUUAUUAGAUUAACAAGUUUUGUUAAGGAAUUUUUGAUAAAAAUGUCAAUUUUGGACUAACUUGUGAAAUAUGAAAAUGUUGUGGUAGAAAUGUAAAAUAAAUGAAAAUUUUGGGCUGCUAGGGACCCUAUUAGAAUUCGGCUAGCUUGGGUUAAGGUUGAAUUUCAUGAAUUUUGAAUUUUAUGAGCUAGGGACUAAAUUAUAAAAAUGUCGAAGUAUCAAGGGUAAAAUAGUAAUUUUACUAAAAUGUGAAAUUAGAUUGAAUUGAAUAGAAUAUGGAUUGAAAUAGCUAAAUUUGAUUAUUUAGAUCAAGGGCGAGAGGAAAUCAAGGAAAAUAAAAAUUACCAAAAUGCCCAUAAACCUUAGAAUUUCUACUAUUUAGCCAGGUAAGUUCGUAUCAAUAGAAUCAAACUUUAAUUAUGUGAAUUUACUUGUAUUUGAUUUGGAAUAGAAUUAUAAUUGUUUAAAAUGUAUGGUACGAUAUUCGAAUUCUUGAUUGAGGAAAUUAUUGAGUAAUACUGAGCCCCUUUUGAACUUAGAGAAAAUCGUAGGAUACAAGUGAAAUUAUUGAGUAAUACAAGUUACAGUAUUGGUCGAGCUCCUGCAUUUGUUGCGCACUUAACACAACUCGUAUGAGCUUACCGAUAUAUCAGCUCUUAUGAGCUUACCGUUUCAGCUCGAUAGAGCUUACCGUUCAUCAGCUCGGAAUGAGCUUACCGAUCAUGGCUCGAAAGAGCGGAAAUGAUAAUAAAUUGAUGGAUUUUUUAUAAAUACACUUAUAGUGUAUCACCCGUGUAUCCCUCGAUGUUCUAAUAGGUUCAACGGGCAUAAUUACUGUUACUGAUCAUAUGAAGAAGCUAUGUAAUUAUAUGGAUGAAUUACUAUUGAUAUGUAUAAGUUACUGUUGAUACGGAUAAAUUUCUGUUAUUACUGAUGAAUUACAAGUUAUACGAAUUAAAAUGAAUUGAUAUAAAUGUUAUGUGAUUUACAUAGUAUUGAUGAUUUAUGGUGAACUAAAGUAUAAAAUGAAUGUUAUAAGUGCUUGAGCUUGAAUACUUUUUGUUUUCACUUGUGAUGAUUUGAUGAUAUAUGGACAUUAUGGUACUAACUUAUUGAUGGUUUUAUAUGCUUAGGCAAUUGGAAAAUUUGGUUGGAUUGUAUGGAAAUGAUAUUACAUGUUAUAUUGAUGUAUAAAUUGGUGAUAUAUAUGUAAUAUGAGAUAUAGAUGGUUUUAUUAACACAAAUCGUAUCUCAAUCUCAGCAGGCAGCAACCGAUUUUCACUUAACACAAAUCGUAUCUCAAUCUCAGCAGGCAGCAACCGACUUUCACUUAACACAAAUCGUAUCUCAAUCUUAGUCGAAUCUGGAAAACCCACCAUUUUCAAACCUUUUUGCUGUCCAUUUUUCUUCCACCACACCAAUACCCAGACCCAGGUUUGCUUUCUUCUAAUUUUCCUUUCGUUUUUUUUUACAAUUUCUUCAGUGGGUCUUUAUUGAAUCUCUAGUUCUAGAAAUUGAUCGUUAACUUUGAUGUUUAGUAACUAGUAGGAAUUUUCAGUGGUAAUGAUUUGCAAGUGUUUAGUUUAUUUUGGCAUUUUCUAUAUCUUUUUUUAUCAUGUUCUUUCUUUCUUUUUUAAUUGAUAUUUCUAGCAGAUAUAUUUUAGGGUUUUGUCUUGUUUUGUUUAUUUCUUUUUAUUUCAAUGUGUGUAAGAGUGGGUGAGGAGUUGUUAAUUUCUUUCUGGGUUUUACUUAUUUUUAUGGUAGUAAAAAUUUCUUAUUUUGUGCUUUUCUUUCAUUAUUAUUUUCAAGAAAAAUCCCAUUUUCUCUGUUGAUUUUCUUCUAGGAAAGGAAAAUGUGACUUCAUCCUUGAACUCCAAAAGCUUGUUUAUAACAAUCUCUCACUUCCUUUCCACCUUUUACUCAGUAAAUGAAGAAGAAUCGAGUUUCCAUCCCUCCUUUCUCAAAUUUUUAGCUGCUCAUGUACUUGGGACUUAACUUGGAACACUGUUUUCAACUCUGUGUUUUAAGCUUACUUCUCUUUUAUAACUUGCUUUUCAUUUGAAUAGCUUUUUUCCAUCUCAGCUUAGAUUAAACAGGGUGAACAAUGCCUACCCAGUUUUUAGUUUUCUCUAAGAAAACAUUAUAUAUAUAUAUGUGUGUGUGUGUGUAAAUACAUAUUAAGUGAGAUAUUUCCUUGAAACCUUGCAUGUCUUCAAUUAUGGGAAAUCUGAGAUGUAUUCUACAAAAAAAAAGUAUGAGAAGAUAUUUAUGUAUUCUUCAAUUAAGGGUUGUGAAGGUUAUGGAGUUCCUCAAAUCAUUGGUGGUAUGGAAGAAUACAAGUACCCUCUGAAACAAAUAAUAUAGAGAAGAAAAAAAUUUGUGUGAUACAGACAUAGAAUAAGUUAGUCUAAGUUAUUUAUGUUUUUCUUAGUUAACAUACGAAUGGGAAUUGCACAGAGGAACUCCAUUAGUCUCCAAGACUGGUGCCUAAACUAUUUCUUUUCAAUGCUACCAUGUUUUUAAGUGUAUAUUCUUGCCUUAACGUGUCUUUCUAAUUGGAGCUGAAUCAUGUUUCCCCUUCAGUUUUGGUCAGUCCUUCUCCAAUGGGAAACUCUAAAUAUUUGUUUUUUCAUUCUUUUCUUCUUUGAGAAAUAUAAUAAACCUCUCUUGGCUUCUUCUCUAUUAUAAUUUUACCAUUUCUUUUUGGGGGUAAUGCAAGUGCAAGGCACAUUGAGGUUUUCUGAAAGUGGUACAUGUGUUGGGUGACCCAGCUUGUAACUGGGAAGUUUAGCUGUAAUAAAGCGGCUAGAAACUUGGUGUAACUUAUAAUGGCCACCUUCAAUCUGCUGUUUCAUCAGCUUAGUUCUGUUUAUAUUUAUAAGUGUAAUGGAAUUGGUAUUUAUUUUUGGAUAACAAGGUUUGGCGAGAAAAAUAAAAUAAAAAAACUGAUUUGAAUUUAGGUGUUUAGACCAUUUAUAAAAUAUCGUACAUCAAAAUCAAAAUUUAUUUUAUUUACAAUUAUUUAUGGGAAAACAACAAUAAUUUUAUUUUUGACUACAAUUUUCUCCACCCAAAUCUGCUGCAGAAGCAUAUUUAUUUAAUUAGUUGGACUUUGCUUGGGCUUUAUCAACUAAUUUAAUUGAUUAAGUUAAAUACCGAAGGGUGCAAUGCAUGUGUUCCAUAAUGAUCUAAAUAAUAUUGCAUCAAUUUAAUUAAGUCCCUGGAUUGUCCUUGACCUCAAGUUUGUCGUAUUAUUUUAAUUUAUUAUAUACUUUUUUUCUUGCAGAAUGUCAACCAAACCAACAUCUAUUGAGGGUAGUGUUACACCUCCUACUUCGAUAGAUUCUGAAAAUUCGGGAGUAGGAGCUUCAAUUCAAACAAAGGGGAUUACCGGGAAAAGAAAAGCCACUCUUCAAAGGUCAAAAGUUUGGUCUCACUUCACUAAGAUUAUUAAUUGUGAGGGUGCAAGUAAGGCUAAAUGUAAUUAUUGUCAAAAGGAAUUUUGUUGUGAUAUGAAAAAAAAAAUAGUACAGGGUCAUUGAAAUAUCAUAUUGGUUCACGUAAGAAAAACCCUAGUAAUAUUGUUAACACUAGUCAAGGACAACUAGUUUUAUCUAGAAAAGGAGUUGAAGCCGGGGGGAGGUGAAGGGAAUGUUUCAACUUGGAGAUUUAAUCAAGAAGCAUGUAGGAAAGGAUUAGCACAAAUGAUUGUGAUUGAUGAAUUACCUUUCAAGUUUGUUGAAAGUGAAGGUUGUAAGAAUUUUAUGUUUGUGGCAUGUCCUAAGUUUCAUAUUCCUUCACGAACUACUAUGACUAGGGAUGUUUAUCAAUUGUUUUUAGAUGAAAAGGUCAAGAUAAAACAACUUUUGAGAAGUUUUUGUUCUAGAGUUUGCUUAACAACUGACACAUGGACUUCUUUGUAAAGAGUUAAUUAUUUGUGUAUCACUGCUUACUUUAUUGAUAACGAUUGGAAAUUGAAUAAAAAGAUUUUAAACUUUUGUCCAAUUUCUAGUCAUAAGGGUGAGUCCAUUGGGAUGGUGAUUGAGAAAUGCUUGUUGAAUUGGGGGAUUGAUAAGUUGUUUACUGUUACUGUUGAUAAUGCAAGUUCAAAUGAUGUUGCUAUUGGUUAUUUGAUAAAGAAAUUUAACCCUCUAGGGGGUUUAGUUCAAAAUGGUAAAUAUCUUCAUAUAAGAUGCAUGACACACAUUGUGAAUUUGAUUGUUGUUGAAGGCUUAAAGGAAAUGAAUAAAUCUGUUGAACGUGUUAGGGGGGCUGUUAGAUAUGUGAGACAACCUCCAGCUAGAUUACAAAAGUUUAAGGAGAGUGUUGUGGUGAAAAAGAUAGAGUGCAAGAAGAUGUUGUGUCUUGAUGUUUGUACUAGGCGGAACUCGACCUACUUAAUGUUAGACAUUGCUCAGAACUAUGAGAGAGCUUUUGAGAGAUUUGAGGAGCAAGAUACAAACUUUAGGGCUGAACUUGAAAAGGGAGAGGGUUGGCUUAGUGUGGAUAAUUGGGAUAAUGUUAGAAACUUGAGGGAUUUCUUGGAACACUUUUAUGAAGUCACUUUGUGUAUAUCUGGCACUUCAUAUGUCACGUCCAAUAAUUUUUUUUGGUGAGCUUUCUGAAAUUGAUAUCCUUUUACAAGAUGCUCAGUUAAAUAGUAAUGUUGAUUUCAAUGUUAUGGCCAUAAAUAUGAAAGAGAAGUAUGAUAAGUAUUUGGGUGAUAUUGAUAAGAUGAAUUUGCUUAUGUUUGUUGCUUAUGUUUUAGAUCCUAGGCAAAAACUAAAGUAUCUUGAAUUUGCACUUAGUGAAAUGUCUAGUUCUGAAAAAGCUUGUGAAAUGAUGCAAAAAUUGAAGGAAUCUGUGUAUGAAUUGUUUGAUGAGUAUAAGCCUCCACUUCAUAGUACUUACAGCUAAUCGAGUGUUUCAACAGAUGUUUCUCUCGGUGAACCACAAAAAAAAUGAAAAGGCGAAUGCAAGCUUUGUAUAAAAAGCGUGAGUUGGAAAUUUGUGGUGAGGAUAAAACAUCUGAGAGGCUAAUGAGGAAUUUGUUGAAGAUUUUGAUAUUUUAUUGUGGUGGAAAGUGAACAGUCCUAGAUUUCCCACUCUUUCAAAAAUGGCCAGAGAUGUGUUAGCUAUACCGGUUUCUAUGAUUGCUUCAGAUAUGCAUUUAGCACUGGGGGACGUGUGCUUGACCAAUAUAGUUCUUUAACUCCUAAAAUUGUACAAGCUCUUGUGUAUAGUCAAAAUUGGAUUCGAAAAUCAUCAUCACAAAAGGACAUCAAAAAAAUUGAAGAACAAAUCCAAUAGCUUGACAAGAUUGAAAAUGGUAUAUUUACUGUUUUAUUUUAAUAGUUUCAAUUUUUUUUACCAUAUCACUCCUACUUAUUUAAUUGAUUCAUUGUUUAGACUUUUCUUGGAAUGCAUUAGAGUCUACACUAAAUUCAUUAGCUUUCGUGAGUUGAAGGGUAUACUUACUAUCUUAUUCUUGUUAACUUAUAAUCUAUUGGUUUGUUUAUAUUAUUUGAUUUUUUUAAAUGCGUAUAUUUCUAUUAUAUGCUAAAUUUUUGCACAUUUUUGUUUUGUAGGUUUAAUGCAAAUGGAGAUCUUUUGGAGAGAAGAAAUGGAUACAAAUGGAGAAUAUUACAGACUUACAUAUUAAUUAUUUGUUAAUUUCAAACCUUUUGUAAUCUUUUUAAUUAUGUAGUGAUUUAAUUCGGUUAAUUCAGUUAAUUCGGGUAAUUUAGCUAUUUUUUAACCAAAAAUAAAAACAUAUAAUUUUCGGUUAAUUCGGUUAAGCGAACUAAUUAACAUAAAAAAAUUGGUUCGGUUAAUGUUUUUAAAUAAAAUUUUGAUUCGGUUAACGGUUAAAAAUUUUGGGAGGUCGGUUAAUUUGAUUAUGGCUAUUUUGGGUCUGUUAACUGAAUGAACACCCCUACGUGAUAUGCUCAUAAGUAAGUGAUAUUUGAUAAAUUCAUAUGAUACGUAAGUGAAAGUUGAUGAAUUCAUAUUUGAAGUACCUAGUUGUUAAUGCAAUAAGAAUUAAAUUAGAAGGAGCUGAAUUAUAUGUAUUUAUGUUGCUUUAAUUUGUGAAUAAAUUGUUAAAUUACUUAUAAUACCAAUAAUCAUACGACUUACUAAGCUUAUUAGCUUACUUUGUUUAUUUUUCGUAUUUUUUUAGUGAUUUGAAAGCUCGCUCGGGUUGGAAGUCAUCGAAGAUUUCAUCACACUAUCUAGGAGUUGAUUUGGUAUUUUUGAUCUCUUUGAAAUUGGUAAUAUGACAUGAAUAGGCUAGUUGAUUAUAUGAGAUGUAUAAGUUAUUUUAGCUAUUUAAGCUUAUAUGUGUUGAUGUGUUUAAGCCAUGUGAUUUGGCUUAACUUGGCUAAAUAUUUGGUUAUGUAUAUGUGUGCUAAAUAUGGUAUGUUUGGCAUUUUGAUUGAUGGAAUUGAUUAUGCAAAUGGUUUGAAUAUGUCUUAUAAGUCUUGUUGGCUUGGUAUGCAUUUGAUGACACAAAUGGUAUUGAUUUGAGAUGAGUUUUAAUGAAAGAAUGGCAUGGAUUUGAGAGGUGAAAUGGAUGUAUAUGAAAUGGUGUAAUAUGUGUAUUGAAAAAGGAUUAAUUGGUUGCUUAUUUGAAUGUGGUUUUGGUACUAUUGGGUUUAUUAUAGAUGCACGUGUUUUGGGUGAGGCAAAUGGCUUAAAACAAGCCUAAAUUUCGCCCCACACGGUUGAGCACACAGGCGUGUGACUCGACCGUGUGUCCGCUAUAGCUUAACUAAUUAAGUCAGUGAGUUACACGGCCUAAACACACGGGCGUUUUUACUGGCCGUGGGUGGCACAUGGGCGUGUGGUCAGUUGUAUGUGAAUUUUUAGAUGUAUUCCCGAAAGAAUUGCCUGGUUUACCACCGGAUAGAGAAGUGGAGUUUUCUAUAGACCUUGUCCCAAGGACAACACCGAUAUCUAUAGCACCAAACAGAAUGACUCAUACUGAAUUGAAGGAGCUGAAAGCACAGUUGCAAGAACUUACUGACAAAGGUUUUACUUGACCCAGUCACUCACCUUGGGACGCAACGAUUUUGUUUGUGAAGAAGAAAGAUGGAACCCUGGGAUUAUGUAUUGAGUAUCGGUAACUCAAUAAAGUUGUAACACCCCUUACCCGAGACCGUCGCCGGAAUCGAGUACGAGAUGUCAUCCAAUUUAACUUACCGAUUCGAAGCAUAAAAAUUUGCUUUUAAAAUUAAAUUCACUGUUCACAACAACACUGUCCACCUGCGCAACUGUCACUAAUUUAAUUAUAACUUGAGUUACGAAACUCAAAAUUUAAAUCCGUAAAUUUUCCAUGAAACUAGACUCAUAUUCCUACUUACCAUAAAAUUUUCAGAAUUUUUGACUUAGAAAAUUAGUACAUUUUAUUCAUUAAAGUAUCCCCUAUUUCACAGCUCGACAGAUCUGACCUCUUGGCGCUAAAAAUCAAAUAUCUAAUUGUAAAGAAUUAAUACAAGGUUACCAUUAAUUUAUUUUGAAAAUAGACUCACUAAGGAAUCUAAACAUAUAAAUUAUGACCUAUAAUUAUUUCUGUACAAUUUAAAAUGAUUUUCUAAAGUUAGAACAGGGGACUUUAAAAACCAUUCUGACCCUGUCUCACUAAAAUUUAAAUAUCUCAAAGUAUAAAAUUCCUUUGCCUACACCGUUUCUUUCAUGUAAAAAUAGACUUGAUAAGAUUUAAUUCUAUAUAUCAUUCACCCUAAAAUUCCAUUUCUACUAUUUAUGGUGAUUUUUCACAUUCACGUCACUGCUGCUGUCAAAGAAACUGCUUCUUUGAAUUAGUUACCAUUUAAACAUACAUAACACCAAAACAUAUUCUUUAAUAACUACUUCAAUAGCUAACAUUAGCCAUAUCAUUUGGACAUGCUCAAAAUGAUUAAGACUCUAUACAUGCCAUAGUUUAAACAUUUUGAAAAGCACAUAAUACCGAGAUGGCUAUGAUAGUGUGAUACGAGCUCCGACGGUCCACUAUACGAUCAAGUUCAAAUCACUAUAAAACAAAGGAAAGAAAGAGAUGUGUAAGCUAUAAAUAGCUUAGUAAGUUACAUGUAAACAAUAAUUACUCAUUUAAUAAUUAACACUUUUAACAUAUAACUAAUCAAAACAUUUCUUAGCAAUUUCAAUCACUUACACAUACACAAUCUUACCAAUUCACUUGCAUAUACAUUUUCACACUUAACAUUUCAUAUUCACUUUAAUUCAUUAUUAAUCCCGUUGAACACUUGGAAUAUACACGGAUACGUAGAGAUUUAGCACAUAAGUGCCACAUUGAUAUGUAGCCGAAGCUACCACUGAUAUGUAGCCGUAGCUACCACUGAAAUGUAGCCGAAGCUACCACUGAUCAAUAACACUGGAAAUGUCCACGGGCCUGCUCACACAAGCUGUCAGGUGUCUGCAACACAUGCUAGAUCACCCAGCACCCGGGACUCACUGUAACACUGUAACACUGUAACACUGGUCUCUAGUGACAUGUCACUUGUAUCCAAUUCUAUUCCUAAGUUCAACCGGGAAUUUACACUUAACACUUUAUUUUCAACACUUUAUCACUAGAAUAAUUCAUGAACAACUUUCCUUCCACAUUCAAUAUUAAUUCACAUAUCAAAUAUAAUUCACAAUUUAUACAAAUAUAACUAUUAUUUACAUAUAACUUACCUCGGAUGCAAAACGACUAUUUUUGUAAUUUAGUCGAUAACUUUCUCUUUUCCCCGAUCACUUGCACUAUUUCUUCUUUCUUGAUCUAUAUUAACACAAUUUAAUACAUUUUAUCAAUAUUCCAUUCAAAUACAAUUCAUACACAACAUUUUGACACAUUUACAUUUUUCCCCAUAACUUUUCAAAAAUUCCACUUUUGUCCCUAAGCUCGUAAAAAUAAAAUUCACUAAAUUCUUAAACUUCAAACUUCACUAAAUCAUAUUUCAUGCUCAUAACAGCCCUCAAUUUCACAAAAUCACAACUUUAUGCACACUUUACCAUCUUUCACAAUUUAGCCCUUUUUCAAAAUUUUUCAUUGAAAUUCAUCUAGUAAAACUUGUAAUUAACACUUCAAACAUUCAUUAUCUAACAUCACUAAUCAAUUUACAAUUAUAUCAUGAAUGGGUCAAUUUUUAAACUUUAAUUUCAUUUAAAUUAAAUGGUAGAAACAUGAAAUUCAAGCUUCAAUAAGCAUAAAAAUACGAAAAUAAUUAAAAACGGGGCAAGAAAUCACUUACAAUUGAGCUUAGGAAAAUCAAAACCCUUAACUAUGGUAACAUGAAACUUUCGGCAGCAAGCUUCUAAUUUUUGAAGAAGAUGGACACUUAUUUUCUCUUUAUUUUGUCUUUUACCCAAUUUGGACAAAAAUGCCCUUGACCCAUUACUUAGAUAUUUUUCUAGAAAUACCCUUUUGUGUCUAUAACACUAAUUUAUGGUCUAAUUGCCACAUAAACACUUCCAAUUUCAUGCAAUAAUUCAAUUAAGUCAUUUAAUCACUAAUUAGACACACUUUGCAUUUUUCUCAAUUUAGUCCUAAAAAUUCAAUUAAGCACUAAAGCAUUAAAAUUUCCUAUCCAUAUUUUCACACAAUAUUUCAAUCAAUCAGUAACUAAUAAAAAUUUAUAAAAUUAAACUAUUUCACUUCGGAUUUGUGGUUACGAAACCACUAUUCCGAUUAGGCCCUAUUUCGGGCUAUCACAAUUCUCCCCCUUUAGGGAUUUUCGUCCCCGAAAAUCUUACCAGUGAAUAAGUUGGGAUACUGUUUCCUCAUAGCCUCCUCGGUUUCCCAUGUUGCCUCUUCCACCCCAUGUCGUUUCCAUAACACUUUCACUAAAGCAAUUUCUUUGUUUCUCAACUGUUUCACUUCUCGUGCCAAGAUUCGAAUCGGUUCUUCUUCGUAUGUCAUAUCCGAUCGAAUUUCCACUUCAGUUGGUGAAAUCACAUGUGAUGGGUCCGAUCGAUAUCGCCUCAACAUAGAAACAUGAAACACAUUAUGAAUUCUUUCCAAUUCUGGUGGUAAAGAUAAUCGAUAAGCCACUGGACCAAUUCUUUCUAUCACUUCAUACGGACCAAUAAAUCUUGGACUUAAUUUGCCUUUACGGCCAAAUCUCAAAAUUUUCUUCCAUGGAGACACUUUCAAAAAUACUUUAUCUCCCACUUGAAACUCAAUCUUUUUUCUUUUCAAGUCCGCAUACGACUUCUGUCGAUCCGAUGCAGCUUUCAAACAAUCACGGAUUAUCUUCACUUUUUCUUCGGUUUCUUUUACCAAAUCGACUCCAUGUAACUGAUUUUCAUUAAGUUCAGUCCAAUAUAAUGGAGUUCGACACUUUCGUCCAUACAACGCUUCAUAAGGUGCCAUUUUUAUGCUUGACUGAUAACUAUUAUUAUAAGCAAAUUCCACCAAAGGUAAAUAUCUUUCCCAAUUACCUUCAAAUUCCAAUACACAACAUCUCAACAUGUCUUCGAGUAUUUGAAUUACUCUUUCAGACUGUCCAUCGGUUUGUGGAUGGAAUGCUGUGCUAAAAUUCAAUUUAGUACCCAAUGCCUCUUGUAAUUUCUUCCAAAACCUUGAAGUAAAUCGUGGAUCUCUAUCAGAUAUAAUAGACAUAGGUACACCAUGUAAUCGGACUAUCUCAUCAAUAUACAAUUCAGCUAACUUGUCAAGUGAAAAACUCAUUCGCACAGGAAUGAAAUGAGCCGACUUAGUCAAUCGAUCAACUAUAACCCAAAUUGAGUCUUUCUUUUUCGGUGACAAUGGCAAUCCAGAAACAAAAUCCAUAGUAAUUCUAUCCCAUUUCCACUCGGGCACCAUAAUAGGUUGAAGUAAUCCUGAAGGUACUUGGUGUUCAGCUUUUACUUGUUGGCACACUAAACACUUUGUCACAUACUCGGAGAUAUCCCGUUUCAUACCCGACCACCAAUAAAAUUUCUUCAAAUCAUUGUACAUUUUUACACUACCGGGGUGAACUGCCAAAUGACUAUCAUGUGCUUCUUGCAAAAUUUUUUGAAUUAAAUCAACAUUUUUCGGAACACAUAUUCUAUCACGAAACAUUAAACAUCCAUCUGAAUCAAUCUGAAAAUCAGAAUUAUUGUCCACUGCACAUUGAGUCUUUCUUCUUUGCAAUUCAUUAUCCACUUUCUGAGCCUCACAAAUUUCUUGAAGAAACAAUGGUCUAGCUUUUAACUCUGCAAACAAUGAUCCAUCUUCAGUCAAUGUUAAUCUCGUAUUCAAAGCUCUCAAAGCAAAGAGAGACUUUUUGCUCAAAGCAUCAGCAACUAUAUUGGCUUUUCCCGGAUGAUAAUCUAUCACAAGUUCAUAAUCUUUCAUCAAUUCCAACCAUCUUCGUUGCCACAAAUUCAGAUCUUUUUGUGUCAUAACAUACUUCAAACUUUUAUGAUCUGUAAAAACACGACAUUUCUCACCAUAUAAAUAAUGACGCCAAAUCUUCAAAGCAAAGACAAUAGCAUCCAACUCUAAAUCAUGGGUAGGAUAAUUUCGUUCAUGCGGUUUCAAUUGUCGAGAAGCAUACGCUAUCACUUUUCCUUCUUGCAUCAAUACACAUCCAAGCCCAUUCAAUGACGCGUCACUGUAAACAACAAAUUCUUUUCCUGACUCAGGUUGCACUAACACUGGUGCCUCAGUUAAACACUUCUUUAAUUUCUCAAAACUUUGUUGACACUCCUCGGUCCAUUCGAACUUAACAUCUUUUUGCAACAAUUUUGUCAUCGGUGAAGCUAUCAUCGAAAAACCUUCUACAAAUCGACGAUAAUAUCCGGCUAAGCCUAGAAAACUCCUAACUUCAGAUACAUUUCUUGGAGGCUUCCACUCAACUAUUGCCAAUAUCUUAUUCGGAUCCACUCGAAUGCCAUCUCCCGAGACAAUAUGCCCCAAAAAUCCAACUUCACUAAGCCAAAAUUCACUUUUGCUAAAUUUAGCAAACAAUUUCUUUUCUCGCAGCGUUUGUAGCACAAUUCUUAAAUGUUCAGCAUGCUCGGCUUCACUUUGGGAAUAAAUAAGAAUAUCAUCUAUAAACACCACAACAAAUUUAUCCAAAUAGGGCCGGAAAAUUCGAUUCAUCAAAUCCAUAAAAAUAGCUGGAGCAUUAGUCAGACCAAAAGGCAUUACAAGAAAUUCAUAGUGGCCAUACCGGGUUCUGAAAGCAGUCUUUGGCACAUCUGACUCUUUAACCCUCAAUUGGUAAUAUCCGGAUCUCAAAUCAAUUUUGGAAAACACUGUGGCAUCCUUUAACUCAUCAAACAAGUCAUCUAUUCGGGGCAAUGGAUACUUAUUCUUCACUGUCACUUUGUUAAGUUGACGAUAAUAAAUACACAAUCUCAAUGUCCCAUCCUUUUUCUUCACAAAUAGCACGGGAGCACCCCACGGAGAGUAACUUGGUCUAACAAAUCCUUUAUCUGUCAGCUCUUGUAAUUACACUUUUAAUUCUUUUAAUUCAGUUGGUGCCAUUCUGUAGGGAGCAAUCGAUAUUGGAGCAGUACCUGGCAUUACUUCAAUACCAAACUCUACUUCUCUAAUCGGAGGCAAACCUGGCAACUCUUCUGGGAACACAUCUACAUAUUCACAUACCACUGGCACUGAUUCGAUCUUUAUUUCAGACACUUUUGUGUUCAACACAUAAGCAAGAUAUGCUUCACAACCAUUUUUCAAACAUUUCUGAGCAGACAUGGCAGAAAUCACAAUUGGCAUCACAUUUGACUUAUCUGUUUCAACCCGAAGAACUGUACCACUACCACACUUCAACUCAAGAAUUUUCUGACUGCAAUCUAUCUUGGCCUUAUGUAAUGCCAACCAAUCCAUUCCCAAAAUAACAUCAAAUUCAUCAAAUGGCAACAACAUUAAGUUGGCAGGGAAACACUGACCUUGUAUAAUCAAAGGACAAUUUUUGCAUAUUUUAUCAACUAUCACAUGCUUGCCUAAAGGAUUCGACACUUUAACCACAUACUCAGUCAAUUCAACACACAAAUUCUUAUCAGACACUAAAUUCAUGCAUACAUACGAGUGAGUAGAACCAGGAUCAAUCAAUGCAAGAACAUUAGUGUCGUAAAGAGAAAAUAUACCAGUGAUCACAUCAGGAGAAGAUGCUUCCUCUCUAGCUCGGAUGGCAUAAGCUCUUGCUGGAGCUCCCACUUCAGAUCUUACAGUCGUGUCUUUUGUGACGCCUCUACCACUAGUUCCAAUCCCCACAUUUCUCUGUGGUUUUCCUCUAGUAGUCACACUGCUCGAUCUCACAUUCUAAAACUUUUCUAUCUCUUCUCUUUCCGGACAAUCUUUCACAAAAUGAUCUUGAGAUCCACAUUUAAAACAAGCUCGGCUGAUUAAAUAACAUUCCCCCAAAUGUCGUUUUCCACAAUGUUGACAUUCUGGUCUAGUAGGUUUAACACUACCUGUACUUGCCAUAGAAGUUGCCUGAGCUUUAGAACCUGAAUAUUGUCUUCCUCGAUCUCUUUGAAAAUUCACACUAGAAACAUUCGAUCGAGUAUUCAUUUCUUUAAACUUCUUCGCUUGAAAUUGAAAUGGCUUGCCCAUUGAUCUUUUUCUUGCAUCUCUUGCUUCACUUUCCACCUUUCUUUUCUCUUUGCUCAAUUCUUCAGCCUUGAUAGCUCUUUCAACUAGUACCACUAACUCUUUAAUUUCAAGAAUUCCCACUAGCAAUCAGAUAUCCUCGUUUAACCCCUUUUACACAAUGUAGCUUCAUUAGAUACACACUCUUGGGCAUACUUGCUUAAUUUGACAAAUUCUCGCUCAUAUUCGGCUACCGUCAUGCGCCCUUGUUUCAAUUCAAGAAACUCUUUUCUCUUUUGAUCAAUGAAACGCUGACUCACAUACUUCUUCCGGAAUUCUUCUUGAAAGAAGUCCCAUGUAACUUUCUCUUUAGGCACCACUGACACUAAAGUUUUCCACCAAUUAUAAGCCGAAUCCCUCAGUAAUGAGAUAGCACAUUUGAGACUUUCUUCUAGAGUACAAGAUAAUUCAUCCAACACUCUGAUAGUAUUAUCAAGCCAGAACUCUGCUCUUUCAGGAUCAUCAUUUACAUUAGCUCGGAACUCUUCGGCUCCAUACUUUCGAAUUUUGUCCACUGGAGGCUUUGACAAUCUUAACACUUCAGUUUGUUGAGGAGCUAUGGGAACAGCUUGAGGAAUAGGAGGGGGCGGAGGAGGUUGAGCAUUAGGAUUAGUUCUAACAAACUCAGUGUACCAAUUGUUCAUCAUUUGGAGAAAAGCUUCUCGAGCCUCAUCUCCUUGACCCUGAGUCUCGAAUCGACUUUCAACAGGCACAUUACUUUGAGCAUCAUCAGCUGUAUCUCGGUUAGAAUCCAUUACUAUAUAAAAAAAUAUUUUAAGAUGUCAAGAGUCGUCACACUAUCAUUAUUCAAUUAUGGCAUGUAUAGAUAGUCUAUUACACUCGCUACGUUAGUCCGAGAAUCGACUAAACCGUAGCUCUGAUACCACUAAAUGUAACACCCCUUACCCGAGACCGUCUCCGGAAUCGAGUACGAGAUGUCAUCCAAUUUAACUUACCGAUUCGAAGCAUAAAAUAAUUGCUUUUAAAAUUAAAUUCACUGUUCACAACAACACUGUCCACCUGCGCAACUGUCACUAAUUUAAUUAUAACUUGAGUUACGAAACUCAAAAUUUAAAUCCGUAAAUUUUCCAUGAAACUAGACUCAUAUUCCUACUUACCAUAAAAUUUUCAGAAUUUUGACUUAGAAAAUUAGUACAUUUUAUUCAUUAAAGUAUCCCCUAUUUCACAGCUCGACAGAUCUGACCUCUUGGCGCUAAAAAUCAAAUAUCUAAUUGUAAAGAAUUAAUACAAGGUUACCAUUAAUUUAUUUUGAAAAUAGACUCACUAAGGAAUCUAAACAUAUAAAUUAUGACCUAUAAUUAUUUCUGUACAAUUUAAAAUGAUUUUCUAAAGUUAGAACAGGGGACUUUAAAAACCAUUCUGACCCUGUCUCACUAAAAUUUAAAUAUCUCAAAGUAUAAAAUUCCUUUGCCUACACCGUUUCUUUCAUGUAAAAAUAGACUUGAUAAGAUUUAAUUCUAUAUAUCAUUCACCCUAAAAUUCCAUUUCUACUAUUUAUGGUGAUUUUUCACAUUCACGUCACUGCUGCUGUCAAAGAAACUGCUUCUUUGAAUUAGUUACCAUUUAAACAUACAUAACACCAAAACAUAUUCUUUAAUAACUACUUCAAUAGCUAACAUUAGCCAUAUCAUUUGGACAUGCUCAAAAUGAUUAAGACUCUAUACAUGCCAUAGUUUAAACAUUUUGAAAAGCACAUAAUACCGAGAUGGCUAUGAUAGUGUGAUACGAGCUCCGACGGUCCACUAUACGAUCAAGUUCAAAUCACUAUAAAACAAAGGAAAGAAAGAGAUGUGUAAGCUAUAAAUAGCUUAGUAAGUUACAUGUAAACAAUAAUUACUCAUUUAAUAAUUAACACUUUUAACAUAUAACUAAUCAAAACAUUUCUUAGCAAUUUCAAUCACUUACACAUACACAAUCUUACCAAUUCACUUGCAUAUACAUUUUCACACUUAACAUUUCAUAUUCACUUUAAUUCAUUAUUAAUCCCGUUGAACACUUGGAAUAUACACGGAUACGUAGAGAUUUAGCACAUAAGUGCCACAUUGAUAUGUAGCCGAAGCUACCACUGAUAUGUAGCCGUAGCUACCACUGAAAUGUAGCCGAAGCUACCACUGAUCAAUAACACUGGAAAUGUCCAUGGGCCUGCUCACACAAGCUGUCAGGUGUCUGCAACACAUGCUAGAUCACCCAGCACCCGGGACUCACUGUAACACUGUAACACUGUAACACUGGUCUCUAGUGAUAUGUCACUUGUAUCCAAUUCUAUUCCUAAGUUCAACCGGGAAUUUACACUUAACAUUUUAUUUUCAACACUUUAUCACUAGAAUAAUUCAUGAACAACUUUCCUUCCACAUUCAAUAUUAAUUCACAUAUCAAAUAUAAUUCACAAUUUAUACAAAUAUAACUAUUAUUUACAUAUAACUUACCUCGGAUGCAAAACGACUAUUUUUGUAAUUUAGUCGAUAACUUUCUCUUUUCCCCGAUCACUUGCACUAUUUCUUCUUUCUUGAUCUAUAUUAACACAAUUUAAUACAUUUUAUCAAUAUUCCAUUCAAAUACAAUUCAUACACAACAUUUUGACACAUUUACAUUUUUCCCCAUAACUUUUCAAAAAUUCCACUUUUGUCCCUAAGCUCGUAAAAAUAAAAUUCACUAAAUUCUUAAAUUUCAAACUUCACUAAAUCAUAUUUCAUGCUCAUAACAGCCCUCAAUUUCACAAAAUCACAACUUUAUGCACACUUUACCAUCUUUCACAAUUUAGCCCUUUUUCAACAUUUUUCAUUGAAAUUCAUCUAGUAAAACUUGUAAUUAACACUUCAAACAUUCAUUAUCUAACAUCACUAAUCAAUUUACAAUUAUAUUAUGAAUGGGUCAAUUUUUAAACUUUAAUUUCAUUUAAAUUAAAUGGUAGAAACAUGAAAUUCAAGCUUCAAUAAGCAUAAAAAUACGAAAAUAAUUAAAAACGGGGCAAGAAAUCACUUACAAUUGAGCUUAGGAAAAUCAAAACCCUUAACUAUGGUAACAUGAAACUUUCGGCAGCAAGCUUCUGAUUUUUGAAGAAGAUGGACACUUAUUUUCUCUUUAUUUUGUCUUUUACCCAAUUUGGACAAAAAUGCCCUUGACCCAUUACUUAGAUAUUUUUCUAGAAAUACCCUUUUGUGUCCAUAACACUAAUUUAUGGUCUAAUUGCCACAUAAACACUUCCAAUUUCAUGCAAUAAUUCAAUUAAGUCAUUUAAUCACUAAUUAGACACACUUUGCAUUUUUCUCAAUUUAGUCCUAAAAAUUCAAUUAAGCACUAAAGCAUUAAAAUUUCCUAUCCAUAUUUUCACACAAUAUUUCAAUCAAUCAGUAACUAAUAAAAAUUUAUAAAAUUAAACUAUUUCACUUCGGAUUUGUGGUUACGAAACCACUAUUCCGAUUAGGCCCUAUUUCGGGCUAUCACAAAAGUCACGGUAAAGAAUAAAUAUCCAUUACCUCAGAUUGAUGACCUGUUUGAUCAGUUGAAAGGUGCUACUGUAUUUUCAAAAAUUGAUCUCCAUUCUGGAUAUUAUCAAUUAAAGGUGAAAGACUCAGAUAUACCGAAGGGAACUUUUAGAACCAGGUAUGGGCACUAUGAGUUUCUUGUGAUUCCGUUUGGUGUAACGAAUGCACCUGUAGUAUUUAUGAAUUUGAUGAAUAGAAUUUUUAGACCGUAUUUAGACAAGUUUGUUGUGGUGUUUAUUGAUGAUAUUCUAGUAUAUUCCUAAGAUGAAAUGGAGCAUGCUGAUCAUUUGAGAAUUGUACUGCAAACUUCACGUGAAAAGCAAUUAUAUGCUCAAUUCAACAAGUGUGAGUUCUAGCUUCAGGAAGUAUGUUUUCUCAGACAUAUUGUUUAUGCAGAAGGCAUCAGAGUAGAUCUGAGUAAAAUUUCAGCCAUUAUUAAUUGGAACCCACAAAAAAAUGUAUCUGAGGUCAGAAGUUUUUUGGGAUUAGCUGGCUAUUAUCGAAGGUUCGUAAAACUAUGAUAGCUUCUCCGAAGACUCGACUGUUGCAGAAAGAUGUGAAAUUUGUAUGGACAGAUGAAUGCCAGUAGAUUUUUGACAAAUUAAAAACUUUAUUGAUAAAAGCACCUAUAUUGGUUCAACCUGAAUCGAGUAAGGAAUUUGUAGUUUAUAGCGAUGCAUUGUUAAAUGGACUAGGUUAUGUCUUGAUGCAAGAAGGUAAAGUAGUAGCCUAUGCUUCGAGAUAACUAAAGCCACAUGAAAAGUAUUACCCGGUACAUGAUCUUAAAUUGGAAGCUAUUGUGUUUGCGCUAAAAAUAUGGCGACAUUAUAUGCUUGGUGAAAAGUGUCAUAUAUUUACUGAUCAUAAGAGUUUGAAGUAUUUGAUGACACAGAAUGACUUGAAUUUCAGACAGCGCAGGUGGCUUGAAUUGUUGAAAGAUUAUGAUCUAGUCAUAGACUAUCAUCUAGGAAAAGCCAACGUGGUUGCAGAUGCUUUGAGCAGAAAGUCACUGUUUGUGUUACGAGCAAUGAAUGCUUAGUUAUCUUUAUCUGAUGAUGGCUCAAAUGUAGCUGAUUUAAGAGCUAGACCAAUGUUUUUACAGCAGAUUUAUGAAGCUCAGAGAAGUAAUGAUACGUUGCAAGCUAGACGCGUAUAGUGUGAAGCGGUUUCUGAUUCGGAAUUUCAAAUUGGACGCGAUGAUUGUUUGUUAUACAGAGGUAGGGUAUGCGUACCAAGGAAUUCAGAACUUAUACAGAAGAUUCUACACGAAGCUCAUAGUAGCACUAUGUUUAUUCAUCCGGGGAGUAAUAGAAUGUAUAAUUAUUUGAAAAAGAUGUACUGGUGGUCGGGAAUGAAACAUGAUAUCUCUGAAUUUGCUUCUAAAUGUUUGAAGCUGAGCACCAAGUACCUUCAGGAUUAUUACAGUCAAUUACGAUACUUGAGUGGAAAUGGGAAAGAGUUACUAUGGAUUUUGUAUCAUGAUUACCUCUGUCUCCAAAAAAGAAAGAUGCCAUUUGGGUAAUCGUUGAUAGGUUGGCAAAGUCUGCACACUUUAUACCGGUACGUAUGGAUUUCUCUUUAGUCAAGUUGGCUGAGUUAUAUGUGUCUGAGAUUGUCAAAUUGCAUGGAGUGCCAGUUUCUAUUAUUUCAGAUAGAGAUCCCCGGUUCACAUCCUGAUUCAAGAAUAAAUUGCAAAAAGCCCUGGGUACAUAGCUACAUUUUAUUACCGCAUUUCAUCCUCAAACUAAUGGCCAAUCUGAACGUGUAAUACAGAUUCUAGAGGAUAUGCUUUGAUGUUUCAUGUUGGAAUUCGAAGGUAAUUGGGAAAAAUAUUUACCUUUUGUUGAAUAUGCCUACAAUAAAAGCUAUCAGUCUAGCAUUAAAAUGGCACCGUAUGAAGCUCUGUAUGGUCAUAAAUGUAGAACUCAAUUGUAUUGGACAGAGCUUAGUUGGAAAAAGAUACAUGGAGUUCACUUAGUCUGAGAGACUGAGGAAAAAGUAAAUGUGAUACAGGAUUGUUUGAAAGCAGCCUCUGACUGCCAAAAGCCUUAUGCUGAUCUUAAAAGGAAAGAAAUAGAGUUUCAAGUGGGUGAUAAAGUGUUCUUGAAAGUAUUGCCGUGGAAGAAAGUCCUUCGAUUUGGCCAUAAAGGGAAAUUAAGUCCACGAUUCAUUGGACCGUAUGAGGUUAUUGAAAGAAUUGGACAGGUUGCAUAUCGAUUGGCAUUACCACCUGAACUUGAUAGGAUUCACAAUGUUUUUCACGUAUCUAUGUUACGACGGUAUCAUCGAAUCCUUCACAUGUUAUUGCCCCAACAAAGCUUGAAAUUCAACCUGAUUUGACUUACAAUGAGGAAUCGAUCAAAAUCAUAGCACAGGAAACAAAUGAAUUGAGAAACGAAAAGGUAGCUUUAGUGAAAGUUCUCUCGUAACGGCAUGGAAUAGAAGAAGCUAUUUGGGAACCAGAGGACACUAUGAGAAAGCAAUACCCAAACCAUUUUACUGGUAAGAUUUUUUAGGACAAAAAUUCUUAAAGGGGAAGAGUUGUAAUAGCGAAAUUCUAGUAAAAUCGAAACAGUGGUUUCGGGAACACAAAUCUAAAUCGAAAAGAAAAUUUGUUGUAAUGUUAUUGCAUGGUUUGUAUUAAGGUAGGAAAGUCAUAUGAAAAUUUUGGUAAGAAAAUUAUACCGAGUAUGUGGUUAAUUAGGAAAAGGAUCAAAUUGAAUAAAAUGUGAAAGUUGAGUGCUAGAAGCUACAAUGAUCAAAUAGCUAUGAAACUUGAGGUCCUUAUAUGGUAAUUAGACCAUUAAUAGGGUUAGUAGAUAUUUUUGGAUGAGUCGUCCAUGGAAAUUGAAGAAAAGGUAAGGACUAAAUUGGAAUAAGAAAUAAUAAAAGGAUGGUAAUGAAUUAAAUUAGAAAAUAUCAUCAUAUUUUAUCAUUUUCUUCCCCAAUUUACAUGGAAACCCUAGGAGAGAGAGAAAAAACUUUCAAGUCUUGACUGGGUAAGUAAUAUUUUCCCGUUUUUAGUAAUUUUUAUAUUUUUGAGAUCGGUAUAACCUAAUCUAUCUGGAUUAGGGAAUAAUUUGAAAAGUUAUCAAAGUAUAAAAGUUAUGCCAUGGAUGUAAGUGCUUGAAAUUUGAAAUUUAUGGUAGAAAAUGAAAGGUUGGUGAAUGAUAAACUACUUUUCCAAGGUGAUUUUGGGUGACAUUGUGAUUUAGGAACUAAAUUGUAAAGAUGAAGAAUUCAUGAAAAAAUUCUAAUUUUUGUGAAAUUUAUCACAUAAAAUAAGGUCAUUUAUGACCAUUACCACUAUCAAUGGUCCAUUAACAUAAUAAGGACCUCACAUUUAAUUAUUCAUAGCAAAUAAGCACUUUUAACAUAUAGCAUGUCACUUUUGCAUUUUACGUAAUUUAAUCCUUUUUACCGAAUUAAGCAUUUAAACAGUAAAAUUUCUUGACGAAACUUUCACAAAAUCAUCCUAUCAUACUGUAAACAUUAAAUAAAUAAUAAAAUAAAUAUUUAGACCUCAGAUUUGUGGUCCCGAAACCACAGUUCUAAUCUGACUAAAAAAUAAGAUGUUACACUGUGUGUGACACACGACCUAACCUAUGGGUGUGUAUUCUGGCCGUGUGUCUCAGCCGUGUGAAAGACACAGCCUUAGUACACAGGCAUGUGAUAUGGCCAUGUGAAUCUUGCACCUAAAUUUGAAAAUAAAAAUUAACCACACGGCUUAGCAACACGGGUGUGUGACUUGGCCGUGUGUAUUUAAUUUGUUUGUGGGUUACAAGUCAGAGAGCUCACACGGAAAGGGGCACGGGCGUUUGUAGCCACACGGCCUGACCAUACGGGCGUUUCCCUUACCAUACAGGCGUGUGACCCCUGAACCUUAGAAAAUUUUAGAAUUUUGCGAAAAAUUCUCUGAAUUCGUGAUUUAGUACAAUUUGUUUCUAAGAUCUAUUUUGGACCUCGAGGGCCCAAUUUGGGGCGUAUGGAAUAAUGUCUAAAUGUGUUUAAUAAAUGAUUUAAAAUAUUGUUAAUUUUAUGGUAAACACCGAUAAUGCUCCUAAAACCUGUUCCGGCAAUGGGUACGGGAUAGGGGUGUUACAAGUUUUAACUAAAGCGAUAGGAUUUGUUGAUUUUAAUUUUCCAUAAGACCUCAAUGGUCAUGGAACUGCAUGUGCUUCCAUUACCGCUGGAACUUUAACAAAACUAAAUUGAUUCAAAGAUAUUUUUGGAAUUUCCAAUUCUGAAAUACAAGGGUCAAACCCGUUUUCCAGAAUAGCAUCCUACAAAAUUUCUAGUGAUAAGGUGACAAUUGAUAAAAGUGUUGAAGUUUUAAAAAAUUAUUUGCUUGAUGCUAUGAAGAAAGCUACUUUGGACAAGGUGAAUGUAAUAAUGGUAUCUUUGAGCACUCAUACUUUGUCAAACAAUUCUUCGUAGCCCUGUGAUCCAGUUAAUAUGGAAGGAUAUUUGGUAGUGAAAGAAAAUAUAGUUGUUUGUGCAUCUUCAGGUAAUCAUGGUAACAAUUAUUACACUCAAUCGGGAGGGUUAGCUCAUUGGGUUAUUGAGGUCGAAUCAUGUAAUUCUGGUGGAAGAUUCAUAACACAAGUUGAGCUAGGAGGUGGAACACAAAUCAAGGUACAUUAUCAUUCUCUAAUUAAAUUACUAGCUCAAUGACAAGGUACUAACUUAUUAUAUAUAUAUUUUAAUUUAGGGGGUCAGUUCAUUUAUGGAUAAACAUGGAGAUUAUAGGUCUGGGUAUGUGCUUUAUAAAUUUCUAUUUAGAUUAUAUUGUAAUUUUAAUAUUUGUAUAUAAAAAUUACACUAACAAAAUAUUUGUUCAUAUGUUAAAAGAGCUGUUGAAGUUGUAGGAACAAGCAAAGGAAAAGAAGUUGAAUCCAAAACUGAAGCAUCUCAGCUACAAAAGAAAAAAUGGAGAUUCAAAAAGAUGUGAAUGGGAAAAUUAUUUAUGAUGGAAAAAAAAGAGAUAAUGUAACACCCCUAAUCUGUAUCCGUUGCCGGAGUAGGGUUAUGGAGCAUUACCAUAAAAACGUAACUUUAAAACAUAGCUUUCAAACCUUGUCAUAAACAUGUCAUAAUUCAUUCAUAUACAUGCAUAUCGUCCCUUAAUCAAGCCUUCGAGGCUUUAUAAAUACUUUAGGAAAAAUUCGAGACUAAAUUAGAAUCAAUCGGAAAGUUCUUGAAAAAGUAAGAAAAUUUAAACUGUAAGGGUCACACGGUCGUGUAACAAUCGAAACAAGGAUUCAUGGCUGUGUCCCAACCCAUGUUCCUACCCGUGUAACUUUCGAAGUUGGGUCAUACAACCAAGCCACAUGCCCAUGUGCCAGGCCGUGUAAUUUCCUGACUUGUAUGCCUUUACAACCUACACCUCGGCCAUGUCGCUUAGCCUUAUUUCACACACGGCUGAGACACACAGCCGUGUCUUAGGCUGUGUAGACUUGAAAUUGGCCAAAUGCAAGUCAUUUCAAUUACUAUUCCAAGCAUAUACCUACAAGCAAUUUGCACCCAUGACCAAGGCAUCAAAAACAUACCAAAACAUUCUUAAAAUGACCAAUUCAAUAGACUAUUAUCAUACAACCAAUAUGCCAUACAAGGCACCUCAAUCACAAUCAAUCAAACAUACCUUAACAUGUGCAUAAUUGAUCAUAUUUCAUUCAUACACAUCUAAUUCAAUACCUUUCCAAAGCAUAGCAUAUCUUGACCAUUUUGAAACUAUUUCUUCACAUACCAUAUUGGCCAUUCAAACAACAUCAAACUUAGUCAUAUUAACACAUAUGAACUAGGUAUCAAAAGUACCAAAAGUACCUCAAUCCAAACUAACAUUUGCAUACCAAACAUAUCAACUAAACAUCAAACACAAGUCCACUUAUACAUGUCAUUAUAACCUUGGCCAAAACAUAAAAAACUACCGAUAUAAUCGUUGGAUAGUAUGAUAGAUCUCUGACGUGCUUUCAAACUGAUCGAACUGACGAUUUUCUAUAAAACACAGGAAAAAAAACUACAUAAGCAUAUAAUGCUUAGUACGUUCGUAACACAUGAACAUAACUUACCAUUUCAAUGCGUGAUCUUAAAAUUAAACAUGAUACAAUCCAACCAUAAGCUUAACCCAAGCCUAAGCAUCAUCAACAACACAUGUUAGUGCACCAACUCAUAAUUCACUUGAAUUAACAUAAGGUAAAUCAUUAUACAUGAACAAAAUCAUUUGAAAUCAUCAAUUUCAUGAACCUAGAUAUACUUUCAUUGUACAUUUCCUUUUCAAUCCUUUUCAUAGCUACAUGACAUAAGUUAUUUGAACACUUACCGUUCCUUUCCUUUUAAUGCCCGUUGAACCAUUUAGAAUAACAUUGGAUACACGGGAAAGCUCUCAUGAAGUGUGCUAAACAUAUAGUCAUAACAUUUCCUUUACAUCGUUGCUCACACGAGCUAUGAAAUAGUUCUGUUCACACAAGCUGUCAGUCAAAAUGUAAGCUACACGAUGCUGCUCACACAAGCUGUAGAGUAUCAGCAACAAAUGUAGGACCUCAUCCAUUAGUAGGACAUUCAAGACCAACACGUAUUCUUAAGGUUCAAAUGGAACUCGGUCACUAUCUUGACAUCGUUGGAUUUCCAUCAUUUAUUUACAUGGUAAAUAACAUAAUAACAUAUAGAUCAAAAUAACAUUAAAAUGUUAUUUAAUCAUACAAACUUACCUCGACAAAUAAAAUGUAAAAACGUAGUCGAUCAAUCUGAGGCUUUUGCUUUUCCCCGAUCUAAAUCCGUUCGAUGUCUACCUUGACCUAAAUAGAUAAAUUCAAUUCUUUUAAUACUUCUACUAUUAAAUUCAGCCCAUAAUUCAUAUUUUUGUAAAAUUACAAUUUUACCCCUAAUAUUUUAACCUUUUUAUAAUAUAGUCCUUAAGCUCGUAAAUUAAAAUUUAAGCAAUUUCAUCAUAAUUUCAUGCAAGCCGAAUUCACUAAGGACCCCUAUCAAUCCAUACAAAUCAGCAUUUUACAAAUUUACCAUGGUAUUUUACUACUUUUACAAGUCCCUAAAUGAAUAUUUCAUCAAAAAUCCCUCUACAUAACUUGUUUAUUUAACAACUAGGAUUCAUAUUCUUCCAUUAAAAUUCAAGAAUCAUGUAAUAAAAUUCAUGAAAAAAACCUAAACAUUUAACAUUUUUGCAAAUUAGUCCCUAGGUAGCUAGAUUAAGUUACAACGAUCCUGAAAACAUAAAAAUCAUUAAAAACAGAAUUGAAAUACAUACCAUGCAAGCAAAAAUGGAGUAGCCAAACCUUAAUGAUGGCUUCUUAAACAAUUUCGGUUGAAGAAGAAAAACAAAUGGAAGAAGAUAAAUAUGUGGUGCAAUAAAUGGGUUAGGAUACGCACCCAGCAUAAUCUGAAAGGGGUAUAAUGUGGGCAACACCGCUUACCUCGUUAAGGCUGGGGAUUGCGUGGGCGCUGUUGAUAGGCCCGUCUUACCACCUCUUGUCUUAGAUUUAAAGGGCUCCAUCGUUCUCUUUUGACACUGAUUUACCGACGCCUCUCCUCUUUCGAGAGAAAAUAUGUCUUUCCAUAGAUCCUAAACCAUGGCAUGUAAUCUUGAUCGCAUGCUAACUCCAGAACGAUAAUCGGUUCGCGAAUAGGUAUAUUAUCGUACCGAUUUUUCCACAUUUCAAUAUAUUCCGAGUGAAAGAGUGGCCAAUGCAUAUCCGAUUACCAUAAUUUAAUUUUGUGCUCAUCAUUAAGCACCUUAGGUGCCACAGGAAUCAGUUUUCAAAAUUUGAAUUGCUGCAACACUAUAUGGAAUAGCCUGUUCUUAAUGGUGUAAAAAAUAGUAGUUUUGGGACCACAAUUCUGACGAUUGAAUUAUUAUUUUAUUAUAUAUUUAAUGUUUAAAAGUUUAUAUUAAGGUCGUAUAAAAAUUUCGUUAAGAAAUUUUGAUGUUUCAAUGGUUAAUUAGAUAAAAAGGACUAAAUUGAAAAAGGUGAAAAAGUUGAGUUUUAUUAGUUAAAGGGGUCAAAUGACUAUGGAAGUGAAAGUUAAUGCACUUUAAUAGUAACUAUACUUUUUAAAGAGUUAGUGGAUGUGCGUGGGCAAGGUUUUAUUGAAAUUUUUAAUUAGUAAUAAGGUUGAUGUGGUAAUUUGGUAAAUAAAAGAAAUUUUAAGUAAAUAAAACACAAAAUAAAGAUAAUAUCUUCUUCAUUUUUGUUCCAAACCCUAAAAUAGUCGUUGGAUAAGUAAAAAAUCUGAUCAAGCUCCUUUUUGUUGCAUGUGAGUGAAUUUAAGCCCCGUUUUUAAUGAAUUUUAUGUUUUUGAGUUCGUUUUAGCUUUAUCUGGCUAGCCCAAGGGUUAAUUUGAAAUUUUUUUAAAUAUUUAGGGACUUUUCAUGGAUUUUUUGAAUAUUUUUUGUAGUUGUUUAAUAGAUUGUUAAUCUUGGUUGUUAAAUAAACAUGUUUUGUUAAGUGAUUUUUGAUGAAAUUGCAUUUAGGGAUUUAUUUGUGAAAAUAGUAGAAUUUCAUGUUAAAAUUAUGAAAUGUUGGUUUAAGUGAGUUGGUAUAAGUCCCUAUGAAAUUUUUCUAGCUAGUACGGAGGAUUAAAAUGGUUAAAUUUCAUGUUAUGAGCUUAAGGACUAAAUUGUGAAAAGUUAAAAUAUUAGGGGAAAUUUUGUAAUUUUUGCUUAAAUAUGAGUUUUUGAUUAAAUUGAAUACUAUAAGUACUUAAUUGAAUGAAAUUAUUUAUUUAGAUCAAGAUAAACCACAGUCGGGCUUAAAUCGAGAAAAAGCUAAAGCUUCGGAUUAGUUUGACUUUACUACUACAAUCCUAUUUAUCGAGGUAAGUUCAUAUAAACUAGGAUCGUAUUAAUGUUAGUUAAAUUUUUUAUUUCCUAUUUUAUGUAAUAUAAAUGAACUUGGUAUUGUAAAUGUAUCGAUGUACGGAUAGUUGACGGAUAACGAAUCUCGUUUGAACCUUAAGAAUUCUUAGGACAUAAAUGAUUGUCAUUAAGGAUUUCAUGUUUUGGGUACUAGUCUUGAAUGUCGUACUGAUGGCUGAGGUCUUGUAGAUGCUCCAUAGCUCAUGUGAGCAGGCCCAUUUCACAGCUCGUGUGAGCAUUGAUGUAAAGGAAAUAUUAUAGUUAUAUGAAAAGGCACACUUUGUGUGAGCAUUCCCGAGUAUUCGAUGAAAUUCUAGAUGGUUCAUCAGGUAAGAAAGGGAAAUAAAAAGGUAUGUAUGCAAAUGGAAUGAAUCAUGAUCUUAUGAAAACAUUGAUGAACUAAAUGAUGUGUUUAUACAUGGAAAUCUACUUAUUUUAUGGUUAAAUUCAUUUGUAUCAUGGGCAAAGUGUACUAACUUGUAAGUUUGAUGAUGUUGUAUAGGCUUAUACUAAGCUUAUGGUAUUGGUAAUGAUUAAUGUUUAAUCUAUGAAUUGUAUAAAUGAAAUGGUAAGUUAUGUUUAAGUUUGUACAAGCUUACUAAGCACUCGUUGCUUACGUUGUCACUUUCCUUUGUUUUAUAGAUAAUUAGAAGCUCGAUGGGUUGGAAGCUCGUCGCAAACCGAUCACACUAUCCAGCAAUUAUUUCGGUAGUUUUUGAUUAUUUUGGCAAAGUUUAAUAAUGGCAUGUAUGUGUUCUCUAUAAUGGAUGUUUUGGUACGUUUAGGCUUUUGGCAAUUAUGGUUGAUUUGGUGAACUUUAGUGCCUUAUCAAGUUGUGCUAAGUUGGUUACUUUUAAGUGGCUUAUGUAUAAGGUCCUUUUGGUAUGUAUGUGAUGGUUUGGAAAUGGUUAUUUGUGGUAAAAUGUAAUGGUUAAGUGAACUAGGUUGUGUGAUUGAGUUAUGGUCAAAUUGCUUUAGUUUGAUUCAUAAUUUUUUGAUACAAUUGUGGUGUCUUUGAAUGACAUAUUGGUUAGAUAAAUUGGAAUGUUUGAAAUGACAUUUUUGUAUCACCCUUAUACCCAACCCGAUUACUGGAUCAAGUAUAGAAGUGGUAUAUUGGUUUUAAAAAACCCUAAUAAUAAUAUCUAAAUAAAAAUAACAUUACAAUUUGUACAUAUUAGUUUCGUUGUUCCAGUAUAUUGAUUAUUGGUAUUCUGAAAAGCAAGGAACGUGGCUGUGUGGAUUUCAGGGACCAUGUUUAAAUUUGAAAUUCAAGGGAUAAUACGCUAAAUUAAUUCCUAAGGUUUACCUAAUUUAACCCUUGUUCACAUCUCAAAUUUUAAGCCAAUUAUUCAAAUAUAAAUCGUAAUUAAGUAUUUUAAAAUUUUGAUUUUCUUAUAUUACUUAAUUAACAUUUAAAUUAUUUCAUAUAAAUUAAACAACCAUUGAGUCUUGCAUUUAAUUCCCAUCACAUUCAACCUUAAUACACACACCUAGGUAUAUGCCAUUUACUGAAACAAUAGAAAUUAAUACUUUACCCCUUUCUCGGAUCCAUUGAUGUGAUGAGAUGAGGUGCCUUCAAUCUUAAAAAAAAAAAAACAUUUUCUUCUACUUUUAACCUACGCGUAUGAACACGUGUUAAGCUAUUGCUAGCUUAGUAAGUGCAACUAAUGUUUAGAUCAUAAUCUAUAUUAUAAAUUAUAACUUAUUUAUUAUUACUACACAAAAUCAUUUAAAUGACCUAUUUGUUUUCAUCAUACAUAAUUUACCAAUCAAUUCACUUAUUCUUACUAUUAGGUCUGCAUUUAUUAUUAUUUACUCAUUAAACACCAACUAAACAUAUUGAUUUAAUUAACAUCUAUAUAAUACUAAUUUAUAUUAAAUAAUUGAAUUUCUAUUCAAUUUCUACCUUAAUUUCAAUUUGGUCUUAAUUAAAUUUACUUACUUUUCUAUAUCAUUUCAUACUUUAUUUCUACUCAAUUUCCUACCAAAUUCAACUUAACUAUCUAAUGUUCAUGAAUAAACCCUAACUUCAAAUUUCUUUCAAUUUAAUCUUUCUAACACAAAACUUAUAGCUUACUUUGCAAUUUAAUCCCUUUUAUCAAUUCUAACUAGAAAUUCUAUCAAUUAAACCCCUAAUUCAACAAUUUGUUCAACAUGAAUCACAUUCAAAAAUCUAAGAACUUUCAAAAAUUUUAACUUAAAUUCAACAAAACUUUGUUCUAAGACCUCUAAAACAUCAAAAUUAAAAGAAAAAGACUUGAUAGACUUGCCAAAUUAAAGCUUAAAGCCUCAGACCCUAAUUUUUUCCUUUUCUUUUCUUUCCCCUUUCCUUUCUUUCUUUUUCGUUUGUUCUCUGUUUCUUCUUUCUAUUUUAUUUCCCUUUUAUUUCUUUUUAGUUUAUUUACUUUAUGUUAUAAUAAUAUAAUAUAUAAUAAUUAAUAUAAAUAUCUUUUACUACACAUGUACAUAUUCAUAACCAUACAUUUGUCAAAAUCAUAACUUAUUUAUUAUAUAAAAAUCCCAUAAUAUAAUUAAUAUAAAUUAAGAUUUAAAUAAAUAAAUAAUAAGUAAUAAAUAUCUUUUACUUAAAAUUUAAGUAAAUCAAUUAUAAUUAUACAUUUGUACAUUUUAUAUUAUUACACAUGUACUAAUUUGUACCUUACAUUUGUCAUUAUUUUGGUUUAUUUUACAUAAUAAUAUAAUAUAAUAUAAUAUAAUAUAAUAUAAUAUAAUAUUUAAAACAUAAAAAAAUCUAAGAUUUUUAUCAUACUUAUGCCGCCUCAUAUUUAUGAAUUGGCAUAAUUACCAUUUUGGCCCUUUAUACUUUCUUUUAAUCUACAAUUCAACUUUUACACCUUAUUCUAUUUAGUCCUUUUUUCCUAAUUUCUCUUAAUUAAACUAAAUUCAUCUAAUUAAAACUUAUUACUAGACUCAUAAUUACUCCUAAUAAUUAUUUACGGACUCGGUUUACUAAGACGGAGGCCCGAUAUUGCACUUUUUUGAUGCCCGUGAAUUUUGGGUCAUUACAUAGGUACAUGCCAUUUAUUGAAACAAUAGAAAUUAAUACUUUACCCCUUUCUCGGAUCCAUUGAUGUGAUGAGAUGAGGCGCCUUCAAUCUUAAAAAAAAAAAGAAAAAUCAUUUUCCUCUACUUUUAACCUACGCGUAUGAACACGUGUCAAGCUAUUGCUAGCUUAAUAAGUACAACUAAUGUUUAGAUCAUAAUUUAUCUUAUAAAUUAUAACUUAUUUAUUAUUACUACACAAAAUCAUUUAAAUGACCUGUUUGUAAUCAUCAUAUAUAAUUUACCAAUCAAUUCACUUAUUCUUACUAUUAGGUCCACAUUUAUUAUUUACUCAUUAAACACCAACUAAACAUAUUGAUUUAAUUAUCAUUUAUAUAAUACUAGAAUCGCAUGAUUUGUUUUACAUUCUCAUUUACUCCAUUUAACUAAAAUCUCUGAUAAUUUACUUUACUUAUUUCAACCAUUUAUUUUCUUUUUUUUUCUCAAUUUCAAAACUUUUCAACACAUAUAAUCUACAUAAUUUAUUAAUCACUAAAAUAGUUUUGUACCUUUUUUAGAGGCCCAGUAAACUAAACAGAACACUUAUGAUAUACGAAACUGAUAUAAGGUGCACUAAAGUGCACUAAUAGAACAGUAGGCACCGAAGUGCAAAUCACUAAGCACCGAAGUGCAAAACAGUAGGCACUGAAGUGCAGAACGAUAAGCACCAAAGUGCGAAACAGUAAGCGCCAAAGCGCACGACAAUAAGCACACUAAAAUUUCCUUAAUGGCAUGCCAUCUAUAUUCCAAUAGUUCUAAUUUCGUCUACUUGGGCAAAUUUGUGCAAUGCACACAUAUCACAUUUACACUUUCGCAUAAUGCUUUUAGAUUUUCUACCAUUUAAUCCUUAUAACAAUUCUUCGUAUAAUUAUAUCUUCCUCUUUCAUUAACACAUGUAACUUGUCUCAAUAUUUAAUAAUCUUCCAUAAUUUCACUAAUAAUUUUUAUUAUACAUUUCACCUAUCACUUUUACUUAUUUUACAAUUUAGACCUCAUCAUAACAUUUAAUGUAACAAUAUCUUUUUCUUUUAAUUUUGUGUACAACAUAUUUCAUUUUUCUAUUUAAUUUCCAUAUUCCACCUUAACUUCUUAUCACAUUCACAUUCACAUGUCAUUUUCUUUUUUUUUUCUAAAUUUUGUCCUUGAGACAUCAAAUCCACAAAUAAAGUUUACAAUUCUUUUUAAUACAUGUAACAUGUUUCACCAAUUAAUAUAAUUUCCAUAAUUCAUCACUAAUCUUAUUAAAUUUAUUUUCAUGUUAUUUUAAAUUUUUAACACACUAAUCCUUGUCUUUCAUUUUUUUAAUCAAACAUAUGUGCAUUAUUUCACAUAUUUCUCUUCAUAUUUACGUACAAAAACAUCAACUUUUACAUCCUCUACAAUUUAGGUUUUUUUUUAUGCAUUCUAAAUCUUUUCUCACAUGUCUUUCAAUUUCUUUAUCACAUAUUACGUAAUAAAUACAAUCAAUUCAUUAUUUAUUAUAUUUAAUCAUUAUCAAGCCUUAUUCUUCACUUAUUCAACAUAUAAAUUUGUAAUUAAAUAUCAUAUUAAAAUUAUAUUGAUUCUAACAAUUAACUUCAUAAUCAAAACAAGUAAGAUUCUAGUUGUACUUACAACUUUAUGCUUGAAAUCAACUUUCUUCUCCUCUGUCUCCCUUUGUCCACUUCCUUGCUCUUUUUUUUUCUCUAUUUGUUUAUCAACUUCCUUCACUUUUUCUUCAUUUUUCCAUAUCAAAAUACACAAUAUUUUCAAAUUAAAAAUCAUACUCACAUAUCAUUAUUCAUGUUUUGUAAUCAAAACUAACAUGUAUUUCAAGAGAAGUUGAUAGUUCUUACCUCAAAAUUUAUAUUCAAGUCUAAUCUUUGUUUUCUCUCUCCUCCAAAACUCCCAUGAAUGCUGUUCUCAUGAAAUUAAUGUAACUAUUUUCUCUCUCCAUUGAUCUUACUCAUAAAUUAUGAAGAAAUUUAGGAAAAACUAGCUUCAUUGAUUUGUAUUUGGUGAGAGGGACUAAAUUGAAAGAAAAAUAAAUAUUGAAAUGGUGGAAAAAAGGUGGAUGACGUGAAGCACCAUCACCAUGGCUUUUCUCUUCUUCUUCUUUUUAUCGUUUUCUUUCUCCAUUUUUCUAGACUUCUUCAUCAAUUUAUCUAUACAAAAAUUUUCUUUUUAUACAAUUUACCAUCUUGCCCUUUUUACUUAAUUACAAUUAAGCCAUUACUUUUUCAUAAUUAUCUUUUCAAUUCCUUUAACAUUUUACACUUUCACUUUUUUUAUAAUAACACCCAUGUGUCCUAUUUCCUUUGGUUUAUUUUCACCUCUAGUCCCUCCUCCUUUUUCAUCAAUUUAUUUUAAUCCUUCAAGACCCAAUUUUCUCAGCAUGCCCCAAUACUUUCCAUUAAUUUAAUCGGUUCAAAAAAUAUGAUAUUAAUAUUUUUACUUUUCCAAAUAUCUUAUGCACCUAUCUUUUAUGUCUCAUAACUCUUCAAAAUUCUAAUUUCUGACUUUUCCCAAAAUUUCGAUUAAUUUAUUGUAUAUUUAUCAUUGUUCAAGACUCCGAAAAUUUUUAGGGAUGUUACAGUUUUGGUGUGUUUGAAUGAUGUUUAAGUCCCUAAGAUGUAUGCCCAAAUGGUAAGAAUGGUUUGGUAUGAAUUGGACUUGAAAUGGUAUGAAUUUAGGUUUAAAUUAUGGAUCACACGGCGUGGGACACAGGCUAUCACACAUCACAUGGCCUAACGACACAGCCGUAUGUCAUUUGAAAUUUCAUAGUUUUUCAAGUCAAUGAAUUACACGGCCUAGCACACGGCCGUGCGUGGCAACUCAAAAAGUUACAAGGUCUGGCACACGGUCGUGUAUGGCAACUCAAAGAGUUACACAGUGUGCAACACGGCCGUGUGUCCCUUUGUUCAAGUGUUACACAGCCUGGGCUAUGUCACACGACCUGGCCACAUAGCUGUGUGACCCUUAUUUUGUAAUAGCCCGAAUUUGGGCCUAGUCGAAACAGUGGUUUCGAGACCACAAAUGUAAUAUUUUGAAAAUUUCUACAGUAAGAUAUUAUCCUUGGUAUAGUAAAAUAAGGAAAUAAAGUAACAAAAAGGGAAAUUUUGAGUCAUGUCAACAUUGAGAAGUAUAUUAUGACAUAUUAAUGCAAGGAAGGACUAAAUCGCAAAAGUGAGAAAAGUAUUGUUGCCCAAGAGUAAAUACUCAAAAUUUGAGGGGUUAAAGUGUAAAUAUGAAAAAGUUGAAGGACCAAAUGUGUAAAUACUUUAAGGGUGGAAUGAUCUAGAAACUAAGGAAAAUGGAUGAAUUAGGACCAAAUUGAAUAAGAUAAGAAUUAUGAGGGACUAAAUCAUAAUUUUACCAAAUUAAGUGUGACUCAAUGAUGGAAUUUUAAAAGAUUAUGAAGGGAAAAAUGGCCAAUUAGAAGAGAGAGAAAUCUAGAAGGCAAUGAUGAUGUUGGUGAUAUUUUAGAUUAAUUAAUUAAAUAAAUAUUAGUUUAUUAAUAUUUUAAUAUGAUUUUUAAAUGAUAUUUUAUUAAUUUAUUAUUAUUCUAUUUAAUAUAUAUAUAUGAAAGGAAAGAUGAGAAAUUAUCAUCUUCUUCCCCAUGCAACCAACGUAUGAAGAGGAAAGAAAGAAAGAAACUUUCUUUUAUUUACAAUUUGGUCCUUUUAUCAAAAAUUUACCAUUUUCACUUAGAAAUCAAAAGAAUUUCCAUAUCCAUCAAGAGAGAAAGAUAACAAGGAGACUAUGGGGAGCUAGAAUAUCAAGUUAGAUUCAAGAAAUAGAAGCUGGAGGAGAGAGAAAAUCAAGUUAAAGAUUGAAAUCAAUUGAGCAAGGUAAGAACAUCAAGAUUUCAAUAUAUUUUUGAGUUUGAUAUUAUUGAAAAGGUAUGAAAUUGAUGUUAAUGUAGAGUUUUAUUAUAUAAGGUUUUAUGUUCUUGGUAGGUUAAUGAAGAGAAAAUAAGAGAAAGUGAUGAGAAAUAGUGUAGAGAAAGAAAAUAAGAGUGUUAUAAACUUAGUAAUCAAUGUUUUACACUAAAACAGUUUGGACAGCAGCAGUAGGUUAACUUUGAAAAAUCACAAAAAGUUGUGGGAAUUGAAUUAGAAGAUGAAUAAAAUAUUAAAUUAAAGCUUAUUGAGUCUAGUUUCUCAUAGAAGAAAUGGUGUAAGAAAUAGAAUUGUAAAUCAUGAGAUAUAAUAAAUUUUGUGAGACAAUUUCAGAAUGAUUUCGGGCUCCCCUGUUCUGACUUUUGAAAAUCAUAAAAAAUUGAAGAAAAAUAAUUAUGAGUUAUAAUUUAUAUGAUUAGAAUCCUUAAUGAAUCUAUUUUCAAAUGAAAUAAACAGAAACAUCAUCCAAAUUAUUUACAAUUAGAUAAUUCAUUUUUAGUGAAGAGUGGUCGGAACUGUCAGACAACAAAAUAGGGGAAAUUUUAAAGAAUAAACUGUACUAUUUGGCUAAAACAAAAAUUCUGAAAAUUUUAUGGAAAUAAGAUAUGUGAGUCUAGUUUCAGGGAAAAUUAACGGAUCUUAAUUUGGAUUUCUGUAGCUCAAGAUAUAAAUGAUUUAGUGACUAUGACUCAAAUGGACAGUUUUGAAUAAAUUUACAAGAAAAUAGUGAAAUUAUAGAUAAUGUUACUUAUAAGCAUGUUAUGUAAAUUAAGGAUGUGGAAUGGAGAGGAGGAGGAGGAAAAUAAAUUUAUGAAUAUUAUGCUAGCAUGGAUUUUCAUUUCAAAUGGUUAAUUUGCAUGAUUUGGGCUCGAGGACUAAAUUGAAUAAAAGUAAAACUUUAGGGGCAAUUUUGGAAAAAUGUUAAAAAUGACCAAAUUGCAUGAAAUGAAUUGUUUUAUUAUUUAAAUUACUAAAUUGAAUGAAAUAUUAAUUUAGAUCAAUAUUGGGUGAAAAUUCGAGAAAAUAGAAAUUUUUCAAAAUGUCCCUGAAUUUUGGUAUUUUUGCAAUUUAGCCUGGUAAGUUCGUAUGAACUAUAUUUUGUAUAAUUUUAAUUGAAUUGAAUGCUAUUUGGUUAUGAAUAUUAUAUAUAUUUGUGUUUGGAAUUGAAUUAUUAUUGGAUGUUUUGAAAUGAUUAUCGGAAGCUUGUUGGAGAUAUAUCACAUUAUCCAUUGGUUCUAUCGGAAAUUUUGGAUGAUUUGAUUCUGGUUAUUGUAUAAGUUAAAUUGGUUAAUGUUAGCUCAUAAAUGUUUUGAUUUUGAUUGGUUAUAAAUAUGAAUGCUUGAUGAAAUGAAAUGUCUGAAAAUUAAUUUGUAAACUCCGGUAAUGCUCUAUAACCCUAUUCUGGGGAAGGAUACGGGUUAGGGGUGUUACAUAUUUCCCAAUUUUUAAAAAUUUUUCUUAAAAUUUUUAUUUUAUUUCAAAUUAGUCCUGAAUUGCUUCUAAGUUACUUUUAAGGUCUCGAAGGCUCGAUUUAGGGACAAAACGUAUAUAAUUGAAUGGUUUAUAAUAUGUUUAAUUUUUUUAAAUGUUAUGAUGUUAAAUAUUUUACGAUUGUACGAUAAUGUUUCGUAACCCUAAUCCGGUGAUGGAGACGGGUUAAGGGUGUUACACUCUAUCCGUAUGGUGCAUCUCAACGGUAGCGUAGCUGACCAAUGGGACCCUAACAUGUUAGAUGUUUGGAUUCUGUAGGAAUUCCUCCGAAAUUACUGCACGAAUUGCCAGAUCCUCGUAUGAUGUCCAUUGAAACUAUAUGAACGUAAUAAAAAUAUUAGUUAUAUACAUAAUGCUAAAUACGAAUUCGACUAUGUUAUAUAUAGUUCAAAAUGAAAUAAAUACUUACAUGCAUUUCCAAACGUUAGUCUAAUAGAAGUCAUAUAUCUUCAAGACCAGUAGGUUUUCCCUCGUAACUCGGCGAAUAGUUCCACCUAUUUAAACAAAAUUUUAGCAUAAUAUUUUAUUUUAAAUAUAUUUAAUAAUUGCAAAAUCUAAUAUAAAUUUUACCUUGUUCUAAGUGGGAAUGUAUACGUGUAACAGUCUAUUUUUCAGUGGUGUCGGAUACAGUGGUUUCGGGGCAACCAAAUCGACGAGUAAGUUUGUAAAUAUUAUUAUUUUAUAUUUAUGAGUCGAAUAUGGUUUUAAAAAGUUUUUCGAUUUGAUAAUUUAUGUUAUAUAAGCGAUUUAUUAAGUUCAAGUGGUAAGACCCUAAGGUCAAGUGAUUUUAGAAAAUGAGGUAUCGGGACCUCGUUUCUAUAAACUGAGCCGUAAAUAUUUUUAUAAAUAUUUACAGAGUGUCAUUAAGGUGACAUUAAAGUUUCGUUAAAAAAUUUUAGCAUUUCGAUGGUUAAUUAAUUAAAACGGAUUAAAUUGUAAAAGAUUAAAAUUUAAUCACUAUUUAAUUUGAGUGAUUAAAUGGUUAAUUGAAUAAAGGAAAAGCAACUUAAAUGGUAAUUAAACAAUGGUCAAAGUUUCCAAGUGGCGGUGUUAUGAUUGAAUCCACUAGCUUUUGGAUUAAUUAUUCUUUUAGUCCUAAUUAGUUUAGGAUGAAAUUGUAAAUAAGUUUAUUUAGUUAGAUUUUAAUUUAAUGGAAUGACCAAUUGUGAAAUUAAACCUUCCUUUGAUUGUAAUUAUGCCAUAUAUUUAUGUGAUAGAAACUUAUGGCCAUGAAAUUGGUGUUUUAUUUAUUAUUUAACUAAGGGUAAAAUGGUAAUUGGAUAACUAAAAUAAAAUAAAACCAAAAUGUUUAUCAUCAUCCUAAUGUUUUCUUCACCGAUUGAGAAUGGAUAAAAAACUCCAUGGAAGACCUUGAAGCUUCGGCUUGCCUUGUGAUAUGCAUGUAAGUCCGUUUUAGCCCCAUUUUUAAUAAUUUUUAUGUUUUUAGAUCGUUGCAACUAAGUCCAACUAGCCGUACUUUUAAUUUUGAAACUGUUCAAGAUUUUGAAUGUUUCCAUUGAUAAAAUAUAACACCUCAAACCCGGCUUAGACGUUAUGGCCGAAUCUGACGACGUCACAUGGUAGUGCUUUUCAAAAAAUACAUCGUCGCUAAAUCCUCUUUUUUGUUUAACCAUUUUUUAUUAUUAUCUUAUGAUAACUUCAAAUCGUGUCAUUCGUUUUCAAUACAUUAUUCAUUUACAAAUCGUUAUUCAGUUUCAAAACUUUUUUUUAUUGCAGAAGCUUUUAAAUAGUUUGCUUAUUCGUGAUAUUUUUGAUAAAACAUUAAUUUCAUUUGAAAACCCGAGUUUUACCUAACACUAGCAUAUUUAAAUCAUAAAAUCGUAUAAAAUCCAAAUUUUAAACCAAAAUUCGUAAAGGCCAUAAUUACAGCAAAAUACUCCCAAAUAAAAUUAAAAUCAUAAAUAGGUAGUAAACAGUGUAAAAGAAGUCGUGUGGCCACCACUGAGCCCUCUGCUGCAUCGAUCCACCUAUAUCUGGGGAUUACCUGUACAGGUUAAACAGAAGGGGUGAGUUUACGUAAACUGAGUGUGUAAUUCCCAUACAAAUGAACAGACAAUAGACAAAUAAUCACAGUAUGAGAUUAAGCCCUUUUUAGUAUCAGUAUCAGUAUCAGUCCAGUUUGGGCCUUAGCCCAUCUCAGUACAAAAACAGUCAUGCAGUAGGGCCUUAGCCCAUCACAAUAUCAGUAGUAGUAAAAGAUAUGCAGUCACAAAAAUCCUACCCAUCCAACUUCUACAAACCAUCUCUGUCCAACCCUACACUCCAUGUGGGGAUAUAAUCAACCCACCCAUCCCUACACUCCAAGUAGUACCGAAUGCGGCACUAGACAGUAGUUUGCAGCUGAGCUCCCAGUAAAUUAGGCUCGAGGCCUUUCAGUACACUUCCUCCGAACAUUAUAAUCCCCCAACCCAAUGUAAUACAAUAUACAUAUAUGACAUGCUGUAACAUAAUGUCAUGCAUGUAAACAGGGCAUACAGUAUUAAAUCAGUGGGACAUCAUCAGGCUUAAUCAUAUCAAUCAUAUAGUUAUUUCAGUUAAUUAGGGGUCUAGGUAAGCUUACCGACCCUACAGUACGUCCACAGUCGACUCAGGCGACCCGUGAAACCUUAGCAAUAAAAUAGUGAAAAUAGGCCUACAAGCCCAUGAUGUUCGCCCGUGCGGGCCCACACGUCCGUGUGGUCCACAUGGCCCAAAUUGGCCUUGGCCUCGUGAUUUAUUUUAUUGUAACUCGUGCUAGAUAAUUAUUCAUGUGUCUCCACUAUUUACUUAUAUGAUCUUUCAAAGCUGUCUACUUGAGUCACUGUUACCAAAUUAUUUGUAUCUUAAGCGAAAGAAUUCCGAAUUAAGAUCUGUAAAAUUUUCCUAAAACUAGACUCAUAUAUCUUCUUACCAUAAAAUUUUCAGCAUUUUUGGUUCAGCCAAUAAGUACAAUUUAUUCUUUAUAGUUCCCCUAUUCUGCUGUCUAACAGUUUUGACCUUUUUGCACUAAAAAUUAAUUAUCUUCUUGUACAAAAUUCAGAUGAUGUUCCUAAUUGCUUCUCCUAAAAAUAGACUCAUUCAAGAUCUUAAAAAUAUAAAUUAUAACCAAUAAUUAUUUUUAUACAAUUUUUAAUGAUUUUCCAAAGUUAGUACAGGGGAUUCCAAAAUCAUUCUGACCCUGUCUCACUAAAAGUCAAAUAUAUCAUAAUAUGAAAUUCUUUUGCUUACUUCAUUUCUUCUAUGAGAAAUUAGACUCAAAUAUAUUUAAUCCAUAUUUUUCUCAUCCUCUAAUUCAUUUUCCGUAAUUUAUGGUGAUUUUUCAAAUCUAGCCUACUGCAGUUGUCCAAACAACAAAUAAUUUCAGCUUUUCCUCGAAUCCUUUAUUUUUGUAUUUCGGGUACACACCUGGUUUUGUUUGAUGCUAAAACAGUCGCCGUGCACUCCAAAUCCUAUAAUUGAACAAAUAACAUCAUAAUCAAUCUUACCUCACGGUUAAUCAAAAUCUUAAAAUCAAAAUACUUACCCAUAAAAUGAUGAACACUUACCGCAAAAACUUCAAAUCAGUACGUUUACGAAAAUCACGAGAAGAGCGUUAAUUCUCAUGAAAUACUGCUGCCAACACCCUAAAAUUAGACUAUUGAACACAAAAUAAUCUCUUAAAAUGAUACCUAACAACUUACUGAAUUUGCACAAGUGCUGCUUAAUGCUACGAAAUCAAAAGGAAAGAAUGGUUUAGGGGGAAUAAGGGAAUUUCGGUAGUAGAGGAAAGAAAAGAAAAGAUAACCAAGUAAGAAGCAAAGAAGAAAAAAAAAUUAAUAGAGAUGGGGGAGAGAAAACGUCAGAAAGAUGGAGAGAAAAACAACUCUUUUUUUUUAAAAAGGAAAAAGUGAUCAGAUUUUGGACAUUCUUCCCCAUAAUCCCCUAAUUCACUCCUAAAAUCACUCCCUCACUCCCUCACUUCCCACUACACAUCCACCGCUCAGAAACCCAGUUCAGCACAACUCUUGUCAAAAUUAGGAGCAAAAAUACAACCUUUGUCGUCCCAAAGAUUUGAACUCUUGCCCUCCCUCGCACCAACACUCUACUUAUCCACCAGACCAAUAGGCCCAUUCUAUUAAUUAUUUGCCAACUUUUACUUAAAGGCCUACUGACAAAAUAUAGAGCUUAUUUAUCAAAAUGCCAAAAUUUGCCCAAGUCCUAGCUUAAACAUGAGACCUCCCAAAAACUCCCAGAACACAUAACCACUAAAGCUGACAGAUGUUUGUAUCACACAUUCACAAUACCCAAAAUUAAAAUUUGGGGGCGUUACAUGAACCUUAUGAUUUUAGAUGUAAAAUAACGAAUUUAUAAUGUUGAUUGAUAUUUAAAAGUAUUUUAUUAAGUGAUUUUUGAUGAAUUUACCGAUUAGGGACUAAAUUAUUAAUUAAUAAAAGUACAAGGACUUAAUGUAAAAUUGUUGCAUAAAUGGUUGUUUUGGAUACCAUGAAUAUUUGGAUAAGCUUAAUUUUGGGUAAAAAUGGUUAAUUUGCAUGUUUUGGGCUCAGGGACUAAAUUGAAUAAAAGUAAAAGUUUAGGGGCAAUUUUUUAAAAAUGUUAAAAAUAACCAAAUUGCAUGAAAUGAAAUGUUUUAUUGUCCAAAUUAAUAUAUUGAAUGAAAUUAUUAAUUUAGAUCGUAAUCAGGUAGAAAAUCGAGAAAAUAAAAAAUUGCCAAAAUACCCCUAAACUUUGGUAUUUUUGCAAUUUAGCCAGGUAAGUUCGUAUGAACUGUACUAUGUAUGAUAUUAAUUGAAUUUGCUAUGAUUGAUGUUGAGUUAUUAAAUGAUUAAAUUUUUUGAUGGUUUUGAAGCGUAAACUCUAGUAAUGUUUUGUAACCCUAUUCCGACGACGUAUACAAGUUAAUAGUGUUACAUUUAUUGGUAUUAGAACUACAUUUUAGUAGGUUCUCGAACCGAAUAUAGCAUGUGUGAAGUCUAGAAAUACAUGUCACUAUAUAACCUAUGAUAGUGCGAUAUCUUCCAACGCUGAUGAGAUUUGUUUCAUCUUUAGACAGUGAUGUUUUCCAACCGAGCUAAUUCCAAUAAUGUUGAAAGUGAUAUUCAAGUGUCUGAUUAAAUGUUGCUAAGGAUGAGUAGAAAAUUCAUAAAGUUAAGGGAAAAAGUUCGUAAUGUAGUUGUAACAGCCCAAAUUUUAGUGGUAUCAGAAUAGUGAUUCGAGAUCACUAAAUUCUACAAAUAAGUUGGAAAAUUUGGUAAUUAAUAAUUUAUAGGUUAAGUGUGACAUUAGGAAUAUUUUUGAAUUGGUGAAUUUCGUGAAUUAAAAGAAAUUAUUAGGUAAAUUGAGUUAAAGCGAGGUAUCGAAACCUCAAAAUUAUAAACUAUGGAGUGUUAAUAAUUUAGUAUUAAAGUUUCGUUAAGAAAUUUUAAGGUUUUGAUAGUUAAUUAAUUAAAAAGGACCAAAUUGAAAAAUGUACAAAACUUGUUAUAUUGAUCAAAUAGCUUAAGUAGCAAUUAAAGAGGGAUUAAAUGUGCACUUGGACCUAAAAUACUAUGGGAUAGAGGGUUGGGUAAAGAAAUGGCAGAGAAAUACUGUGAACAAGGGGUAAAAUUGGAAAAGAGUAAAAUUUAAUAGAUAAAAAUGUGGACUAAAUUAGAAUUCCAGAGAUUUUCUUCAUUUUUCUUCAUCUUUUCCACCCAAAAACACCAUUGAUGGGUUCCUCUAAGCUGGUUUUUCAUAUUUUUGCAGCAUGUAAGUCCAAUUCUUGAUUAUUUCUUGUAAUUUUUGUAGUUUUGAGACUUUUACAACUAGGUCCACUUGUUUAAUUCAUUAGUUUUUGAUUCCAUGGAUAAUUUUAAAAGUUUCCAUGGAUGAGUGCUUGAAGUUUGUGAUGUAUUAGCAUGAAAUUGAAGCUUUAAUUUUGUUAUGUGAUGAUUUUUUUUGAAUGAUUUGAAUAGAAAUUGAUAAUUAGGACCUAAUUGUGAAAGAAAUUGAAAUUAGGGUUUUAUGUUAAAAUUUUGAAUGUCAAAGGCUUUGAAAUAGCUUAUAAUGUUUAGUUAAGUGAUAAUUAAGAAAAAUCAGCUCAAUUGAUGGGUUAAUUGGUUAGGGACUAAAUUCUAAAAAUUGUAAAGUUUGGGGUAAAAGUGUUAUUUUGAAAAUUAAAGUGUAUAAAUUGUGAAAUAGAGUAAAUUUGAAAUAAAUUCUAAUGAGUGAAUAAUUUUAUAAUUAUAUAUCAAGAGCCCGAAGAUAAACGAGGAAAAGAGAAAAUAGCCGAUUAGUCCCUAACUAUUGCAAUCGUUACAAACCAGCCUAGAUAAGUUCAUACGACUAAAUUUAAUGGUUGAUUACGAAAUGUUAUGAAUGCUAUGUUAUGUUAUUAUAGAUUAUUGUUAUUGAAUUGAGAAAAUUGUGAAAGAAUGAAAAUUCAAGUAAAAGUUCCAAUUAUUGGGAACAUUGGAUUGGGUACUUUCGAUCAGUGAUUAAGACGAUUUGACGAAAAAGACCAUGGUUGGACCGUGGAAAUAUGUGAUAUGUGCUUCCAUAUAAGACAAUAGUUGGGCUAUGGCAUCGAUGUGAUAUGUGCUUCCAUAUAAGACCAUAGCUGGACUAUAGCAUCAGUGUGAUAUGUGCUUCCGUAUAAGACCAUAUUCGGGAUAUGGCAUCGGUGUGAAUAUGUGAUCUGUGUAAGACCAUAGCUGGGUUAUGGCUUCGGUGUGUGAUAUGUGAUUAUGUGCAAGAACUAGUUAUACUAUGGCAUUGUGAAAACAAAGUACUCAAUUCCGCAAGACAUCUCCUAAUAUGACCAAGAACGGUAAGUGAUAAAUGAGUCAAAGUGAUUAAAAUCAAUUAAUUAGUGAUAUUGAGCUCAAUCAAGUGAACUUAUCAUGGAUUCUGUGAUUGAAAGGAAGAAUUAGGGAAAUUAAAUAUUGUGUAAUUAUUAUAUAAUAUUUGGUAAGACUUGUUUUUUUAUGUCUAUGAACUUACUAAGCUUCUAUAAGCUUACCUUUGUGUGUUUAAUAUUUCUUGUAGAUUGACGUAAAUACGGAGGAUCGGAUCAACACAGAGGAUCACACUACCCUGACUUUCUCCGAUAAAUUUUAUUAAACAUCUUUUGAUUUAUAUGGCAUGUAUAAGGGUUUGGAUUGAUAAUGAACUAGUAAAAUGGUGAUAUUAUGACUUGAAUGAUCAAGUAUGUAAAAUAUUUUAAUGUGCUAGUGAUAUUAGGCAAUAUAUAAUACAUGUUUUGGCUUGAAAUUGGUUGAUUGGUUGGCCUAUAUUGGUAUACAGAUGCGUUUAUGUGCAAGUUGGUACUGUAAGGGUCAGAAAAGUGGCCUGAAAUGGCCUAUUUUCGUCCAUACACAACCUAGCAUAUGGGCAUGUGUUUUGGCCGUGUGUCCCCUGCACUUUAAAUUUGAGAAAUAGAAUCCUCAGAAUUGAGCACACGGGUAGAGACAGAAGCGUAUGUCUCAGCCAUGUGAGGUAUAUGGCCUUAAACACGGGCGUGUCUCUUGGCCAUGUGAAACCUGCACCUAUUUUUUGAUAAAUUUAAAUUAACCACACGGCAUGGCACACUGGCGCGUGACUUGGCCGUGUGACAUCAAUUUGUUCAUGCAUUACAAGUUAGAAAGUUAUACGAGUAGGGACACGAGUGUGUGAACCCACACGGCCUGACCACACGAGCAUGUCCCAUACCACACGGGCGUGUGACUCUCAAUUGUGAGAAAAAUUUUAAGAUUUUACGAAAAAUUCCCAAUGAGAUUUAGUCCCGAUUUAUUUCUAAAGCAUGUUUUGGGUUGUGAGGGCCCAUAUAAAGGACAUUAUCACUAGUUUUGAAAAAUAAAUAGUAAUUAACUUGACUUAUCUGAAAAUGUUUUGUAAAUCUUUGGUAAUGCAUCGUAACCCUGUUUCGACGAUGAAUACGGGUUAAGAGUGUUACAUUUAGUGGUAUCAGAGAUUCGGUUUAGCCGAUUCUCGGAACGAAUGAUAUGUGUAAAGUGUAUAGAAAUACAUGCCAUACAUUUAUGUUAAUGAUGAAUACUAUGUUAUGUGUAUAUUUAUGUGAGAGUCAAAUUUUGAUACGAGUAGGGACACGAGCGUGUGAACUCACACGGCCUGACCACACGGGCAUGUCCCAUACCACACGGGCGUGUGACUCUCAAUUGUGAGAAAAAUUUUGAGAUUUUACGAAAAAUUCCCAAUGAGAUUUAGUCCCGAUUUAUUUCUAAAGCAUGUUUUGGGUUGUGAGGGCCCAUAUAAAGGACAUUAUCAAUAGUUUUGAAAAAUAAAUAGUAAUUAACUUGACUUAUCUGAAAAUGUUCUGUAAAUCUUUGGUAAUGCAUCGUAAUCCUGUUUUGACGAUGAAUACGGGUUAAGAGUGUUACAUUUAGUGGUAUCAGAGAUUCAGUUUAGUCGAUUCUCGGAAUGAAUGAGAUGUGUAAAGUGUAUAGAAAUACAUGCCAUACAUUUAUGUUAAUGAUGAAUACUAUGUUAUGUGUAUAUUUAUGUGAGAGUCAACUUUUGAAGCUUUACAAUCUCCACCCCCUCACUGUAACACCCCAAACCUAGCCUAGGAGUUAUGCCCGAAUCUGGCGUGUCACAUUGAAGUGUUUUUCGAAAACCAUGUUUUCAUUAAAAACCCUUCUUGAAAUUUCCAACUUCCUGCCAUUUAAAACUUGUAUAAAACCUCAGUUUGCGUUUGUUUAUUUUCAAUCGAGGCUUAUUAAAAAAAUAUUACCUUCAAAACCUUAUUGUUGCGGAAGCUUAAGUGAAAGCAAAUGAUUUACGAAAAUGUGAUAUUUAAAAAUUGAGGUGCGGAAACGUAGUGUUAAAAAAUAGUUAUUAUUUUGGAAAACCGUGUUCUACUCCUAGCAGAUAUAAAUCACAUCAAAUCCCAAAUUUAAAAUUCAAAAAUUAUAGAGGCCUAAUUACAACCCGAAUCAAAAUCAAAUUACUUAAGCAAAUGAGCAAAAUAGAAUAAAGCAAGUGCAGUUGUCUGGCCCUCUCUGAGUCCCUCGCAGCUCCGAACCGUCUAACGUUGGGGAUUACCGGAAAGGUUAAAAACGGGGUGAGUUUAUGAAAACUCAGUCUGUAAUACCCUUAUUAAAGAAACAGAAUUAGUCUAGGCCUGAGCCCUUAACAGUAACAAUAUCAGUGUGGGUCUUAGCCCAAAAAAGUAAUGGUGGCAAAAGGGCCUUAGCCCAAAUCAGCCUCGGUUGGGCCUGAGCCCAAAUCAAAUGGUACAUAUCACAUAUAUCUGGGCCUAAGCCCAUCUUAAUAUCAGAAUCAGUAUAUGUAAUGCAUAAAUACCCAUACCAACCCUACACUCCUGUGGGGAUUAAAUCGACCCACCUAUCCCUACACUCCUCAUGUAGCACCGAUUACGGCACUAACCAAAAUUGCAGCAGAGCUGCCAGUUAAUAGAACGGCUAAAAGCCAUAAGCAGAAAGGCAGUAAGCCUUGAAUAAAAUGGCUACAAGCCAUGCACUUCCUCCGUCAAUAUUAACCCAACCCCAUGCAGUAUGUCAUGGCAUAAAUCAUACAUGUAUGUAGAAUGUCAUACUCAGUAAUAGUCAUACAUAAUAUAUCAUAGAGUAAAGUAAUUAUACAUAUAUUUCCAUUCUUAGGGGUAAAACAGUCAUUUUAUCCUAUAGGGGCAUUUUGGUCAUUUUACUUUUUGGGGGUAUUUCAGUAAUUUUACCCUUCAAGGGUAUUUCAGUCAUUUUAACAACUACAAUCACCUCGAGCGACAUAAAUAACCUAAAUGGUCAUAACGGUGCAAAUGAGCCCAAAGCUCAUAUUCGGCCCAAGUGGGCCCAUACGCUCGUGAGACCCAAUUAGCCCAAAUUCAGUCACGACUAUGUGAACUACAUAGCCUGAUCUAGUAUUUGCUACCAAUCAUAGAUUUUAUUCGUGUGGGGCCCUCAAGCCCAUUGAGACCAAAGGCCCAUUCUGGCCCAUGUGGCCGAUUACGGCCCAAGCCCAUAAAAAUGCUCAUGGAGGCCUCUACAGUCUAUCGCCUAUGAUUCGUAGGUUUGGCUUUCUACACGAGCGACCGCACGCUCGUGUGGUCCCAAACACCGUAUUUCAGCUUUUGCCGUUCUACAAUUACAAUGGGGAGUUUACACACCUGAUACGUUUUGCAGAUUCCCUUCGAUCUAAACACUCUUAUUCGGCAAAUUCAUGAUCAUUGCACCCUUGGUUCCUAAGCAAUGUUCAAAUCAACCUCGGCCACCACCAGUCAGGAAUGGAAGCAGUGCAGGUUGGAGAAAGUGACGAAUAUCUUGAAAGCCUCGCCGAUCUCCCCCAUUUAGAACAAAGAACAAAUGAAAUGAUAUAUAGCUCUCCACAACAACAACGUCCCCAAAUCCCAAUAUUCUCUUCUCAAAUAUCUCUCUAAAUAUCCCUCCUUUAUAUCAUCCAUAACAACCUCCAAGACCCAUUCAAACUCUCACCCAACAGAGUUUGAAACCACCUCAAACUCCUACUACCUCAUGCUAGCAAAAUAAAUAUCAUUUUCACUUGCAAUGAGAUUCGAACCCAAGCCCCCCUCAAUAGCUCAACAUGUCACUUGCCUCCUUGUCACAAGCUCUUUUGUGUUACAUUUUUUAUUUAAUUAACUAAAAGGUCUAAAUGCCAAAGUCCAGGCUCCUUUAAAAGAAAAACCAAAAUAAAUUGCAAUAGCUAAGACUUGAACCCAGGCUCCAUUGCAACCUUAAUGACACCACAACCACUAGACCACAUACUUUCUUAUGACAUUUUUUUAACACAAUAAUUUAAAAGGCCUAUAUCCAAGAAUCCAGGGUUUUAUCCACUUAAACCAAAAUUUAUGCUAAAGCCCAGGUUUGAACCCAAGACUUUUCCAACUCCUCUCAGGACCCUUAACCACUAAAGCAGACAUACUUUUGUACACAGUUUCCAAACCGUUCCCUUGCUCAAGGCUCAAUACUUCUAGGCCCAAAUUCUGGGGCAUUACAAUUCUAACAGUUUGAUUUCAAACUAACAAGAUAGUCGUACCACACAAACUUCACCACUACACUCCUGCUACGCACUCUGAUUUCAAAACAUUCCUACACCCUCUUGAAUCACGUUCGUGCAUAUCUCUUGCGCCCAUUGUCUAUUCGCGUUUAAACAACACUAACAGUUUUAUGUAGAUCAAAGUUUCACUACAGUUCCAGUCCCCUAUAGUUUCAGUUUGCUCUAUCUACAGUGAUAUAGUCUAAUUUCUAAAGUAGUCACAGUACUUCCUAACCUACCGUAUUUCAAUUUCUAAACAGACAAAAGUGUAGCGACCUAAAAAUUUUUCGCACAAGCGCUAGUCGAAUUGAUUGUUGAAAAUUUGAAAACAGUCUCGUUUUUUUUUUCAAAAAGAGGAGUCGCCACCGAUCUUUUUUCUAGGUGUGACCGGACACCUAUUAAAUUCUCUUUUUUAAAAGAAAAAUUAUUUUUCAAACUUUCUAAAAAAGAGUCGAUUUUAGGUCCACGUCAAAAUCCAGAGAAAAUUAGAGUUCGGGAGUCGGUUACGCGCGAGGAAGGUAUUAGCACCCUCGCGACGCCCAAAAUUGGUAUCUCAUUAAACGCGCGUUGUCUUAAUUUUCAAAAAUACGAGUUCAAUUUAAUAUUUAAUCAUGAUCCGAUUGAAACACGAGAUUUUUAAAAAAACAAGAGAAUUUUGUAACACGAUAAUAAUUUUUGAAAACACGAAAUUUAUGAAACAUGAGAAUUUUUUGAAAACACGAAAAUUUUUUGAAAACGCUAAAAUUUUUGAAACACGAAAAUUUUUUGAAAACGCGAAAAUUUUUAAACACGAGAAUUUUUUUUGAAAACAUGAAAUUUUUUUGACACGAGAAAGUUUUUUUAAAAAAACUCAAAAUUUUUUUUGAAACACGAAUUUUUUAUUUUUUAAGACAUAUCGUAUUUAACACGAACCGGUGAUAUUCACUCAACAUAGCGAUGAAAUCAUCGAAUUAGUGUCAAAUCAAUUCAAUUUAAUAUUUAAUUGUGAUUCCAUUAAAGCCCGAGAAUUUUUUUUUAAAACACGAAAAUUUUUGAAUAUUUUUUAUUUUUUUUAAAAGGGCGUAUCGUGUUUAACACAAACCCGUGAUAUUCACCCAACAUAGCGAUGAAAUCAACGAUUAAUGUUAAAUCGAUUUGUUGCCUUAUGCAUUACAAUAUUUUAAUUUUAAUUUUAAAAAUGCAAGUAAAAUAAAUGUGAUAGUAUUACUAAAUAUGCUAUUUAAAAGUGCUAAUUAAAUUUAAAUGAAACAAAAAUUAAAUAUACGGAUUAAUUUAAAACGAAAAUAAAAAGAUUACCAAAAGCCCAAAGUUAUGGGCUUGAUCCAACGGGCUACGCAAUUCAGGCCUUUUUUUGUUUGUUUUUUAUUUUCUCUUUUUCUUUUUCUUUUCUUUUUUCUCCUCUUUUUUUUUCUGCAGAUUGGGCUGCUGCGAAUUGGGCCUGCUUCACUGCUGUUGGGCUGCACUGGCGAGCUGGGCCUGCUGGGCUACUACCGAAUCUGGGCCUGCUGGCUGGCCUGCUGGUGUACUAGGCUGUCUGCGCUGGGCCUGCACUAUUGGGCUGUUUUUUUGGGUCAGGCCUGCUACUUUUUCUUUCUUCUGCUGCUUGGGCUGUCACUGCUAUUGGGUCAACUCUAACCUGCUGUUGGACUGCUGCUAGGGGCUACCGCAACGAGUCGGGUCAGUUCGGCGAGUUGGGUAAGGUUGACCCGACUGUGAUAAAUUUUUUCCCUUUUUUCUUUUUUCUUCUCUUUUUUCUUUCUCUUUUUCUUCUCUCUUUUUCUUCUUUCUUUUUCUUCUUCUUCUUUCGGGCCGAACUCUAGCCCGAACUCAAGCUACUACGCCGCUGCCACCUCUUCUGCCCGUGGUACGACGGUGUCGGCACUCCCCUUUUCUUCCUCUUCUUUCUUCUUUUUCUUUCCCUUCUUUUCUUUCUCUUUUUCUUCUCUUUGCUUGCUGUUUUUAUUUUUUAUUUAAUUGUGUGGGUGUUUUUGAUAGUGUAGGUGUUUUAGGUGAUGGUGGCAAAGAGGAAAACAACGGGUCGGCGAUGGAUGGUCACGGUGGCGAUGGUAGGCUAAAAGUUUUCUCUUUUUUUAUGGGGGGUCUACUUUUUUUUCUUUUUUCUGCUCUGUUGUCGAAAUCCCCCUUCUCCUCUUCAAUUUCUUUCUUUUUAAUGCUUCAAUUUUGUCAUCUUUCUUCUUGUUUUCAGGUGGCAAUGGAGGUGAGGGAGUAUGGCUGAUUGGCGGUGUCAGGCGUGGAGUGCGGUGCACGCCCGGAUGCUGGUUGGGGGCGGUCUUGUCAUGCCCAGAAGGACCAAAUUGUAAAUGGUGUGAAGUUUUUGGGGUAAAAAUGUAAUUUUAGAAAAAUAUGGGGCUAAAAUGUAAUUUUUGGAAAUUUUAAGGGCUCGAAUGUAAUUUACAAAAUAUUAGGGGUCAAGGUGUAAAUUUAGAAAAGUUAGGGGUCAAAAUGUAAUUUUUGAAAAGUUUGGGGGCCAAAAUGUAAUUUUUUAUUUUUGUAUUUUUGUAAUUUUUUUAAAAUUAAAGCCGGACAAAAUUUAGUGUUUACAGCUGCCCCUUUUUGCUCAUUGCUGUGAAACAGGGAUAGAGCAAAGACUUAAAAGCACUAAAUUUUGUUCGAUUGUCCUAUCUUUAUUCUUUAUUUUUAUUAAAAAAAGAAAUCAAAAAUAGCCCGGCAUGCGACCCGAAGCUCAACUCACCUCUUGAAUUAUGAGUUGAUCUUCGAAAAACAAAAAUCGAAAAUACCUUGGCAUGUGCCUGAGGCUCAACUCACACAUCGCAAUAUGAGUUGAUUUUUUUGAACAACAGAAAUUGAAAAAUACCUCAGUGUGCGACCCAAGGCUCAACUCACCUCUCGCAAUAUGAGUUGAUUUUUUGAAAAAUAGAAAUUGAAAAAUACCUCAACGUGUGACCCAAGGCUCAACUCACAUCUCGCAAUAUGAGUUGAUUUUUUGAAAAAAACAUUAAUUUGAAAAAAAUACCUCAGCGUGUGACCUGAGGCUCAACUCACCUCUCGCAAUAUGAGUUGGUUUUUUAAAAAAAAAAUUUAAAAGAUACCUCGAUAUGUGACCCGAGGCUUAACUCACCUCUCGCAAUAUGAGUUGAUUUUUAAAAAACAGAAAUUGAAAAGUAGCUCGGCAUGUGUGCGAGGCUCAACUCACCUCUCACAAUAUGAGUUGAUUUUUUUGAAAAAAAAUAGAAAUUUAAAAGAAAUACCUCGGCAUGUGUCUGAGGCUCAACUCACCUCUUGCAAUAUGAGUUGAUUUUUUUUGAAAACAAAAACAUAAAUUUAAAAAAUACCUCAGCGUGUGACCUGAGGCUCAACUCACCUCUCAAAAUAUGAGUUGAUUUUUGAAAAAACAGAAAUUCAAAAGAUACCUCGGCAUGUGACCCGAGGCUCAACUCACCUCUCGCAAUAUGAGUUGAUUUUUGAAAAAAACAGAAAUUGAAAAGUACCUCGGCAUGUGUCCGAGGCUCAACUCACCUUUCACAAUAUGAGUUGAUUUUUUUGAAAAAAAACAUAAAUUUAAAAAAUACCUCAGCGUGUGACCUGAGGCUCAACUCACCUCUCGCAUUAUGAGUUGAUUUUUGAAAAAAACAUAAAUUUAAAAGAUACCUCGGUAUGUGACCCAAGGCUCAACUCAUCUCUCGCAAUAUGAGUUGAUUUUGAAAAGCAGAAAUUGAAAAGUACCUCGGCAUGUGUCCGAGGCUCAACUCACCUCUCGCAAUAUGAGUUGAUUUUUUGAAAAAAAUAGAAAUUUAAAAGAAAUACCUCGGCAUGUGACUUGAGGCUCAACUUACUUCUCGCAUUAUGAGUUGAUUUUUGAAAAAAAUAGAAAUUUAAAAGAUACCUCGGUAUGUGACCCGAGGCUCAACUCACCUCUCGCAAUAUGAGUUGAUUUUUGAAAAAACGGAAAUUGAAAAGUACCUCGGCAUGUGUCCGAGGCUCAACUCACCUCUCGCAAUAUGAGUUGAUUUUUUGAAAAAAAUAGAAAUUUAAAAGAAAUACCUCGGCAUGUGUCUGAGGCUCAACUCACCUCUCACAAUAUGAGUUGAUUUUUUUUAAAAAAAAAAAGAAAUUUAAAAGAAAUACCUUGGCAUGUGUCCGAGGCUCAACUCACCUCUCGCAAUAUGAGUUGAUUUAAAAAAAAGAAAUUGAAAAUACCUCAGCGUGACCCGAGGCUCAACUCACCUCUCGCAUUAUGAGUUGAUUUUUUUUGAAAAACAGAAAUUAAAAAAUACCUCGGCGUGUGGCCCGAGGCUCAACUCACCUCUCGCAAUAUGAGUUGAUUUUUGAAAAAAACAUAAAUUGAAAAAUAUUUCUUGAAAAAAUAGGGUUUCAAAAAACAUCAGAUGAAACUAAAAGCCUUCUUCUUCAUUAAUUCUGUGCAACUUUCUCCCAGUAUUCCUUGCUCUACUAGGAUACCUGUAUAUGUCAUGUAUGAUGUUAUUAUGAUAUGCACGUGUUUAUCCUAAAUGCUUUUAUGCCUACAUGAUCAUGACAUGCACCCUGGGCUGUUUGUCACAUGCCCCUUUUUUGUGAGGGACUGCAUUCAUUGCCUCAAUCGUCGAUUUUUCUCUCCGGUUUUGUACUCAUCUUCGAGUUUGUUGAGUGACCCACAUUUUCGUAUAUCAUCUUCCUGCCCCCUGUUGAACUUUUUUAUUGCUUUGGGCCCCUUGUACUUGUUAAAUUCUUAUCCAGGUAAUGUUCAACAUUCCUUUUGUUUAGAGUAUGUCAUCUUACUAUUUAUCAUUUAAAUGAAUCAAACACGAGACGCAUGAAAAAUGACAAAGUAGGCAUGAAAGAAAUACCUCACAUUCAAAUUUUUUUCAAAAGCAACAAACAAAGAAAAUUGACAAGGAAUAGUUCAAAUAAAGAAAGCAUCAUAAAGAAAAGAAAGUGGAUUCAAUGGCUACAAAUGCUCUAGAUAUCCAAUGCACGAACUUCUUCGCGUUUCUUCAUCCUGGAUCUUUUCGAGCACAGCUUCUUGUGUAGAAGAUUUCGAGCUUUUGAGAAUGCUUCAAAUAUUGUAACUUCACCAUUCGACUCUCCGUCCAAGUCGUCUUGCUCCUUAAGUCUGAAUCUGCUUCAUUAGGACGCCCUUUCGGGUUUUCAUCCUAAUCUUUUUGUUUAUCAAGACGCCCUUUUGGGGUUUUCAUCUUGAUUUUUUAUUUUUUUUGUUUUUUUUUUGUUUUUUUAGACAUAAUAUUUCUUCAUAGCAUCUGAGUUCACCGGAUUAGAUAAUUCUUUCCCGUCCAUCUCAGUGAGAAUCAGAGCCCCUCCUGGAAAUUCCUUCUUUACAACGUAUGGCCCUUCCCAAUUCGGUGACCAUUUCCCUCAAAAGUCUUUUUGUAUCGGGAGGAUAUUUCUUAGUACGAGCUCUCCUUCGUGAAAUUCUCUUGGCCAAACCCUUUUAUCAUGGGCCGUGAUCAUUCUUUUCUGAUACAUCUGUCCAUGACAAAUUGCUUUCAAGCGUUUCCCUUCAAUAAGGUUUAGUUGAUCAUAUCGAGCUCGAACCCACUUUGAUUCUUCUAACUUUGUCUCCAUCAAGACGCGCAGGGAUGGGAUCUCUACUUCGACAGGCAGAACGGCUUCCAUCCCAUAGACCAGAGAAAAAGGAGUUGCCCCCGUAGACGUCCGUACAGAGGUGCGAUAUGAGUACAAAGUGAAUGGUAGCUUCUCGUGCCAGUCUUUAUAUGUCCCAGUCAUCUUUCCGAUAAUCCUCUUUAUAUUCUUAUUAGCCGCUUCUACUGCUCCGUUCAUCUUCGGGCGAUAGGGUGAAGAAUUAUGAUACUGUAUCUGAAAUUGCUCACAUACUUCUUUCAUCAUCUUGUUGUUCAAAUUUAAAGCAUUAUCUGAAUUGAUUCUUUCAGGCAGACCAUAUCGACAUAUGAUCUCCUUUUUUAAGAACCUACAGACUGCAGUCUUCGUCACAUUAGCAAACGUAGUGGCUUCCACCCAUUUUUGUGAAGUAGUCUAUAACCACAAAGAUGAAUCGAUGCCCAUUAGAAGCCUUCGGGGAGAUUGGCCCUAUAACUUCCAUGCCCCACAUAGAAAAAGGCCACGAAGAAGUCAUAAAAUGAAGGGGCGAAGGAGCCGCAUGAAUUUUAUAGCCGUAAAUUUGGCACUUAUGACACUUUCGUGCGUAUCCAAUGCAAUCCCUUUCCAUCGUCAGCCAAAAAUAACCAAGUCUCAUAAUCUAUUUGGCCAUAGUGAAACCACUCGCAUGCAUUCCACAAGUUCCUUAAUGAACCUCUUCAAGUAUCUUUCUAGCUUCAACAACGUCCAUGCAUCUUAGGAGCACUUGAUCUUUUCCUAUUUUGUAUAGGAUAUCCCUAUCAAGAACAAAUCCAAUCGCCAUUCUCCUGAGAGUUCUUUUGUCAUUCUCGUUUGCUUGUUCGGGGUACCUUUGAUUCUUGAUGUACUCUAGGAUAUCAUGGAACCAUGGUCGUCCAUCUAACUCCUCUUCAAUGCUAAAACAGUGUGCGGGGGUCUCAUAUAUGCUCAUUUGGAUAGGCAUUAUUUCAGUUUCUCUGUUUGCUUUGAACAUUGAAGCUAGGGUGGCCAGAGCAUCAGCCAAUUGGUUCUCUUCUCGUAGAAAGUAGUUAAAAGUCACUUCUUUGAAUUCUUUGACCAAUUUUGCAACGAGAUCAUGAUAUUUGACUAAUUUUGAAUCUCUCACUUCCCAAUCUCCACGGAUUUGGUAAAUGACUAAUGCUGAAUCCCCGUGUACUUCUACAAUUUUAAUUUUCCUCUCGAUAGCUGCACGAAGUCCCAUGAUACAAGAUUCAUACUCUGCUAUAUUAUUGGUACAGAAGAAGUUCAAUCUAGCAGUGAGCGGAUAAUGAUCUCCUUCCGGCGACACUAAGACUGCUCCGAUCCCAUGCCCUAAUGCAUUCGAUGCACCAUCAAAGCUCAACUUCCAUGAUUUCUCUUUUGAUGACUCACCCUCUUUUUCUGAAAUACACAUCAAGUCUUCAUCUGGGAAAUCAAAUCUCAAAGACUCGUAUUCUUCCACUGUUCGACUUGCCAAGAAGUCAGCUAUCACGCUUCCCUUUAUCGAUUUUUGGCUCACAUACAUGAUGUCAUACUCAGUCAAUAGGAUUUGCCAUCGUGCCAUUCUCCCUGAGAGUUCGGGUGAUUCCAUCAAGUACUUUAAUGGAUCUAACUUUGAAAUUAACCACGUUGUAUGAUACAACAUGUAUUGUCUGAGCCUCCGAACUACCCAGACCAAUGCACAACAGAAUUUUUCAAUUGACGGGUACUUUGCCUCAUAUUCUGUGAACUUUUUGCUGAGGUUGUAAAUCGCCUUUUCUCUUUUCCCAGACUCAUCAUGUUGCCCCAGUACAUAACCCAUUGAGUUUUUGAAUACGGUCAAGUACAAUAUUAAGAGUUUUCUAGGGGUCAGCGGUACUAGCACCAGAGGAUUAGACAGAUACUGUUUUAUCUUGUUGAAGGCCACUUGGCAUUCCUCGUUCCAUUCUCCCGGAUUAUGUUUUCGAAGGAGUCAAAAAAUUGGGUCACAUUGGUUGGUAAGUUGAGAAAUGAAUCAAGCAAUGUAAUUCAACCUUCCUAAAAAUCCUCUGACUUCUUUUUGAGUACGCGGAGGUAGCAGUUCUUGUAUGGCCUUUAUAUUGUCUGGAUCAACCUCAAUACCUCUCUCACUGACAAUGAAACCUAACAAUUUUCCCGAGUUAGCCCCAAAUGUACACUUGGCUGGGUUAAGUUUCAAUUAGAACUUUCUUAAUCUUUCAAACAGUUUCCUGAGGUUCCCAACAUGCUCUUCUCUCCAGGAUUUGGCAAUCAUAUCAUCGACAUAAACUUCUAUUUCUUUGUGCAUCAUGUCAUAGAACAGCAUCACCAUGGCUCUAUGAUAUGUUGCCUCAGCAUUCUUCAAUCCGAAUGGCAUCACUUUGUAGCAGAACAUUCCCCACAUUGUCACGAAUGUGGUUUUCUCCAUAUCUUCGGGAGCCAUCUUUAUUUGAUUAUAACCCGAGAAACCAUCCAUGAAAGAAAAUAAAGAAUGUUUUACCGUGUUAUCCACCAGCGUAUCAAUGUGUGGCAAAGGAAAAUAAUCCUUAGGGCUUGCUCGAUUUAGAUCACGAUAAUCCACGUACAUUCGUACCUUACCGUCUUUCUUUGGUACCGGGACUAUGUUAGCUACCCAUUCUGGAUAUUCAGAUACCUGUAAGAAACCAGUAUCAUACUGUUUCUUGACUUAUUCUUUUAUCUUUAGCAGCAUUUCAGGUCUCAUCCUUCUUAAAUUUUGCUGAACGGGCUUGCAUUCUGGUUUCAAUGAGAGCCUGUGGACCACUACAUCCUCGUUCAACCCUAGCAUGUCCUGAUAAGACCAGACAAAUACAUCUUUGUAUUCGCGGAACAAGACGAUCAAAUUUUGUUUGGCGUUCUCUGAAAUGGAAGUCCCAAUCUUUACUUCUUGUUUAUUUUCUUCACUUCCCAAGUUCACUGUCUCAAUAGAUUCUUGAUGGGGUAGAAUCUAUUUCUCUUCUUGUUUUACCCUUCUCAGUAAGUCAGGAGACGAGACACAAUCUUCAGCAACAUUGCAUCACCUUCGUUGUCAACAACAUUUAUGCUGAUGUUCUAAAAUCCCUUUUCAUUUAAGGUGCUUCGCAGAUUGUAAUGCCCCUCCCAUUCAUUUGUUACCGCAUUCACAUUCCCAUCAGCAUAGUUAGGAAGAGGGUUUCCAGUCACAUUACUAACAUCAUCAAAUCGCAGAAUGUCCGCAUUGAUAAGAUCUUGAACCCUCCUUUUAAAGGCAAGGCAAUUUUCUAUAGAAUGCCCUUGAUUUCCAGCGUGAUACAUGCAACUAGCGUGAGAAUCAUACCAUUUUGGGUAUGGAGGCUUCAGGGGUGCCAUGUAAUGCGGGGAUAUUAAUUUCUUGUCCAACAGUUUUGGAUAUAACUCUUCAUAUGACACGGGAAUUGGGGUAAACUGAGGUUUUUUAGAAUUGGGUCUCGCUGGUCUUUGCUCAUUUUUGGGUUGGUUUUGUAUAGGUAUAGUGCUUGCUGGGAACAUGGUGAAUGGUCUUUGGUUAUUCAUAGCAUAAACAGGGUAAGAGGGAGGUGCUUGAUAGUAAGGACUUUGGGAGGAAAGUAGAAGUUUUUAGGUGGGCGAUAAUGAGGUCGCGAUUGGGUUGGGUACGGAUUGGAUGUAUAGUGGCUCUUGGUUCCAACCAUAUGGGUUUCUGCCUCCUUCUUCUUCACGGGUACUGCCCUCUUCGAACUCUCGGGGCCUUCCAUUCUCCCACUCUUGAUGGCAUUUUCAAUAAGCUCCCCGGAUAUUACAAUAUCUGCGAAGUCCUUUGUAGCGCUUCCUACCAACUUAUAGUAAAACGGCACCUUUAGAGUGUUGAUGAAGAGGACUAUUAUCUCUGUCUUAGUUAACGGGGGUUCCACCUGAGCUGAUAUAUCCCUCCAUCUUUGUGCAUAUUGUUUAAAAGUCCCCGUUGGCUUCUUUUCCAUCAUCUGCAAAGUUAGUCGAUCAGGUACCAUAUCUGAUACAUGCUUAUAUUGCUCGCAAAUGCUGAUGCUAAGUCUUUCCAUGAUCGGAUCUUUUCUCUACUAAGCUGAUUGUACCAUCGAAGAGACGAUCCAACCAAAAUGUCCUGGAACGUAACACCCCUUACCCGAUACCAUUUUCGGAGUCGAGCACGAGGCAUUACUUAGCUUAUCUUACUAAUUCGGAGCAUAAAAACUUGGUUUGAAAAUUUAUUUCACAAUUUACAGCAACAUGUCCAAUCGCGUAGUAGUUACUAAAUUAAUUAUAACUUGAGCUACGAAACUCGAAAUUUAACUCUGUAAAUUUUCCCUGAAACUAAACUCAUAUAUAUACUUACCAUAAAAUUUUUAGAAUUUUUGGUUCAGCAAAUUAGUACAGUUUAUUAGUUAAAGUCUCCAAUGUUUCACCACCUGACUGCUCUGAGCUCUUGCCACUAAAAAUAAGUUUUCUCACUGUAGGAUUUUCAUAUGAAGUUCUUAAUUGUUUCUACAGAAAUAGACUCAAUAAGGAAUCUAAGAAUGUAAAAUAAAACUCAUAACUAUUUUUGUACAAUUUGUAAUGAUUUUCUAAACUCAAAAUAGGGGACACCAAAAACUGUUCUGACCCUGUCUCACAAAAAUUCACAUAUCUUAAAAUAUAAAAUUCCUUUUUCUACACCGUUAUUUUUCUAUGAAAAUAGCCUCAACAAGAUUUAAUUCCAUAUAUCAUUCACCCUAUAAUUCAUUUUAUACCAUCCUAGGUGAUUUUUCAAAGUCACGUCACUGCUGCUGCCUGCAUUCUGUUUCCUUGCAAAUUUUUACCCUUUCAUGAUUUCCAUACAUAAUUUAUCACCUAGACUUUUAUAACAACAAACAUCUUCAUACUUAACCAUUUUAAUAACCAUUCAUCAUCAAAUACUUACACAUCAUUCUUUAGCAAAAUCAUAAAUACAAACAUUUAAAAUGGCUAAGUCCCUAUACAUGCCAUACUCAACAUGGUUCAACAUAAAAAUAUCGAGAUGCUGAGGUUGAUAGUGUGGACGAUCUCCGACUUCUUUAGGAUCCUUGAAGUAGCUUUGCAAUACUAUAAAAGAAAGAGAAAUAAAAUAUGUAAGUACAAAUCUUAGUAAGUUUACUAGCAAAUAAACAACAAUAUUUAACACAAAUAAUUAAACUCAAGUGUCUAUAUCUCUAGUUUACUCUUUAGUUAAUCUCAUAUUAGUUCUCUUACUUAUUUACUUAGAAUACUCGUGUGCAUAACUUACUCUUCUCUUGCUGCAUCGUUGAAUUUCAAUUGAUAAUAUAAUAAGGAUACUCGGGUCUCUUCUGAACUUUCAUGAACAUAAUUCGUUUACUAGCCCGUUGAGCUACAUUGGAAUAAUAAGGAUACUCGGGUCUCUUCUGAUAAUAACAUGCCAAAGCCAUGUCCCAGACAUGGUCUUACAUGGGAUGUUCUCAUGUCGGUGCCCAUGCCAUGUCCCAAACAUGGUCUUAUGGGGGAUCUCUCAUCUCGGUGCCAACGCCAUGUCCCAGACAUGGUCUUACAUGGGACCUCUCAUCUCGGUGCCAAUGCCAUGUCCCAGACAUGGUCUUACAUGGGACCUCUCAUCUUGGUGCCAAUGCCAAGUCCCAGACAUAGUCUUACAUGGGACCUCUCUACCCAAAUGUCAUGACAUUCGUAUCCAAUACCAUCCUUAUGUAUCAAUGAGACUUUUUAAUUUUAAUUCUCUAUCAUUUCAUGCUUGGAUCAUCAUCAAAUAAAUUCAUGAAAUAAAUUCAUAGUUGCUGGAAAAUAACAACAUUAAUAAUAAAUAUUGAAAUAUUGCAUUUAUUUACCGUAAACUUACCUCGGUACCAACUAUAGCCCAAUUCACCAACUUAGUCUUCAACUUUGUUCUUCCUUUUGUCUAACCUCAAGUUUCGUUCUUCUUGAUCUAAAAUAGCAAAUUUAACUUAUUUAAUACUCACAUUCAUCAAAACAGCCCUCGACUCUAACUUUGUCAAAAAUUACGAUUUUGCCCCUAAACUUUUACAUAAUUACAUUUUUUCCCCAAGGCUCGGAAAUUUAACUUCAUCUCAUAUUCUCAUGUUUUAUGACAUGCUGAACAAUUUUCUCUUCUAUGACAACAUCAAAUUCUCACUCUAACACUUACUUAUGUACAUUAUGCAUUUUUACCAAUUAUGUCAACUUACUCGUUUUCACUUAAAAUCGGCUAGCAAAAGUUGUUUAACAUAAUUUAUAACUUCAUAUUCUAUCAUAAAACAUCAAAAUAAACACUUUUCACCUAUGGGUAUUUUUCCAAAUAUAAACCCUAGGUUAAAUUAUUGCUAGAAUAAGCUAAAUUAAGCUACCGUGACUCCAAAAACGUAAAGAACAUUAAAAACGGGGCUUGGGAUCACUUACUAUGGAUUUUGGAAGCUUGAAAACCCUAACUAUGGCUUCCCCCUUUCUGAUUUCGUCCAAAUGAAGAAGAUGAUGAUUUUUGUCAUCUUUUUCUCUUUUUAUUCUUUUUAUUAAUCUUUUACUAAAAUACCCUUCAUUAAAAACUUCAAUUAUUUCUAUCUAUGCAUACCUAUUUUUGUCCAUGGAAAUUUUAUGGUUUAAUUACUAUAUAAGGACCACUUAUUUAAAGUUUCAUAACAAUUGGACACCUCUAACAUGUAGAACUCAACUUUUGCACUUUUUACAAUUUAGUCCUUUUGACUAAAUUAAGUGCCUAAACGUCGAAAUUUUCGAACGAAAUUUUCCCGAAAUCAUUUUGUGAAAUCGUAGACCAUAAAAAUAUAAUAAAAAUAAUUUUUUCCUUAUUGGAUGUGUGGUCCUGAAACCACUGUUUCGAUAACCUAAAAUUUAGGUUAUUACAUGGAAGCAAUGUAUCAGCAACUUAUCCUCAUUCACAUAACCAGUCAUCUUCUGACAAAACAUUACAAGAUGCGCCUUUGGACAUCGUGUCCCAUCAUACUUUUCAAAAUCUGGUGCUUUGAAUUUUGGGGGUAGAACUAGAUUGGGCACCAAAUUGAGUUCUUUAGCACUUAAGGCAGAGAAGACUUCAGCACCUUCUAUUACCUUGAGCCUUUCUUCCAGGAUCUUGUGCCUAUCUUGAGUGUCAUAAUCAUCAGUUUUCAACUUUGCUAUCUCCACAGGAUCGUCCAAAUCUGGAACAAUUGGAUCUGUUGGAUUAGCCCCGGGGUUCGAUACGAAUAUACCUUGCCCUAGAUGAGCAGGUGGUAUUUGACGUUGUUCUAAGACUAUAGGUUCCCCUUGAGGAUAUCCUCUUUGCAUUGCAUGAGCGUGAAGUGGAGUGAAUCCUGGGGGAGAGAGCGGAUCUUGAUCAUUAUUAGCCCUUGACUGAGGCUCCACAAUGUCAGGACUCUGCAUAGGUCCCUUUCCUUUGGCCAAAGUUGUCAUCAUCUCCAUCAUUUUGGCCAUUUGAUCUCUUUGUUCGAGUGAUUCUUCUCGAGAUCUCACCAUCAUAUCUCUCGCCUCCUGUUGUGACUUGGCCAAUUGUUCUUGUAACUCUCUUUGAACCCUUUCCAUCCUUUCGAUUCUUUCAUUGAGUUCAGCAUCCAUAGCUCUGGUUUUUAGAAGUGUCCUGUAAGGAUGACGUGAUUCUAGACUUGUGUUGCAACUGUCGAUUAUACUAUUUUAGACUCAGUGAAUGGUAAGGGUGAUAUGUACAUGCAAUGAAUGAAUGAAUGAAUGAAUGAAUGAAUGAAUGAAUGAAUGAAUGACCAAUGGAUGCUAGUCAUGCGUAAAUAUGCAAAAAAUGGUGUUGAUUUUAAGAUAGCCCCAUAUUUUGGCAUUUCAUUUAUCAAAAGAGUCCAUUACAAAAUAUUUUGCCAAUGAAGAUGCCCAUAGUGCUUGAGUCUCAUUGUUUUUAGAUCCUAGUCAAAUCUCCGGGGUUAUUCUGACGAGCAUUCGAAGUCGCCUGCUCGGAAAGAUCAGAUAUGUAACCUUCCUUUAAACUGUCCCCUUUUACUUUUUGGGUCCUCAAAGACUAGUCUUGGACUAUGACAUUUUUCACGGUUACUUGUGUAAUUGACUCUUCCAUCAGAAACCCGUUUUUGGCAACCAAUUUUUAAUCAACACCUUCCUAAUAAAAUGCCUAUGAUGCAUGAUGAGAAAUAAAAUGAAGACAAAUAAACUUAGUUAGUAAUCACGACAAAUAAAAACAAAGAAAAACUAUGGAAAAUCUAACAACCGACCUACGUUUUUUUUGUUUUUUUUACCCCAUCAUGCUUUACGAAAAUAAACUUACCCCAUAUGCUCAUCAAUCUACCCGAUCAAAUUUAUUAAACGGGCCCGAUUCCAUUGCAAAUAAGUGUAAAUGUAAAAGAAAUACAAGGUAAGAAGCGUUUCUCCCAUGUACUUAUUUUGGUGACUAUUCAACGGACAGAGGUUCGACAUGGCUCUAAUUGGGUGGCUCGUACCGUUCACUAAAUGUGGUUUUCGUUCUAGAAAGAUACUCGAAUUGUCCAUACUGUCACCUACUAAGGUUAGUACAGAGCCUCGGUUACCACCCGUCAUGGGCUUGCGAGCUCAAUUCGAGGGAUUACAUUUACUUAUGCCUAUGCGGAGGGACAAGUUAACUCACGAAAGCAUAAGUCAUAUGUAACCCGGAAGUAAUUUACUAGCCUGUGCAGAGGGACGAGUUAACUCACGAAGGCGUAGCGUUUACUUCCACUUAAUCGGACGGAACCCUGGUGGAGAGCUCAUGUUAUGCAAAAAUGCAAGUGCACAGUGUGUGGGGAGAAACUCACAAACCUUUUUAUUUUUUAUUUUUACUAAAAAAAAUUAAAAACCGUAAAACAUAAAGCUAAAAAAAACAGAAAAAUAAAACAAGUUAGAAACAUAUUAAUUUAAAAAUCAAAUGUAGAUACAUGACUUUUCAAAAAAUAAAAUUCAAUGAUCACGAUUAAAAAUUAAUUUGAACAAAGAAUUUUGAAAAUUUUGACAACACGCGUUUAACAUCAGACUCGACUCUCAAAAAACGUCCCCAAUGGAGUCACCAGCUGUAGCGACCUAAAAAUUUUUCGCACGGGCACUAGUCGGAUUGAUUGUUGAAAAUUUGAAAACAGACUCGAUUUUUUUUCAAAAAGAGGAGUCGCCACCGAUCUUUUUUCUAUGUGUGACCGGACAACUAUUAAAUUCUCUUUUUUAAAAGAAAAAUUAUUUUUCAAAUUUUCUAAACAAGAGUCGAUUUUAGGUCCACGUCAAAAUCCAGAGAAAAUUAGAGUUCGGGAGUCGGUUACGCGCGAGAAAGGUAUUAGCACCCUCACGACGCCCAAAAUUGGUAUCUCCUUAAACGCGCGUUGUCUUAAUUUUCAAAAAUACGAGUUCAAUUUAAUAUUUAAUCGUGAUCCGAUUGAAACACGAUAAUAAUUUUUGAAAACACGAAAUUUAUGAAACAUGAGAAUUUUUUGAAAACGCUAAAAUUUUUGAAACAUGAAACUUUUUUGAAAACGCGAAAAUUUUUAAACAUGAGAAUUUUUUUGAAAACACAAAAAUUUUUAAACAUGAGAAUUUUUUUUUGAAAACACGAAAUUUUUUUGACACGAGAAAGUUUUUUUUAAAACACGAAUUUUUUUUGAAACACGAAUUUUUUUAUUUUUUAAGACAUAUUGUAUUUAACACGAACCGGUGAUAUUCACUCAACAUAGCGAUGAAAUCAUCGAAUUAGUGUCAAAUCGAUUCAAUUUAAUAUUUAAUCGUGAUUCUAUUAAAGCCCGGGAAUUUUUUUAAAACACGAAAAUUUUUGAAUAUUUUUAAUUUUUUUUAAAAGGGCAUAUCGUGUUUAACACAAACUCGUGAUAUUCACCCAACAUAGCGAUGAAAUCAACGAUUUAAUGUUAAACCGAUUCGUUGCCUUAUGCAUUAAAAUAUUUUAAUUUUAAUUUUAAAAAUGCAAGUAAAAUAAAUGUGAUAAUAUUUCUAAACAUGCUAUUUAAAAGUACUAAUUAAAUUGAAAUGAAACAACAAUUAAAUAUACGGAUUAAUUUAAAACGAGAAUAAAAAGAUUACCAAAAGCCCAAAGUUAUGGGCUUGAUCCAACGGGCUACACUAUUCAGGCCUUUUUUUGUUUUUUUUCUUUUCUCUUUUUUCUUUUUCUUUUCUUUUUUCUCCUUUUUUUCUGCAGAUUGGGCUGCUGCGAAUUGGGCCUGCUUCACUGCUGUUGGGCUGCACUGGUAGACUGGGCCAGCUGGGCUACUGCCGAAUCUGGGCCUGCUGGUGUACUGGGUUGUCUGCGCUGGGCCUGCACUACUGGGCUACUUUUUUUGGGUCCGGCCUGCUACUUUUUCUUUCUUCUGCUGCUUGGGCUGUCACUGCUAUUGGGCCGAAUCUAGCCUGCUGUUCGACUGCUGCUGGGGGCUACUGCAACGGGUAGGGUCAAGUCGGGUCGGUCGGGUCGGGUUGAUUCGACUGUGAUAUAUUUUUUUCUAUUUUUCUUCUCUAUUUUUCUUCUUUCUUUUUCUUCUUCUUCUUUCGGGCCGAACCCUAGCCCGAACUCACGCUACUGCGCCACUGCCGCCUCUUCCGCCCAUGGUACGAUGGUGCCGGCACUCCCUUCUUCUUCUUCUUCUUUCUUAUUUUUCUUUCCCUUUUCUUCUUUCUCUUUUUCUUCUCUUUGCUUGCUAUUUUUAUUUUUUAUUUGAUUGUGUGGGUGUUUUAGGUGAUGGUGGCAAAGAGGAAAACGACGGGUCGGCGAUAGGUGGUCAUGGUGGCGAUGCUAGGCUAAAAGUUUUCUCUUUUUUUUUUCGAUGGGGGUCUGCUAUUUUUUUUGCUUUUUUCUGCUUGGUUGCCGAAAUCCCCCUUCUCCUCUUCAAUUUCUUUCUUUUUAAUGCUUCAAUUUUGUCAACUUCUUUCUUAUUUUCAGGUGGCAAUAGAGGUGGGGGAGCAUGGCUGAUUGGCGGUGUCAGGCGUGGAGUGCGGUGCACGCCCAGAUGCUGGUUGGGGGUGGUCUUGUCAUGCCCAGAAGGACCAAAUUGUAAAGGGUGUAAAGUUUUUAAGGUAAAAAUGUAAUUUUAGGAAAAUAUAGGGCUAAAAUGUAAUUUUUGAAAGUUUAAGAGCCCAAAUGUAAUUUACAAAAUAUUAGGGGUCAAGGUGAAAAUUUAGAAAAGUUAGGGGACAAAAUGUAAUUUUUGAAAAGUUUAGGGGCCAAUAUGUAAUUUUUUAAUUUUGUAUUUUUGUAAUUUUUUUUAAAAUUAAAGCUGGACAAAAUUUAGUGUUUACAAAAGGUAUUCAAAAAACUUACGAAUUCAGCGCUGGAGACUCGGUGUGUCACACUUUUCAGAAGAAGUAUCUCAAAACACUUUACAUAUUCAAAAACAACCUUUUAAAAUCCAAAAAUUUGAAAACCCAUUCCACAGCUGAGUUUUGCAACUUGACUCUGAUGCUACUAAAUGCAACACCCCAAACCCGGCCUAGGAGUUAUGGCCGAAUCUGGCGUGUCACAUUGAAGUCUUUUUCGAAAACCAUGUUUUCACUAAAAACCGUUCUUGAAAGUUCCAACUUCCUGCCAUUUAAAACUUGUAUAAAACCUCAGUUUACGUUUGAGAAAGAAUAGAGAACAUAGGUGCAUUUGGUUUUAAAAGAAAAGCAGAUAAUAACUUUUGAUCAAUUACCGUUAGUCAGAACCUUUGCAGUAGAUCGACGUAGAGAAGGAUUAACCGCAGUGAUUUUCAGCCAGCCGAGAAUAAAAUAUGAACAGAAGUUAAAAGAAGAAAAACAAAAAGAAGGUUUGGCUAGGAUAUGAAGGAAUUCGAUUGCAGAAGAAAAGAGGUAAAGAAAAAAAUAAAUGUUAGGUUCGGCCAAGAAGAGAGAAAGUGAAUGGAAAAGAUGCAGAAAAAGAAUGACUCGAAUGACCAGUUUUAGUUUCGGCACUAGAGAAAAAGGAAGAAAAAAAUGCAAAACCCCCAAAUGCUAGAAAGAAAAUUUGGUACCUAUACACUUACCUUAGCAGAUUCGGUAACAACCUUCUACAACUCAAACUCCCAUUUUUCCUCCUAAAAUCACUCCUCCAAUCCUCUCCUUCAAUCAUUCAUUUGACCCAUUCAAACUCUCCAACACAGAGUUCAAAUCCAAUACCAACUCUUGCAUGAGCAAAAUAAAUAAUCCCAUUUGCAUGCAGUAAGACUUAAACCUCUGACCUCCUUACCACACCUGUGUCGCCACCUUGCCACUACACUAUAGGCUCUUUUAAUGUCAUGAUUACACAAAAAAAAAUUAUAAAGCCUUCAAGUUAAGGCCAAGAUUCACUUAAGAACAAAAAUCAAAGUAUGAUUCUCGUUUAGGGUGCAAGAGGUCCCGAGUUUAAUUCUCGAAAUACCCCUGUAGGGUAAAAUGAUCGUAAUGCCCCUGUAGGGUAAAAUGACCGUAAUGCCCUUAUAGGGUAAAAUGACCGUAAUGCCCUUGUAGGGUAAAAUGACCGUAAUGCCCUGUAGGGUAAAAUAACCGUAAUGCCACUGUAGGAUAAAAUAAUUGUAAUUGUAACGCCCCUAUAAGGUAAAAUGAUUGUAAUGCCCAUGUAGGGUAAAAUGAUCGUAAUGCCUCUGUAGGGUAAAAUGACCAUAAUGCCUAUAGGGUAAAAUAAUCGUAAUGCCCCUGUAGGGUAAAAUGACCAUAAUGACCAAAAUGCCCUUGUAAGAUAAAAUAAUCGUAAUGCCCCUAUAAGGUAAAAUAAUCGUAACGCCCCUGUAGGUUAAAAUAACCGUGACCGUAAUGCCCUUGUAGGGUAAAAUAACUUUAAUGCCCAUGUAAGGUAAAAUGACCGUAACGCCCCUGUAGGGUAAAAUGACAGUAAUGCCUCUGUACGGUACAAUGACUAUUUUGCCCUUCGGGGUUAAAUGAUUGAUUUGCAUGUGAUGUAAAUGACUGAUUUGUCUGAUAUGUAAAUGACUGAUUUAUUUGUGAUUUAAAUGACCGGUUUGUCUGUGAUUUAAAUGACUGAUUUGUCUGUGAUUUGUAUGACUGAUUCCGUGCAUGGUAUUCUGCAUACACGACAUACUGCAUGGGGUAGAAAUUAUGUUAUGGAGGAAGUACUGUAAUGGUGGCUAUGCCACAAUCAUUUUUAUUGGUGGCUUGGCCACAUAUACUGUUACUGGAAACUUUGCUGCGAUAUUGUUGCUGGCAGCUUUGCUGCGAUGCUAUUGAUGGCUUUAUACCGAUCAUAUUACCAUUACUGAUGGCUGUGUGCCGAUUAUAUUACCAUUACUGAUGGUUGUGUGCCGAUCAUAUUACCAUUACCGAUGGCUUUGUGCCGAUCAUAUUACUACUACUGAUGGCUUUGUGCCGAUCACACUACUAUUAUUGAUGGCUGUGUGCCGAUUAUAUUACUACUACUAAUGGCUUUGUGCCAAUCAUAUUACUGUACUUAUGGCUUGUAGUCAUUCUGUUUAUAGCUUAUAGCUAUCCUAUUUACGGCUCUUAGCCAUUCUGGUUACUUGCAGCUUUGAUGUGAUACUGGUUAGUACCACAACCGCUACUACAUAAGAAGUGUAGGAAUGAGUGGUUCGAUUUAAUCCCCACAAGAGUGUAGGGUUAGACAGGGGACGGAGUGCAGGGUUGGUAUGGGUAUUUAUGCAUUGCAUAUACUGAUUUUGAUAUUGAGAUGGGCUUAGGCCCAAAUAUAUGUGAUAUGUGCCAUUUGAUAUGGGCUCAAGCCGAACCGAGGCUGAUGGGGGCUAAGGCCCAAUCGUCACCGUUACUAUAUUGGGCUAAGACCCACAUUGUACUGUUACUGUUAAAGGGCUCAAGCCUAGACUGUGUUGUUUCUGUUAACUAACUGUUUCUUUAAUAAUGGGAUUACACACUGAGUUUUCGUAAACUCACCCCUUUUUUAACCUUUUAGGUAAUUUCCAGCGUUAAACGGUUCAGAGCUGCGAGGGACUCGGAGCUGGCCACACAACCGCAUCAGCUUUCGUUUUUAGCUUUUGAUUUAUAAGUAAUUGAAUUUGGGUAUUUUUAUGUAAAAAUGCCUCUUUAAAGUUAUAAACUUUAAAUUAGGGGGUUUUAUUUCUUUAGUUUGAUAUAAACUGAUAGUUGUAGAAUAAGACGGGUUUUCAAAAGGUAACCGUUUUCAAAGAUACCACGUUUUUGCAAAUAAUGAGAUUUUGGAAAAUUUAUAACGUUUUAAAAGUGAUUAGUUUUUCAUGAUGCACGCUUGGAAAUGAACAACCUGUUUUGGAAUCACCGUUUAAUAACAAAAUGAUUAAUUGAUUUUAAAGAUUUCAACAACAACAAGUUUUACACUAAACACCUCAAUGUGACUGAUAACACUCUAGAAUAAUGUAUUUUUAUUUAUUAAUUAUGUAUUUAUUUUGAGUAUGAUCCUACUAAUUUGAGCUAUUUAUGAUUUUUUAUCUCAUAGGGACUAAAUUUGACGCGAAAUUAAAAUUAAGGGCCAAAAGCGUGAAUUUAGAGAUAAAAUGGGCCAAUGUGCGACACAAGGAAAAGUUGGUGCCAAAAGUACAAGCAUGGAGGACAUAAGGGUUGAAAUGCAAAAAGAAGAGAUUUUAUUCUAUUAAACUCUAUUUUAAUUAUAUUAGGAUAAUUAAUAUUGAGAUAAUUAUUAGGGAUUAUUUUUAGGAUUUUAUUUUAUUUAUCUUUAUUUAUCUUCAAUUAAAUGUAUUUAUCUUUUAGGAAUUUAAGUAAGAAUUUAAGUAGGAUCCAAUCUUUUAUCUUUUUCUGUAAACACUCUCUCCCCAAAAGUCUAGGCUUUUGUUCUUCUCAUAUUUCCUUUCAAUAAAAUCUCUAUUUUUAUUUUAUUUAUUUUCUUUUCUACCACAACCAUGUGCCACUAAACCCAUUUAGCCAAAGGUUGUCGAAAAUCCCCAAAAGGGUUCAUGAGGCUUAGAAUCCGUACUUAGCCUUCUUAACGAGUAUUCAUCGUUUCUCCGCACUACGGGGCUGAUGCUUCUGUCCAUGUCCCUUAAGAAGUUGCACAGUCAUCGUUUCUCUGCACUACAAGGCGGUCGCUUUGUAUGUUUUGGGAAGGUUACACAGUAAAUUCGUUAGCUUACUGAGUUAGAGGUUGGUGAGCCCAAGAGACAAAAUGGCGUGGGAUUCGCCAUUGAGAAUCGUUGAUAUAGCAUAAAACGAUCCCACAGAAGCGAUUGUUGGCUAGAGUCAGGUUCCACCAAAACAUAAGUCUAAAUCCUUGGAGCUGGUGGUCGUAGGCGUCCUCUUCCACUAUAACUGGCUUAUUCGGUUUGGGAAGGAUCAUCUAAAAAUCGAGGAUUGAACCCAAGGCGGAACGAGACAACUGGAGGCUGGAAUCUCCCAUAAGAAUUUCUUUUCUCUCAACUCUAUUUUUAAUUUCUCAAAUUUUCGAUUCAAUAUUCUUAAUUCUGUUUUUAUUUUAUUUUUCGUUUCUAGAUCCAAACCUUUAAUUCUGUUAUUUUCUUAUUUUUUCAGGAACGCAGGUUUCUUGGGUAAGAUUCUGCCUGGGAUUUCACAAAACAAGAUAUUGUACAAAUCCAGUCCCUGAGGGUUUGACCCUACUUCCCUUUUACUAUUAUUUUUCAUUAUUUAUUAGGGAUAGAAUAUUUUUGGUGCUUUCAACGACCGCAUCAGUGACACCGCCAGAUUCGGCCAUAACUCCUAGGCCGGGUUUGGGGUGUUACAUUUAGUGGUAUCAGUCUAGGCCUGUGCCUUUAACAAUAACAGUAUUAGUGUGGGCCUUAGCCUAAAACAGUAACGGUGGCAAAUGGGCCUUAGCCCUUAUCAGCCUCAGUUUGGCCUGGGCCCAUAUCAAAUGGCACAUAUCAUAUAUAUUUGGGCCUAAACCCAUCUCAAUUUCAGAAUCAGUAUAUGUAAUGAAUAAAUAUUCACACCAACCCUACACUCCUGUGGGGAUUAAAUUGACUAACCCAUCCCUACACUCCUCAUGUAGUACCAGUUCGGGCACUAACCAAAAUUACAGCAGAGCUGCCAGUUAACAGAAUGGCUAAAAGCCAUAAGCAGAAAGGUAGUAAGCCUUGAACAGAACGGCUACAAGCCAUGCAUUUCCUCCGUCAAUAUUAACCCAACCGCAUGCAGUAUGUCAUGUCAUAAAUCAUACAUGUAUGCAGAAUGUCAUACUCAGUAAUAGUCAUACAUAAUAUAUCAUAGAGUAAAGCAGUCAUACACAUAUUUCCACUCCUAUGGUUAAAAUAGUCAUUUUAUCUUAUAGGGGUAUUUUGGUCAUUUUACCCUUCAAGGGUAUUUUAAUAAUUUUACCCUUCAAGGGUAUUUUAGUUAUUUUACCUUUCGAGGGUAAUUUGGUUAUUUUACCUUUCGAGGGUAAUUCAAUUAUUUUACCCUUUGGGGGUAAUCCGGUCAUUUUACCCUUCGAGGGUAUUUCGAUAAUCUUACCCUUCGAAGGUAUUUCAGACAUUUUACCCAUUGAAGGUAUUUCGGUUAUUUUACCAUUCGAGGGUAUUUCAGUUAUUUUACCCUUCAAAGGUAUUUCGGUCAUUUUACCCUUCGAGGGUAUUUCAGUUAUUUUACCUUUUGAGGGUAUUUCGAUCAUUUUAACAACCUUUUUGAAGGUCUACAGUCACUUCGAAUGAUACAGAUAACCUAAAUGGUCAUAAUGGUGUAAAUGGGCCCAAGGUCCAUAUUCAGCCCAAGUGGGCCCACACGCUCGUGUGGCCUACUCAGCCCAAAAUUGCCCUUGACCAUGCGAUCGUCAUGGCCGACUCAUUAUUUCCUAUCUAUCCGAGAAAAUUUUACUCGCAUAAGGCCCACCGCCCAUUGGGCCCACCCAGCCCAUUCCGGUCUAUUUAGCCCAAAAAUGGCCUAAUACCACGAGAUCGCUCAUGGUGACCUCUAUUGUUGUAUCAAAUUAUCCACACGCACGUUCGUGUGCUCGUGUGAUAGUCGUAGCCGUACUUUCGACUUUUCAUCUUUUUGAUAUUUUAGGAUUUCGGCAUUUAUCGAUCUACAAUUGGAGUGGUGUGUGUGCACACCUGUUGAAGAACAACGUGGUAGCCCACGAGCGUAGAACCUAUAUUCGAUUAAGGUACUUGGUUAGCCAUUCCAUUAACGUUCAUAACACUUAAACCCAAAUCGUCACACUACUCACCUUGAACGAAUGAGAAUUGCUUAAUUCCCUUGGAUCGCCAAUUAGGAAUCGAUCUUAGGACCUCACCAAUUAUUUUCCUGAACAAAGAAACCUGUAGGACUGGGUUGUUUACAAGAAUAAGACUUAAGAUCCCAAUAUUAAAAUGUAGCACUAUCGACAAACAAGCCAACUCACCCCCUUCAAAAAUUCAAUUGAAAGAUGAAAGGAGAAACUUGAAUGCCUCUGCACUUCCGAGGAACCCCCCAGAAUCGCAAUGAAUGUAGUACGUGAGAAAUGAAAUAACAAGCGGUCAAUAAGGUUAUUCAGUUUGAGAAAGAAUAGAGAACACAGGUGCAUUCGAUUUUAAAAGAAAAUCAGAGAAUAGCUUUUGAUCACUUACCGUUAGUCAGAACAGUUGUAGUAGAUUGAUGUAGAGAAGAAUUAACCACAGUGAUUUUCAGCCAGCCCAGAAUAGAAGAUGAACAAAAGUUAAAAGAAGAAAAAAAAGAAGGUUCGGCUAGGCUAUGAAGGAAUCCGAUUGUAGAAGAAAAGAGGUAAAGAAAAAAAUAAAUGUUAGGUUCGGCCAAGAAAAGAGAAAGUGAAUGGAAAAGAUGCAGAAAAAGAAUGACCCGAACGGUCAGUUUUAGUUUCAGCACUAGAGAAAAAGGAAGAAAAAAAUGCAAAACCCCUAAAUGCUAGAGAGAAAAUUCAGCACCUAUACACUUACUAAUUGCCGAAAUGUAUACUCCAAAGUCCCCCUUAGCAGAUUCGGCAACAACCUUCUACAACUUAAACUCCCCUUUUUCCUCCUAAAAUCACUCCUCCAAUCCUCUCCUUAAAUCACUCAUUUGACCCAUUCAAACUCUCCAACACAGAGUUCAAAUUCAACACCAACUCUUGCCUCCACAUGUGCAAAAUAAAUAAUCCUAUUUGCAUAUAGUGAGACUUGAACCUCUGACCUCCUUACCACACCUGUGACGCCGCCUCCUUGCCACACAUGUGUCGCCAUCUUGCCACUACACCACAGGCUCUUUUUGUGUCGUGAUUACACAAAAAAAUUUAUAAAGCCUUCAAGCUAAGGCCAAGAUUCACUUAAGAGUAAAAAUAAAAAAUUUUGCUAAAGCCCAGGUUUGAACCCAGGACUUCUCCAACACUCGUAACACUUCCUAAAUCACUUAACCACUAAAGUAGACAUUCACUUAACCACCCAAUACUUCUAGGCCCAAAUUCUGGGGUGUUACAAUUCUACCCUCUUAAAGAAAUUUCGUCCUCGAAAGUUCCAACUAACGAGAUAGUCGCACCACACAGGCUUUACCACUACGCUCUCGCUCGCACUCUGAUUCAAAAAAUUACUACAGCCUCUUGAACCACAUUUGCGCGUAUCUCUUGUGCCCAUUUUCUCAGUUUUACUACAGUUCCAAUCCCCUAUAGUUUUAGUUUGCUCUAUCUAGAGUGAUAUAGUCUAAUUUCUAAAGUAGUCACGGUACUUCCUAACUUAUAGCAUUUCAAUUUCUAAACAGAAAAAAGUAUUUAGAAAACUUACGGAUUCAACGUUGGGGACUUGGUGUGUCACACUUUUCAGAAGAAUUAUCUCAAAACACUUCACAUAUUCGAAAAUAACCUCUUAAAAUCCAAAAAUUUAAAAACUCAUUCUACAGUCGAAUUUUACAACUUGGCUCUGAUAUUACUAAAUGUAACACCCCAAACCCGGCCUAAGAGUUAUGGCCGACUCUGGUGUGUCACAUUGAAGUGUUUUUCGAAAACCAUGUUUUCAUUAAAAACCCACCUUGAAGUUUCCAACUUUCUGCCAUUUAAAACUUAUAUAAAACCUCAGUUUGCGUUUGUUUAUUUUCAAUCAAGAUUUAUUAAAAACAUAUUAUCUUCAAAACCUUAUUGUUACAGAAGUUUAAGUUAAAGUAAAUGAUUUACAAAAACGUGAUAUUUAAAAACUGAGGUGCGAAAACGUAGUGUUAGAAAACAGUUAUUAUUUUAGAAAAAUCGUGUUCUACUAUUAGCAUACAUAAAUCACAUCAAAUCUUAAAUUUAAAAUUCAAAAAUUAUAGAGGCCUUAUUACAAACCCGAAUCAAAAUCAAAUUACUUAAGUAAAUGAGUAAAAUAGAAUAAAGCAAGUGUAGUUGUGCGGCCCUCUCUGAGUCCCUCGUAGCUCCAAAUUGUCUAACACUUGGGAUUACCUAAAUGGUUAAAAACAGGGUGAGUUUACAAAAACUCAGUGUGCAAUCCCCUUAUUAAAGAAACAGAAUCAGUCUAGGCCUGAGCCCUUAACAGUAACAUUAUUAGUGUGGGACUUAGCCCAAAACAGUAAUUGUGGCAAAUAGGCCAUAGCCCCUAUCAGCCUCGGUUGGGCCUGAGCCCAUAUCAAAUGGUACAUAUCACAUAUAUCUGGGCCUAAGCCCAUCUCAGUAUUAGAAUCAGUAUAUGCAAUGCAUAAAUACUCAUACCAACCCUGUACUCCAUCUCCUAUCUAACAAUACACUCCUAUGGGGAUUAAAUCGACCCACUCAUCCCUACACUCCUCAUGUAGCACCGGUUGCGGCACUAACCAAAAUUACAGCAGAGCUACCAGUUAAUAGAAUGGCUAAAAGCCAUAAGCAGAAAGGCAGUAAGCCUUGAACAGAACGACUACAAGCCAUGCACUUUCUCCGUCAAUAUUAACCCAACCCCAUGUAGUAUGUCAUGUCAUAAAUCAUACGUGUAUGCAGAAUGUCAUACUCAGUAACAGUCAUAUAUAAUAUAUCAUAGAGUAAAACAUUCAUACAUAUAUUUCCACUCCUAGGGGUAAACUAGUCAUUUUAUCCUAUAGGGGUAUUUUGGUCAUUUUACAUUUCUAGGGUAUUUCGAUAAUUUUACCCUUUGAGGGUAUUUCAGUCAUUUUAACAACCUUUUCGAAGGUCUACAGACGCCUCGAGUGACACAGAUAACCUAAAUGGUCAUAAUGGUGUAAAUAGGCCCAAGGCCCAUAUUCGGCCCACACGCUCGUGUGGCCCAAUUAGCCCACACUGCCCAUUCUGGCCCACAUGGCCCAUUACUGCUUAAGCUUAUGGAAAUGCUCAUGGAGGAUUUUACAGUCUAUCAUUCAUGAUUCGUAGGUUUGACUUUCCACAUGAGCGAUCGCACGCUCGUGUAGUCUUAAACAUCGUAUUUUAGCUUUUGACGUUCUACUGUUACAGUGGGGAGUUUACACACUUGAUGCGAUUUAUAGAUUCCCUUCAAUCUGAAUACUCUUAUUCUGCAAACCCAUGAUCAUCGCACCAUUGGUUCCCAGGACGGUUGGAGAAAGUGACGAAUACCUUGAAAGCCUUGCCGAUCCCCCCAUUCAGAAUAAGGAACAAAUGAGAUGGAUAUAUAGCUCUCCACAACAACAACCCCCCAAAUCCCAAUAUUCUCUCCUCAAAUCUCUCUGAAUAUCCCUCAUUGAUAUCCUCUAUAACAACCUCCAAAACCCAUUCAAACGCUCACCCAACAGAGUUUGAAACCACCUCAAACUCCUACCGCCUCAUGCUAGCAAAAUAAAUAUACUUUUUGCUUGUAAUGAGAUUCGAACCCAAGCCCCCCUCAAUAGUUCAACCUGCCACUUGCCUCCUUGUCACAAGCACUUUUGUGUCACAUUUUUUCUUCAAUUAACUAAAAGGUCUAAAUGCCAAAGUCCAAGUUCCUUUAAAAGAAUAACUAAAAUAAAUUGAAAGAGCCAAGAAUUGAACCUAGGCUCCCUUGCAACCUUAAUGAUGCCACAACCAUUAGACCACAUGCUUUCUCAUGACUUUUUUUAGCACAAUAAUUUAAAAGGCCUACAUCCAAGCAUCCAGGGUUUUAUCCACUUAAAACCAAAAUUUUUGCUAAAGCCCAGGUUUGAACCCAGGACUUUUCCAACUCCUCUCAGGAUCUUUAACCACUAAAGUAGACAUACUUUUGUACACAGUUUCCAAACCGUUCCCUUGCUCAAGGCUCAAUACUUUUAGGCCUGAAUUUCGGGGUGUUACACUCACUCUCAAAGUCUUAUACAACGAAAUUCACAAAAUUUAUGUUGAUUAAGCCUGCAAAAGAGAAGCUAUAGAAUUCAAUGAUUGAACUAGUAGUCAGUGGGAUAGUGUUGAAAUUGCAAAGAUAUUUGAAUGCAGCUGUUACAGUUUCUAUAUGUUCAUUUAUUCUCAGAGGUAUAUGUAAUCUUCAAAGGUGAUUAUUAUCAUAAGAGAAUGCUAGCUAACCAUAAUGUUAGACGAAAAUAUUAUUAGUCUGGUUGAUUUAUGAUCGAUAUUGCUCUAUCUUUCUUUAGUAUUCUAUUCUACUAUGUUUGGUAGAGGAUUCAACAAUAAGACUCAUAUGAUGUUAUUUUAUUUCUUCUACUGGUUGAUGUUCUUAAUUAUAUAUUUAUGCAAUUUAUGUUGUCUCUGUCACAAUUGGUUCCAGUGCAUAUGAGCGGUACUCUUCUUCUGGAUUUUCUCUAAGGUAUCAUCAAUAUCUUUAUCAUUCCAUAUGGGUUGUACUUUCAGAGAUUUAGUAUAGCUUCACAUCUUGAAUUUUAUUAUCUCGAUUUUCUUAUCAUUUUUAUUGUUUAAUCUAUCAAACAUGGUUCAUUUGUAAAGGAUAUUCUGUAACACCCCUUAACCCUAAACCGUCACCAAAACAGGGUUACGGAGUAUUACUGGACUUUUCAGACAAAUUAUGAACAUCAUAAAAAUAAACAACAUACAUAUUAUAAAAUAUUCAUAGUGUCCCUUUGAUAGACCAUCGAGAGCUCAAAGUGAAUUGGGCCCAAUUCGAGAGCUCGAGAAAUUUUUUUGUAAAAUUUCAUUUUUUUUUCGUGGACUCAAUAUAACUCCUUUAUAAACAUCUAACCAACCCUGCAAACUUAAAUCGCAACAAUUCAAAACCAAUAUCACAACCAAUACAAUUUUGUAUACAAUUACAUUUAAAAUCAUAUCAAAAGCAUCAACUUGAUAAUCUACUCACUAAACAUUCACAAGCAACACUAAGAUUAAUCUAAAAAUUUCAUUCUAUUUCUAUUUCAAAGUUUAGUACCAUAUGUGUCAUUUUAUCUACUUAUCUUUUCAUAUAACCAUUCAAAAUAUCAUAUGUCAUCUAUUACAACCAAAACCACCAUGACACACACACAUAACCUAUGUACAUGCCACGUUUACCAAAAGAAAUAUACCUCACCAAGUUUCUAAGGUCGGGAUCAGCCCUAGAUGCUGGACCGAAAUGUUUGAUUUUACUAACCUGUGCACGGAAACAACCGUACACUGAGUAUGGGUAUACUCAAUGGUAUUACUAUAAUUUAAAUUAUUAAAGUAAAGUAACAAAUAAACAUAUCAAAUUAUAUAACAGUUAAUUCAUAAAUAAACUAUUUCAUACUUAACUUUCACUUUUUAACAAUAGUAACUCAAUAUGGCUAUUCAUAAAUUUGAUAUCAUAUAACAUCUCAAUUAAACAUCAAUCACUUCAUGAAUGUAGCACCCCAAACCUUGCCUAGACGUUACGACCGAAUCUGGCAAUGUCACACGGGAUGGUUUUGAAAAAUCGCGUAGUUUGGAUAAAACAUUAAAUUGUUAAGUAAAGCGAAUCAUUCAUUUAUUAAAAUUUGACUUCAGAAACGUUAAUUGAUUGCCAAAAUAUUAUUUAUUGCAGAAGCUUUAAAAUUGUUGUAUUUAAGUAGAAAUUAUUCGAGUUAAGGAAAACCUUUAUUUUUAGUAAAAAUAGGAGUUUUGUAGUAAUAAAAUCAUAAACGCAGUUAUAACCCAAAUUAAGCAAACAGUCCGAAAAGUCUAAAUUUAUAACAAAAUACCCAGAAAUGAAAUAAAACCAAAGUAGAAACCGUAAUCAAAUCCAAUCCAUGAUAUGUGGUAACCGUUGAGUCCCCUGCUGCACUGAUCCACCUAACUCUGAGGGUCACCUGUACAGAUCAAACAAAAAGGAGUGAGUUUACAUAAACUCAGUAUGUAACCUCACAGAUUUAAGCAUGCACACAUAAAUUCAGAAUCAGUCAAAUACAAACUUGGACCUAAGCCCAUUACAGAUACAGAAGCAGAUUUGGGCCUAAGCCCAAUCUCAGAUACAGAUAUAGAUGUGCAUAUCAAAAUCAGAAAUCAAAAAUCAGAAUCCUACCCCCAUUCUUUACACACCAUCUCCGACCAUCCCUACACACCAUGUGGGUUUUAAAAACACCCACCCAGCCCUACACGCUAUAUAGUACCGAUGUGGCACAUAAUAGAUAUAAUAUGCAGCUGUGCUACUAGAUAGUAGGCGUCAAUUGCCUUUUAGACCACUUUCUCCAAAAUACAUCAUCCGACCCCAAUAAUAGAAAUAGAAACAAAAACAGGUAUGCAAUUUAACAUGCUCAACACGCUAAUCAUCAGAUAUCAUAUAGGCAUACAGAACAGUAGUCAGACAAGCAUAGUACAUGAUAGCAGUUUAUCAGAUUAUCUUAUCAUACAGAGUUGGGCUUAUAUGGCCCUUACCGACCCUAUAGUAGGCCCACAAUCAUUUGGGAUGACCCAUGCAUCCCUAGGAAAAAAUCAUCUAAAUGGACCCACAUACCCGUCUAGAAUACUCGUGUGGGCCCACAUGCCCAAAUUGGCAUUGGUCGUGUGGAUCACACAGCUUGGCCCAGAAUUCACACACUUGUAUGGCGUGCUUGCGUGGGCCUACACACCCGUGUGGCCCAUACGGCCCUAUUUGGUCUAGCCCGUGUGGCUCACACAACCACACCCUACCAUCAUACGAUCGUGUCUCACACACAGUCUAGCCUUCAUCAAUCACACGGCCUACCACACGGGUGACCACACGUUUGUGUGGCAUCAACAGUGAGGUUUUUUGGCUUUUGUCGAAACCUCAUUUUUUGUAUGUUCAGGUACACUCUUUCGAAUUGAAAACACUCUCGAGCCUUUUGGAACCUAAAACCAAAGUAUCUAGUAUCGACUUAGAGAUUUAACUAAAAAAUUCGAUAAUAGAAAACUAACAGAAACUUGACUUACCGCCGACAGAGAACCUUCGUUAACAUAAUUGAAUCCAAAAGACAAAAUUCACUGCUUAAAAACCUUCUUCUACACCGAAAAUUGUAGAAAAGAGAGUUAGAUUCCCAAUUAUUUGAUACACGACUACAACAAAAAAGAAAAGACACUUACCAAAACUGUAACACCCCUAUACCGGUUCGGCCAAAGAACUUGAUAUAGAAAUAUUACAUUUGGUGCCACAUUGAUUUUGGCCCAUCACUAAUAUAUUUGAACAUUAAAAAUAAAUUUUAAUAAUUUAUAUUUUAGCCUCUACUACUUGAAACACACUUGAUUUUCCUAAGUACAUGCCAUUCUAUUCCAAAAUUUUGAAACAUAUCCUCUUGGCACUUAGAGAUGUGAUGAGAUGGAUGCCCACAACCUCAAUGUAACAACCCGAUUUAGACCCUAAUCAAAACAGUGGUUUUGAGACCAUAAAUCUGAGUUAGAAUAAUAUUUUAAUAUUAUUUUCUAUAUUACAGCAUGAUAGGUGAUAUGUGUGAAACAUUUCGUGUGAAAAUUUUAUUGUUUCUGUGCUUAAUUCGAUAAAAGGACUAAAUAGCGUAAAAUAUAAAAGUAGCAUGCUAUAAUUUAUGAGUGUCUAAUUGAUAUGCUUUAUUAAAUGAAAGGUCCUUAUGAUGAUAUUAGACCAUGGAUAGUGGGAAUAGACAUAAAUGGGCUUAUAUUAAAUUAUUUUCAUGUUAAUUCAUUAAGGAUAAAAUGGUAAUUGAUGUUUUAAUAUUUAUUAAAAUAAAACAAAACAUGCAUUAGUGGCAUUUGGUGUUCAUGUUGCCGAAAAUUCCAAGGAAGAAAAGAAACAAAAAGCUAGCUAGGUUUCGAUUAGAAAUUUUCUUAAUUAAGGUAUAUGUUUUGGUCCAUUUUUUAUUAUUUUUAUAUUUUUGUGAUUGUUGUUCAAUAAUCUAUCAAGCCCGUGCCUCAAUUUUAAAAUUUUAUUAUGAUUUUGAAAUGUGUACUUGAUGAUUUUGCAAGCUUUGUGAUGAUAGUUGAUGAAAUAUGAUGGAUAUGUGAUAAAUAAAUAUGUUUUGUAUUUGGAUUUUGAUGAAUUUGAGCAUUAUGGGUUAAAUUGUGAAAAUGAGAAAUUGAGGGGUUAGAUGUGAAAUAAAUAAAAAAUCGGUUGCUAGGGACUCAAUAAAAAUUUGGCCAAGCAUGAGUACAAAGAAAUUAUCUGUAUUUUGUGUAUUUAUGAAUUAGGGACUAAAAUGUCCAAAGGUGAAAAUAUGAGUACUAAUUUAAAAAAAUUGUCUAACUAUGUGUUUCUGGAUUUAUGUGAAUAAAAUGUGAGAUUGAAUAAGUGAAUUUAAAUGUAUAUAGAUCAAGAGAUGAGAAAUUUGAAUCUAGAUCGAGGCAAGAACAAAGUGCUCGAUUGAUCGACUAAUUUCAUCGUUGCUACGUCUGAAGUAAGUUCGAAUAUAAUGCAUAUGGAUUUAAAUAAUGUUUAAACGAGAUGAAAUGAAUAGAAAUGGGAUUGGGAAAUUUAAAAUGUGAAUGCAGAUCAAAUAUAUGCGGCACUAAGUGUGUGAAUAUUAAAUAUACAUACGGCUACCAAAAUGGAACUAAAUGUACGAGACUAAAGCCGCGUUGGCUAGAUAAUUGGCACUAAGUGUGCGAUACUAGCCAAAUUUCGGUUUAAUGUAGAGGCACUAAAUAUGCGAUAUAUUAUAGCCUUGGCGAAUUUGUUGGCACUAAGUGUGCGAUGUCAUUGAACGUUGAAGUAGUAAAUGUAACAGAUAUGUACGAGAUGGUACAGGUAUAUUCGAAAUCUAUGUGGUUGAUGUUAUUAUGUAUGAAAUGGAAACAAGAGUAUGAGAGUGGAUGAACAAGGUUGAAUAAAUUGGAAAUGAGUAGAAAUAAAUAUACUUGAAUGUGAAUUAAAAGAAAUCGUAUGAAAUGAAUAAUAGUUAUGAUUAAGAUUGAGUAGUAAUUUGAGUUGAACUAUGUGUUAGCAAUUAUGUCAUAUAGCAUUUUUUUUAUGAGUUAAAUGUAUUAUAUUAUGAACUUACUAAGCUCUAAGCUUACUGUGUGAAGUUUUCUUUGUUUUAUAGUGUUAUAAAGCUAGCUAGCUCGGAUCCUGGGAUCGUUAGUGACUCAAUCUCACUAUCGGACAUCUAUUUUGGUAUUUUUUUUUUGAAAUGUAAAUACUAAAGUAUGGCAUGUAUAGACUAGAAAACUUGGAAUUUGUUUUGAAAAGUGUAAAUCUUGCCAUGCGAUAUGGCAUAAUAUUAAAUGUGAUUAUGGUUUAAUUUUGAUAUGUAAUUGGUGUUGAGAUUUGGUAUGUUUCUAUGUAUAUACGGCCUAAUGAGAAAUAGUUAUUUUGGCAUGUUGAUGAAUAUGUAUUUGGCUUUAUGAAAUGGCUUGUUACUAUUGUGAUUUAAUGUUUGUAUAAUCAUACAUUACGGCUCAUUUUGGUAUAUAAUUGCUUAAGAAAUGCCUUGGUGUGAUUGGAUUUGGAAUGAUGAAUUGGUUAAUUAUAUGGUAGUGUUAUAUAUAAAUAUGUAACAUGGUUAGUAAGGUAGGUGACUUUGGUGUAUGUUUUGGAUAGUUGAAUCAUGGUGAAUUGAGAUGGCAUAUAAGUUAUGUGAUGAACACGAAUGAAACCGUAUAUAAAUGACUAAUUGAAUAGCUUUUGAAGUUGAAAAAUGACAUGUAUUGACCUUGUGAUGAUUUCAUAAGUAUAAGCAAUUUUGGUAAUUGAUAUCUAUGCAUUUGAUAUGUAAUAAGCUUUGUGAUUUGGCUUAAAUUUGGUAUAUGCGAUAGUAUGAAAUUAUAUAAGUAUAUGAGUUAAGGAAUUUGCUCUAUAAAUGUUAUAUGAUUGUAUUGAAAUUGAAAUAAUGAUUAUAGAUGAAUGAAUGGCUGUGGCAUGUGAAUUUGGUACACUUUGGAAUAGAUAAUAUGCAUAAUUUCGGUUGGUGAUAAUAUAGAUUGAAUGGCUAAGAUGUAUUAAUUAUUGAAUAAUAUAUGUGAAAUAAUGGUAUGAUAAUGUGUAUUGAUUGGUGAUGUCUUGUAAACUAAUCCGACAACAGACUCGGGUUAGGAGUGUUACACUCAAUGACAGCUCUUCAAAAUCACUGUACCUAAUCUGCGCACGGAAAAUAAAUCUGUACACUAAGUAAAAACUCAGUGGUAUUUCUAUAAUCCGAAUAUUUAAAAACAAUAUAAUAUAAUAUAAUAGGCAAAAAUAAAUUAUAAGGACAUAUUUAUGUCUAGUAUCAUAACUAUCAAUUUUCAUUUAUUUUACAAUAUCCUAAUUCACAUAAUUACUAUAUAAAUUGUCAUUCACAUAUCAAACCAUAUUUAUUCGUAUAAUUGCAUUAGUCAUACAAUACUCAAUUCAUGAAUACAUCAUUAUAUACCAUACUCAAUUAUCACAUAAAUCACAAUUUCACAUACAUUUAUUUAUAACAUAUUCAAUCUUUAUCAUUUGCUAUUCGAGAUGGCUUUUCACAAUAUGAACACAAAUCAGUUUAACAAUGGCACUAUCCAUUCCAUAUUCAAUUCAUGAGUAUUUAACUCAUGUAUUCCAUGUAUUUACAACACAUAUCACAUUUUAUUUUCAAUUCACUAUAUCAAUUUCAUUUCUCAUAUUCUUCAUUUUGAUUUACAUAUCAUUUCACUAUAUCAAUAUCCAGUUCAUUCAUCGUAUCAAUAUUUAUUUCAUUCAACCAUUGUAUCAAUAUUUUUGAAACUAGAUUCAAAUAUAUUUCUACAAUAAAAAUUUCAGAAUUUAUCAUUUAGCCAAUAAGUACAGUAAAAUCUUCAAAAUUAUCCCAAUUUUGCUAUUUGGUAGCUUUGACCUUUCCUUACUAAAAAUUAAUUACUCUUAGUACGGAAUUUGGAUGAUGUUUCCGUUUAUUUCUCUUGAAAAUAGACUCAUUAAGAAUUUAAACAUAUAAAUUUACUCCCCUAAUUAUUUUUCUCCAAUUUUUAAUGAUUUUCCAAAGUCAGAAUAAGGGAAUCAAAAAUCAUUCUGACAUUGUCUCACACAAUUUAUUAUAACUCAUAAUUUAUAAAUCCAUUACUUACACCGCGUCUUCAAUGAAAAACUAGACUCAAUAAGCUUUAAUUUCAUAUUUUUUAAUCCUCUAAUUUUAUUUUUAAAAUUUUUGGUGAUUUUUCAAAGUUAACAUACUGUUGCUGUCCAAAACUAUUUUAGUGCAAUAUAUUAAUUACUAAGUUUAUAACACCCUUAUUUCCUUUAUCUACAAUAUUUCCCAUCACUUUCUCUUAUUUCCCUUAAUUAACAUAUCAAGAACAUAGAACCAUAUAUAAGAAAACUCUACUUUAACAUCAUUUUCAUGCUUUUGAUAUUACCUUAUAUAAGAAAACUCUACUUAAAAUAUAUUGAAAUCUUAAAGUUCUUACCUUGUCCUAUUGAUUUCAAUAUUUAACUUGAUUUUCUCUCUCCUCCAGCUUCUAUUUCUUGAAUCUAACUUGAUAUUUCAGCUCCCCAAAGUCUCCUUAUUAUUUUUCUCUCUUGGUAACCAUAGAAAUUCUUUUGAUUUCUAGGUGAAAAUGGUGAAUUUUUGGUAGAAUGACCAAAUUGUAAAUAAAGCAAAAUUUUCUUUCUUUCUCUUGUUUUCUCACGUUGGUGCAUGGGAAAAUGGGUGGGAUGGUGACUUUUCAUCUUUCUUUCCACAUAUAUAUGCUAAAUAAAAUAAUAAAAUAUUAUUAAAAAAUCAAAUCAAGAUAUUAUAAACUAAUAUUUAUUUAUUUAAUCUAAAAUAUCACUAACAUUAUCAUUGCCUUCUAGAUUUCUCUCUCCUUUUAAUUGACCAUUUUGCCCUUUAUGAUCUUUUAAAAUUUCAUCAUUGGGUCAUCACUUAAUUUGGUAAAAUUAUGAUUUAGUCUCUCAUAAUUUUUUAUCUAUUUAAUUUGGUCCUAAUUCAUCCACUUUCCUUAGUUUCUAGAUCAUUCUACCCUUAAAGUAUUUGCAAUAUUGGUCCUUUAACUUUUUCAUAUUUACACUUUAAACCCUCAAAUUUUAAGUAUUUACUCUUGGGCAACAAAAGUUUUUUCACUUUUAUAAUUUAGUCUUUUCUUGAAUUAAUAUAUCAUAAUAUACUUCCCUAACUAAAAAUUUCCCUUUUUGUCACUUUAUUUCUUUAUUUUACUAUAUCAAGAUACUAUUUUACUUUCUCACUGUAGAAAAUUUUGGGUAUUACAGUAAGUUAUGGAGUCGAUCCUACAAUAUUCAAACUUUUGAAUUUGUUAUUAUUUUGCAUGUUUUGCCAUGUGAAUUUUUAGAAUAUCUAUAUAAUUAAAAAGUAAAAUUUCCACUAAAUACAAUAUUAAACAUGUCGAAUAUUAGGGGUGUUUAAAUUUCGGUUAAAGUCGAAUUAACUGACUGAACCGAUUUAAUUCAGUUAAUCAAUUGAUUAACCAAUAUAAUUCGAUCGAAGGUCGAUGAAUGAUUUUUUAGAAGUUCGAUUAUCGAUUAAAAAUCAGGUAAUUAACCAUACUAACUGAACUUAAUAAUUAAUAUUAUAUAUCAUAUGUAUUAGUUAGUUCGGUUAGUUCGGCUAAUUUAGUCAAAUGAACAUUGUCAUUUUUGUCGGAUAUGUUUUGUACUUAUUCUAACCAAAAAACAAAACACAUAAAUUUCGGUUAACUAAAAUAUUUUAGUUCAGUUAACUUUUUAAAAAAAUUCAAUUUAAUUAAAUAUUAAAAAUUAAAAAAUUCUAUUAAUACUAAUUUAGUUUGAUUAUAUAUCGAACAUGUAGAAAAUAUUUGCCGUAUAUAUAAAGAAAAUCAUUUCUUUAUAUUUUAUUUUGACUUUUAAAAAAGGAGAGGUUUUUUACUAAAAAAAAAGCUAUAUAUUUUAAAGAAAAAAUAAUCCCAUUUUCUCGAACGGCUCUCUGACUCCGGUCAUUGGUCAAUCUCUUAGGCCCCGUUCUCCUCUGCUUUUUUUUUUAAACGAGCUUUUGCAACAAAAAGUGCUUUUCUCUUAAAAGCAAGGAAGAACGGCCAUCGUUCAAAAUUUUUUCCACCAUCUGAGAAGUGCUUCUUGGCUGAUGGAGAAGUUAAAAAUUUCAACUUUUCUUAAGCCAAAAGUCCGUUUGGCUGAUAAUUUUCCAUUUUAACCUGCCUUCUCCCCCAAAAAAGUUUCUUUUCUCUGGUUCUUUUUCACAUUUUCACUUUAGCUUACUGCUUUCGAUUAGAAUUUUCAGGGAAAAUUCUGGAUUACUGCUUUGCUUUACUCUACUCGGCGGCUGUGGUUUGAGGAUU
rnacentral:lncRNA from 1 species